CAGCUUCUCCUUCAGAGAAGAAAGACCCAAGCUGGUUGUCAUUUAUCUCAACCUGGUGGAAGAUGAUGAAGAUGAUGAAGAUGAUGAAGAUGACGAAGAUGAUGAAGAUGACGAAGAUGAUGAAGAUAAUGAGGACCCACUCGAUGAAGAUGAUGAGAACCCACUUCAUGAAGCCAUCGUAGCUCAAAGAAUGCUUUAUUGUUAUACUUACAAAUGCAAAUUAUUCGAUGAUAUGCUUAGUGUAGAGUCCAAUGAUAUGCUUUGUGGAAUCUAGUCGAUGAUAUGCUUUAGUGUAGAGUCUGAUCACAUGCUCUUAUUAGUGUAGAAUCCAAGGAACUAUUAAUAGUGUAGAUAAUCCAUAUAUAUACAUAUUACUGAAUUCAUGAUUAGUUAGUAUAAAUGCGUAGUAGUGUGUCUUUUGAUAGUGUAGAAAUCUAGAUUUAAUAGAAAUAUAUUUGCAAGGGUAUGUGCGAGGCUAUUUAUUAAUUGAUACGUUUUUCUUAUUCAGAAAUUACCAAAGAACCUAUUUGUGAGUUGUGAUAUCGAGCCUGAUGAAGAAGGCUCAGCUGGACUACGCCUUACCGCAAGGGGCUCCGUCACCACCUGUACUUACCGCAUGGACACAGACGGUCGCACACACUUAAACUCGGUUGGGUGGAAGAGAUUCCUCGUUGACAAGAAUCUUCCUGUUGGACAGGCCGUCCUAAUUACUAUCAGGAACACCCACCGCCCAGGCUUGAGGAUGAUGAUCGUCAUCGAUAUCAUCUAGAACUACAUAUGUGUGUGUGUGGCUAUAUCAUCUAGAACUACAUAUGAUGAUUCGAUAUCAUGUAGAACUACAAAUGAUGAUCGUCGUUGAUAUCAUCUAGAACUACAUAUGAUGAUUCGAUAUCAUGUAGAACUACAAAUGAUGAUCGUCGUUGAUAUCAUCUAGAACUACAUAUGAUGAUCGUCGUCGAUAUCAUCUAGAACUACAUAUGAUAAUCAUCGUCGAUAUCACCUUGUACUGUUGAGGAUGCAUGUUGAGUAUAUAUGAAAUUGUUAUCUAGUACUCCCUCCGUUCCAAAUUACUCGUCAUGGUUUUAGUUCAAAUUUGAACUAAAACUACGACGAGUAAUUUGGAACCGAGGGAGUACUAUCUAGUACCUAUAAUGCUUUAUGAAACUGAUAUCUAGUAGUACCUAGUAUCUGGAAAUUGCAGUUUAUGGAAGCUGAAAUGGGGUAGGAAGCCGGGGGGAAAUGAUGAAAGAUAUAGCAGUAGCGCGGGGCCAGGAAAUCGCUACAGCUAAUUAAUAGUAGCGCGUUCCGGAAACGCGCUGCUGAAAUAGUCCAUAGUAGUAGCGCGGUCUAGUCCAUAGUAGUAGCGCGGGUACAGACCGUGCUACUACUAACAGUUAGCUGUAGCGCUUUAUUGGUAGCGCAGUUGCCCGCGCUGCUGAUAGCCUCAAAACCCGCGCUACUACUAGGUUUUCCCUAGUAGUGCAGUGCUGGCUUUGCACAGACCGGUGCUCGUCGAUGCUAGCCUCCCUCCUUAGCCGCGGGGUCGGUGAGGUGGCACCUGUGUCGCGGGUCUCCUCGGUGGAGGCCGAAGCCAUCGAUCUUCUUUAAUCUUGGCAGCCUCCGUCAGAUCUUGCCCUUAGUAGCCUUUUGUCACCAAAGCUGGUCCUUUAUGCACCAGGAGAAAUCUAAGAAAAGCUGUGCCGAUCACGACGGCCGCCACACCCAUUGGUGUCGGCCCGCUUCUUGUAGCUGUCAUCUAGGCUAUCCCCUUCCUCCUCCUCAUCCGCUCUUCUUGUGUACCAGGUGAAAACCUAGAUCCUCUCCGAAUUGGGGGGCAACGGUGCUACGGGCAUCGUCAUCCCCCAUGGGUUCCAUCAGAGGAAGGUGGAUGUGUGUUUUUUGUAUGUAUGGAGGUGGAUGGUGUGGCUUGGUUGGAGCCCACGUACCAGUGUCUCUAUGUGCAAGGUCGCUACUGUUCGACCUUUUUUGGUGCUCCUUGGCCAUUUGUGGAUGGCAAAGCUCUAUGCUUUCCUGGCAGACUAGAUAUUGCCUCUGAGCUCCGUCUCGACAUCCUCCCUUUCUUUGAUGAUGUGUCUUUAGUCACCCCAUCGUGCUUUGCCUUCUUCUCAUGUGUUGACCUAUAUGAGUGCCUAAGUCCCUUUUGUUGUGCUCGUUGUGGCAUGGUGUUGGUGCUCCAAUUUGUUCUUCAGGAUGGCAAUGGCGUUGGUGCAAUCUUUAUCUCCCGGGGGAGCGUCUCCAUCUUCCGAGGGAGCAGCAGCUUUUGUGCUAGCGAUAGGGGCAGGGACCCCCUCGCCCCCCUCUCUCUCAGUGAUGGAGGAGGAUGCCACCGUGUUGUCCAGAUACCAUGGAGAUUACGUGAGCGCCUUUCCACCUCUUGCUUCUUUCCAUCAAGGGCGUGAUGUCUCAGUUGGCUAAUUGUUCACACUUGAGGGCUUCAUCGUCCAAGCUAUUGCGUGCCAUAGUUUUCCCAUAUUUGCUUGUAGAUUGGGUGGAGCCUAUUAGUACUGCUUAGGAUCUUGUAUCUUUUCGCCCUUUUUUGUUUCUUUUUCUUUGUAAGCCGUAGGUGGUAAUCUCCUGGCUGAUUGAUGGCUUUGUUAACAAUAGAUAUGUAGUUGAAACAUGCAAUGAGCUAUAUAAUCAUCAUAUAUACAAUCAGGGAAUGCUAUGAGGUACAAAGUAUGCUUGAGCAGACGCACAAGCCAGCGAGCAUCUCCUAUCCACACACACAAUACCAAACCAAAGUAACUGUCCAGAUCAUGUUCAUUCUAGCUGUACGGCACAAACAAAACAUCGGGCUGCAUAUACUCCCUCCAUUCCAAAAUAUAGUGCGCCCGCGCUUCCCGAGGUCCAACUUUGACCAUAAAUUUAAACAACGAGACCGACUGUGGAGGGAGAAAAAAUUAGAUAAUUGAAAACUUCUUUUGAAACAAAUUCACUGGUAUAACUUUUGCUCCCGCCGCAGUCGGUCUCGUUGGUUAAAUUUAUGAUCAAAGAUGAAGCACGUGAAUAGAGGAAACACUAUAUUUUAAAACGGAGGAAGCAUAAAAGAAAUAAAAACCCACGAAGAUUCCAUGGACCAACAAAAUAACUCUCUAUGGUUAAACACUUGUAGGAGAGGGGCUUGUUCCAGCGGAGUCCGAAACAAACUAAAGCCUACUUUUUAGCACUACUAACAGUAGAAGAUCGACCCCCACGGUCGUGGUCAUUGAGCCGAUGGCCACGAGCUCAAAGGUAGCAAGGAACCAGAGGCGGGAACUCACCAUGGGCAUUGUGUACUCGAUGCCGAGCAGUCAGCGGGUGCGUCCAACGGAAGAGGCUAGUGCCACAGACCUCCUGGAUGAACCCCUUGUCCUCUAUUAGAAUCUUGAAUACCAUAGCAGAACAACCUCAUUAGAUAGCAGGCGACCAUGAGGAACUACACACACAUCAUGCAGCAGGAGUAAAUACAAGCUUAGGAAGCACAUGAGCUUUUAUGUAGGGACAAAUGUUUUGAUUUCUUGCAAAAUUUCGUCAUGGAAAGACAUUCGUGGACGACAUGUCAAAAAACAAUGCUUCAAAAACCGCUGUCAUCCGUCGUUGUGGCCGUCGGCUGCCGUCCUUUGCCAUCGCCAUAUACCGCCGUCGCCAUCCUCCGGGCUAAUGACGUUGCAUGGCGAGAGUCGAGACCCGAUGCUGGAGUCUCAUGACGUUGUCCUGUACGUCGGACUCGUCUUUUCUAAAACAUGUUUUUAGGAAUAACGUCUCAAGACCUGGUUUUUCCAAAAACGCCUUUUUCAAGGAUUAGGAGAACCAAGUUUUAAUUAUCCAUAAAUUAGUUAUAGGCUUGCCAGUAAUGUUUUAGUUUAAUUUGUUAGACCCUGAAAAGAGUUUGUACAUAUAUAACGAGUUCUCUAGAAAAUAGCGAUCGAAACAAUAACUCAAGUCUAUCUAGAUAUACAAAGCAAAUCCUAUCUAUACAAUGCGCGUCCCUGCCUUGUGUACUCUUGUAAGUGCCUUCAUCAAAAUCGAGGGACCGUAGGUCGCGAGAAAGAGAUUCCAAAACCAACACAAAUCCUUAGUUGGAGCCGAAUUCAACCAGGUACUCCUAUCAGCACGUAGUCCGCGUACGUAUGCGCGCCUAUAAAAAUAAAUACGAGAGCAAGCACGUCCCUCCACAGGAAAACCAUCGAGCCCGGCCACGGCGAGAUCGACAUCUCAUCGGCAGGUUCGGUCGCCGUCUCGUCGUCAGGGAGAGCGCAGCAACACCGUCGACCAUCGCGCGCCAUGGAGAGGCAGAGCACAGCAACAACAUCACCCACGCUGUCCUUGGAAGAAUCCGUUGCCGAUAUCGAGAUGUUGGAGGCCGUGGCCCAUAUCGAGAGGUUGGUGACAAAAUUAUUUGCCUACGCUGAGAGGGCCAUGAAGGCCUUCUGUGUGCAGGAGGGCAAAGGCGAAUGCCUGGACAAGGUCGGCGCCUGGGCUGCUGCGUGCUCGGGGCCGGACAUGAUGGCGUGCACUAGCGCGGAGGCGGCGCUGGACAAGUGCAUGCAGGGCAACUCCAGCUGAUUGAUUCAUCCACGCCUGCAGGCCACGUUACCUAAUUAAUUAGCCAUGUCUAGUUUCACUAUGGAUAUCUUAGGUAGAUUAAUUUCGAUUUUUUAUGAGUAACUACUUUCAGAUUCGUGUUAGUUGUUUCGGUACUGUCAUCUUGCACUCUUGUAAGCACUUUCGCAGUUACUAAACUAUAUGAUAUUUGUUCAGAAUUUUUAUUUGAAAUUUUCAAAAAUAUAAUAGUAGGAAUUUCUUCAUGCAGUGUAAUUUUUUUUAAAUAGUGAGGGGAGUAGCUAGAGUUAGCAGUUAAAUUCCUGCUUCCUGGCGUAAAAAAGGUCUACAGAAAUUCAAAAGACUCCCCUACGUCCCCCCUCCGGGAUGACUCAACAAACUCAACCCUAGUGCCGGCUACUGCGACAACAAUCCCGACUCACCUCCUUGUCUCCACUCGAGGGAUCGUGCUGGUGCAUCUCUCUGUUAGAAUAAAUCUGAGGCGCUCCGUCGACCUAACGAGGACCAAGCAAUCACACGAACCACGACACCGGAAUUUGUUAAUGAGGUUCGCCAAUAUCCUACAUCCCCAGGGCCGACUAUGGGCGCUCCUCCCUGUGACACCAUCACAGUACCGCACACCAGUCACCCGGGCGCCGGCACACGCCGCCGGCCCCCGUGCGUACUUGUGCUAUUAUGUUGGCAUAGGUUAUAUCGUGUGUCUACCCUCACUAUAUAUGAGAGACCUGUGAUAGAAGUGUCCUACCAGGACAUGACUUCAUACCUUGUCUACACACCGUACGACUCCAAGUCCAACUAUAACCUAACUGGUACAAUAAUAUUCGACACAACUCUAACAAACUCCACCAUGGUGAAUAUUCUCCACCAUUUUGGAUUCAUCCAUGCGUCGAACCUCCAUGUACAUUGGACUUGAGUUACGUCAUGAGCACCGCUGCUACUCCCAGACUCCACGUAACUCCACCUGCAACUGUAGUCCCUUCUCGUCUUCUUCAUAGUCAACGCUCGAGCAAAAUUAAGUUCAUCAUUACUCUACUUUGUGAUCCCAACUUCCGGAGAAUCGGUUCAAUGUCAUCACACACUGAUAACUUAUCUGCGUGAAAAUGAACAACUCACAUAUUGGACAUCACAUAUAAGAGUUACCUGGACUCAACAUCAUUGCUCUUUCUUGACCGUCUGUCUGAAAUUUGAAGGAAUUUCACUAUCGCCCUGUGUCACCCCGAGUCAAAUUUGCAGUUGUCUCACCCUUCUUCCGGUUAGUCUCUGGCAUUUCCCACAGCUAUAGCACUCUGCCUCCUUCUGUGUUCUUCCGAUCGGGCCGAUCCGAUCCGCCAUCUGCUUGUGCCUUGCGCGCGCCUGCACACGCGAGACCUACCGAGACCAUCCGCAGCCUCCUCGUAACCUUGCUCAUGAUAUCACUUGUUAGAAUAAAUUCGAGGCGCUCCGUCGAUCUACCAAGGACCAAGCAAUCACACUAGGCACGACACCGAGAUUUGUUAACGAGGUUCAUCGAUAUGGCUACAACCCCGGGGCCUGACUACGGGCGCUCCUCCCCGUGACACCGUCACAAUACCGCACAUCGGCCACCCAGGCGCCGGCACACCCCGCCGCCUCCCCUGCGUACCUGUGCUAUUAUGUUGGCAUAGGUUACAUCGUGUGUCUAUCCUUGUUAUAUAUGAGAGACCUAGGAUAGAAGUGUCCUACUAGGACACGACUCCAUACCUCGUCUACACACCGUAUGACUCGAAGUCCAACUGUAACCUAACUUGUACAAUAAUAUUCGACACAACUCUAACACUCACGGUAGCUCAGGAAGGUAGCAUUGAGGAUCUAGCUGCUUUGUACUUGGACGGGGCACCAAUAAAUCCAUGGCGGCAGCCUCGGCUGGUGGAUCAACGCUUUCUCUACAGUGACCGGUACUCGUCGAUUCCGCCGUCCUCCUCGGACGUGGGUGCGGCGAAGUGGUCAUGGUUUGUGCUUGUGCUGUGGGUCUCCUUGGGGGAGGCCGAACCCGAUCUAGAGCCGUCCAUCUUCUUCAACCUUGGCAGCCUCCACCCAAUCUUACCUUUGGUGGCCUGCGGUCACCGAAGCCGGUCAUUUAUGCACCAGAGAAAUCCAAGGCCAGUUGUGCUGACCACGACGACCCUGCUUCAUGUAGGCGUCGUCCAGGUUGUCCCCUUACCCCCUCCUCAUUCCCACUUCUCGUGUAGAAGGUGAAAACCUAGAUCUUGUCCAAAUUGGGCGGCAACAGAGCUCCGAGUGGCGUCACCCUGAUGGGGGUGCCAUCAUUGGUGCGCAUGGGGUGGAUGUGUACUUUUCUUGUUGUAUGGAGGUGGAUGGUGGCUUGGUCUUAGCUCUGUGUAAGCUCGCUCUUGUUCGUCUUCUUUUGGUGCUCUGUCCCCCUCCCCGCUCAUCCGUUUGUGUUAGGAUCUACGGUUGUUGUGGCUUCUGAUCCGGCGUGCAUCGUUCGCUAGGUUUCUGUGGGUGCAACCCAGCCAGCCCUACUUUGCAUGGACCUGCUCCUCGUGGGCGAUGUGCCCUGUUCGGUUGGGUCGGUAUCCCGGCCUCUCGGUUGAUUAAGUCAUUCCGGAAGCACUUUUUGUGUUUUGCAGAUACCAACUGAUUCUAGUUAACAAUGUAACAUGCAAAUUGAACUAUUUUCAAUCAUGUGGCUAUUCUACUGGUGUUUAGUUUUGAUUGCUUGUUAAUGUACGUUGUAGUCAUGCGUACCAUCACCCCACUACAAAGUAAGAGCAGAGAGUAGUCAAAGUUCAGUAGAGUAGCAUGUCGUUUCCUUCCCUGUUCAGUCUUAUUUAGCCUAACUUGCUUGUUUUUUUUUCUUUUUGCUGAGCUCCUCUAUACUGGUGCAUGUUCGAUGAAAAGAAUGUGUGAAGUGAGAAUCAAAUAACUUUAGCUAAGUUAACUCCGCUUUUCAGGUUAGCAUAUCAUAGCAAAGAAACCUAGACAAGAAAAAUUGAGAAAAUAGAAGUUUGUAUAGGUAAAUUACUACUCCCUCCUAUCUGUAUUAAUUGUUGCAGAUUUACUACAGAUAGGAGGGAGUAAUAGCUAAUGAUUUUCACUGUAGAAAUUCAAACCAUUUGUCAUUGUGAAGCAAACGAGUAGUUUGAGGAAGGCUCUAAAGCAAGUCUCUUGACCAAACAAGUCUCCACUGCACGAAACUGUAAUAAUCUAUGUGUCACGGGAGUGCUACUAUUCUGAAACAGAACAAUGUGGUGUGGUAAUAUCUUGUGAAGUACUCCCUCCGUACCAAAAUAUAUGAUAAUUUCCGGUUUAAAUGGAACUGCAAAACCGUCUUAUAUUUUGAUACAGAGGUAGUACUACUUUUCAAUCGUGAGGGAGGCUGGAAGUAAACAUGGUGUGGUAACAUCUUGUGAAGCACAUUUAUCUAUUUCCCUGAAUUCAAAUGUUGGUGAGGCACAAUCCUACUAGAGCAUGUACAAUGCACAUGUUUUUUCUACUGUGAGUGCUAGAGAGAAUCUUUUUUUCUUUGUUGUAUCAGAAUUUCUCGGUACUGAUUUCCUUCAUCUUUUUGCCUUCCCAUUAUACCCAACUAGUAUUACCGCCUUUUGCAUUUGAGAACAAAAAUGGUCACAUGAGUGCCUAUUGUGCAGCUAAUUUUCCAUGAAGCAUAUGUAAAGGGAUUUUCCAUUUGAGAGAAUGAGUUGUAAAAAAAUCCUCAUCGCUAGCUCUGCUCUAUUUUGAGACUCACUUGAAUGCACUUUGCUUCGCGUGUGUGUGCCCUUACAAGUUCAAAGCGCAGUGCUUGUGUAACUGCAAGUCAGGAAAGAAGGAGCAUUACAGGCUUAAUUUUGUGGCAAACAUUGAGAGUAUCAUGGCCCAUGCUUUGUCACCCAAAUAAUGUUGGAGAGUUUCUAGUCCUGCAAAAUAUCGUGCAACCUUUAAAUAUGAUGGCAAAACAUGAAACUGUAAGUAGACAUCGGGAAAGGAAACUGUUAACCUUUGGAACUAUCCACUCUCGAGAUUGGCCAGGACACCGCAUCGGCAAUGGGAUCUGGAAUUAAGAAAAGCUUUUGGACGUGAGUAUCUAAGAAAAUAGUAGUUGGAAACAACACUCUAUUUUCAGUGUCACGAGCCAAAAUAGAUUUACAGUCAGUAAAUGUUACCAUGGUAUUUUUGUUUUCCUCCAAUAUUGUGGACGAUUUGAAGUUGGAUAAAGAGAUAAACAAAUUAGUAUUCAUAUCCCACUCACUUAAUUGGGUAUCCUAAGGCAGAAGGUAUAUAUAGGACUCCCAUACAGAAUCAUGUGGUAGGUGUGAGCUAACCAUCCAGGAAACAUUGUUCACAUCAUUUGCUACACGAGAGUGCGCUACAAAAUCAUGCAUGUGGCCAUUUAACUUGUAUGUUUAGUUAUCGAUCCAUUUCCUAGGAAGUAUGGCUAUGAACAGAGUGAGUAGAAACAUUGUGUUUGAUUGGAGGAUAAUGCAACACAUGUUCACGAGAUAUAUACCUGUUGCAUCAACUGAGGAAAACAGGAUUGAGAUUAGCCUAAACUGCGGAGGAGAACCAUCAACUGAGGCCGGAAUUAUGAAUGGUAGAACAGAUUUGCCGAAACAUCCACUGCAUGUAACUGACUUUUGAAAAAAGGAAACUGCUAUAAUGUCUUCGUCUAGCGAUUCACGAAGCAAUGUUGCGCGAUCGAGGUUCAAAUUUACACAUAUGUUGAAUGUGAAAAUUGACACACAUCAUUGCUCCAAAGUUUAGACAACUGGAGAUAAGAAUGCAUCUCUCACAGAUGGUUAACUAAUUACCUACCAUGGCACCGUUUUCCUUAGCAUCUUUUGCCAUAGACAGAGUAUCCCAACUUGUACAAAAUUUGGGGGAAUGGUGAAGGAGAUAAUACACCCACAUUACAACAUAUCUGAACAAGAAAAAAACGUGAAGUUCACCAAAGCCGAUAAUAAUCAUGACACAGCCUAGUGCAUUAUUUAAAGCAAACACAUUUUUUUCCAUUUCCAUGCGGUAUUCGUCCUAUUUUCCUCCUAUAAAAAUAAUCUGAACAAGAUUAUUUGAAGCAAAACACAAUUCCCCUUUCCUGCAUCAUAAGGAGAAACAUUUCAGACACCCCAAACGGAUCAAGUGUAUUUCAGACAUCGAUGACAUACUUUUAACUAAUAACAUGAAGAUAAGAAUGCAUGCACUGUGUUCUACUCUACAGAAGACAACCCGAUAAAGUCUGUCAUGCUAGUUAGUUAAACAGUAUCCAAAUGCAUGCAAUGUGUUCUACUCUACAGAUGAUGAUACCUAAACAUACUAGAAAAAAUGGUUAAACAGGAGCUGACACCGCUGGUGCUUCACGACAAUUAAUUGAACAAACAGGUCACGGCCUGACGUUAAGUAGCUGCCAGUACAGGCAUAUAAAGCAGAGGAACAUGGCUCUCCUCUCGGGUGGCCGUCUUUGGCGGCAGCUUGCCACAGCUACGGCUAUGGCUACUUUGUGGAGCAUUACAAACAAGACAAUACUAUAAAGCCAGAAGUAAUCAUACUAUAAAUCUCAAUCACGCCUAGUCUGAUGUAACUUAAACGCUGGUUCAGGAAUAGCAGGGCACAUCACUGACCGACCCACUGACUACUGGAGGCUGUUCUGUAAAGAAACGGGGCUAUAGAAGCAUGUUAGCUAAUCUAGUCGCUGUAGUUUUUCUUCAGUUAGUUUGCUUUCGUCAGACAUAACGUAGCCAGGCGCAUGAGCUCGCGAGUCGUUGUGCGAGCCACGCGCGUAGGCGAUCUGGGUACGAUCGAUGCCCGAUCGAUCGGGGUGGUCAGCCACGAAACCCACUCGUGGGAUGGCACGAGAAUUCGGGAUCAUGGCGCUAGGACCGGGCCACUCUUUCUCUCUGUAACAGAAUAAGUAGAGGAGAUCAAAAACAGAAAAGUCACAAGGUUGUCCGUGACGCAAAAACUCCUGUCUCUCCUCUCAGUGAUCGCAAGCUGUGAGAGAUCGAGCAACCCUGACAAUUGGCAUCAAAGCCGGUUUAAGGUGAUCCCGACGCCCAUGGCUGACACCGGAGCUCAGCCGGACCAGGCGGCGGCGGCACCCCGCAACGGUGGCGGGGGUGGGAGCCGCUCGCGCACUCCACCACAGGAGCGCAGCCGCGGACGGAGCCACGUGAGAAGGGAGUGGCGGGUGGUGAUCCACCAGGCGGUGGCCAUGGAGCGCGCGCCGCUUGUGCCAAGCGCGGGCACCAUGUUCCCGACGCUCACAUCCACGAACUACAUCGAGUGGUCUCUCGUGAUGAAGGUGCACCUGGAGUCUUGGGGGCUCUGGGACGCGAUCGAGGGUAACGCACUGCAUGUGCGUGACGACAAGACGGCGCUCGGCGUCCUGUUCCGAGUCGUCCCCCUAGAGAUGCUUGGCGUCCUCGUCGUCAACGAGACGGCGAAGGAGGCCUGGGACACGAUCAAGGUCAUGCGCAUGGGGAUGCACCGUGUGCGCGAGGCCACCACGCAACGCCUGCGCGCGGAGUUCGAGCAGAUCACCUUCCGCGACGGCGAAACUCUCGACUCCUUCGGCAUGAGGAUCACCGCCCUCGUCAACCAGCUGCGCACGCUGGAGGACAACGUCGAAGAGGUACGCAUGAUCCCGAAGAUGCUCCGUGUCGUCCCCGCCCGCUAUGCCCAGAUCGCAGUCGCGAUAGAGCCCCUCCUUGAUCUGACCACGAUCUCGGUCGAGGAGCUGAUCGGUUGACUGCGCACCGCUGAGGAGCGCUGCGGUGGCGGGGCGGCUCAAGCCAGCGGCGGCGGUCGGCUGCUCAUGUCGGAGCAGCAGUGGGAUGCCUGGCGCCGCGAGCGCGAGCAGGGCCAGGGGUCCAGCUCAAACGGCGCCGGCAACGGGAACCGCAACGGGGGCGGCGGCAAUCUCCGCCGUGGCAAGCCGCAGAACCAGAAGUGCGGCAACGACACUCAAAGCCAAGGCGGCGGCAACGGCCGCGACAGCGCCGGCAACGGUGGGCGCGACAUGUCUAAGGUGAAGUGCUACAAUUUUCUCAGCGCUGGACACUGGUGUGCGCGGCGCCGUGAAACUCGGCGACGGCUCGGUGGUUCAGAUCGAGGGGAGAGGAACGAUCCUCUUCCAAUGCGGCAACUGUGAGCUCAUGGUCCUGUCUGAUGUGUAUUACAUCCCAAAACUUUGCAGCAACAUCGUCAGCAUCGGACAGUUGGACGAAAUCGCCUACGAGACCAAUAUUAGUCACGGGGUGCUCCAGCUCCGUGAUCCCAGUGGGCAGACUCCUCGCGCGAGUGCAACGUAACCAGGGGAGGCUGUACGUGCUGCAGCUCACGCCGGCCCAGCCAGUGUGCUUCGCGGCGCAUGCUGGCGAGGAUGCAUGGUGCUGGCAUGCGUGCUACGGCCACGUGGACUUCCGGGCUUUACGUCAACUCGCCCGGGACGAACUGGUGCACGACCUCCCGCUAUUUGACGAGGCGGAUCGUGUCUGCGAGGCGUGCCUCGCCGGCAAGCAGCGUCGAGCACCCUUUCCUUAGCAGGCUCUCAGCAGAGCCGACGAGGUGCUGGAGCUCGUGCACACGGACCUCUGUGGUCCAAUCUCCCCUCCAACGCCAGGAGGGAAGCGUUACUUCCUGUUGCUGGUUGAUGACAAGAGCAGGCACAUGUUGGUGUACCUGCUCGCGACAAGGACGAGGCGCAGCCCGCUCUGAAGCGCUUCCAGGCGAUGGCGGAUCUCGAUUUCGGGCGGCAGCUCAAGUUGCUGCGCACGGACCGCGGCGGGGAAUUCACCUCUGCCAGCCUCGGCGAGUACUACGCCGACAAGGAGGUCAAGCGCCAGCUCACGACGCCCUACACGCCCCAGCAGAACGGCGUGGUCGAGUGCCGAAAUUAGACGAUCGUGGGCAUGGCGCGCAGCCUGUAGAAGACAAAGGGUGUGCCGGCGCAGUUCUGGGGGGAGGCCGUGAUGACGGCGGUCUACCUCCUGAACAGGUCUACGACCAAGAGCGUGGCGGGGUCGAUUCCGCACGAGGCCUGGUGCAGGCGGCGCCCAAACGUUGAACACCCGCGCGUGUUCGGAGCGUCGCGCAUGUCAAAGUGACGCGUCCGAAUCUGUCGAAACUCGACGACGGGAGCACGCCCAUGGUAUCCUGGGCUACGAGCCAGGAUCGGCGGCUUACCGCGUCUACCACCCGCCGUCGAACCGUGUUCUGGCCUCCAGGGAUGUCGUGUUCGACGACGAAGCAGCGUGGGACUGGUCUCAGGUCGCGGCGACAAACAAGGAGCCGUGCUACCUCUUGAGCAUGCAUUGGUUUUCCCUUAAAGAGGAAAGGGUGAUGUAGCAAAGUAGCGUAAGUAUUUCCCUCAGUUUUUGAGAACCAAGGUAUCAAUCCUGUAGGAGACUACAUGCAAAUCGCCUAGUACCUGCACGAACAAUCAAGAACCUUGCAACCAGCACGAUAAAGGGGUUGUCAAUCCCUUCACGGUCACUUGCAAAAGUGAGAUCUGAUAAAGAUAAUAAGAUAAUAUUUUUGGUAUUUUUGUUGUAUAGAUUGGAAAAGUAAAGAUUGCAAAAUAAACGGCGACAGAAAUUGGCAAGUUGACGGGAGAUUAAUAUGAUGUAAAAUAGACCCGGGGGCCAUAGGUUUCACUAGAGGCUUCUCACAUGAUAGCAUAUCUUACGGUGGGUGAACAAAUUACUGUCGAGCAAUUGAUAGAAAAGCGUAUAGUUAUGAGAAUAUCUAGGGAUGAUCAUGAACGUAGGCAUCACGUCUGUGUCAAGUAGACCGAAACGAUUCUACAUCUACUACUAUUACUCCACACAUCGACCGCUAUCCAGCAUGCAUCUAGAGUAUUAAGUUCAUAAGAACACAGUAACGCAUUAGGCAAGAUGAUAUGAUGUAGAGGGAUAAACUCAAGCAAUAUGAUAUAAACCCCAUCUUUUUAUCCUUGAUGGCAAUAAUACAAUACGUGUCGGUUCCCUUUCUGUCACUGGGAUCGAGCACCGCAAGAUUGAACCCAAAGCUAAGCACUUCUCCCAUUGCAAGAAAGAUCAAUCUAGUAGGCCAAACCAAACUGAUAAUUCGAAGAGACUUGCAAAGAUAUUAAAUCAUGCAUAUAAGAACUCAGACAAGAAUCAAAUAUUGUUCAUAGACAAACUUGAUCAUAAACCCACAAUUCAUCGGAUCUCGACAAACACACCGCAAAAUGUAUUACAUCGAAUAGGUCUCCAAGAGAAUCGAGGAGAACUUUGUAUUGAGAUCCAAAGAGAGAGAAGAAGCCAUGUAGCUAAUAACUAUAGACCCGUAGGUCUGUGGUAAACUACUCACACAUUAUCGGAGAGGCUACGGUGUUGAUGUAGAAGCCCUCCAUGAUCGAUUCCCCCUCCGGCAGAGCGCCGGAAAAGGCCCCAAGAUGGGAUCUCACGGGUACAGAAGGUUGCGGCAGUGGAAAAAGUGUUUCGUGGCUCCCCUGGAUGUUUUCAGGGUAUAAGAGUAUAUAUAGGCGAAAGAAGUAGGUCGGUGGAGCUGCGACGGGCCCACGAGGGUGGGGGCGCGCCUCCCUGCCUCGUGGCUUCCUCGCUGCUUCCUUGACUUCCACUCCAAGUCUCCUGGAUUGCGUUUGUUCCAAAAAUGAUCCUCGCGAAGGUUUCAUUCCGUUUGAUAUUCCUUUUCUGCGAAACACUGAAAUAGGCAAAAAAAUAUCAAUUUGCACUGGGCCUUCGGUUAAUAGGUUAGUCUCGAAAAUAAUAUAAAAGAGCAUAUUAAAGCCCAUUAAACAUCCAAAACAGAUAAUAUAAUAGCAUAGAACAAUCAAAAAUUAUAGAUACGUUGGAGAUGUAUCAAGCAUCCCCAAGCUUAAUUCCUGCUCGUCCUCGAGUAGGUAAAUGAUAAAAACAGAAUUUUUGAUGUGGAAUGCUACCCAACAUAAUUUUCAAUGUAAUUUUCUUUAUUGUGGCAUGAAUGUUCAGAUCCGAAAGAUUCAAGAUAAAAGUUUAAUAUUGACAUAAAAAUAAUAAUACUUCAAGCAUACUAUUUAAGCAAUUAUGUCUUUUCAAAAUAACGUGGCCAAAGAAAGCUCAUCCCUACAAAAUCAUAUAGUUUGGCUAUGCUCCAUUUUCGUCACACAAGAAUGCUCUCAUCAUGCACAACCCCGAUGACAAGCCAAGUAAUUGUUUCAUACUUUAGUAUUCUCAAACUUUUUCAACUUUCAUGCAAUACAUGAGCGUGAGCCAUGGACAUUGCACUAUGGGUGGAAUGGAAUAUGAUAAUGGGGGUUGUGUGGAGAAGACAAAAAAGGAGAAAGUCUCACAUUGACGCGGCUAACCAACGGGCUAUGGAGAUGCCCAUCAAUUGAUGUCAAUGCAAGGAGUAGGGAUUGCCAUGCAAUGGAUGCACUAGAGCUAUAAAUGUAUGAAAGCUCAACAAAAUAAACUAAGUGGGUGUGCAUCCAACUUGCUUGCUCACGAAGACCUAGGGCAUUUGAGGAAGCCCAUCGUUGGAAUAUACAAGCCAAGUUCUAUAAUGAAAAAUUCCCACUAGUAUAUGAAAGUGACAAAAUAAGAGACUCUCUAUCAUGAAGAUCAUGGUGCUACUUUGAAGCACAAGUGUGGAAAAAGCAUAGUUGCAUUGUCCCUUCUUUUAUUUUCUUUUUUAUAUAUUUUUUUGGGCCUUCCUUUUUUUAUCUGGCCUUUCCCUUUUUUUAUUUGGCCUUUUUUUUCAUGGGACAAUGCUCUAUAAAUGAUGAUCAUCACACUUCUAUUUAUUUACAACUCACUGAUUACAACUCGAUACUAGAACAAAAUAUGACUCUAUAUGAAUGCCUCCGCCGGUGUACCGGGAUGGGCAAUGCAUCAAGAGUGACAUGUAUAAAAAAUUAUGCAAGGUGGAUUUGCCACAAAUACGAUGUCAACUACAUGAUCAUGCAAGGCAGUAUGACAAUGAUGAAGCGUGUCAUAAUAAACGGAACGGUGAAAAGUUGCAUGGCAAUAUAUCUCGAAAUGGCUAUGGAAAUGCCAUAAUAGGUAGGUAUGGUGGCUGAUUUGAGGAAGAUAUAAGGGGGGUUUAUGUGUGAUAGAGCGUAUCAUAUCACGGGGUUUGGAUGCACCGGCGAAGUUUGGACCAACUCUCGAGGUGAGAAAGGGCAAUGCACGGUACCGAAGAGGCUAGCAAUGAUGGAAAGGUGAGAGUGCUUAUAAUCCAUGGACUCAACAUUAGUCAUAAAGAACUCACAUACUUAUUGCAAAAAUCUACAAGUCAUCAGAAAACAAAGCACUACGCGCAUGCUCCUAGGGGGAUAGAUUGUUAGGAAAAGACCAUCGCUCGUCCCCGACCGCCACUCAUAAGGAUGACAAUCAAAGAACACCUCAUGUUUCAAAUUUGUUACACAACGGUUACAAUACGUGCAUGCUACGGGACUUGCAAACUUCAACACAAGUAUUUCUCAAAUUCACAAUUACUCAACUAGCAAGAAAGAUGAAUCUAGUAGGCCAAAGCAAACUGAUAAUUCGAAGAGACUUGCAAAGAUAUUAAAUCAUGUAUAUAAGAAUUCAGAGAAGAAUAAAAUAUUGUUCAUAGAUAAUCUUGAUCAUAAACCCACAAUUCAUCGGAUCUCGACAAACACACCGCAAAAAGUAUUACAUCGAAUAGAUCUCCAAGAGAAUCGAGGAGAACUUUGUAUUGAGAUCCAAAGAGAGAGAAGAAGCCAUCUAGACAAUAACUAUGGACCCGAAGGUCUGUGGUAAACUACUCACACAUCAUCGGAGAGGCUAUGGUGUUGAUGUAGAAGCCAUCCGUGAUCGAUUCCCCCUCCGACGGAGCGCCGAAAAGGCCCCAAGAUGGGAUCUCACGGGUACAGAAGGUUGCGGCGGUGGAAAAAGUGUUUCAUGGCUCCCUUGGAUGUUUUCAGGGUAUAAGAGUUUAUAUAGGUGAAAGAAGUAGGUCGGUGGAGCUGCGAGGGGCGUGCCUACCCCCUGGGGCGCGCCUCCCUGCCUCGUGGCUUCCUCGUUGCUUCCUUGACUUCCACUCCAAGUCUCCUGGAUUGUGUUUGUUCCAAAAACGAUCCUCGCGAAGGUUUCAUUCCGUUUGAUAUUCCUUUUCUGCGAAACACUGAAAUAGGCAAAAAAAAUAGCAAUUUGCACUGGGCCUUCGGUUAAUAGGUUAGUCCAAAAAUAAUAUAAAAGACCAUAUUAAAGCCCAUUCAACAUCCAAAACAGAUAAUAUAAUAGCAUGGAAGAAUCAAAAAAUUAUAGAUACGUUGGAGACGUAUCAAGCCGCAGUGGGACACCUUCUCCAUCGAUCUCGAACCGGUGCCCGCCAAGGUGGUCGGCGGCACCCCAUGCAGCGCAACAUCCCCUGAGGCGUCGAGCUCUCCUACCAUGCCGACAUCGACGCACACGAGUGCGGCCAGGACACGGCCCGCGAUGCUGAUCUGUGCCACACCAAGCCCAGACCGCUCUGGCAUGCAAUUCAUGUCUCCACUGCCGGGGGCGUCAGUGCCGCCGCCCGACAAGGAGGCUCCGCGGCGGUACCGCACCUUGGAGAAUCUGUGAGACACCACUGAAGAAGGGACAAGUGAUAACAGUCAGUACAGUUACCUGUGUCUCUUCGCAGGGGAGGAGCCGACCUCCUUCAAUGAGGCGCAGAAGGAGGGAGGAUGGAGAAACGCCAUGAACGAGGAGAUGCAGAGCAUCAUCGACAACGACACGUGGGAGCUGUGCGAGCUCCCUCCCGGGCACCGAGCGAUAGGCCUCAAGUGGGUCUACAAGCUCAAGAAGGACGCCCACGGCACGAUGGUGAAGCACAAGGCGCGGCUGGUGGCAAAAGGCUACGUCCAAGUCCAAGGAGUGGACUUCAAGGACGUGUUCGCUCCGGUGGCACGCAUGGAAUCGGUGCGCGUGCUGGUCGCGCUCGCCGCGCACCACGUGUGGCCAAUUCAUCACAUGGACGUCAAGUCCGCCUUCUUGAACGGGGACCGGCAGGAGGAGGUCUACGUUGUUCAGCCACCCGGGUACGUUGAGCUCGGCGACGAGGGGAAGGUGCUGCGUUUAUGCAAGGCACUGUAUGGGCUACGCCAAGCCCUGAGAGCUUGGAACGCCAAGCUGGACGAAAGCUUGCGUUCUCUGGGCUUUGAGCGUUGCCCCUCGGAGCACGCAGUCUACCGACGCGGGGAGGGCGACAAGCUCCGGCUCAUCGGUGUGUACGUCGACGACCUUGUCAUUACAGGGGCGGACAAGACGGAGAUCGACGCAUUCAAGUGUCAGAUGACCACGCUCUUCCGCAUGAGCGACCUCGCCGAGCUCAGCUACUACCUGGGCAUUGAGGUGCGCCAGGAGCGCGACCGCAUCACACUCUACCAAGCGGCCUACGCAAAAAGCUGCUGGAGCGUGCUGGGCUCAAAGAGUGCAACACCGGCAACGUGCCGAUAGAAGCUCGACUGAAAUUGAGCAGGGACAGCAAGGAGAGGCCGGUGGACAGCACUGAGUACCGCAGCAUCAUUGGAGGGUCGCGCUACCUCGUGCACAUGAGGCCGGACAUCUCCUUCACCGUCGGCUACCUGAGCCGUUUCAUGGAGGCACCGACUUCAGAUCACUACGCGGCUGUGAAGCGUCUGCUAAGGUAUGUAGCAGGCACUCUGGACCACGGUUGUGCCUAUGUCCGGGGGAAGGGCACGCCGGAGCUGGUGGGGUACAGCGACGCGGAUCACGCCGGUGACAUCAACGACAGGCGGAGCACGACGGGAGUGCUCUACUUCCUCGGCACGGCGGCAGCCCAGUGAGUUGGCAGUCGCAGAAGCAAAGGGUGGUGGCACUCUCCUCAUGUGAGGCGGAGUACGUGGCUGCCACCACCACCGCUUGCCAAGGGAUUUGGCUGGCUGGGCUGAUCGGAGAGAUGCUGAACAUCGACGUCUGGCCACCACGACUUCUGGUCGAUAACAAGUCAGCAAUGUGUCUCCAAGAACCCCAUCUUCCAUGAUCGAAGCAAGCACAUUGAGAUACGAUACCACUUCAUUCGUGAUUGUGUGGAAGAAGGGCGGAUCGACAUCGACUACAUCUGCACCAACGAUCAUCUUGCUGACGUCCUCACCAAGGCACUUGGACGACUCAAGUUUCUGGAGCUUAGGGGGAGGAUCGGCAUGACAGAAAUAAUUCGGCGGCGAUGAGCUUAGAGGGAGAUUUGUUAGCUAAUCUAGUUGAUGUAGUUUUCCUUCAGUUAGUUUGCUUUCGUCAGACAUAACGUAGUCAGGCGCAUGAGCUCGCGAGUCAUGCGAGCUGCGCGCGUAGGCGAUCUGGGCAUGAUCGAUGCCCGAUCGAUCAGGGUGGUCAGCCACGAAACCCACUUGUGGGAUGGCACGAGAAUUCGGGAUCAUGGCGCUAGGACCGGGGCACUCUUUCUCUCUGUAACAGAAUAAGUAGAGGAGAUCAAAAACAGAAAAGUCGCAAGGUUGUAGGUGACGCAAAAACUCAUGUCUCUCCUCUUUGUGAUCGCGAGCUGUGAGAGAUCGAGCAACCCUGACAAAGCACAUGACGCCUAUAGUCCAUUGUUAAUUCCUCUCUGUACCUAAUCUUGUUAAUUUCCCACACCAAAGAUGCUAAUCAACUGGCAUUCUAAAACUCUCCUAACAAGUAACAACAGCCGCGCCUAUGGACGAUCGAUCCCACCAGUGGCAACCAAUGGAGGUGCCAACGGUGGUGAUGCAACUUGUUUCCAUGUACAACAACUACGGCAAUCCGUCCUCUCCUACCUGCAUUGUCCUCGAAGGAAUGGAAGCGGACGAGAGAGAGCGUCGACCUGACUUAUAACAUUUUUCUUUCAGCAAUCUCUACAAAAAAUCAUGCCUCUCUUGACUUGGGGUCAAUAGCUCCUGUGCGACAUCUUUCGUGGGAAUUGGACAGAGUGCGACAUUGUUGACGAAAAUGGCUUUGGGGCGACACUUUUGAGCGACAAAAUAGCCCAGACACGACAUGGCCCUUAAACUGAUCUGAUGCCCUCAUUAGCUGUUAUGGGCUGGACCCACAACUUAUCCACGUAAGCGCGGGACCCACCAUUUGUCCAGUAAGCGCGGGACCCACAACUUAUCCACGUCAGCAUGGGACCCACCACUUGUCCAGUAUGCGCGGGACCCACCUCUUUGCAGCUAGAAGAGAUGACUGAUGACCCACAAGUGUAGGAGAUCUAUCGUAGUCCUUUCGAUAAGUAAGAGUGUCGAACCCAACGAGGAGCAGAAGGAAAUGACAAGCGGUUUUCAAUAAGGUAUUCUCUGCAAGCACUGAAAUUAUAGGUAACAGAUAGUUUUGUGAUAAGAUAAUUUGUAACGGGUAACAAGUAAUGAAAGUAAAUAAGGUGCAGCAAUGUGGCCCAAUCCUUUUUGUAGCAAAGAACAAGCCUGGACAAACUCUUAUAUAGAUAAAAGCGCUCCCGAGGACACAUGAGAAUUAUUGUCAAGCUAGUUUUCAUCACGUUCAUAUGAUUCGCGUUCGGUACUUUGAUAAUUUGAUAUGUGGGUGGACCGGUGCUUGGGUGCUGUCCUUACUUGGACAAGCAUCCCACUUAUGAUUAACUCCCAUUGCAAGCAUCCGCAACUACAAAAGAAGUAUUAAGGUAAACCUAACCAUAGCAUGAAACAUAUGGAUCCAAAUCAGCCCCUUACGAAGCAACGCAUAAACUAGGGUUUAAGAUUCUGUCACUCUAGCAACCCAUCAUCUACCUAUUACUUCCCAAUGCCUUCCUCUAGGCCCAAACAAUGGUGAAGUGUCAUGUAGUCGACGUUCACAUGACACCACUAGAGGUGAGACAACAUACAUCUCAUCAAUAUAUCGAACGAAUACCAAAUUCACAUGACUACUAAUAGCAAGACUUCUCCCAUGUCCUCAGGAACAAACGUAACUACUCACAAAGCAUAUUCAUGUUCAUAAUCAGAGGGGUAUUAAUAUGCAUAAUGGAUCUGAACAUAUGAUCUUCCACCAAGUAAACCAACUAGCAUCAACUACAAGGAGUAAUCAACACUACUAGCAACCUACAGGUACCAAUCCCAGGCUAUGAGACAAAGAUUGGAUACAAGAGAUAAACUAGGGUUUGAGAGGAGAUGGUGCUGGUGAAGAUGUUGAUGGAGAUUGGGCCCCUCCCGAUGAGAGGAGUGUUGGUGAUGACGAUGGCGAUGAUUUCCCCCUCCCGGAGGGAAGUGUCCCCGGCAGAACAGCUCUGCAAGAGCCCUAGAUUGGUUCCGCCAAGGUUCCGCCUCGUGGCGUCGGAGUCUCAUCCCGAAAGCUUGCUUAUGAUUUUUUCUCAGAUGAAAGACUUCAUAUAGCAUAAGAUGGGCACCGGAGGGCCACCAGAGGGCCCACGAGGUAGGGGGCGCGCCCCCACCCUCGUGGCCAGGGUGUGGGCCCCCUCUGGUAUUUUCUUCGCUCAGUAUUUUUUAUUAUUUCCAAAAAUAACUUCCGUGGAGUUUAAGGACUUUUGGAGUUGUGCAGAAUAGGUCUCUAAUAUUUGCUCCUUUUCCAGCCCAGAAUUCCAGCUGCCUGCAUUCUCCCUCUUUAUGUAAACCUUGUAAAAUAAGAGAGAAUAAGCAUAAGUAUUGUGACAUAAUGUGUAAUAACAGCCCAUAAUGCAAUAAAUAUCGAUAUAAAAGCAUGAUGCAAAAUGGACAUAUCAACUACCCCAAGCUUAGACCUCACUUGUUCUCAAGCGGAAGCCGAUAAUGAUAAAUAUGUCCACAUGUUUAGAGGUAGAGGUGUCGAUAAAAUAAAAUACGGACAUGAGGGCAUCAUGAUCAUUCUUAUAACAGUAACAUAUAUGGAUAUUGUCAUAUUAUUUCUUAUGAUAAAGUAACAAUCUAUCCACAAUGUCAAGUGUGAAUCAGAAACUUCAUUGAGAACUAACAAACGAUAAUCUCAGUCAUUGAGGCAAUUGCAAUUUAUCAUAACAUCAUAAAGAGUCUAUGUAAGAGCUUUUCAGCAAGUCCACAUACUCAACUAUCAUUUAGUCUUUCACAACACUCACGCAAUACUUGUGGUUAGGGAGUUUUAAUCGGACACAGAGAAAGAUAGGGGCUUAUAGUUUCGCCUCCCAACCUUUUACCUCAAGGGUAAUGUCAACAAUAAUAGUUCAUUCUAAUUUGCAUCCAAUUAUAUAUAUAUAUAUAUAUAUAUAUAUAUAUAUAUAUCAGGAUCUUUCCAACACAAGGUGCUUGCCAAAGGAUAUAAAAUGUAAAAAGGAAAGGUGAAGAUCACCAUGACUCUUGCAUAAGGUAGAAAAUAAAAGUAAAAGAUAGGCCCUUCGCAGAGGGAAGCAGAGGUUGUCAUGCGCUUUCAGGGUUGGAUGCACAAAAUCUUAAUGCGAAAGAACGUCACUUUAUAUUGCCACAUGUGAUAUGGACCUUUAUUAUGCAGUCCGUCGCUUUUAUUUCUUCCACAUCACAAGAUCGUAUAAAGCUUAUUUUCUCCCACACUAAUAAGUCAUACAUAUUUAGAGAGCAAUUUUUAUUGCUUGCACCGAUCACAACUUACUUGAAGGAUCUUACUCAAUCCAUAGGUAGAUAUGGUGGACUCUCAUGGCAAAACUGGUUUUAAGGGUAUUUGGAAGCACAAGUAGUAUUUCUACUUGGUGCAAAAAAUUGGCUAGCAUGAGGGAGAAAGGCAAACUCAACAUGUUGGAUGAUCCAUGACAAUAUACUUUAUCUCAGAUAUAAGAAAACAUGACCCAUUAUGUUGUCUUCCUUGUCCAACAUCAACUCUUUAGCAUGUCAUAUUUUAAUGAGUGCUCACAAUCAUAAAAGAUGUCCAAUAUAGUAUAUUUAUAUGUGAAACCUCUCUUUCUUUAUUACUUCCUAUUAAUUGCAACGAUGACCAAAACUAUGUUUGUCAACUCUCAACAACUUUUAAUCAUCAUACUCUUUCUAUGUGAAGUCAUUACUCUCCAUAAAAUCAAUAUGAUCUCUUUUUAUUCUUUCUUUUUCUUUUAUUCACUCAUAAUCAUAGCAAGAUAAUCAAGCCCUUGACCCAACACUAAUCUCUAUUAUAUAGCUCACGGACUUGAUUACAUAGAGGGAUCAUAAAGCAAAACUCAAAACUAAAUCAUAUUAAAACUUUAUUCUACUAGAUCAAGAUAUUACCAAAAGGAUCGAACUAAGAAAAACGGUAAAGAUAGGAGUGUGAUGGUGAUACAAUACCGGGGCACCUCCCCCAAGCUUGGCAGUUGCCAAGGGGAGUGCCCAUACCCAUGUGAUUAUAUCUCCUUUGCUGGCGAAGGUGAUGGUGGAGUUGUUGAUGAUGUGGGCUUGUCGUCCAUCGAGCGUAAGAGGUCCUCCAACUUGCAGAUAAUGCCCUUGAGUGCGAUUUUAUAUGCUCCCUCAACAAAAUAUUUUCACAUGUGAGAUACUUCUUUUUUAUACGAGCUAACUCAAUCAUCUUGAAAGCUUCGAUCUCAGUUGGGGUAAGAAGAUUGUGAUCAAGUUGAAGGAUGUCUUCUGCUGCCGGAGCUUGGUCCUCUGUGGCCUUAUUGAUCCCUUCAUCUUUGUUGAUCUCCAUGGGUUCUUCCCUCUUCAGCUCUAUCUUCAUUAGCCAAGCAUCGUUGUCACCAUUGUUGGAGGAGGAGGACGACAUGAUGCCUGGCCUAGACAACCCUGACAGAAAAUAAUGCAACUCGAAACAAGAACAGAGGAUAAUUGCGUGAUACGGGAGUCAAAAUCUUCGGGAGUUUAUAUAAUGAAUUUUUACCGACCGAAAGAAGUAUCGUGCAAGAAAACGGAGUCCGGAGAGCACACGAGGUGCCCACGAGGCAGGGGGACGCGCCCAGGGGGUAGGGCGCGCCUCCCACCCUCGUGGAAGCCUCGUUUCCUUCCCGGACUGCUUCUUAUUUUCCUAUUUUUCUAAAUAUUCCAAAACAGAGAAAGUUUGCAAUUAGAACUGUUCUGUAGUCGGUUUACUUACCGUACCACAUACCUAUAACUUUUCGGGGUCUGAAACGUUCUAGAAAGUGUCUCUUAUGUAUUCCUCCGGUGUUACGGUUUCAACAACAUUAGUUUCAACAUUUAUAGGGUUACCUGAGAUAUAAUGUUUGAUUCUUUGACCGUUCACCACCUUCGGACUUGUGCCUUCAAAGUUGUUGAUUUUUAUGGCACCGGAACGAUAGACCUCCUCGAUAACGUAAGGACCUUCCCAUUUAGAGAGAAGUUUUCCAGCAAAAGAUCUUAAACGAGAGUUGUAUAACAAUACAUAAUCACCUACAUUAAACUCAUGCUUUUGUAUCCUUUUUUCAUGCCAUCUUUUAACUUUUUCCUUAAACAAUUUGGCAUUCUCAUAGGCUUGGGUUCUCCGUUCAUCAAGUGAGCUAAUGUCAAAUAACCUCUUCUCACCAGCAAGUUUAAAAUCAUAAUUGAGCUCUUUAAUGGCCUAGUAUGCCUUAUGUUCUAGUUCGAGAGGUAAAUGACAUGCUUUUCCAUAAACCAUUUUAUACGGAGACAUACCCAUAGGAUUUUUAUAUGCAGUUCUAUAGGCCCAUAAUGCAUCAUCAAGUUUCUUGGACCAAAUCUUUCUAGAUCUAUUAACAGUCUUUUGCAAAAUUAAUUUGAGCUCUCUAUUACUCAAUUCUGCUUGACAACUAGACUGUGGGUGAUUAGGGGAUGCAAUUCUAUGAUUAACAUCAUACUUAGCACGCAUUUUACGAAAAGCACCAUGAAUAAAAUGUGAACCACCAUCGGUCAUUAAAUAUCUGGGGACUCCAAACCUGGGAAAAAUAACUUCUUUAAGCAUCUUAAUAGAGGUGUUAUGAUCAGCACUACUAGUCGGAAUAGCUUCUACCCACUUAUUAACGUAAUCAACAACAACUAAAAUAUGUGUAUACCCAUUAGAGGAAGGAAAAGGUCCCAUAUAAUCAAAGCCCCAAACGUCAAAUGGUUCAAUAACAAGUGAAUAAUUCAUAGGCAUUUCUUGACGUCUACUAAUGUUACCAAUUCUUUGACAUUCAUCACAAGAUAAGACAAACUUACGAGCAUCCUUGAAGAGAGUAGGCCAAUAAAAACCGGAUUGCAAUAACUUAUGUGCAGUUCUAUCUCCAGCGUGGUGCCCUCCAUAAGCCUCGGAGUGACACUUGCGUAGGAUCUGUUCCUGUUAAUGCUCAGGUACACAACGCCUAAUAACACCAUCUACUCCUUCUUUAUAAAGAUGUGGGUCAUCCCAGAAGUAAUGUCUUAAAUCAUAGAAAAACUUUUUCUUUUGCUGGUAUGUGAAACUAGGUGGUAUAAAUUUAGCAACAAUGUAAUUAGCAUAAUCAGCAUACCAUGGAGCAGUACGAGAAGCAUUUAUAACAUUUAAUUGUUCAUCAGGAAAGCUAUCAUCAAUAGGUAGUGGGUCAUCAAGAACAUUUUCUAACCUAGACAAGUUAUCUGCAACAGGGUUCUCAGCUCCCUUUCUAUCAAUAAUAUGUAAAUCAAAUUCUUUUCGCAAGAGAACCCAUCUAAUAAAUCUAGGUUUAGCAUCUUUCUUUUCCAUAAGAUAUUUAAUAGCAGCAUGAUCAGUGUGAAUAGUUACUUUAGAAUCAACAAUAUAAGGUCUGAACUUAUCACAAGCAAAUACAACUGCUAAAAAUUACUUUUCAGUAGUGGCAUAAUUUCUCUGGGCAUUGUCUAGAGUUUUACUAGCAUAUUGAAUAACAUUUAAUUUCUUAUCAACUCUUUGCCCUAGAACAGCACCUACAGCAUAAUUGCUAGCAUCACACAUAAUUUCAAAAGGUAAAUUCCAAUCAGGUGGCUGAACAAUAGGUGCAGAAAUCAAUGCUUUCUUAAGUAUUUCAAAUGCUUCUACACAAUCAUCAUCAAAAACGAAAGGUAUAUCUUUUUGUAAGAGAUUAGUCAGAGGCCGAGAAAUUUUUUAGAAGUCCUUAAUGAACCUCCUAUAAAAACUAGCAUGACCAAGGAAACUUCUUAUACCUUUGAUGUCCUUGGGACAUGGCAUCUUUUCAAUAGCAUCAACUUUAGCUUUAUCAACUUCACUACCUCUUUUAGAAAUUUUAUGCCCCAAGAAAAUACCUUCAUUAACCAUAAAGUGGCACUUCUCCCAAUUCAAGACAAGGUUAGUUUCUUCACAUCUCUGCAAAACUCGAUCAAGGUUGCUCAAGCAAUCAUCAAAAGAGGAUCCAUAAACGGAGAAAUUGUCCAUGAAAACCUCACAUAUCUUUUCACAAAAGUCAGAAAAUAUAGCAAUCAUGCAUCUUUGAAAGGUAGCAGGUGCUUUACAUAAACCAAAAGGCAUACGUCUAUAAGCAAAAGUACCGAAAGGGCAAGUAAAAGUGGUAUUUGCUUGAUCAUCAGCUGACACAGGUAUUUCAGAGACACCAGAGUAACCAUCUAGAAAGCAAAAAUGUGUAUGUUUGGAUAAUCUUUCUAGCAUUUGAUCAAUAAAAGGUAAGGGGUAAUGAUCUUUUUAGUAGCCUUAUUUAAUUUGCGGAAAUCAAUUACCAUCCUAUAACCUGUAAUAAUUCUUUGCGGAAUCAAUUCAUCUUUAUCAUUGGGAACGACAGUAAUACCUCCCUUCUUAGGGACACAAUGGACAGGACUUACCCACUGACUAUCAGCAACGGGAUAAAUUAUACCUGCCUCAAGGGGCUUUAGUAUUUCCUUUCUUACCACUUCCUUCAUCUUAGGAUUCAGACGUCGUUGAUGAUCAAUAACUGGUUUGGCAUCUUUCUCCAAAUUUAUUUUGUGUUGGCAUAGAGUGGGACUAAUGCCAUUAAGAUCAUCAAGAGUAUAUCCAAUAGCAGCACGGUGCUUCUUCAGAGUUUUCAGUAAUUUUUCUUCCUCCUUCUCUGAAAGGUUAGCACUAAUAAUAACAGGAUAUAUCUUCUUUUCAUCAAGAUAAGCAUAUUUAAGAGUAUCAGGCAACGGUUUAAGCUCAAACACGGGAUCACCCUUGGGUGGAGGAGGACCCCCUAGGAUUUCAACAGGAAAAUUGUGUUUCAUAAUAGGUCCAUGUUUAAAGAAUACUUCAUCUAUUUCCCUUCUUUCAUUCAUAAACAUAUCAUUCUCAUGGUCUAGCCAAUAUUGUUCUAAAGGAUCACUAGGAGGCACGGCAAUAGAAGCAAGACCAAUAAUUUCAUCCUUACUAGGCAAUUCCUCAUCACGCGAGGUUGUCUACGAAAUUUAGAGAAAUUAAACACAUGAGACAUAUCAUCCAAACCAAUAGUAACAACAUCCUUUUCGCAGUCUAUCUUAGCAUUAACAGUGUUCAAGAAGGGUCUACCAAAUAUAAUGGGACAAAAGCUAUCUUGUGGGGAACCAAGAACAAGAAAAUCAGCAGGAUAUUUAGCCUUCCCACACAAGACCUCAACAUCUCUAACAAUCCCAAUUGGUAAAAUAGUAUCUCUAUUGGCAACCUUAAUGGUAACAUCGAUAUCUUCUAUCUCAGCCGGUGCAAUAUCAUGCAUAAUUUCUUUGUAUAAGUAAAUAGGUAUUGCACUAGCACUAGCACCCAUAUCACACAAGCCAUGAUAACAAUGAUCUCCUAUUUUAACAGAAAUAACAGGCAUGCCUACCACAGGUCUAUGUUUAUCUUUAGCACCAGGUUUAGCAAUUCUAGCAGUAUCAUCACAGAAGUAUAUAACAUGCCCAUCGAUAUUAUCAGACAAGAGAUCUUUAACAAUAGCAAUAUUAGGUUCAACUUUAACUUGCUCAGGAGGUGUAUAAGUUCUAAUAUUACUUUUACGAACCACAGUUGAAGCUUUAGCAUGAUCCUUUAUACUAACAGGAAAAGGUGGUUUCUCAACUUAAGCAGUAGGAACAAUAGGAUCAUUAUAAGUGAUAGUCUUUUCUUCAACUUUAAUAGGUUCAACUACUUUUACUUCUAUGGGAGGAUGAUAUUUAAACCACUCUCCUUAGGGAGAUCAACAUGAGCAGCAAAAGAUUCACAGAAAGAAGCUACUAUCUCAUAGUCAAGUCCAUAUUUAGUGCUAAUAAAUUUACGGAAAACAUCGGUAUCCAUAAAAGAUUUAACACAAUCAAACUUAGGUGUUAUACCCGACUCCUUACCUUCGUCGAGAUCCCAAUCUUCAGAGUUGCGUUUAAUUCUUUCCAGUAAAUUCCAUUUGAAUUCAAUAGUCUUCAUCAUAAAAGAGCCAGUACAUGAAGUAUUGAGCAUGGAGCGAUUAUUGUGAGAAAGCCGAGCAUAAAAAUUAAUAAUCAUUUCUCUUGAGAGUACAUGAUUGGGGCAUGAAUAUUACAUUGACUUAAGCCUCCCCCAAGCUUGAGCGAUGCUUUCUCCUUCGCGAGGCCAAAAAUUAUAUAUAUAAUUACGAUCACGAUGAACAAGAUGCAUAGGAUAAAACUUCUGAUGGAAUUCCAAUUUCAACCGUUUGUAGUCCCAUGAUCCCAUAUCAUCACAUAGCCGAUACCAUGUCAAUGCAUCUCCCUUCAAAUAUAAAGGGAAGACCUUCUUAUUGAUAACAUCAUCGGGCACACCUGCAAGCUUAAAUAAUCCACGAACUUCAUCCACAUAGAUUAAGUGUAAAUCGGGACGCAAUGUUCCAUCUCCUGCAAAAGGAUUAGCCAGUAGUUUCUCUAUCAUACCCGAAGGAAUUUAGAAGUAAACAUUUUCAUUUUCAGUAGGUUCAGUAGGUUGAGGAGCAACUCUUUGCUCUACUGGUCGAGGUGAAGAUACCCCGAACAAGCCCCUCAAAUGAUUACUUUCCAUAGUAACAAGUGACAGUAAAUUUCAGCACACUAUAUAAAAUUUUCAUUACCAAAUUCCACCUACCAAAGGCGCUUCACUCCCCGGCAACGGCGCCAGAAAAGAGUCUUGAUGACCCACAAGUUUAGGGGAUCUCUCGUAGUCCUUUCGGUUAGUAAGAGUGUUGAACCCAACGAGGAGCAAAAGGAAAUGACAAGCGGUUUUCAGCAAGGUAUUCUCUGCAAGCACUGAAAUAUAGGUAACAGAUAGUUUUGUGAUAAGAUAAUUUGUAACGGGUAACAAGUAAUGAAAGUAAAUAAGGUGCAGAAAGGUAACAAGUAAUAGAGAAAAGCGCUCCCUGAGGACACAUGGGAAUUAUCGUCAAGCUAGUUUUCAUCACGUUCAUAUGAUUCGCGUUCGGUACUUUGAUAAUUUGAUAUGUGGGUGGACCGGUGCUUGGGUGCUGUCCUUACUUGGAAAAAUAUCCCACUUAUGAUUAACUCCUAUUGCAAGCAUCCGCAACUACAAAAGAAGUAUUAAGGUAAGCCUAACCAUAGCAUGAAACAUAUGGAUCCAAAUCAGCCCCUUACGAACCAACGCAUAAACUAGGGUUUAAGCUUCUGUCACUCUAGCAACCCAUCAUCUACUUAUUACUUCCCAAUGCCUUCCUCUAGGCCCAAACAAUGGUGAAGUGUCAUGUAGUCGACGUUCACAUGACACCACUAGAGGAGAGACAACAUACAUCUCAUCAAAAUAUCGAACAAAUACCAAAUUCACAUGACUACUAAUAGCAAGGCUUCUCCCAUGUCCUCAGGAACAAACGUAACUACUCACAAAGCAUAUUCAUGUUCAUAAUCAGAGGGGUAUUAAUAUGCAUAAUGGAUCUGAACAUAUGAUCUUCCACCAAGUAAACCAACUAGCAUCAACUACAGGAGUAAUCAACACUACUAGUAAUCCCAGGCUAUGAGAAAAAGAUUGGAUACAAGAGAUAAACUAGGGUUUGAGAGGAGAUGGUGCUUGUGAAGAUGUUGAUGGAGAUUGGCCCCCUCCCGAUGAGAGGAGCGUUGGUGAUGACGAUGGCGAUGAUUUCCCCCUCCUGGAGGGAAGUGUCCCCGGCAGAACAGCUCUGCCAGAGCCCUAGAUUGGUUCCGCCAAGGUUCCGCCUCGUGGCGGUGGAGUCUCGUCUUGAAAGCUUGCUUAUGAUUUUUUCUCGGACAAAAGACUUCAUAUAGUAGAAGAUGGGCACCGGAGGGCCACCAGGGGGCCCACGAGGCAGGGGCGCGCCCAGGGGGUAGGGCGCGCCCCCCACCCUCGUGGCCAGGGUGUGGGCCCCCUCUGGUAUUUUCUUCACUCAGUAUUUUUUAUUAUUUCCAAAAAUAACUUCCGUGGAGUUUCAGGACUUUUGGAGUUGUGCAAAAUAGGUCUCUAAUAUUUGCUCCUUUUCCAGCCCAGAAUUCCAGCUGCCGACAUUCUCCCUCUUUAUGUAAACCUUGUCAAAUAAGAGAGAAUAAGCAUAAGUAUUGUGACAUAAUGUGUAAUAACAGCCCAUAAUGCAAUAAAUAUCGAUAUAAAAGCAUGAUGCAAAAUGGGCGUAUCAACGACCGCCCGUCCCCGUCGGCCCGCCGCCACCCAUUGCUUCCCCUUUCCCCAUUCUUCCUCUUCUCUGGCGAGCUGGUGCAGAUGUCCACCUCCUCCGCCACGCACUGAAAAUGGCGUCAGUAUGGUCCAGUGCCGCUCACAAGGUGCCCUGACUGCCCACGCCCAGAGCCUCUAAAACGGUGGGUCAGUAGAACUGAUGAGAAUGGAAAUCUUGGGCGGGAAUUUGUGAAGUGCUUGAGCAAAACAAUGGCAGAAAGGGAUGGCAAGGUUAGAUCUCAGUUCUUAGCCCAUUCUUUCACUGUCGUUUGCUCUGAUUUAUCCAUAUUUUGUUUUUUUCCUCGAAUUUGGAAUUUAGGGUUCAUGUUGUUGUUUUUUCCUCGAAUUUGGAAUUUAGGGUUCAUGUUGUUGAUUUAUCCAUAUUUCAUGUUGUUGAGAGGAUUCAGUUCGAGGGCUACAUUGAUUCGAGCGGGGCCGCAACCUGGGAGCUCAAUUUGGGGGGAGGGGUGCCGCAGAUGGAGAAUUUGGGGUCGAGCUUGGACAGAGGGGCGGGCAGAGUCGUGUCGAUGGCUAGGUAUGCGCGCAAUGCUGAACUGCACUUGGAGUCUGAACUAACCGAGGAACUGAAGAUAAUCAAGAAAUCAAAUGGAGAUGAUCAAUCUGCAGAAGCAAGCAAAUAUCAUGGCAGGGGGGGUUCUAUUGUUGUGUCAUUGCUCUGUUUUUGUUUUACUUGUUGUUCAUCCGUCAUUAGAGGGAGCAUUUAGGUCUAUCAGGGCAGAGGAUGCGAUCUGUGCGCCAUGCCAAGUUCAUGUAACUGAAUCGAAGCAGAAAUAUUCUAUGUUGAUGCUUUGUUCUUGUUCUUCAGUUAACAGAGUGCACACCCCCCAAAUUCAGUUUCUAGUAAGAAAAUCUUGCUGCCGAAUAGAUGUUGGGCCAUGAAAAAACAACGAGGCCCAAAUAGAGACAAGCCCACCCGCGUAGGGGCACCAGCCCAGUUUUAUAGCAUAGAGGCACCCAUGUUUAAAAAAAAUGUUCGACUAAAAACUCAAAAUAAAAUAUUGCUUCGGCAAAUAAACCUUUAACAAACAUAUACUUCUUUACAUAUUUGUUGCUUGUCCACGCUUGCACAAAAUAUUGGCCAGAGGUAAAAUUCAAACUAAUAUUUUUAGGAGCACAGAAAUAUUUCUUUUGUGACCAAUAAUUGUUUGCAUGAACUAAAAUAGUUGCAUUUCCAUGGUUGCAAAAAAAAUUGCACCGUACACCUAAUAGCUAGGGUGAUCCUAUUUGCAUGAACUAAAUUAGUUGCAUGUCCAUGGUUGCACAAAAAUUAUCACCGUACACCUACUAGCCAGGGCCUAGAUACAUGCAAGCACACAUGCAUCACACCAAGAUAUGAAAAAAAAUUGCAAAAAAAUUUGGGUACCCAUACACUUGCAUGUCCGUAGUGGAAGCUACCUUUUAUUAGUAAGACAUAGAUCAAAUAGGGAUCCAAUCAACUAGAUAUAACAUGGGUACCCAUAGAACAUCAAGCACCAUAUAUAUCAACUAACCAAUAUCAACUAGAUAGAAAAAAAUAACAGAUAGAACAUAGUAGCAUAAGUAGUAGCAUUGCAUAGAUAAGGGUAGCACGACAUAUAUAGUACCACUACAACAUAGAUAAUUCAUAGUUCAACCCAACACGACAAUAAUAAAACACCACCAGCUUGUUUGCUUGCUUGCUCAAAGGCCAAAUCCUCCAUGGCCAACUCCUUCACUCGUCGCCGUUGGUGGGGUACGGGAGGGUGUGCAUGCGCUCAUCGGCGGGGAAGGCACUGUCGAAGUCCGUGAAGAUGUUGUACAUGGUGAAUGCGAUGAACUCGCAUCCACAUCAAAAAACACGACCGAGGAGGUAGUAGGCGUCGAAGGGGUUGGUGAACCUCACGAUGAGCCCGAUAGGAUGGCCACUGCUACUGACCUCUUUGACACGGAACAUGGCCGGAGAGCCCCUCGGGAGGUGCCGGUAGCCGGCGGAGAGGAAGAACUCGGUCAGCCCCCUUGCCCCCCUCCACCUCGAGAUCGCCCACACCCGUAGGGUGUUCUCCACCCGGACUCCGGUAGGGUAGAGCCUCUCAGGGAAGGUGCGCGGCACACGGUAGGUAGCCCCGGUGAACUGCAUCUUGCUUGCUAGCUUUGAGUGGAUCUUGGAAGAUGGGAGAUGAAGGAGAGUGAGAGGAAGAUGUGGGUAGAGGAAGAUGUAGGCUUGGGUGUGCUUAAAUAGCCGAGGUGCAGUGUUUUAACGUUUUGUUUUCCUCUCCCUCGUAAUGGCAUGGGAAACGAGCAAUGUGGCAUCGAGUCACCCGAGCCAACCCGUGUGUACACGCGCAUGCAUUGUGGUAGUAAUGCCAAUGACCCGCGUAGCACUCUAGCAAUAAAAAUGCGUCGAGAGAUGAGCUCGAUGCCAUGCAUGCAGCGGCUAGCGGUCGGGCAUCUAGACCCAUCUAGAAUGGGUAAAUAGCCAUAAUGCUACGAGGGUGUCGGCGGGCAUGCUCGCCCGCGAUGCCAUCCAUGCAACGUCGAACGCUGAGAGGGCGGCCGCAGGAGGGCUACACGCGCGUGCAUGCUUUUCAGGCCGAAUGCAGCGUCGUGUCCAUCGGUCCAAUGGGUGGGCCGCUUUAAUUAAGCCCAACAACACAUGGCAGGCCUGCUUAGUCUUACAAUGUAAAAAAUGGGCUAAAACGACCAGCCAAUGAAAGCGCAACACGCGGAUCUGUGACGUGGCUCCUAAUCCAGACUGUUGCUUAUGUUCACAUCCAUCCAAUGGUCCAGAAUGCUACGUGUUAUAAUAUUCAGCAUCUUCGAAUCAGCCAAUCAGAGUGCUGCCUGCAGAUCGCUGACGUAGCCCUGGUGCCUGAUCCAGACCGUCCAUUCAUAGCGAUCCAAUGGCCGAGAGGAGUGUGGGGUUUCAAUGGGGUUUUGAGUGGUUUUCAGCGGUUAGGGUUGAGCAUAACUAAUUCAAAAAAAUCAAAAAAACUAUAAAACUUGUGUCGAUCAUCGUUCUAUGUGACUAAGUAUCUAGGAAAAAUAAGAAACUUGUACUACGGAUAUUUUCAUGAAAAAACCUUCACAAAAGAUGGCUAUCAAGAACGACCUUGUAGGGUUUUGAAGAGAAGUGAGCUAGGGUUUAGUGUCAAACAUGUCAUACUUUAUCGAAACAAUCCAAUAUCAGGAAGGACUCUUAUAUACACACACUAGAUGUCAAGUUUCCUUUUUGGGCUCAUUUAGAGAAGGUCGAAAAAAGCUUGCUUACAAAUGGGUCUGUUUUCCCUAGCUUUGGAGGGGUUUUGGAGGUCAUGUGGAGCACAUUUUUCAUGUCCAGAGUUUUACAUAAUAAAAGUGCUCCGAUUAAUCAACUAACAUGCAUAAUAGUCCAGAAAUCAUUGUAACACCAACACCACAGACCAAAUAACUUCAAAUUUGAAUUUUGUCUCAAAUUUGAAUUUUGUCUCAAAUUUGAAUAGUAUUACACAAAUACACAUCAUAUCAAAGUACAAAUAUCAUUACACAAAUUCAGGCAAGGUUUUAUUACUACAACAUACUAGCAAUACACAAGUUUCAACAAAUUUUCACUUCUGCUUCUUCCUACCACUCGAUUUGUUCUUCUUCUUUUUACCAAUGCUUGUUUUUGGUUGUACAACACCCAGUUCACUCAAGCUCUUGAUUUUCUUCACUGGACUUCCUGGAACACAAGCUUCAUUUCGCACCACAACAGUUGCAGUAUCAUCGGACCCAAUAUCACCAGUUGGCAACACAACUUCCAAUAUAGGCUCAGUUGGCACCACAUCAACUGGAAUAUCUUUAGUUGGCAACUCAACUUCCAACAUAGGCUCAGCUUGCACAGCAUCAGCUGGAAUAUCUUCAGAGGUACCCAUAGCUUCAGUUGGCACCAGAACAUCAAAAUCUUGCUCAUCUUGCAGCAGCACAUCCAAGUCUUGCUCAUUUUGCACCACACCAUCCAAGUCUGGUUGAAUGUGUAUUGUUUCACCAAAACUUCUCUUUCUUCUAGAGCCAUUGCCUCUUGCUUUUUUCUUUGGCCAGCACACUUCAACAACAAGGGGCUCACCUGCACGCUUCCUCCUAAAAAGAUAAAGCAUGUCAACUGGUUAGUAAUUGAAAAAUGCAACAAAAUAGUAAACAAUGCAAACAUAUGCCCACAUACUUUGGCCAUUCAUGAGUGUAACAACAUUUGGGAGAUCCAACUCGGUGCCCAAGUUCCUGGCACAACUUGCCUCUAUUUUUUUUUACCUUUUUGGGACCUUUUUGGCUUUGCAUUCUUCUUUCCCUUGCCCUUUUUACUACUCCCACCUUUCUCAAACCAUGCCUUGAAUCUACUUUCUUUAGGCCUGCCAGCCUUUCUUUUUGUUAGGGGAGGACCCAUGGAAAAUUCAAUUUCAACUUCAGGCCACUGAGACUGAUCUGUAAGUGCUAGAAUUGGAGUUGCAUAUGCAGCCUUGAAUCUUGCUACUAAGUAAUAUUCGUGCAAAUAUGGGUGCAUGUUUAUCUUCGGUCGGGAGGCCAAGAAAAGUAUGGCAUGACUCACAUGGUUUCCCAGUGUGCUGCCACUCCAAACAAGUGCAAUCAUGCAUUUCAGUGUUAACAACAUGCCUUCUACCAGUUUUGGUAUCUCUAACUUCAACACCCCACACAGAAGAUUUUUCAACAGAUAAAUGUGUAAGAUUUAUGCUCCUGUUGACCACCUGGUGUACCACUGCAGGAAGCUUAUCCCCUUGUAGACAAUCACCAAUCCUUCUUCUCAAUUCCCACAAGCGCAUGAUCAUGAUCCUGAUUUGGUCAACCAUGUCAUGCACAGGAAAAAAAUUUAACUGCUUCACCCUGUUGUUAAAACUUUCUGCCAAGUUGUUGUUGAUAUGAUCACACUUGAUGGCAGUGUUAAAUCCCGACCUAUACCAUAAUAGAGAAUGGUACGUGUUCACCCAUGGACCAAACUCAGGACAUGAUGUCAUUAUCAUACCAAGAUGAUAUUAAUGUGUUUGUUUAGUGUAAGAUCUUGCUGCUGGCCACAUACGACCAAAUUCUUCCCCUUUGAAUUUUUUGAUCAAAUUCAUCCACAUAUGGCCGAAGCACUCCCUCUGCUCACAAUGGGGGAAAACAUUCUUCACUGCGUUUUCUAGCCCUUUGCAUGCAUCUGUGUGGACUGCCAAAGGUGACACUGGACCUAUGCAUCUUUUCAACUGCACCAUGAACCAUGUCCACGAGACCUCUAUCUGUGACUGAAAUAAGCCAAUAGCAAUAGGGAACAUCCAGUUGUAUCGAUCCAAAGCAUUGCAAGCUGCCAAUUGACCAAUUGAAAGUGCACCUAUGCCUAGGUGGUUUUGGUAAUUCCUAACAACAUAUAGCUCAUUGAGCUAAUGAUAUCUCAAGAUAAAUAUUUCAGGAAAGCACAAUGAUUGGCAUGGCAUGGAUUAGAAAUGUGACCCCUCAGAAUACCAAGGACAAAAGAAUGGCUCAAGCUCUAAAGCUCAAGACUCUACAUUUUACUUUUAGUGAUCCAAGAUCACAUUGAGUCCAUAGGAAAAGCAAAUACUAUUAAAAGGGGAUGAGGUGUUGCUUAAUGGGUUGCUUGCUCAAAAUGCUUAGUGAUAUGCUCCAAAAACCCUCAACUACUUUCUCAUAUCCACAUAUGUCCCAAACCAGAAGUCAAACUCGGCCCCACCAAAACAUCCUAUCUGGCACCACCGAGUUCUCUUGACAUAGCCACUGCCACAAACCCUAGUCACUUUGGUCUCACCGAUAGGGAUCUCGGUAUCACCGAGAUGGGAUUGCAAACAUCUGUUUCCCUUCCUAACGUUUCGGUCCAACCGAGAUGAGCGAUCGGUCCCACCGAGUUUGCAAUGCAAACUCUCUGUUUCCCCUUCGUAACGUUUCGGUCUCACCGAGAUGAGCAAAUCGGUCCCACCGAGUCUGCCUCAUCAACUCUCUGGUUAGCUUAUCACCAAAAUCAGUCCCACCGAGUUUGUGUAAUCAGUCUCACCGAGAUUACGUUAUGCCCUAACCCUAAUGAAAUCGGUCCCACCGAGUUGACAUGUCGGUCCCAUCGAAUAUCCUAACGUUCACAUUUUGAACUAAAUCGGUCCGACCGAGUUUCAUUAUUCGGUCCCACCGAGUUUGAUGAUUUGUGUGUAACGGUUAGAUUUUGUGUGGAGGCUAUAUAUACCCCUCCACCCACUCUUUAUUCGUGGAGAGAGCCAUCAUAACAUGCCUACACUUCCAGCAUACAUUUUCUGAGAGAGAACCACCUACUCAUGUGUUGAGGUCAAGAUAUUCCAUUCCAACCACAUAAAUCUUGAUCUCUAGCCUUCUCCAAGUUGCUUUCCACUCAAAUCGUCUUUCCACCAAAUCCAAAUCUGUGAGAGAGAGUUGAGUGUUGGGGAGACUAUCAUUUGAAGCACAAGAGCAAGGAGUUCAUCAUCAACACACCAUCUAUUACCUUUUGGAGAGUGGUGUCUCCUAGAUUGGUUAGGUGUCACUUGGGAGCCUCCGUCAAGAUUGUGGAGUUGAACCAAGGAGUUUGUACGGGCAAGGAGAUCGCCUACUUCGUGAAGAUCUACCCUAGUGAGGCAAGUCCUUCGUGGGCGAUGGCCAUGGUGGGAUAGACAAGGUUGCUUCUUCGUGGAACCUUCAUGGGUGGAGCCCUCCGUGGACUCGCGCAACCGUUACCCUUCGUGGGUUGAAGUCUCCAUCAACGUGGAUGUACGAUAGCACCACCUAUCAGAACCACGCCAAAAAUCUCCGUGUUUAUAUUGCGUUUGCUCCCUCCAAACUCCUCCCUUUACCUUCAUGUGCAAUGUUUUACAUUCCGCUACUAUACUCUUAGACUUGCAUGUGUAGGUUGAUUUCUUGACUAGUGCUAAGUUGCUAAAAUCUGCCAAGACUUAAAAUUGGGGAAAGGCUAGAUUUUUAUUUGGUCAAGUAGUCUAAUCACCCCCCCUCUAGACAUAAUUUCGAUCCUACAAGUGGUAUCAGAGCUACGGUCUCCAUUUGCCUUGAUUUCCAUAGCUUUUGGUGAUCAUAGCCUUGGUUUCACAACCUAGGAGACUAUGGCGUCUAGCAAGGGAAAUUACCACCAUAGAGGUCCUUACUUUGAUGGUACUAAUUUUGCUACUUGGAAGCACAAGAUGAAAAUGCAUAUUCUUGGACAUAACCCCGCCGUUUGGGCUAUUGUGUGUAUUGUCUUGCAAGGUGAAUUCUUUGAUGGGAGAGAACCGAACCGUGAAGCUACUGCGGAAGAGUUGAAGAUGCUACAAUACAAUGCUCAAGCUUGUGAUAUUCUCUUCAACGGAUUGUGCCUCGAAGAAUUCAACAAAAUCAGCCGUCUUGAGAAUGCAAAGGAAAUUUGGGAUACUUUGAUUGAUAUGCAUGAGGGUACCGACUCCGUCAAGGAAUCCAAAUUGGAUGUGCUUCAAAGUCAAAUUGAGAAGUUCAAAAUGAAGGAUGGUGAAGGUGUCACUGAAAUGUACUCUAGGCUUGCUCUCAUCACAAAUGAGAUUGCCGGCUUAGGAAGUGAAGAGAUGACCGAUAGAUUCAUCAUCAAGAAGAUCCUAAGAGCCUUGGAUGGAAAAUAUGAUACCGUGUGCACAUUGAUCCAAAUGAUGCCCAAUUACAAAGAUCUCAAGCCAAAGGAAGUCAUUGGAAGAAUUGUUGCUCAUGAGAUGUCACUUAAGGAUAAGGAAGAGCUCCACAACAAGUCAAGUGGUGCUUACAAAGCCUCAUGUGAUGCUCCUACACCAUCAAGUGAGAAACAAACCUUUAAUGAAGAAUUGAGCCUAAUGGUGAAGAAUUUCAGCAAGUUCUACAAGAGUAGAAGCAAGGAAAGAAGUUCCAAGUCAAGAUCCUACAAUGACAAAAGAUCUUCAAGUCGUGAACGAAAUUGCUACAAUUGUGGAAGACCCGGACACUACUCCAAUGAGUGUACGGCUCCCUACAAAAGAAGAGGAGAUUCUCCCAAAAGACGAAGUAGAAGAGAAGAAUCAGCACCAAGAGAGAGAAGGAGUAGAGAUGAUUGUUAUGAACGAAGAACCUCUCGGAGAAGCAAGGAUUCGGAAAGGAAGGACAAAUCAUCAAAGAGCUACACAAAACGAAGACAUCAAUCUCACGUUGGUGAAUGGGUAUCCGGCUCCGACUCCGACCAUUACUCCGAAAGAAGUUAUCACUCCGACUCCGACUAUACUCAAGAAGAAGGUGUUGCCGGUCUAGCACUUGCGUCAACCAACUCCUACAACAUAUUUGACUCACCAAAUGAAGGAAUUGGAAGAUGCUUCAUGGCUAAAGGCCCCAAGGUAUCACACCCCGAGUUUGUUGAUUUCAAUAGUGAUGAAGAUGAUUUGCUAGGAGAUGAUGAUUUACUUGUUGACAACUCCAGUUAUGAAAACUAUGAUGAACUUGCUAUUAGUCAUGCUAAUCAAGAUAAAACGAAUGACGAUGAUAAGAAGGAGAUUGAGCGUCUAACUAAAGAAUUAAACACUCUUAAAUUAGCUCAUGAAACUACCAUGGAAGAUCAUCGAGAACUUUUAAAGACUCAUGAGAAGCUACGCUUUGAAAGGCUCAACCUUGAGCAAGAGCAUGGGUUCUUAAAAGCAAUCAAUGAUGAUCUUCGCAGGAAAAAUUCUUCUUACAUUGCCAAGCGUUUACUCUUGUCUACUUACAUGCCACAAGUAGAAUCUAGCAACAAGAGUAAGAAAGAUUCUUCAUCUAGUAGUAACAAUAAUCAUGCUAAAUCCAAUGUUGUUGCUUCUAGUAGUUCUCUUGAUUCCACUAAUGAUUCUCUUAGCCAAGUUACAAUUGAGCAAGAAAAUAGCUUAUUGAAGGGAAUUAUAGAGAAAGGUGUUUACAAGAGCCUUGUCGGAAGUAAGCAAUUUGAGGAAAUUGUACGCAACCAAGGAAGGCACCGGAAAAAUCAAGGUGUUGGUUUUGAACGAAAGUUCAAUGCCAAUGGAGUUGAGUGGGAAGAAGAUCAAUACCCCAAGACGAAGUUUGUUCCUCAACAAGAGAAGUAUGAUCCUACUUCCUUCCAAGGAACACAAGCUCAAGAUGAUCUUCCACCACAAGACCACAAGCAAAAAGGCAAGGACAAGCUUCAAGAGGAGAUUGAUGCAUUUUAAGAAGCUCCCAAGGCCUUGGUCGAGUGGGUUCCCAAGACUACAUCAAAUACGACUACAACUCCAAGGAUUCCCAUCAAGAUGAUGUGGAUCCCGAAGAAGAAGAACUAGAGAGUUCUUGAGGGUGACUCCGCCAACAUACUUCACUCAUAUCUUUUGGCAAGGACAUGUGAGAACAACUUCCACAUAUUGCACUAGUUCAAGGAGUCACAAACCCUCUUGUUUGUAAGACAAGGGACAAGGUAACCUAAUGCUUUCAUGGACAUCAUCUUGUGUGUACAUCACUCUAUGUCUAUGGAUAUCCUUGUUUGUUCCUUGUGGGACUAACCAGUGUAGGUAUUGGAAGUGCAACUCACUCCAAUGGAUUGCUCCGAAUGAUCUACAUCAACAUUGAGCAUCCACAUCUUCAACACCUACAUGAAGUCAUCAUCGACAAAACCCAAGGUUAGUUCAUCCCUCUUAGGGGGAUAUCACAUCUAGGGGGAGCUUUACUCUAAUAAAUUGAGCUAAAGCAACUCUAAUGGUGUGAACACAACAAUGCUUUAUGUGAAAGUGGUAACCCCACUUAUGCUUAAACGAUGAGUAUGACCUAUGAUCAAAUGUUCUCAUUUGACUCCUAAGUCAAUAUACUCAUAUAUAGAUGACCUAGUCAUCGCCAAUUGCUUGAUAGAUGCUAGAGUCUUUGUGCAUGCUUUGUCACAUAUUUCGUUUGCCAUUUUAUUGUGUGAGCAUGUUAAUUGCAUAUUUUACUCAUUCGAGGACAUCCAUUUGUUGCUUUGAUUGUUUGGCUUUUUCUCUUUUGCCAAAUGGAUGGACAAGAAUGCCUAAGAACUCCCUCUAGCUAUCUAUGCUUUUCUCGUCUCAAACUCUAUUCAUGCUACAUCACAAAGUUUGAUCAAGUCAGGUUCGAACCACUCUGUGUGAGGAGCACUCGGAGUCCCCGAUUCGUCAUAGACUUAAACUUCCAAAACCUCUUUGUGCAUUUCGGUAUGACCGAUUCAUCCAUUUUGGUCACACUGAGUUCACUAAGUUGAUCUAGGUUUUCCAUCUCGGUGCAACCAAUUUGAACUUUUCGGUCACAUCGAGUUGCAGUAACCGCUUGCGAUUCUGCAUCUCGGUGCCACCGAGUUGUUCCACUCGGUAACAUCGAUAGGGUCGGGAUAUAUAAACCCACAGGUGAGAUUUUGGAAAUUUCUUCAAACUCCUCAGCCCGCGUGUGUCCUGCUCUGCCUCCUCGGGUCUCCGGAUCGUCUCCUCGCCGCCAGCGACCUCCCGCCGCUGGUUUCCGUUGCUGUCAACGGAAUUCUCCUCUGCCGUUGUCGCCAUAGCGAACUCCCGCCGAACUAGGGUAUGGGUUCGACUCUUUGUGCUAUUUCCCUACUCCAAUUUGUAGCACAUUUCUUUUCCAUGAUCUUUACCACGUAUGAAAAUAAUCUAUCGAGAGAAAACAUCCUUUAGGUUAGAUUUGAUUCAAAAAUUUAGGGUUAGGUCUCCGCCGAACUCAUCUCAGACCAACCGAGUUGUAGAAAUCGGUCUCACCGAUUUGGCUUAGGCCAUUGCACAUGCUUUUUGGUCUGACUGAAAACGGCAAAUUGGUGCGACCGAUUUCGAAUCUCUGUGAAACCCUAGCAAUCUCGGUGCCACCGAACUGUGACUCGGUCUGACCAAGUUCACUAGUUUAGGUUCCAAAAGUUGCUUCGGUAUCACCGAGUUUAACAAAUCGGUAGCUCCGAAAUGCUUUCUGUGGAGAACUAUAACUAAGUUUUUGAGUCAUCUGUUUUGCAAAAGCUCUGCACUUUGUGAUGCUCAUCCACUCUACCUCAUCUAUAUCUAUUCACAGGGUUUGCUGUCAGUGUGAUUGCCAAGAUGUCUGAUCAAAGUGACAGCCAGAACAGAUCUGAAGAGCAAGUGCAUAUGAGUGAGGGCACUAAUCCCUCAAGCAGCUAUGAUGAGGGCAGCAGAAGCACACCAAGUAACUUGCCCAAGGUAGCCACUAGAACAAGGAAGAAGAGAACCUCAGACUCCGAGGAUGAGGACUAUGUGGCCAUUGAGGAUGAGGCCACCUCAAGGAAGAAAGUGCUGAAGAAAGAGUAUGGCAUAGCUGCUGCAACUAAGCCAGGGUUGCAUAAGAAGGCAACAGCAAAGAGAGUCCCAAUGUCAAAGCCAACGAAAGUUCCAACAGGAGAAACCAUGAAAUUCACAAUAUAAUCAGAUGAUGGUGAGGCAGUUGGUGAUGGCAAGAAGAAGAAGAGGGCAAGAACCACAUCUGCAAAAGUUCUUGGAAAAUCAACUAUGGUAAGAGAUUCAGAAGAAGAGGAAGAGGAAGAGGAUGCUGCACCAGCACCCAAGUCUCAGAAGCUUAUGGGAGAUGCUAUCAAGUCAGGGGCUGCUCCAUCAAAGCCCAAGACUGCUCCCAAAGCAACAGCUCAAACUCAGAAGCCCUCUAAGCCCAAGAGAAGCACCAGAAACAUUCCUGCAGAAGAGAGGAACAAGGCCUCAGUGCCUAAGGUUGAAGAAGAGGAUGAUGAAGCCCUAGUGCUAAGAAAACUGAAACCCAAGAUUCCAGACCACAAUGACACUCAUCCAGUGGCUGAGGACAUGCACAUCAGGAAAGAUGCAGGAUUGAGACUUUGGAGACAGUCUGAUCCUUAUGCUGCGACAAGGAGAACUGUUGUGGACUACAUGUUCCACACCAAAGAACAACAAGACUUCUAUGAGACUAUUCUGCUUGACAAGAAGCCAAUUGUCUGUGAAAUGAGAUGGGUUGAUUGGGAAUACAUCAAAGAGAAUGAAGAUCACUUCCCAGGUGUACCAGACAGCUUCAAAGCAAGUGGAGUUGAUAAGUUUGUAGGUCAGAAGCCCACCAAAUGGAAUGAUGAGCUAAUCAUGCAGUUUUACUCCACUGCUCAUUUCUAUCCAGAUGGGAGAUAGUGGGGAUGUCUGAAGGUACAAGGUACCAAUCAACUGUAGAAAAAUGGGCCAAGUUGAUCAAUGCCCCAGAAGAGUAUGAGGAUGAUUUGGAUGUGUAUGCCAAGAAGAAGAAAGACCACAACUCUAUGGCAAAUAUGUACAAAGAGAUCCCUGAUAAAGCUUUGGAGACACACAAGCUUGGAUCUGUGCACUAUUUGUUGUCUGGUCUACCCACUAUCAACACUAUCUUAAGGCAUACUCUGGUACCCAAAUCUGGAGAUCACAAGAUGAUCAGAGGACAUUCCAUCAACUUGCUGCAAAUCUUUGAUGUCCCUUAAAAAUUCAAGGUCGUGAGUCUGAUUGUUGAGACAAUCAAGAGGACAGCUGCUGACCAGAAGAGAUCUUGUGGGUAUGCUCCACACAUUCAGGUGGUCAUCAACUCAAAGAUGGGCACAGGGACUUACAUGUUGGACAAAGAACAUUUACCCUUGUAUCCAGAUUUUGAAGAUAAUGAAGUUGUCAUGAAUGAGAAUGAACCUUCAUCAGCACAAGCACAAGAGAAGAGAGCUAAAGCAAAGGCAGAAAAGGCUGCAAGGAUGCCAAGUGCCGAGGAAGCAUCUCAGGUGUCCCUGAAGAGCAAGAAAGAUCAGCUUAUAUCUGAUUCAAGCUACAUUGAGGAUUGAGAAGGGCUUGGCCACCCUGACUCAGAAUCAGGAGAGCUUGGAGAGGAUCAUAGAGACAAAAUAUUAUGAUCUUGAUCUGAAGGUCACUGAGAUACAGAGAGCAGUUGAGCAGCUCCAGGAGGAAGCAGGAGAGAGGAAAGGGAAGGCAACUACAGAUGCUUUUCGGCGAGUGCCAAGAGGUCAGAGGUCUGCUGCAGUGCCAGUAUCAGAUACUAGAGCUACAUCGUCAGCACCAAUAGCUACAGCUUCAGUGCCACCUCCAGCAGCCACUCCACCAGCUCCAGCUACAUCCACUGAUGCCUUCGUCCUUGGAGUUCUCUCUACUCCACCUCCUGAAGACCAAGCCUGAGAGACGCAUAGCACUAUGCAUUUUCGAACUUUUUGAUAACUUGUUGCCAAAGGGGGAGAAAUGUAUAGAUCAUAGGCUUCGAGAGAGAGUGUUUUGCUUCUUUGUCUCUCUUGAUUUUGGUUGAACUUUAUGGUGUUCUUGGUUGAUACUCUAUGUCUGUGUGAGAUACUUGUUUGAUCAUGGGUUUGAUCAUAUGCUACUUUAAUGCUUGCUUGGAUGGUAUUAUCUCUUAUAUCCCAUAUAUGUUCAUUCACUUUGCUUGGUGAUGAAUGCUUUCUUUUAAUUUCCACGAUCCUAAUUGAUUGUGCAUUUGCAUUCAAAAGAUGUAUGUGACAUGGAAGAGUAACCCAUGAUCCUAAUCGAUUGUGCAUUUGCAUUCAAAAGCCUAUUUUUAAUAAUGCACAAAUUUAGGGGGAGCUCUUGCUUAUCACAUACUUCUCAAAGCGACGAUGUAUUUCAAUCUUAUGAUCAUUUGUCAAAGCUUUGAUCUAUAUGUUUUCAUCAAUUAUCAAAAAGGGGGAGAUUGAAAGUGCAACUAUCCCUGGGUGGUUUUGGUAAUUCCUAACAACAUAUAGCUCAUUGAGCUAAUGAUAUCUCAACAUAAAUAUUUCAGGAAAGCUCAAUGAUUAGCAUCGCAUGGAUUAGAAAUGUGGACCCCUCAAAAUGCUAAGGACAAAAUAUUGGCUCAAGCUCUAAAGCUCAAGACUCUACAUUUUACUUUUAGUGAUCCAAGAUCACAUUGAGUCCAUAGGAAAAGCCAAUACUAUUAAAAGGGGAUGAGGUGUUGCUUAAUGGGUUGCUUGCUCAAAAUGCUUAGUGAUAUGCUCCAAACCAAAAGUCAAACUCGGCCCCACCGAAACAUUCUAUCCGGCGCCACCGAGUUCUCUUGACAUAGCCACUGUCACAAACCCUAGUCACUUCCGGUCUCACCGAUAGGGACUCGGUCUCACCGAGAUGGGAUUGCAAAAUCUUUGUUUCCCUUCGUACAUUUCGGUCCAACCGAGAUGAGCGAUCGGUCCCACCGAGUUUGCAAUGCAAACUCUCUGUUUCCCCUUCGUAACGUUUCGGUCUCACCGAGAUGAGUGAAUCGGUCCCACCGAGUUUGCCUGACCAACUCUCUGGUUAGCUUAUUACCAAAAUCAGUCCCACCGAGUUCGUGUAAUCGGUCUCAUCGAGAUUACGUUAUGCCCUAACCCUAACGAAAUCGGUCCCACCGAGUUGAAAUGUCGAUCCCACCGAAUAUCCUAACAUUCACAUUUUGAACUAAAUCGGUCUGACCGAGUUUCAUUAUUCGGUCCCACCGAGUUUGAUGAUUUGUGUGUAACAGUUAGAUUUUUUGUGGAGGCUAUAUAUACCCCUCCACCCACUCUUCAUUUGUGGAGAGAGCCAUCAGAACAUGCCUACACUUCCAGCAUACAUUUUCUAAGAGAGAACCACCUACUCAUGUGUUGAGGUCAAGAUAUUCCAUUCCAACCACAUAAAUCUUGAUCUCUAGCCUUCUCCAAGUUGUUUUCCACUCAAAUCAUCUUUCCACCAAAUCCAAAUCUGUGAGAUAGAGUUGAGUGUUGGGGAGACUAUCAUUUGAAGCACAAGAGCAAGGAGUUCAUCAUGAACACACCAUCUAUUACCUUUUGGAGAAUGGUGUCUCCUAGAUUGGUUAGGUGUCACUUGGGAGCCUCCGUCAAGAUUGUGGAGUUGAACCAAGGAGUUUGUACGGGCAAGGAGAUAGCCUACUUCGUGUAGAUCUACCCUAGUGAGGCAAGUCCUUCGUGGGCGAUGGCCAUGGUGGGAUAGACAAGGUUGCUUCUUCGUGGACCCUUCGAGGGUGGAGCCCUCCGUGGACUCGCGCAACCGUUACCCUUCGUGGGUUGAAGUCUCCAUCAACGUGGAUGUAUGAUAGCACCAUCUAUCGGAACCACGCCAAAAAUCUCCAUGUCUACAUUGCGUUUGCUCCCUCCAAACUCCUCCAUUUACCUUCAUGUGCAAUGUUUUACAUUCCGCUGCUAUACUCUUAGACUUGCAUGUGUAGGUUGAUUGCUUGACUAGUGCUAAGUUGCUAAAAUCUGCCAAGACUUAAAAUUGGGAAAAGGCUUGAUUUUUAUUUGGUCAAGUAGUCUAAUUACCCCCCCCCCUCUAGACAUACUUUCGAUCCUACACCAUUCCACUUGCCAGUCAAAAAUGAUGAGUCUAUGCUCAAAUAUGGACGACACCCUACCUUGAAGCCAUCAAUGCUAGGCUUCAAAGCCAUAAUAAACGUAUAGAAAAGUACUCUUCCAUCCUCUGUUACCUCAGUAUCUAUCUCCACAACACUCCCAGGUGACCUCUUCUCCACCUCUGCUUUGAAAUUAUAAAGCAUCCUAAAAGUAUUUGCCCAGUCACCAUAUAAUUGUUUCAUUGCCCUUUGUUUUGCCUUCCACACCGUGUUAUACUUCUCCUUAAUGGGGUAUUGCUUUCCAAGUAUACUUUAAGUUUCUUUGCAGUGGUGUUUGGUUUCUUGGCUAGAAUAGGAGUGAUCUUUUCUGCAAUCCAAAGCUGUGAUGUCAUGGUUGAUACUCUCGGUGAACUUGUAAUACAAGUAUGUUGGUGAGGGAUUUGAUUCACCCUAAUGGUACUUCCAUCAGGUUGGCGUCUAGCAGAUAUGUACUACUUGCAAGGCUUGACACUUCCAUCAAAACCUCUACACCUUGCAUAAAACUUCUUUCUAUCAGUCCACUUAGUCUUGGCACCAAACUCAUGUUUGACUGCAUAUGUCUUGAAACACAUCCUAAACUCAUCCAUGUUUGGGAACAACAUCCCCACUUCAAUAACAGGGUUUUCCUUGUCAUACACAUUUACCAACUCAUCAUCAUGUGCAUCAUCUACAUCAUCUGCAGCAUCUUCCAUCAGCUAUCCAUCCAGAUCUUCAGUUCUAUCUUUGUUAGCAUCAGUAUCAGUAGGCAUACUAGAUUCACCAUCCUUCUCCUCCUUAUCUUCAUCAGCUACUGGAAUGCCAAAUUUUUUGGCCAUCUCAGUGUCAUCCAUUGGUGCAAUGACUAAAUCAGUUGGGUCAUUUAAUUCUACUGAAUUCCAAUCAACAUAAACAACCCUUCCAACACCCUCAGAGCCAUCUUCUGCAUCACCCCCCUCAGGUAAUACUGUCACUUCACCUGUACACAUGGGCAUUAUCUGCCUCUCUGAAGCCCAAUCAUCAUCUACCAUUUGUGAAGCUAACUUUGAGGGCACAUAUCCAACCUUAGAAUCUGAUUUCAGAUCAACAAGCUAUGCAUGAAACAUAGUUUGUUUGGUUGUCCAGCCAUCUUGUUGAUCAAUUUCAUCAACCAUGUCUUCACCAUCCUCAAUUCUCACAUACUCUCCUUUCCAAUUAUCAAACCGUAACAAUGCUACCUCUUGCUCUGGACCCCAAAAAAUGCUCUCCCCAAUUUUUUUCCACCACAUUCUUCAUGGCCUUCUCUUCCAUGCUCUGUAGUUCUUGUGGAUCAAUCUCUGCAAAAUCAAUCUCCGGAUGCUACCAUCACCUAUGUCCCGCAUGCUACCAUCACCUAGCUUCGCCUUAGAAGGAAGGAAUUCCGCAGUGAAUUUGAACGUCCGAGCAACAUCCCCCCUAUUUCGGGGCAGUGUGAGGUGAGCUACCGGAAGCAGACGAGGCACAAAUCGCAUUCCUUGGAAAGGAUGCACAUUAAGGGAUUACCUUCUAGAUGUUGUUGUCUCUGGCGGCUCCAUCGCGUGCAGGCCCCCCUCCCACCCACCCAAAUCUGGAUCAAAUUGACCAAAAACACCAAAAAACAGAGGGAAAGAGAGGCGGUGAGAUCUAGCUCGACACGGAGGGGAACGGGAUAGGGUUCCUGAUUCACUCAACACAGCCGCCGCCGUCGCCGAGAACGAAAGCUCCUCUGCGCUGCUAUCACCGAGAACAAAAUCUCCGGCGCCGGCGCCGGCUCACCGCCAAGAACAAAGAGGGGGGGUACACGUUCAGAUAGGCAUGGGGACACGUUUCACCUGAUGCACUGCCAAGUGGGGCCCGCAACUAGAUGCACUGCCAAGUGGGAUCCACAUGUCUUAAACAUAACCUCACUCCCGUUGACGACCAGUUUAAUCGCCCGAGUGGACCUUGGCUAUUUGGGCCUCUGAAACAUAGUACUACAGUUAUUUUCGUCAACUAUGUCGCUUUCCUUCCAUUGCACCUCAAAUAUGUCGCACAGGAGCUAUUGACCCCUUGACUUGUUGCAGCUGGCCAUUUUCUACUACGAAACCAAUUUUCUAGGAGUAAAUAAAUAAAUGAACAACUACAGCAUACAUCAUAUGAGUUUCAGACUUUAUGAAGCCUGAAUGUUGAAAAAAUAAGAAAAAGAGACAACGUAAGGACCUCUGCUCUGUCGUGCCGAUGGAUGACAGAAGCUAAUUGCAGAUGGCCGGAGUUGCGACAUCAGCCUCUUCGAGACACGCGGAGACCUCCGUAUCUCCUCGAGCUCUCCUGCCGCGCGGGGCCGUCAGCGCCCAACAACCUAUGCGGUGCCGCCGCCGUCUGUCUCAUAGGGAACAGCAGAAAGGCCAUUUUCUUUCGGGUGCUUUGAUAAAAAAAAUCAUAUAUUACAGGUGGGUCCAGGACUACUUAUCAACAAUACAUCUCCUUCUCAAUGUAUCCGAAAUGGGGAUUUUGAAAUAUAUUAACCGGAGUCUCUGAAAUCUAACACACUAAAAUUCAGGAACCUAUGAAAACUGGUACAUUUCUUCAUCAACCAUCCUUCGAACCUCAUGUGGCAACGCAGAUAUCAGAGCAUGUGUGUCUUCCUUCUAAGACUUUUGCAUGUUGCCCCUCUAUGCUCCUUUUUUACGGCCAAUGUGUGGAAGGUCAUGUCCAUAACCUCAUUGAUAGUCAAAACAUAGACGAUGAUGAUUGUGAACAUCCGCUGUGGCUUCAGAUUGCGAUGAUGUUGCCUCAUCCCCCAAUUGUGUAGACACAGGCUCCCAUUACACAAAGGGAAUGGUGGGGCGAAUAGACUCGUACCUCUGAAGAGCGAGGAGAAGAUACAUGUAUUUGUUUUCCUCCAAUAUUUUAGAUGGGCCUAGGACAGAUUGAGAGGGGAGCAAAUCCGAAUUUAUACCACACUCACAUUGACAUCCCAAGAUGGUGGAGUAUAUAUAGAACUUCUAUACAUCUUGUUUUUAAUAGCUCAUUUUUAGGAAGGAAAAAAAUAAAUUGUUAUCAUGGGAUAUGUGUUGAGCAGGUCAUUCAAAAAUGUUUAUUUAAUCAUGUGACUGAAUACACCAGAAUCAUGUGAUCAUCCUACUUGCAUGUUUAUGUUAGUCUCCAACUUCCAAAGUAGAACCUAGUAUACAUGGUAUUCUAGUUCUCUCCUGUGUACCAUCACUCCAAGUCCAUUGCAUCAUGAAAGACGUGUGAAACGUGAGAACUGGCAUUGCAUGAUUCUUCUCCAUCUCUAUGUUUCAUCUGGAUAAAGGGUGUCAGAGUAGAUGAUGGGUUUAAUGGCAGAGAGGGGGGGGAGAGGGAGAGGGAGAGAUCUCAUUCUUGUAAAAUGUAAAAAAAAGGAAUGGAAGGAAAGGUCCACACUUAGACAAACUGAUUAGAUCCGUAAACUAAUUAGACCCGCAAAAAAAGAUGACGCUAUAAAUAUCUCAUAACAACAGAGGGAGAGGAAGGCCAUAGCUUUUAUUGUGUAUGGUGAGACCGGCUUUUCAACACCCGGGUGUCAGACACCCGGCUAUCAGGCCGUUCAGGCAAUACCUCUCAUUGGGAUAUGUGUCUGGUCCUGCACCACCAUUUUCAUUAGCAGGCAAGGUGAAUAGUAAAUGGAUGUGACAACAGAGAACGGCCAUAGAGCGGACGAGCUCGCCUGUGUUGAACAGCCUGUCACGUUACACAAGGUGCACCGAAGCAGGAGUAUUGAGCCGCACCAGAAGUCCCAAUAUAUUGGUAGAGAUAAGCUAGGUAGUUAGUUCAUAUCUAUCCUUUGUAACCUAUUCUAUCUCUUCUCCUUCAAGUCUCCUGUAAUAUCUCAACUUCUAACUUGUAUGUGCUUCAGGGAUUGCGCCCCUGCCUAUAACAUGCAACGCGUCCCCUCGCACCGAGGUAAAGACGUUUCCGCAUCUCGCACAUGGUAAUCAGAGCCAUCCUACUUCCCAUCUAGUUUUCUCUCGAUUCCAAUCGUGUCCAAAAAUCAUGUCUUCCUCCUCCGGCAUCUCUCACCCUAGCCUCAGUGGGCAGGUCAUUGAGAAACUCUCCCGCACGAACUACGUGCUAUGGCGCACACAGAUCACGCCACAAUUGCGUGGCGCCGAUGUCUUCAGCUAUGUUCAUGGCACCUCGCCGGAGCCGGCCAAGCUCCUCGCCGCCAAGGACAAGGACGGCAAGGAGACCUUCCAGCCCAACCCUCUCCACCCCAUCUGGGUCAGGGAGGACCAGCAGGUUCUCGGCUACCUGCUGAGCAACCUCUCCAAAGAGGUGCUCCUCAUGGUGACCACGAUCACCACGGCGCAGCCGCUCUGGACGACGCUGGCGGGCAUGUACUCGUCGCAGUCGCUUAGCCGCAUCAACAACAUCCGUACCUCGCUCAUCAAUGCGCAGAAGGGCAACCAGUCCGCCACCGCCUACUUUGCCUCCAUGCGCGGUCUCGCGGACGAGCUGGCAGCGGCCCGCAAACCCAUCCAGGAUGACGAACUCAUCUCGUACAUCCUCCACGGGAUGGAUCUGGAGUACCAGCCCCUCGUCUCCGCCCUCGACACCCGUGUUAGCCCCGCCUCCCUCGACGAAAUCUUCUCCAUGCUCAGCAACUUUGACCAGCGCAUGGCGCGGUUCCAUAGCUCGGGCGGCGGCAGAUUCAAGUCCUCCGCAAACGUCGCUACCCGUGGACGUGGCGACGGCUCUCGCUACCGCGGUCCUUCCCGUGGCAAGGGGAGGUCUGGUGGCGCCAGGACUAGCAGCGGUGGUGGGAUCAGUGGCGGUGGCAGGCGUGGCAACAAGGGUCGCCGUGGUGGCGACUCUGGUAGAACCCGCCCGGACACGCCGCGCUGUCAGAUUUGUGGCAAGCCGGGGCACACUGCCAAAGACUGUUGGUACCGCUAUGAUGAAGACGAGGACGACUCUCAAGAUGAUGGAAAGGUCGCUACGGCGGCUGAUGGCUCCUACGGUGUUGAUACCAACUGGUACCUCAACAGCAGCGCCACUAAUCAUCUCACCGGUGAGCUUGAAAAGGUGACUCUCCGUGAGAAGUACCACGGCAAGGAUGAGAUUCACACCGCCGAUGGUGCAGGUAUGAGAAUCAGUCACAUUGGUCAUUCGGUUAUACAUACCCCUCGUCGUAAAAUUCAUCUUAGGAAAAUUUUGCAUGUUCCUAGUGCCAACAAAAACCUCCUUUCCGUUCAUAGAAUUGCACUUGACAACCAUGUCUUCAUUGAAUUUCAUCCCUUUUUCUUCUUGAUCAAGGAUCAGGCCACGAGGAAAACCCUAUAUCGAGGUAGAUGUGUUCGAGGACUCUACCCGUUGCUUCCGGAGUUUAGAAGACACAAUAAACAAGCCUAUGCUGUUGUCAAGCUUUCUUCAACAUGGUGGCAUGAUCGUCUAGGAUAUGCUUCUUUUUCUUUAGUUGAACAUUUGCUUAGGAAGAAUAAGCUCAUGUUUGUUGGUGAGCGUCAUGUUGAAACUGUUUGUGAUUCAUGCCAAAGAGCAAAAAGUCAUCAAUUGCCUUAUCCUGUUUCUACUAGUGUUUCUACUCAACCUUUGUAAUUAAUCUUUUCGGAUGUCUGGGGUCCUGCUCCUUGUUCGGUUGGUAGACACACAUAUUACGUAAGCUUCAUUGAUGACUAUACCAAGUUCUCAUGGAUCUACCUUCUCAAGAAACGAUCCGAUGUUUUUCAAGUUUUUCAAAACUUCCAAGCACUCGUUGAAAGAAAUUUGACAGCAAGAUCAUUGCAGUCCAAUCUGACUGGGGGGGAUACGAAAAAUUAAAUUCCUUCUUCCAAACCCUUGGCAUACCCCAUCAUGUUUCAUGCCCUCACCCUCACCAACAAAACGGCUCUGCCGAACGCAAGCACCAACACAUAGUUGAAGUUGGUCUAGCUCUCCUAGCCGGUGCUUCCAUGCCCCUCAAGUUUCGGGACAAAGCCUUUCUUACCAUCGUCCACAUAAUCAACAUGCUUCCUAGUCGUGUCAUCAACAACGAAACUCCCAUGGAAAAACUCCUUCACAUCAAACCAGACUACAAGUCUCUCCGUGUGUUUGGUUGUGCUUGUUGGCCCAACCUUCGUCCAUACAACAAUUGAAAGCUCAUAUUUCGAUAAAAACAGUGUGUUUUUCUUGGGUAUAGUGCCCAACACAAGGGUGUCAAAUGUCUAUAUGUAUCCACUGGUCGCAUCUAUAUUUCACGUGAUGUUGUUUUUUACGAGACCAAGUUCCCAUUUGUUGACCUUCACCCCAAUGCUGGUGCACUCCUUCGCAAAGAGAUCCUACUUCUCCCUUCUCAUCUCACUAGUUUUGAUCAAGGGGGCGAUAAUUGUAAUGAUCAAGUGUUGACUGGCCCUCUUAAUACCACAUAUGAGCCUGGUGAUGAUGCAGGAGAAGGCACAGAAAAAAACAGCAGUCAAGAUGGUGAAGAAAUGCGCUCUACAGAGCCAUAUUUCAUGUGUCCAGGUGAAGGGAACAAGUCCCCUUCGGGAUCCGUGCUGCCAGGCGUGUCAGCCGCAUCAUCCUCAGGAGACCGCGCAGACGCGUCAGGGCGGCCACGCGAAUCUGCACCAGAAUCCGCGCCAGCCUCGUCAGGCGUGGUCGGGAGCGAGCCAUCGAGCGGCGACUCCGAGCCAGCCACGCGGCGCCCUGUGGCUGGGGAACACGCCUCCUCUGCUCCGCGCCAAUCACGCAUUUGAAUAUUCAAGCGUUUGAAUAUUUUUAAUAAAGUAUUGCAAAUGUUAAUCAAGCAAUUGAAACUUGUUAAGGCCUUGUUCGGUUUGGCAGGGUUUGAAGAGGUUUGAAAGGAUUGAAGGGGAUUAAAUCUCUUGCAAGUCAAAAUCCUUCUCAAACCUCGCCAAUCCCCUUCAAUCCAUGUGGCAAGGGGAUUAACCGAACAUGGCCUCAAUGUGUAUAGAAAAAAUGGUUGCCAUGUAAACAAAUAAUUAAUAAAAAAUAUACAAUGUGUAGGAAACGAAUGUUGAUGGUGUAUUUAAAAAUGUUGAUAAAUAAUUAUAAAUUUAUCAAUGUAACAAAAUAAAUUUCUCAUGUGUUCAACAUUUGUUAGUGGUCAUAAUACUUUUUGCGCGCACAAUGCACAUUUCUUUUAUAAAUCAAGAACAUUUUUUUACAUUCUUAAUAUUAUAAAAAUACAUAAUUACCUUUCUUAAAUACAUUUUUAUGGUGUCUACUUUUACUUAAUGUGCAUAUUACAUUUUUGUAUAACUGAUCAGCAUUUUUAUAUACACGUUUAACAUUUUAAAAAAUAUGAUCAAUAUUUUUCCAUAUGAACAAAGCAAAGGCAAUAAAAACCAACUAAAACCUAAAUAGAAACAAAUGAAAUAAAAAUAAAAAAUAAAAAAACACCGCAGAAAGAAUAGAAAACAGCAAAAAUCGAGAAAAAAGGAAAAAUGAAAAAAGAAAGACACAAAUAGAAAAUAAAGAAGAAGAAGAAGAAGAAGAAGAGAAAUAAAAGAAAAAACAUCUAAAAACCAAUAAAGAAACAGAAACAGAUCAAAGAAAACAAAGAAAGCUAAAAGAAAUGAAGAAAUACACAUUCACCAGUGACGCGAUCAUGAGCGGGCAUUUUUUUGUUUUGUUUUGAGAAAUGGACCUCCUAGUUGCUACACGAGAGAGUUAUUCCUUCCGGGUAAAGAAGCUACGAACUCGGGUGAAGCAAGACAUAGCUCUCGCGGGAAAAGAGAGCUCCUCGUUGGCGCGUUAAGCGAGGCGCACCUAUGUAUCGCUUGAUACGAGAUGAAACAUGCGACCGCUUAGGGGUCGCAAUACAUGGUUCGGCCCAGAUAGGUUCCAGGUUAGGUCAUCCUUUUUCAUGUGUUUCUACUUUUUUCGAAAAUAUUGUAAACAAAUAUAUACAAAAACAUAAAAAUUGUUACUAAAAAUAGGAGCUGCAAUUUGAAAAUGUUAAUGAAAUGUAUGUUAGCUUAAUUAAAAGAAAUAUUGGUAGCGUACAAAAAAUAUGACAUUUAACAAAUAUUCACGUGUUUCAAAAGUAGUAUGUGACUUUAUAACCAUGUAUUUCAAAAAUCUUAAAUUUGUAUGUAGACUCUUCUUUAUUUACACAAAAAAUGUACAAAUGUGUACGUAAAAAGUAGACAUAAAUGACAUAUAUUUGGAAAAUGACACUUCUGUAUUAGAAAAAUAUUAAAUAUGCAUCCAAAAUGUUCUUGAUGUAUAAUAAAUUGUACAAUACGUAUAAAAAUCUACAUAUAAACAAUUAUUUGAAACAAAAAAAUUAAUCAUGUAAAUUUGCCCGUCUCCGCGAGAUCAAUUUGUGGUUCCGAACAACGAGCUCGCUCAACGCAGAAGCCAUGGCGGUGGUUGAGGCGCUAGACAAGGAGGUAGUGUCAAGGUGUUUCCCUGGUAACAAGAGCAACCAUGGUGGUUCUCUAAAUAAUGGAGGAGGCAGAGUCAACAGAUCCCUCCAAGCAAUUCAAGUGGGCGGUGUUCAGGUCCCUUACCACAAUUUUCCUUGCGUCUGUGGAGGUGGUAAGGGUGUUACCGACAUCAAGAAGCAGUUCGAUGCUGAUUGUGAUUUCAGAUGAGGAGCUUGAGCUGCAGCGGGUGAAGAAGAAGGGCAUGGUGGUGAGUUUCCCACACGGCUCCGCCAGGCUCCAUGCCCUCUCCGCGCAGAGUAGGUGUCUCCCCGGAUGGUAGCUGCUUCUAGUUGGUGGCCGCGGAGGAUUGCGACUAGGCUGAUGCUGGAGAGGGUUGCCCGCCGGAUAUCUCAGGCAUAUUUCUAUCUGCUAAAUAUUUGCAUUCUGCUUCACAUAUUAGUGAUGGUAGAAAUGUUUUGGGUUGGAAUAAAAUUCAAUUGAAACUGAAAAAGAAACAACAUAAAUAAACACGUCCAGCUACAUGAUUCUAGAGUUUGUGAUUGGGAAAAUAAAGUUGAUGAAAAUUCGUCUUCUGUUUGUUAACCAUGUAUAAAAAUAUGCUUAUCAUGUGUAAAACAUUAUUUAGUGGCGCUAAUUGCUUUUGCACGCACAAUGCACAUUUUUUGUACAUCAAGUACAUUUUUUCUUAACAUUUUAUAAAUACAGAAUCAAUUGUUUAAAAAAUAUGCCGUCUACUUUUAUUUAAUGUACAUAGUAUAUUUUUGGUGCAAAUGAUCAGCAUUUUAAUAUAUACAUUUAACAUUUUUUAAACAUGUUCAAUGUUUUCCAUAAGGACGAAAAAGACAAAGAAACCACCUAAAACUGAAAAAGAAUCAAAUGAAAAAAUAAAAAUAAAAAAGAAAGAAAACCACCUCAAAAAGCAUAGAAAACAGGGAAAACCAUGAAAAAAAUGAAAACAGUGAAAACGAAAGAUACACAAAAAAUGAAAAAAAGGAUGAAUAAAUAAAAUAAAAAACAACUGAAAACCAAGAAAGAAACAAAAAAACAUGAAAGAAAACAAACAAGAAUAAUAAUAAAUCGAAUGGAGAAAAAAAUAAAAAUCGAUGGAAAAUAAAUAAACAAGGAAAACAGGCGAAGAAACAAAGAAAAAAAGAAGUAAACGGACCUUGCCAGUUGCUACGCGAGAGAUCUAUUUGUUCAGGCAAGAGAAGCUACGAACUGAAGUGAAGCGAGAUAUAGCUCUCGUCGCACACGAGAGUUCUUGGUCGGCGGAUUAAGCAAGACGGAGCGUGCAAUAGCUUUGGUGUCAGCUAUACAUGGUUCGGCCCAGAUAAGUUCCAGGUUAGUUCGUCCUUUUUAUGUGUUUCUCCUUUCUUUUGUUCUUAUUUUGAAAAAUGUUGUAAAUAAAUAUAUACCAGAACAUAAAAUUUAUUUAAAAAUAUAAAAAUGUUGAAUGUGAAUGUACUAAAUAUGUUAGCUUAAUUCAAAAAAAUAUAGGUAGCGCACAAAACAAUUGUGACAUUUAACAGAUAUUCACGCGGUUCAAAAAAAGUAUGCAACUUUAUAACCAUGUAUUUCCUAAAUGUUAAACGUCUAUAAAAAAACUCUUCUUUAGUUACGCAAAAAAUGUAGAAUUGUGUAUGAAAAAAGUAGACAUCAAUAACAUAUAUUUGAAUUAUGUUACUUUUGCAUUUAAAAAAUGUUAAACAUGCCUAAAAUAUGUUCGUGAUGCCUAAAAAAUGUUGCGAUGAGGAUGGCUGUCAUCUCGCACCCGCCGACUGCUUGAACAGCUAGCGUCGCUGAGCUUGAGGAACCCCUUGUAGGGACCAAAGCAGACAACCUUGACGUUGCUGGCCUCCGUCGGCAUAUCAACAAAGCGCGACGCUUUCACUGUCGGACCAAAUCAGAGAUGGAUUAGGUCUAAAAUAUAUAUUUCUUGGUUAAAGGAAAAACAUGUAAUAACUGAACUCGCACUUAAGAAUUAAUCAACAUGUUGAUUCCACCGAAGCAUGCAUGCCUCCUGGAUGCUGAAACACGACUCACUGACUAUAAAAGCAGAGGACUCACUGACUAAGUACAGGAGCGAGUGACCGACUCUCGGCUCGGGUGAGGAUAAAAAAGAUCACCUGCUGCUGCUGGUUAUUGGUAAAAUCCAUGUGAGUGCUUGAUAAAAAAUUAUGGAACAUUGUAUAUGUUGUUACACAUAAAUGUUGGGAUAAAAAGAAUCAUCUUGGUACACUGCCUAGUCUUUUGGUGGACAGAAGAUUGUAUGGUGCAAGAAGCUAUUCAGAUACAACAACACUGGGCUACAUGACAGGAAUGGUGUACACGCCCCAAGGGCCAGCAGGCAGCAGCAAACCAGGUCAAGAUGAGAUGGUCUGGGCCUAGGAUGUUGAUUCAGAGAUGCCUGACUCGACGCCAAGCAGCAGCCACCCUACACCGCAGGCCCCGGCAGUUCUCGACCGAGAGCGACUGCGGCACAGUUCAGUUGUAGAAGCAAUCACAUGCCAUUCCCCCAGCAGAGCAGAACAGAGCAGAGCAACAAUCAGGGAUCAGGCCUGUCAUUGAAUAGAAGCUGAAUGACCUUCAGCUUCAGCUCCGGCAGGCCUGCCUCCGCUCACGGACUAGCCUCGGUAUUUCCUUCCAUGUCUUCGGUUUCAAUGGUUUGAAUUCCGUUACUGCACAUACCAAAAACGAUGUCAGAAAAAGCUUGCACAAAUUAAUGUGUUAUAUCAAAAUAUAUAGCAUGAUGGCAUUCAAAUAAUGGAGAAGAAACUUCUGCAAACGUGUUAGACCAUUAUGUACAAGGGAUGGAACGGAUGACUGCAUCUGUUUGUUAAAUGUGGCAAAGAUAGAAGGACGUGCUGCAAGCAUACCUUCAUAGCAGGCAUCUAGUCGUUUGCGGCUGAUGCUGCCCAGUUGCUGCUGCAGGCAUCUAGGGAGCUUCUUUAUAGCAGGGCAGCCUCUAAUUUGAAGAUACACGAGAGACCUGUAUACUUGCAGCUCAUUCGGCAGGGAUGCCAGGGUACUGCAUCUGUCAAGAUAAAGGACAUCCAGCGAUGGGGGGUGCUCUCCCGACAGACACUCCAGCGAUGUCAGCCCACUGUUUCCCAUAAUCUGCGGUCCCUUGAGGGGUGCAGGUAGACGGAGAGUCCCACCCAACAUGCCAGCACAGUCCACUAUUACUAGAGAUUCGAGAUGGGGAGGAAGUAAAUGCUCUCUUGCAGUUGGUGUUGCUGCUGCUGGUGGCUGUGGCAUGAUAGGACUUCUGCUUAUGGAGGUAGUGACUUCUGGUUUCUGGAGCCCACCCAGCUGGCAUGAUAGGACUUGAAUACUACUACAGCUAGCAAUACGAAUGUACUUUAAAGACGGAGGAAGGUUCAGAACCGCUGGUAAGCUUCCACAUCCAGAUAAAAGUAGAUCUUCUAGGCAUGGACAAAAGUGAUUCAUGGGUGAGGAUGGCAACUCUGAUACAGCUGCAGCCCUGAUUGCCUCACUGCUAGAAGAUACUUGGACUAACUCUGCCAUGCCCUGCUGCUUGCUGAAUAUGGAGUCAAGCUUAAUGCACCUAUCAAAAUUCAUUUUCUUGAGAGAUGCCGGGACGUUGAACAUCUCUACUAAACUUGGGCAGUUUUCUAAGCAAAGAGACUCUAGACCUCUCAGGUGCUGACUCCUUUCGGACGCCAAUGGCUCAAGAGGAGCUUGUGCAUAUCCAAUCAGAUUUUCACAGUUUGUAAUCGCCAAGCUCCUCAAGGACACCAAGCUUUGGAACACUUUCUCUGGCCAGUGGACGAGCACAUCGCAUCUAUCAAUUUCCAACUUUUCAAGAUCUACAAAAUACUCACACGGCUCUAAUGCACCCGAUCCAAAGAACAAGUUGCAGCAUCUUAGCUCCAUAACUGUAAGAGGGGAUUUCUGGUUCCAUUUCUCCUUGCUGUCCACCAAUACAAUUGAAGUGCACUCAACCUCUGAUGUUGUUUCUGUGUUUUCUAGCUUCAGUAUCAGAUUGGUCAAUGAGGGCAAAUAUCUAUCUACAGAAUCGGAGAUCUCUUGCUUGCCAUCUUCAAUUUCUAAUACACUGAGUUUUGGUGCUUCAGGCAAUGCUACCAGUUUUGGGCAUUUCUGGACUGACAAUUUCUCAAGGUGGGGAAACAAUGUACCUUCGACUGCAUCCCAUCUCUGAAAGCUCCCCAACCAUUUCAUUUUGAGCACCUUUAAGGCAGGAAAGGCUGAACGUACCAAUCUAUAACCACCUUCACUACAUGGUUCUUGAAGCAAUGGUGCUUCAGGUAACGCUGUCAGCUUUGGACAUUUCUCAAUUGAUAGUUCCUCCAGACAAGGAAACACUAUCUGUUCUCCUUGAGUCUCUUCGACUGCAUCCCAUCUCCGAAAGCUCUCCAACUCUUUCAUUUUGAGUACCUUUAGGGCAGGAAACGCUGAGCGUACCAAUGUAUAACCACCUUCACCACAAGGUCCUUGCAGCAAUGGUGCUUCAGGUAAUGCUACCAACUUUCCACAAUUACUAAUAAACAACUUCUCAAGCACAGGAAAUAUUGUUUGUUCUUCUUGCCUCUCAUCUAUUUCCCACCAUCUUACAAAACCCAACAAACGUUCUAGCAUUAGUACCUUCAGUUUUGGAAAAGUGAAGCUUGCACUGCAUCUGAACAAAACUUGCAAUCUUUCACAAUGGAAAAGAUGGAUCUCAACCAUGUUUUGCAGCAUACCCAUGCACUCUCCUCCAUAGGAAUAUAUCUUCAGAACCUGCAACCCACCAUGUGGUUCGAAAUUGUCGAGCACCAUGCUGUCACAAACAGAAUUCCAUCUUAAUGUCAGUUCUCUGAGAUCCUUCUUGUUUCCAAGGUUUGCCACUUUUGCCUCUGCCUCUAUAACAUUCUCUAUCUGACAUAGCUCUAACUGACCACCAAGGUUUAAAUGCUGCAGCUCUGCAACAUCACUGCAAUCAGUGCCAGUAACUGCUGCUGCAAAAAAUGUAAGCGUCUGCAGCUUAGUGAGUUUUCCUAGUUCUGGUGGCAUGCUCUUCAAGUUGCGACAUCCAAGAGUGUAGAGGUGACGGAGGGAAGUCAUAUACUUCAUUUGCCUCGGAAGUCGAUCAAGAUGAUAGCAGUUGGAAAGGUCUAACGUUUGCAGGUUAUAUAGAAUACUUAUAUCUUCAGGAAGUGCUUUGAUAUCACUGUCUGAGAGAUCAAGGUACCUCAGGUGAUACAGAUACAUUGAUUUCAGAAGAAAUGAUUCUGUGCCUCUAAUACAGAGCUUUAAGGCAUGCAAAGAGCUAUAUUUUGAUAGAUGCUUCAAUGAGCUUCGCACAUGGCUAUCACAUAUCAGUGUUUGAAUGGCAGGGGAUUUUUUCUCCAGAGCAUCAUUCAAAAUACCUUCUGUUUCUUCACAUGACAAGAACAAAUGCCGAGCAGUAUCUGGAAGCCACUCGGUUUGCCUUGGUUCCAUAGUUGCAACAACUCAUUCCUCUUCCAUAACAGACAUUGCAAUAUCAUGCAUAAGAUCAUGGAUUUUACAUGUAUUUCUGGAAUAAUACUCCCAGUCUUCUUUACUCUUCUCUAUAUCCAGAAAGAAUGACCUUGAAGCAAGCUCAUCAAAAAUAAGUUGUCCAAUGGUUUCAAGACUAUCUUCCUUGUGUUCAGGGAUAAAGCCAUUUGUGAUCCAUAGUUGGAUCAGCUUUGCUACAUCAAUCUUGUAAUCCUUUGGAAAUACAGCACAAAAAGCAAAGCACUGCUUCAUGUGCGAUGACAAGUCAUUGUAGCUAAGCUUCAAUAUUGGCAAGAUUCCAGUUUCCUCAGUGCAAAUGCUGCUUCUAGAUGCUAUAGCCUUCCAUUCUUUCACGGUGGUCUUGGUACGAAGUACAGAGCCCAGUGCACUUGCAGCUAAAGGAGAGCCACGACAUCUGUUCACAAUCUGAUCAACCAUCUUGACUAGCUCAACAGGCUUUUUUUUUCCGGAACUGAAUGCUCGAGCCUCAAUAAUUUCCUUUAAGAAUAUAUCAUCCAAACGACCGAGAAUGUGGGUAUCUGCACCCAUAAUUUCAGCAACUCCUUUAUCACGAGUUGUUGUCAGCACCGCACUACCCAUGACACCAUGCUUAAGAUGGUCCUUCAGCCUUUCCCACUUAUGGACUUCUCUGUUCCAGACAUCAUCUAAUACAAGGAGAUACCUCUGCCCGGUGACCAAUUUCUGAAGUCUCUCUAGUUGUGGUUUGUUUGUAUGAUAAUUUUUCUUGGGAGAUGCUUCAACUAUACUCUUGGCUAGGGAGUUCACAUCAAAGAUAUCCGAGACACAGACCCACAGCAACAACUGGAAAUGCUUCUGAAUUCUAGGUUCAUUGUAUAUGAGCUGUGCUAAUGUGGUCUUACCAAAGCCCCCCAUUCCAACGAUGGCAACCACUGCGAGAUCAGCACUAUUAGCUUGGCGAAGUAGUCUACCAACAACUUCCACCUUAUCUUUGUCUCUGGAUCUGCUAGCAAUGUCUUGCAGGUCGGUGAUAACAGAAUCCGUCUGCCUCCACUGCUUGGACACGGGUGGCUGUGGUCGGUACUUGAACCUAAAGGCAUGCAUCUCUGCUAUGAGCACAUCAAUGGCCUUCAGGAUCCGGCAAAGCUUGCGACCCAUUUUGUAACGGAACACAAUACAGUUGUGAGUAGGGAAGAGUUUAAUUACAUCGAAGCCGAGCUUGCUGUAGUGCCCCUUCUUCCUGGCUUCACGACGGAGUGCUUCGUACUUGAAUUCGUCAAACACUUCAUUUGCCUCAUAUGCCACCGUCUUGAGCUCCUGGAGCCAGGUUUUGGCCCCAUCUCUAUGCUCCGUCGCCUGCUUCUCGGCGUCGGUCAUGACGUCGAGGAUGGCCGGAAGCUUGCGUUUGAGAAUCUUGUGCUGCUCCUCCAUUCCCUCCAUCACCUUGUACUGGUCCAGGAGGGAGUUGCCCGCCUUGUUCACCAGCAUGGACACCAGCGGCCGGAUGGCCAUGGCGGCCACCACCUCCGCCAUUGGAACGCCCACACGAUUGGCACAGCAACACGAAGCAGUGUGGAAUGGAGAAUGGAAUGGUGUGAGCAAGACGUGCUUGCUUUGCUAGUAAUGAAACUGGAAGCCAAGGUGAGUAUUGACUUUCUGGGAGCGAAGUGGAUGAGCUCGCGUUACGGGAACCAAUCACAACUAUCCAAUCCUGAACAGCUCAGCACUGGGCAUUGUUUUUGGGCUGAUGCAUAAUAGGACAAUCAGCAUACCACAUUAACAGCUGGGGGCAUCUUCAUUUCUUAAUGAGACACAACCAGAGUGCAAGACGACGCGGGCAACCAUAAUAUUGCAAGUAGAUCAUUGUAUUAGGUAUUUGUGUCAGUACAUCCAAUCCAGUUUUUCAAAAGUGACGUUUCACUGGCUGUGACCUUAGCAGAUGGUACGAAUUUCCUUAACAAAUACAAAGAGUUGCAGGAAUGCAAAUUAAAUAAUUACUUCCACUGGCUAGACGUGUGACAGCACACCUACUGCCUAACUACAGCAUAUACUUAUCUCAAGUGCCUGCCGCCCAGGGAGACCAGAAUAAUGGUGUUCUUGGAUUAGUUGAACCUUCAAUGCAUCACUACUUAUCACCGAAGCAUUAUUUUAUUGUUCUUUUUUUUUUGGAAUGGCCUCUAAGUAUGAUUGAGUACAGGAUUGAUCUCAGAGCAAACAUAAUCGGCUGGCAGAGAAUUAUGUCUUGUUCAUAUAGUCUGAUGCAAUUUUGUGGUUACACACUCCUCAGUUUUUAUAACUAAAUACAGAAUUUUAAUCUGUUGACAGAUCAGACAAACGUAGAAACAGUUAGCAAGAGCCCCAAUGAGAUUAUAUGCAGCAUCAUUUUAAUCGGAAAGCAAUUGCCCUCAUGAGAUCAGCAACCAUACACAGUGCCAAUAAAAAAAGGUGGCUCGUACUAACGACGCAGGUUUCAAAUUAAUCAAGUGGCUAAACCGAGGCAUCGACAGCCAUAUGGGACAAUGUGCACUUCAGUUAGAAAAUGAACACUUGCAGGCAGUAAAAUAAUUUAUGUCAGUACACCCACGAUAUUGCAAAUAGAGUAUUAAUUACGUAUUUGUGUCAGUACAUCCAAUGCAGUUUUUCAAAAGUGACGUCCCAUUGGCUGUGACCUUAGCAAAUGGUACGAAUUUUCGUUCUAAGUACUACAAAAAGUUGCAGGAAUGCAAAUUAAACAAUUACCUCCCAUGUCUAGACGUGUGAGAGCACACCUACUGUGCAACAACAAAAUAUAUUUCAUCUCGGGCACUUACCGCACAGGGAGGACCACAAUAUUGGUUUUCGUGAAUCUAAAAUACAUCACAUGCUUCCUGCUGAAGAGGGAAGACCCGGUGGCAAGUGGUUAAUUUCUUGUCCUUUUUUAAUGACACCUCUAACUAACAUUGAAGGGGCAUGAUUGAUCUCAGAGAUGAGCAUAAUAAGCUGGCAGAUGACCAUCCCUUGCUCAUAUGGACAAAUGAUACACUUAAUAUACUGAUAUGAUAAAAUACAACUUGACAAUCUCCUGAUAUUCGACGAUGAAAGAUAUGUAUGAGUAUGCGAUUCAAUUUGGUGGGCUUAAUAUGUUCCGUUAUUGAGAGACAGUGAAAAGCGGAAUAAAGGGCAGGGUGGAAUUCUCUAUAUCAGGUUAAGGAGAUCGUCUUAACUAACUAAAAUCAGAUGAAGCCUAACUUUGCAACCAUACGACGGAAGCAACAAAAAUAAAGACAGGGAGCCAGAACAGAACAAAGAUAAAUUCCAGUGCCCUUUUAUUGAUCACUGCCUAUGGCCAUAUAGAUGAGAUCUGGGACUCGGCCAGCUGAAACAUUCCUCUAGAAAGCACAUUUCCGCUGAUGCACAUAUGAAAUACGACAGUACAAAGCAGAAUAAACACUGAGAUUAUACAGAUGAUUGGACGCUGUAACUAAGUUGGAUAUCGCGGCGCGCAUAGGCGGAAAUGAGAGAGAAACGGAAUGUCCAAAGCCACAAAUGUACAUCGCUGUCAGGCUACCCAGCUGAAUCCUGCUUCCUGCUGACCCUCCUGAUUCACGCAGACGCAGCUAGCAUGGAGAUGGGCACGCCUCUCGAAUUCAUGUGAAUCGAAUCGCUGGAAGAGACGGACGGACAGGAUCAAUACCUUUGUGUCGACGGGGAGGGGAGGCCGGAGUGGCUGCCGUCGACGUACGGCGCGCAGCCGACGGGGGAGCUCCGGGACCUUCUUGUCGACACCAUCUGCAAUGGAAGUAAAAAAGAGCUGUUAGAAGAGGAUACGAGAGAGGCUCACGGUAGGAAGGAAUGGGGAAGGGGGAUGAGUGAGUACCUCGAGCGGCCGCGGUGGUGGUGGGCGGGCGGAUGCGGAGGGUGGGAGGGAGGCUGACACCUCCGCCGCCACAGACGUACGUGGAGCGGCCACGGGCGUUGCGUUCUGGUAGAGGCCACGGGCAGUGGGGUCCGGGAGACGUCGUGCGCCGGCGAGGAGGACGGGGAAGGGGAGACGAAGACGACGCGGAUCGGCGGAGUGUGGGCUGGGCUUGUGACGUUGGGGCCUCCGAAAACUAUAGCCCAGUUCGAAUUGGUGCCCUAACACACACAGCGCUUACGUCGGCUAAAUCCUAUUUGGCGCCUUCAGCGCCCGCUAUAGGUCUUUCGGCCGGCCCAGUUUCGACAUUUUUUCUGUGUUUCCAAAAGGCAAAAAGGGCGCUAGAGCUGGGUAUCGAAAACGCUACAACCACUCAACCACACCCCUUGGUGUGAUUGGUUACAUGUUUUCUCGUCUUUUCUUAUGCUUCUUUUCCUUUUUAUUCCUUUUUUUCUUUCUUUUUUCAAAUUCGCAAAACUGUUUCUUCAUGAAUAUUUUCUGCAAAUCGAUGAACUUUUCUCUUUGAAUUUGAUGAUUUUUUUCGAAAAAUUUGAUGAACGUUUUUUCAGAUCCGAUGAACUUUUUUUUGAAUUCCAUGAACUUUUUUCAAAUUCGAUGAACUAUUUUUCGAAUUCAAUGAACUUUUUCUGAAUUCGAUGAACUUUAUUUCGAAUUCAAUGAACUUUUGAUCGAAUUCGAUGAACUUUUUUAAAUUUGAUGAACUUUUUCAAAUUCUGAUGAACUUUUUGAAAGGACAAGAGUACAUACCGUAGCAAAACGGUUUGUUUUUUCCAAGAAAAUCAGUACACACUGUAGCAUUUUUUGAGCGAGAGAAAUAAAAAAGUGAUCGAGCGGUAGCUAGCGACCGAGCGGCGACAGCAGCGAGCGUUGCUGGGCCAGGCCCAUGCAAGCGACGCAGUGGGCGCCGUGUUCACUCGCUCCACCUCUGCAUUGAUGUCUCUAGCUUGUAGCAAUUGCCAUCCUUUACAUGUAAAGAGGAUUUGAUGAGUCAUGUCAUGCUCUAUAGGCGUCAGUUCAUCUUAUCACCUUAGAGGAAAAUACAAAGUUAGUUUUUCGAAAAGCAACCGAGCCUAGAAGAACCGUACCCUCGACACGCAAGGCUUUAGCAUAUCUUAAUAGCCGAGACACGAUUGCGACUUGGUUCCACACAAGUUUCGUCUUUCUUGUUAAUGGCUGACAGCCCAUACAAGAUUCCAAACUCGGUUGCAAAAGUGAUACUAUCCUGAUAAGUGCGUGACAUGUAAAGUGAAUAAGGUGAUUCAUCUAUAGCAAACUUUAGGAUUUCUAUACUUUGUGUAUAAUCAUAUGCACAACUAAAAAGCAACUUUGAUGAUCAAUCCAAAAGUACGCUUGUAGCUAGUGCAACCUAACACAAUGUACCAAAAAUCCAUUUCAGAAACAUCCAAACAUAAUUAUUAAAGCUGAUGGAAAGAAGGAAAGAGAUGGUGCCCGGGCUACUAUAAAUAGGCAUGAAGUAUCAAGAUCAUCACAGGCACAAUCAUCAAAACCAAGCAAUACUAGUUAACACCAAUCCACCAUGAAGACCUUCCUCAUCUUUGCUCUCCUUGCCAUUGCGGCGACAAGUGCCAUUGCACAAAUGGAGACUAGCCGCGUCCCUGGUUUGGAGAAACCAUGGCAGCAACAACCAUUACCACCACAACAACAACCACCAUGUUCACAGCAACAACAACCAUUUCCACAGCAACAACAACCAAUUAUUAUACUGCAACAAUCACCAUUUUCGCAGCAACAACAACCAGUUCUGCCGCAACAGCAACCAGUUAUUAUACUGCAACAACCACCAUUUUCGCAGCAACAACAACCAGUUCUACCACAACAACCACCAUUUUCACAACAACAACAACAACAACAACAACAACAACCACCAUUUUCGCAGCAACAACAACCAGUUCUACCACAACAACCACCAUUUUCACAACAACAACAACCACCAUUUUCGCAGCAGCAACAACCAUCUUCACAACAACCACCUUUUCCACAACAACACCAACAGUUUCCACAACAACAAAUCCCUGUUGUUCAACCAUCCGUUUUGCAGCAGCUAAACCCAUGCAAGGUGUUCCUCCAACAGCAGUGUAGCCAUGUGGCAAUGUCGCAACGUCUUGCUAGGUCACAAAUGUGGCAACAGAGUAGUUGCCAUGUGAUGCAACAACAAUGUUGCCAACAGCUGCCGCAAAUCCCCGAACAAUCCCGCUCUGAGGCAAUCCGUGCCAUCGUCUACUCCAUCAUCCUGCAAGAACAACAACAGGGUUUUGUCCAACCUCAGCAGCAACAACCCCAACAGUCGGGCCAAGGUGUCUCCCAACACCAACAGCAGUCGCAGCAGCAGCAGCAACUCGGACAGUGUUCUUUCCAACAACCUCAACAACUACAACAAUUGGGUCAGCAGCCUCAACAACAACAGAUACCACAGGGUAUAUUCUUGCAGCCACACCAGAUAUCUCAACUUGAGGUGAUGACUUCCAUUGCACUCCGUACCUUGCCAACGAUGUGCGGUGUCAACGUGCCGUUGUACAGCUCGACCACUAUUAUGCCAUUCAGCAUUGGCACUGGAGUUGGUGGCUACUGAUAAGAAAAGAUUUCUAGUAAUAUAUAGUCGUUAGAUCACCGUUGUUUAGUCGAUGGAUAUGUCGAUGUAGCGGUGACAAAUAAAGUGUCACACAAACGUCAUGUGUGACCCGCAAACUAGUAGUUAAAUUCUGGAAUAAAAUACAAAUAAAGUUUUCUCUAGACAAUGUUCAUACCGGCGUUCUGUGGACGUCGAUGUGACUACCAUGCUUGCAAGUUCAUAAGUUCGUCUUGUCUGGUCACAAACCUGGUGCGUUAAUUUAUUAUUCAUGUAUAGAAAUAAUCAAAAUUUAAAUAUAAUAGUGUUAUUGUAAAAUUUUGGUUGAGUUGAAGCAAGGACUAACAUACAACUCUUUAAUGGUUGGAGAUUCAAGAUCUUAUUUUUAUUGGUUUGUAUCUGGUUCCAACUACCACCAUGGUCUACAGUGACAACCACAACUGGUUUGAUCGUUAACUCUCUUUGCUUGGUUUUUUUGCAAAUAUGUUCAUUGAUUCUUUGCACAAUUUUUUUGUCAAGAAAAAGGUCAGCUUUUGCUUGAACUUCACACACACACACCACUACAUAGUUAAUUCGAAAUAAGUUGCUGGUGAUGUCCUAGACCAGCUAGCACAGUCAGUGUGUGUGGGGAGGGGGAGUUGUUGCAUGCGUAUUCUUCGCGCAUUAUUUUAUUUUGUUCUUUUGAUGCUCUUACACCAUACCACAUUUUUACUUGAUGGAAAGCAAAAUAAACAACGCAGCUAGAAACCAUAGAACUUGAUACUGGGUGUGUGUCAACUUCACAUCCUCCUCCUUACGUCAUUUCAAUUGGAAAGCAAUAGCCCUCAUGAGAUCAGAUAUCCAUACAUAAUGCCAAAAUAAACAAGGUGAUGGCAUUAACGAUGCAAGUUUUAAAUUAGUCAAAUGGCUAAACUGAGGCACCGGCAGCCAUAUGAGACAUCCACGAGCAUGUAAUCCAUCUUAUUGCAAGUAGAGCACUGUAUUAUGUAUUUAUGUCAGAACAUCCAGUGCAGUUUUUCAAAAUGACGUUCCAUUGGCUGCAACUAGCAAAUGAUACGAAUUUUCUUUCCAAAUACUACAAAAAGUUGCAGGAUUGCAAAUUAAACAAUUACCUCGACUGACUAGACGUGAAACAACACACCUGCUGUGCAGCAACAACAGAUAAUUCAUCUCAAGCACCUACCCAGCAGGGAUUAGUUCUCGUGAAUUCAUGGAAUUUAGAAUGCAUCACAUGCUUACUGCUGAAGAGACAAGACCCAGAAGCAAGUGGUCACUUUCUUGUCCUCUUUAAAUGACACCUGUAAUUAAGAUUGAGUACAUCAUCGAACUCAGAAGUGACCAUAAUCUGCUGGUAGACCAUUAUUUCUUGUUCAUAUGAACAUACAUAAUACUUAAUAUACUGACAUGAUACAAGGCAACUUGACAAUCUCCUGUUAUUCGAAGAUGAAAGAUAUAUAUGAGUAUGCGAUUCAAUUUGGUGAGCUUAAUAUGUGCCGUUAUUGUGAAACAGUGAAAGACUGAAUAAAGGGACAUAUGGAAUUCUUUUUAUCAUAAUAACGAGUUUCUAAACACAGAACGAAAGCAACAAAAAAUAAAGACAGAGCGCUAAAAUUUCAGAGAAGUUUUUGAAGAUAUAAAAUGCAGUGCCCUUUUAUUGAUCACUGCCUAUAGCCAUAUAAAUAAGGUCUGGGACUCGGUUCGCUGCAACAAGCCUCUAGAAAGCACAUUUCCUCUGAUGCACAUAUGAAAUUUGAGAGUAAAACAUAAAAACGCCGAGAUAUACGGAUGAUUUAAUGAUGUAACUAACUUGGAUAUCCUUCUAGUGACCACGGAAUGGACAAAUUUUCUUCCGAGACGUCGAAAAGGGAUGGAACCUCCACACCCACUGCUUCUCCUUCACCUGCAUAGCGUGCGUAGGCGGAAAUUUGAUGAGUAUUUGAAGUGACAUCCACAUAGAGCAGGAGUUAUUCGGCUAGCAAAGUGCAAAUGUACAUCACUCUCAGGCUACAAGACUGAAUUCUGCUCGAUGAUCUUCCUGAUUCAUGCAGCGGAUAUGCAAAUGGGCGUGCCCCUUAAAUUCAUGUGAAUCAAAUUGCAGAAGAGACGGACAAACAGGGUUAAUAUAUACCUUAUUUCUUGUGUUGACGGGAUGGCUGGAGUGGCUGUCGUCGAUGUACGGCCCGCACUCGACGAAGAGCUUGAAGACCCUCUUGCGAAGACCAUCUGCGAGAGGAAGCAAGAGUUGAGGUCAGAAGAGGGUACAGUAGAGGUUGAGGGUGGGAAGGAAGGCAUCAACACUAGUAGAAAAAGGGCCUAAUGUGAAGCACAUUAGUCCCGGUUUGUAACAAAACCGGCACUAAUGUGUCCAUUAGUGCCGGUUCCAACGGCUAGGCGGGUGGAGCUAAAUUAGACUGAAUUGAACUUGUUCUUUAUAACUAGCUUGGGACAGAAAAAUUACUAUGAAAUGCACUUGAUUAUACUUGAUUUUAUGGGCUACAAAAAAUAUCAUCCAAAAAUGCUCUAAAAAACACGUUCUAAAGUAGGUUUGGCAGGAGAUGCGGCACAUUAUCAUUCAGAAAUUAGACCAAGAUAAAUGUGGAGUUGGCGGCUCAACACUCUAUAAGACUGUAACAGGUUGUCCCAGUGUCUCAGUCCUUUAGGACAUAGAUCCAGAAAAUGUAGAACUAACAUAUUAGCGGUUAGGAUCAUAUUUGCAAUGUGGGAACUUGGUGCGCUCGCUCCAACAUGCCUAGUGGAAGCAUGUGUCCUCUGAUGCACAUAUGAAAUAUGACUGGUACAAAACAUAAGAAACACUGAGAUUAUACGGAUGAUUGGAUGCUGUGGCUAACUUGUGCGUCGCUCCAGUCAACUGAGUGGACGAACUCGCUAAGAGCUUUCUUCUCGGAGAUCAAAGGGGACGGAACUUCCUAAGAGCUUUUGAUUCAACCUCCAUGCUAACUAACUACUUCUCCACCUGUUUAGUGGGCGUAGGAGAAAAUUUGAUGAGUAUUUGAAGUGACGUCCACAUAGAGCACAUAGCUAUAUUCAGUUAGAAAAGCCACAAAUGUACAUCACAUCCAGAUUAAUGGAGGUGGAAUGUGAAUGUGUGUGCCCUUAAAUUCAGGUGAAUCAAAUCGCAGAAGAGCCAGACGAAUAGGAUAGAUACCUUGAGUGGACGUGGAGGACGGAGUGUCUGCAGACAAUGUAUGGCCCACACCUGAAGGAGACCUUCUUGCCGAAAGCAUCUGCAAGAGGAAGUAAGAACAUGGUUGUUGACAUCAGAUUUUGGCAUGGUACAAAAAGCAAUUAAGAUUGCCCCAAAUGGAGAAGUGAUUUACAUGAAAAAGUUCCAUUUUGUCGACCUGAACAUCUUUGAAGUUUGUGCCAUCGCCAUCUAAUCUCAUCUCGAAGGCCAAAGUUAUGUUCGAAAUACUGAGAUUUUGUAUCCAGAGCACUGUUCGGCCGAUUAUGCCUCAAGGGAUGGUCACUUUCUACAUGAAUUGUCUUCGUCUCAUCAAAACGGUCGAUUUUGAUAAAAAUUCAUGUCAAUCCGAGGUUGUAUGUAAAAGUUAGAGCCACCCGAGUGCGGUCAUGAGCCAAAAGUGGCGAGUAAUAGUCUAUUUUGCACGAGCAAUUCGUCCCUGAAGUUGGCAUCUAUUCGAAACAUGUUUAACAUGAAUGUUGUUCGUCUCGGUGAAACGGUUAAAUUUGGUUCUUACACGAUUUUGAUCUGAGGUCAUUUACUACCCAAAAAAUGACCCGCAAGGUGAAGCCAAUUUUUAGAUCGAAUAGUUUUGGGAAGUUCGGAUCGAACAAUCCGAAUAGGAAUCAAAUUAGGGUUUUGGACAUGAAUUCUAACCUUUCCUUGCACGGGAAGUCCAUCCACCUCUUAUAUACAUGAGGGGUGACGGCCGAUUGAGAAACAACACACAAUCGCAAAACCCAUCUACAAACUUUCAUCUCCUAUCCUACUUUUCUGCUUCUCGUUCAUCAGUGUUCUUUGCUUCGGAGAGCUCUGAUCUAUGAAGUCCUAGGGGUGGGCGAACCAACCUAGGGCAGCCCAGCACUGUCGUGCGGCCAGACAGGGUCUCUUCCGACCGCGUGGGGUUUCGGGUCUUCAAAAGCGCUCGCCGGAUUGUAUUGCGUACCACUCUUCCGGUGAGCCUCCUUCGGCGAUGUGUCUUGCGUAUCGCGCUCGACGCCGAGGGUACACGGUGACGUGUUUGUGUGUGAACACACUUUUUGGCGACUCCGCUGGGGACCAAAGAGCAAUCAUCAUCAUCCAUCAUGGUCAAUCUUCCCAAGCCAUCUGAAGUGGAUGCCGAUAACAUCAACAAGCCCAAUUUUGAGGAAUUAUCGGCAGAACAUCGCCAAGCUUGUGAGUAGUACAAGAAGGCACGUGAAGGGAAGGAGAUGCAGGAGUUCCUUGCUAAGUUCAAAAAGGAUCGCCAAGGCAACAUCACUUCAAUUGAAGAAAUCAAGUUUCCUCCUCUUCACAAUGAGUAGGUAGAGUCGGCUGAAAUCACUACUCUUAUUGCUCAGAAUAAUGAUCGAAAAAAUACUCCUCAAUCAUCUAAUGGUAGAAAAUAAUACUGAUCGAAAAAAUACUCCUCAAUCAUCUAAUGGUAGUGGUAGUAUGUCUGCUGGUGUGGAAAACUUUAGUCCAAAUUUACCUAUUCCAGCGGUGCUGCCCAUGCCAUUGAAUUCUUAUCCCAGUCAGACAAACCAACUUGUUGCUCCACCAUUUAAUCCAGCCAGGAAUAUGCCAAGUUCAGUGAAUCCAACUGCAUUGCUAGGUUAUGGUUCGGCAAGUCCAAGUGGAUUGCUGCCGAACUAUGGUAUAACAUACACACCACCAUCUCUUCCGACUAGCACUAUACCAACUAGUAGAAAUCAUAUUCACCAUGCGCCACAACCACACGCAACGCCGCUCAAUACGAGUGAUAUUUUGGCUAAUGUCAGAGAGGAGAUGUCGAGGGUGUUCCGAGAGCAUUGCGGGAUUGAACUACCUCAACCACGAAUUUCUAGGAAACCAUAGCUAGAAAUUUUUGAUGUCGUGCCAUGUCCUCCCGGAUAUAAAGUUCCAGAUUUUGUUAAAUUUAGCGUAGAGGGAAGAAAGACUACAUGGGAGCAUGUUAGUCGGUACUUGGCACAAUUAGGUGAGGCAAGUUCACGAGACGAGUGGAAAGUACGUUAUUUUCCUUUAUCUUUAACCGGUACUGCUUUCCCGUGGUUUUCUGCAUUACCACCCGGUUCUAUUACUGCAUGGUUUCACUUGGAGCAAAAGUUUCAUGACCACUUCCAGAGUGGUGACAAUGAGCUUAAACUAUCCCAUCUUACAUCGGUUAAGCAAAAGCAUGAUGAAUCAGUCUUCGAUUAUGUCAAAAGAUUUAGAGAUACAAAAAACCGGUGCUAUAGUUUGGUGAUAACCGAGAGAGAUGUGGCUGAUCUCGUGCUUAGUAGUUUGAGAACUCACAUUAGAGAGAAGCUGGAAGGCUAUGAGUUUUCAAGUAUCAACCAUGUCUUAGAAAAGGGCUUUGGCUCAAGAAAGCCAAAGCAAAGAGUUUAAAGAGGUGCAUAGGUAUAACACUGAUCAUCCUAAGAUAAAUAUGAUUGAGUAUGAUGGUGAGCACUCGGAUGAUGAGGGUGAUAUUUAUGAUACUGAAUUUGUUUGGCCAUCUAAGGCCAAACCAUUUACUUGCAAUGAUAUAAAGCCAAUUUCAUAAGAAUCGUGAUGAAGAGAUGAAAAUUACUUUCAACAUUACUAAGUGUGAUAGAAUAUUUGAUGCUUUGUUGCAAGCGAACAUUAUUAGAAUAUCUCAUACUUUACCGCCGUUUCAAGAGCUGAAACGGCGUGCUUAUUGCAAGUAUCAUAAUUCUUUUUCUCAUGCCACUAACGAUUGUAAUGUUUUUCAACGACAAAUACAGCCGGCCAUUAAUAACGGACGAUUGAAAUUUUCUCAGAUUCCACUUGAUAAGCAGCCCUUUCCAAUGAACACCAUGGAUUUGGAGGGAAAAAGAUGUUAAUUCGGCCCGAUAUAGCCGAAUCAGCUAAUAAAAAUAAGAUUGUCAUUGGUGAGCCUCAGAAAAGCAAGGAAGACGACAAGGCCUUGGGGAGACAAGUUGUGCUUGACAAGCGACCCGGUGGCAAGGAGAUCAUUAAGAUCACCAUCAAGAANNNNNNNNNNNNNNNNNNNNNNNNNNNNNNNNNNNNNNNNNNNNNNNNNNNNNNNNNNNNNNNNNNNNNNNNNNNNNNNNNNNNNNNNNNNNNNNNNNNNNNNNNNNNNNNNNNNNNNNNNNNNNNNNNNNNNNNNNNNNNNNNNNNNNNNNNNNNNNNNNNNNNNNNNNNNNNNNNNNNNNNNNNNNNNNNNNNNNNNNNNNNNNNNNNNNNNNNNNNNNNNNNNNNNNNNNNNNNNNNNNNNNNNNNNNNNNNNNNNNNNNAAAUUUGUUAAACCAAAGAAUCCAGAGGUUGGCAAGUGGAAGACGAAUGAAGCUAAAGUACAACGCAAGAGAAUCAAGCCAACUUUUGUUAUGUUGCUAUGCAAAUGUGCCAAUCAAGCGGCCAAUUCUAGCUCUAACCGGUCAUCAAAUUUAAAGCUCUCCAGGUCACCUCCUCGACAAGAAUUUCAUCAUCAUGCAAGGCCAUAUGGGUCUUGGGCACCUUGACCAUCGAUGGCACCACCCCCCCUAUGUGUCAUACUACAUGGGAAACUUUAAUGGAGGAUGGGGGCAACCUCCAAUGACCCCUUAUGCUUUUCAUCCGGGUUGGGUAGAACCAAGGAGGCCCGUUUGUGAGAGGCUUUCUUACCCUAUACAUGGCCGUUUGAACAAUGGUGUCAAUCGGCCAAUGCAGGAUAAUCAAAAAAGGUUCAGCAAUCAAGUGUGGCGAGCUAAAUCACCAAGUGCUGAAAUUUCAGAGGCUAGCAACCAAAAGGAGAAGAGUACUAGUGCUGAAACUAUUAUUGUAGGCACUAAAGAAUUAACAAUCAAAUAGCCGAUUAUUGUUGAUAAUGCAGCUAUUUCUAACAAGGAUGUGGCUGCUGUCCAACAAGGUCCCGUGGCUAAUGAUCAUGAAGCUAGCACAAGCAAGGCCAAGCUGAGGGAUCCAAAAUAUACUUAGCCUAAGUGGUGUCCCUCCGGUCUGACCAAGGCACAAAAAAGUAGGUUGCAGCACAUGAGAAGCCACGAGAAGGAGGGAUAAGAAGCGGAGAGGCAAAGGGAUAAACUGUUCAAUGAAACCCGUCCCAUGAUGUCCGCAAAACAAGUGUGGAGGCCUAAGCAAAAGGAAAACAUAGUAGCUUCUGCAUUGGUAAUAACAGCACCUACACCACCAAUGGAGGACGAUGCGACUGCUAUUACAUCGUCCACUUCACCUAUUACUUCCUCUUCACUAGGAGAUAUUUCGGAGUCGAUGGACAUGCUUCAGGAUGGAGAUGGUAUUUUGGAUUAUGAGUCUACACCGGUUCAUGAAGGUAUUGAUAUUAAUAUGGUGCACUACUUACCCGCUGAAUUCCGUGCUAUAUAUGAAGAAGGGCAAGUACCUCAGUUGGAUUUUGGUCCUAAAAAUGCUAUAAUCGAGAAGCCAAAAGAAUGGGUGACGCACCUGAAGCCAUUGUUCCUUAAAGGUCAUAUUAAUGGAUCGCCGAUUGCUAGAAUGCUUGUUGAUGGUGGUCCUGUGGUGAAUCUUAUCCCAUAUUCAGUCUUAUAAAAAAUGAGGCUGCGUGAUGAAGAGUUGAUAAAGACCAACAUGGUGCUCAACGGAUUUGAAGGUAAAGAGAAAAUUGAAGCCAAAGGUGUGAUGUAUGUGGAGCUUACGGUGGGAAGCAAAACUUUGGCUACCGCAUUCUUUGUCGCCGAGGUGCAAGGUAACUCCAAUGUGAUAUUAAGCCAUGAUUGGGUUCAUGCAAACCAAUGUGUGCUAUCUACUAUGCACCAGUUUUUGAAUCAAUGAGUUGAUGAUGAAGUGGAAGUCAUUCAUGCGGAUAAUUCGAUCGGCUUGUGUUGCUUUGGCCGAUGAAUCGGUGGAUUGGCAACAUCCCAAUGCUACUUGCUUGACGGGGCGCGACUUAUCAGAAUUUGAUUUUCUUAGCGCUACAAAAUUGGUUUCGUGCCCCUUUCUAUAAAGCCGGUUGGCGAUAAUCGGCUCCAAGGUAUGAUGUAUUUAAAUGGAUCCUAUCUCAGAGUGGUUUCAAAAGCGUCUUGUAGAAUAUCGGUCCAAUGAGAAUGAUAUGUAUGAGUCCAUAGAAGAGUUAGAUGAUAUGGAUAAAUUAGGACAAGGUUUUACAUCGGCGAUCCAUUAGAAGAGAUAGAUAUAGCAGAUGGUUCAUUUCUUAGGCCGACAUUUGUAAAUAAAAAUUUAAGAGUCGAUCAUAAACUUAAGUUGAUCGAGCUGUUAAAAGAAUAUAUUUGUUGCUUGGCAUGGGAAUAUCAUGAGAUGCCCGGUUUAAGCCGAGAGCUAGUGGAGCAUCGAUUACCUAUAAAGGCUGGUUUUUGACCGUAUAAGCAAUCGACCAGAAAGUUUAAUCCAAAAACAUAUGACCGGAUCAAGGAAGAGAUCGGUCGUUUGCUGAAAGCUAAUUUUAUUAGACCUUGCAAGUAUGCCGAGUGGAUUUCUAACAUUGUACCAGUGAAGAAGAAAGGCUCGGGCAAGUUGAGGGUGUGUAUUGAUUUUAGAGAUUUGAAUAGAGCUACACCCAAAGAUGAGUAUCCCAUGCCCAUAGCCGAUAUGCUUAUUAAUGAUGCCUCUGGACAUAAGGUCAUUAGCUUUCUUGAUGGUAAUGUGGGGUAUAAUCAAAUUUUUAUGGCCGACGAUGAUAUGACCAAAUUAGCUUUUCGAUGUCCCAGUUUCCUUGGUUUAUUUGAGUGGACAGUGAUGACCUUUGGUUUAGAGAAUGCCGACACCACGUAUCAAAGGGCUAUGAAUUUAAGUUUUCAUGAUUUACUUGGUGUUAUACUUGAAGUCUAUAUUGAUGAUAUUGUUGUCAAAUCGGAUGCUUUUGAAUCUCAUCUAGCUGAUUUGUGCUUAGAUUUUGAGAGAAUGAAAAAAUAUUGACUAAAGAUGAAUCCUUUGAAAUGUGCUUUUGGUGUAUCGGCUGGUAAGUUUUUGGGUUUCAUUAUUCAUCAACAUGGCAUAGAAAUUGACCCAAAAAGAUAGAGGCUAUACAAAAGGUGUGGGCUCGAACAUGCAAGAGAGAUAUGCAAAAAUUCCUUGGCAAAGUCAAUUAUUUGAGGAGAUACAUAGCCAAAUUGUCAGGGAAGGUUGAUACAUAGCCAAUUAUUUGUGCACUUCUCUAGUGUUGAAAGCCCCCAAGCAUAGAGAGCCCUUUAGGCUUUAUAUUGCGGAGGAGAAAGCCCCCAGGCAUAGAAAGUCCCCUCAAGAGACCGAAGGAAAGGAGCAUGCUAUUCUUAUUUGAGUCGACGCUUAUUGGAUGUCGAGAUAAGGUAUACAUUGAGAAAUUAUGCUUAUGCUUAUAUUAUGCUUGCACAAAAUUGAGACAUUACCUAGUGCCUAGUACAUGCAUUAUAGCUUUUCAAACUGAUGUCAUCAAAUACAUGUUGCAUAGGCCAAUUCUUAGUGGUAGAAUUGGCAAGUGAGCUUAUGCUUUAAUUGAAUAUGAUUUGGUUUAUGAAUCUCUGAAAUUCAUGAAUGGGCAAAUCGUUGUUAAUUUUGUUGUUGAGCAUCGGAUUGAUGACAAGCAUGAUAUUGAUCUUAAACUUGUCUAUUAGUACCAUGGAGAUUAUAUUUUGAUGGUUCCGUUUGUAGCAAUGGACAAGGUGUUGGUAUUGUUUAUAUAUCUCCUCAUGGAGCUAUUUUUCAAGCCUCAUGCCGCUUAGAGUAUUUUUGUACAAAUAAUUAGGCCGAAUAUGAAGCAUUUUUACUCGGUUUAGAGAUGUUGCUUGCCAUAGGCGCUACACAUAUUGAGGCUUUUGGUGAUUCGUUAUUAGUAGUGCAACAAAUAUCCAGAGUAUUUCAAUGUUUUCAUGAAUCACUUAAUGUUUAUCUUGAUAAAUGUCUAGAUAUAAUUUCUACUUUGGAUUAUUUUAGCAUUCCUCAUAUAUCUAGACAUGACAAUUGGAGAGCAAAUCAGUUGGCACAACAAGCAUCUGGCUAUCAUGUUAAUCAUGACAUGUUUCAUAUUUACCAAAGGCCGAUGUCUAUUCUUGCCAACGUAGGGGAGGCUGAACCGGAGCCCACCGUUUCGGUCACAAAUGAAAAUUUUAAUGUAGAAAAUCUGGACUAGAGGAAAGCCAUUAUUGAUUAUUUGCGUGAUUCUAAUAAAAUUUUGGAUGAGGACCAAGCAAGAGUUGCUAUGAGAGAGGUUCAUGAAGGAAUUUGUGGGACUCAUCAGUCGGCUCCCACUAUGAAAUGGUUAUUGCGACAGGCUGGGUUUGAUUGACCAACGAUGAUUAAUGAUUGCUUCAGGUAUUAUAAAGGAUGUGCAGCUUGUAAAAUGUCUGGUGAUAUUCAGCUAGCUUCUGCUGCUAUGUUACAUCCUAUUAUUAAGCCGCGGCCUUUUAGAGGUUGGGGAUUAUACUUUAUUGGAGAGAUUCAUCCUUCUUCUUCAAAGGGGCAUCAGUUUGUGUUGGUGGCAACUGAUUAUUUCACUAAAUGGUCUGAAGCAAUACCGCUAACAAAUAUGACGCAUACGGAGGUAAUUCAAUUCAUAACUUAGCACAAUAUUCAUAGAUUUGACAUUCCUCAAAUGUUAACUACGGACCAAGGUUCAUCUUUUAUGUCAGAUCAAGUUAGAGAAUUUCCCGAAUCAUAUAAGAUAAAGUUGCUCAAUUCAUCUCCGUAUUAUGCCCAAGCCAAUGGACAAGCUGAGUCUAGCAAUAAAAUAUUAACCAACCUCAUCAAGAAGAAGAUUGAGGAUAAUUCAAGGAGAUGGCAUGAGCUAUUGUCCGAAGCUUUGUGGGCACACAUAAUCUCAAGGUAUGGUGCUACAAAGGUAACUCCAUAUGAGCUCAUAUAUGGUAAAGAGGCCGUUUUACCAGUGGAAGUGAAUUUGAAUGCUUUGAGAAUAGCAAAACAAAAUGAUUUAUCGGCGGUGGACUUUUAUAACUUGAUAAUGGAAAAUAUUGAUGAAGUCGCUGAUAAAUGUUUUGUUGCUUUGAAGGCCAUAGAGAGAGAUAAUUUGAGGGUGGCAAGAGCUUACAAUAAGAAGGUCAAGUUGAAGAAUUUUCAAGUUGGCGAUCUCGUGUGGAAGGUGAUUCUACCAAUUGGUUCGAAAGACAUAAAAUUCGGGAAGUGGUCUCCAAGUUGGGUAGGUCCUUUUAAGAUUACAAGGGUAGUUCCCAGAAACUUAUAUUUAGUGGAAUCCGUACAAAGGACAUUGUUACCUCGAGCUGUCAAUGGCAAAUAUUUGAAGAAGUACCACCCAAGUGUGUGGCAAGAAGCCUAGAUAAUCAAUGGCCGAUAUACGACUAUGGCCCUUAGCAUAAACAUGGCCGAUAUAUAAUUAUCGCACCGAGAAGUAUAAAUGACACAUGGAGUGUUGACAUCGUCCUUAGAAUAAACGCGAUGCAAAUUAUUUUCCGGCAUUCAAGCUCUGCCCAAAACAGAGGAUAAGGGUUGACACCAGAUUUUAGCAUGGUAGGAAAUGCAAUUAAGAUGGUCCCAAAUGGAGAAGUGGUUUACAUUAAAAAAAAGUUCCGUAUUGUCGACACAAACAUCUUCGAUGUUUGGGCCAUCGCCAUCCGAUCUCAUCUCGAAGGCCGAAGUUGUGUUCGAAAUACUGAGAUUUUGUAUCCCGAGCACUGUUCGGCCGAUUACGCCUCAAGGACGGCCUCAAAUGAGAAAACUUUCGACAUGAAUUGACUUCGCUUGGUCGAAACAGUCAAUUUUGAUAUAAAAAUCGUCUCAAUCCAAGGUCGUAUGUAAAAGUUAGUGUCUCCUGAGUCCGGCCCUGUCACGAGCCAAAAGCUACGCGAGUAAUAGUCUAUUUUGCGCGAGCGAUUUGGCACUGAAGAUUAUAUCGAAUCGAAAACUGUUCAACAUGAAAGUUGUUCGUCUCGUCGAAACAGUUAAAUUUGCUUCUUCCGCGAUUUUGAUCCGAGGUCGUUUACUACCCCAAAAAUGACCCGCAAGGUGCAGCCAAUUUUUAGACUGAACAGUUUUGGAAAGUUUGGAUCAUACGAUCCUAAUUGGACUCAAAUUAGGGUUUUGGACAUGAAUUCUAACUUUUCCUUGCACGGGAAGUCCAGCCCCCUCUUAUUUACAUGAGGGGUGAUGACUGCCCCUCCUAGAAAAAACCAGACUGGGAGGACAUUUUUUUCCUGUCCGAAAGCCGUUUCCGCCUCUUGGAAGAAGAAGAAGAAAAAAGAGAAAACACGUUUUUUUUCGUUUCCGAGAGCCUCUCGCGGAAACAAAACAAUGCCGCUCAUGGAAGAAAAACAAAAAAAUGCAUUUUUUCACGAAAGCAAAACCGUGCCUCUCGUGAAAGAAAGAAAAGAGAAAACACAUUUCUUGUCCUUUUCGUGAGGCACGGCAGUGCCUCUCGCGGAAGCAAGACCAUGCCUCUCGCGGAAGCAAAACCGUGCCUCCCGCGGAAGAAAAAUACAGGGAAAACACGAUUUUUUUUCGUUUAUGAGAGGCACGACUGUCUCGCGGAAGCAAAGCCAUGCCUCCCGCCGAAGGAAAACCGUGCCUCUGGUGAAAAGGGAAAAAAAGAAAACGUGUUUUGUCACAGGAAAAAAAUUAAAAAAAAUUGGUCCAAAACCUAGGGAAGACCGGUGAACAACCAAAAAGCCGGAAAAUUAAAAAAAAAAACAUCUAAAAUACCAGAUGGAGGUUGAGAGUGCACCAAGUGACGCGCUCUCGGCCCAUCCACAAAUGACCCUUGGGAAGGGUGGGAACGAGCGCUCUUUAGUAUUAUUUUUUGAGGCAAACCGUUCUUUAAUUAGUUGCUCCGGGGAAGGGGAAUGGAAGACGCAGAUCGGCAACGUGUGGGCUGGGCUUGUGACGUUGGGGUCUCAGAAAAUAUAGCCCAGUUCGAAUUUAGUGGUCUCAGCAAGUAAAACCAGCGCUUAUGUUGGGCCUAAUCACUCACUCCAGGCUGUGGGCCUCGCUAGCAGCCCCAUCUUACCAUUCCCCUCGUUCUCUCUCUCUCUCGCAAAAAAAAACCAUCAUUUCCGUCAAAAAGAAAAGACAUCUACCCGUCUCGCCGCCAAGAGAUCCAGGAACCCCGGGGUCGUUCCAUUGUUUUGCAUAGCGUGUAGAUUAGGUUUUCUCUGUUAGUUUUAUGUGUUCUUAGUGGCGAUGGCUUGACGGUGAAGGCGAGAGUGAUGAUGGUCUCUCGGCUCCAUUCCUGUUCUGAUUAUGCGUUCCCGGCUAAGAAGGCCAUCAAACAUAACAUAAAUGGGGUGCUUUCUUUUCUUCUUACCGAUCUCCUCCUAGUUUACCGGCUCAAGGUGUAUCGGCUCUACAAACAUCUUGUAUCCACCUCACGUCCUGGGAAAUUACUGUCGGUAACUUUCAUCGUAUUGCGAUAACAAUAUUUUCUUUCAAGAACCCGCCUUCCUUGAAUUUCGUACAAAGUUAAUUGUCAAUGUCAUAACUAAUUGCAAGACCAGGUACAGCUCUUCUCUACAGGAAGUUACAGUUUCUAAAUUGCAUGACCCUGUAUCACUUUAUGAAGCAAGCACAUCACCUUCAGCUCCUCAUUUGCAAACUUAGGACCCAUUUGGACCACAUAAAUUUUACAAUAUGUUUGCUGCAUUUCACAAGAAACCAUCGAUUUUGUGAAGAAAGAAUUACAUUGUUUCAUCGCCGUUACAACACAACAUUAAUCAGAUCACCUUAAUACCUCCCACUGCGUUUUUUUUUGGAAAAAUACACAACAUACUGAUUGACCUUAAAGAAUGAAGGAGGCCAUAAGGUCUUGUACAAUGCUAGGUGUUUAGAAAGAUAAACCGGAUUUUACUGAUACACCGGUGCCUAUUUCUACCGGAGAGACGUCUAAUUAAGCGUAUACCCUGUACAAAUAAGUAUCAGUGCUUAAGGAAAGCCUGGUUUAUUUCUCGAAGCACCUCUCCUAAGCACCUUGCAGUGUACAAGGCCGAGAAGAAAGCUCUGACUUCCUAUUGUUGCUGCAUCAGCAGGAAAAGUAGUCUUCAUUUCAAAAAGAAGCUGAAAGUGCUAGAGUGAAAAAUAUCAUAUGUACAGAAGCUGGAUAUAUAUUACCAGCAAGGUGGAGAAGUGGGGAAAAAAAUGCUCAAAUGUGGUUAUCAAUCUUUUGAAAUGCAAGCAAGUAAGCGGAUGGGUGUUUGAGCUAUCUUUGUGUGAUCAGAACAAAUCCAUGUCCAUUAAUUAGUCUUAAUAUCAUCUUCACAGUACCAGGGACUCCCGGAUACUAAGAGUGCUUAAUAAUCUUAUAAUUAGGUGGAGACAUUUUCAUUACCUGCAUACAAAUGCGUACGAAUGAUGAUAUUUUAUAUUUUUUUCUUUGCAACUUCGGAGUGCCCACAAAGUGAAAUAGAAGGUGUAAACAUAACUUCUUUCAACCUCCAGUAAAAGUAACAAUUCUCUCUCCAUGUACCACUCUAUACCAACUUCUUCAAUACCUGUUGACUCUCAUGUUUUUGUUUUCCUUCAAUAUUUCAGACGUUCUAAAGCUCGGUCGAAAUCACUCGAGCUGGUCAACCCUGCCCCCGUGUCGCCCGCAACAGACGAUACGGGGAAAACUUUCGUCGCCGCCGGUAGCCUUCCUCCGCCAGUGCCCCUCCCCCCCCCCCCACAUCGCUGCCGCAGGAGGGUCGGCCAGCGAAGUCGCGCCGCGCUCGGGGAUGGCGGCGGCGGGGCGGUUUCGUACCCUCCCCCCCGAUGCGCUGCCCCAACAACCCCUUCGCCGCCAUCACCUCCCCGCGCCGCUGCUGCCGCGUCGCGCCUGAGGGUGGGGGCGGCAGGGCAGCUUCAUUCCCUUCAUGCUGUAGCUCCUCGUCCCCAACCUCCUCGCCCCCCAGAUCCAAUCUGGUGCGCCGCGGGCUCCCCUACCCUCCAACUGCUACUGUGUUCGUCCUGCCUGUCCGACGAGGUGGCGCGGCCGUGCCCGUCGUGCACCUCCCCAGUCUACCUCUUUCACCUUGCUGGCGCAGCUUCCUUCUUGUUGUUGUUCGCUGGGGCAUGCGAGGACUCGUGUGGAGGUCACGGGCUGGCCAAGGCUCGGUCUUGCCCCGUGUUGCAGACCACCCUUCGUCUCUGAUGGCGUCUCCUUCUAGUUACGGCGGCGACCUCUGCCCGUGUGUGGUCAAGGUGUUGUUUUGGGCAGCGGGAUGAAGCUUCGCGGUGGGUCCUUGCCGACACUGCUCCGGUCCCAGCGGCCAUCGACCAGCGUUCUUCGGCCUCCCUACCGCCGUGAAUUCAGCCCCAACACUCCGGUCGCUGCGUCUCCUUCCGGCAUCUUCGGUUUGCCGGUGUUCUGGUGGUUCCACCUCCGGCAGCUCGGAGUUGUGCUCCCUUCCGCCUCCAGCUUGUCAGCGGCGCCGGUCACCAUCCCACCCUCCAUGCCGGCUUUCUACCAUGCUGCCUUCCCGACCCUGUCGACACCCGCAACAUGUCAUUUCCAAAGCUCGUGUUCUUUCGGCAGCAGGUGCAGCCCCACCACCUCCGUACCGGGAUGGUGGUUGACUAGCGGAUUGUCUUCCUCAUCUUCGGAUCCUGAUUUGGCAGCUAUGGCAUUGCUCAGACUAAGGCCAGGCGAAAUCCAUGCUCUGCUUGCCAAUGUUGGCAGAGGCGACACUCGUGAGUGCUUUGCCAUGGCCUUUAUCCGGGCCCCUCUUCGAGCGCUGGGGGAAACCCUAGGUCCGGUUCUUCGGAUCGGAUGGUGGCGGUGUCACGAUGUCGCACCCCUUCCUGAAGGCGCUAUCUUGUUCGCCCCCGGUGUCCCUGUUUGUUUGAUUUUGAGAUGUUCGACGUCGUGCUUGUUCGGCCUGCCUCUCUGUUUAGGAUUUGUGGGUGUAGUUGUGUCAUUUCCCCUGUUCGGGCUGAGCACCCCUUGUCUCUCUGCUCCGGGUUCCAUGAUCAUGCCUCUUUGGGUUCAUGCCAUGUGUUGUAUCCUCUGUUGUACGCAUUCUCUUUCUUCUAUCAAUAAAGGAUAUGCAAGCUUUGUGUAUUCACAAAAAAAAAGACGUUCUGAAGCUCUGAAGCUAAAGAUGUAAAUAAAUCUGAACUCUCGCACUCACUUUUAAAUCGUGGGGCAGUAUACUCUAAUCUAUCCAGCUCUUCCUGUAAAACAAAUAUACUGUCAGCAUGUGAUUUAUCAUUCAUGAAUCGUUUAUCAUGCCAUUUUUAGAAUGUGACUGGCAAAAUGGUGUGACUGUACAAUUCUACUUUUUUCGAAAAAGAGGAUUACCCCUAGUAUCUACAUAGAGCCAUGCACACAACCAUUUUAUUAUAUUAUUUAACGGAACCAAACGAAACAAAUAUAUGGAUCAAGCCAAAGCCACCUCCCUAGAAACUAUUGUCGUUACACGUACAAGCUUUAAUGGCGUGCCCUGACCACUUAUCAACACACAUCAUAUAUUCCGGUCGCCUCACCAAGAUGCCUGCCGGCAAUUUGAGAGCAUCUACCGGUCUAGCUAGACCCUCUGCACGCACAUCAUGCACACGCUUUAGAUUCAGCCACCGCCAUGUUCCGCGGUCCCACCUUCAAGAGCGAUCAACGUAUUCAUCUCGCUAGGCCAUCUCGACACCAGAUAGCUCCACUAUCCAGCGCGGGCGCCCGUCGCCGACACUCCGCCGUGCCACGCCACCGAGACCCUGUGUCGUCCUUUCGGUAGAUGUAACACCGCUCCUCCACUUGUCUCUUCCAGUCGGCUCCUACUCGAGACAAUGCCCCUAGGAGGGAGAACGGCGCUGAAGGCACCAUCAUCGUCCGAUCCGGGAUACCCAGAACUAGAGUUUCCCCCGGAACAACCCGAGCGUAGUGACACAACUUACAAAUGACGAUGCCUCGAAAAAGGAAACAACGUUAGAGACGCCACCAUCUGCCAUGACCGCAGUUAGCACAAUUUCACCGGAAGUCGCGUCGACAUGGAGACGUAAGCUGUCGCCGGAACGUCGGCAUAGGGCCUCCAGUCGCCCCUGACCUGUCCCUGCACGCAUCGCCUGCCGGCCAAGGCCACGCCAAGAUGGAUCUGGAUGGGACGCUAGUUCCGCGGCCACUGCCGCCACCCAUCACAUGGUCGGCCAGGUCAACGACUAAUCCCACAGCCAUGGACAAACCGGUCGCCGCCGCCAGCCCGGGUCACCACCCUGACCGCACCGGCUGAAGACACAGGUGUCGUCGCGAGAUUGAUACGGUGAACAAGGCCCGAAUCCCUCGUGCUCGACCUUGAUCAGCCACACACAAGCAUCUCUCCACGCUGACGAGGGGUCCACUAUGGGAUCCAUCGCGCCGACUUCCGCCACCGCGCCGCGGGAAUAGACUGCCCUGAUGCUGCCGCCCACUGAGGCGGGCUUCGCCUGUUCGGCCUCCUCCAACAGCGUCCGGCCGUGGGCUGCNNNNNNNNNNNNNNNNNNNNNNNNNNNNNNNNNNNNNNNNNNNNNNNNNNNNNNNNNNNNNNNNNNNNNNNNNNNNNNNNNNNNNNNNNNNNNNNNNNNNNNNNNNNNNNNNNNNNNNNNNNNNNNNNNNNNNNNNNNNNNNNNNNNNNNNNNNNNNNNNNNNNNNNNNNNNNNNNNNNNNNNNNNNNNNNNNNNNNNNNNNNNNNNNNNNNNNNNNNNNNNNNNNNNNNNNNNNNNNNNNNNNNNNNNNNNNNNNNNNNNNNNNNNNNNNNNNNNNNNNNNUUCAGCCUCUCCACUUGUGGGAACAAUAUCCUUGAAUGUUUAGUUUCUCAUAUCUUUACGAAAACGGAGUAAGGGAAAUAUCGUGUGUGGUUGCAGGGAACUCACAUCAAAUGAUUGGGAGAUGUUCAUAAAUCAGUGAUAAUAGCCUUUGCAAACAGGCUAAUCCCAAAUGAUUCAAUGAAACCAACCUUCAUGUACUCAAUGAACGUAUUAUGCAUGUUAUGCUAGUUCAAGUCAUACUAAAUAUCACUUGUCUGGCAAAUAACAACAGCGUUCUCUGAAACCAUUGCAUCAUGAGAGAAUUGUGUGAAAUGGAAAUUGACACGAUUUAAAUUUUCAGGUUCCUUUCCUGGUGAGCCUAUCAUAGUAAAGAAACCUGGAAGAAAACAUUGGAGAAAGGAAUUCACAAAAUGCGGAAUUAUUAAUACUAAAUGACUGUUGAUGUUCAAAUGCAUGUCAGUUCUAAAUAAAUAAAUGAUUUUCUUCUUCUUUCUGCUCUUCAAUGUUUUCUUCCCUUACAAGAUUCUAGCAGUCUUAACACCAUUAUGGCCACAGAAAAAAAAAACAUCUAUCCCAUUUGUUACACGAGCUAAAAAUAAAAAUAGCACAUGAGCAUGGGCUGCAGAAAUGCACAUUCUUACUUCUAAGAAUAAUGUCAUCAAGAGAAGCAAAAGGCUGGUUUUUUGUGACAAUAAUUUAUUCAAUGAAAAGAGUGAGCCCGGGUUGCACGAAAUAUGAGUUUAUCUAUUUUUCUUCCAACAAAAUAUCUGGUCUACCAUCACUGCACCUUCGAACAUCAGAGUGCACACAGAACAAGAAAUAAAGAAGCAAAAGGGCCCUUGCGUAACUCAUGUAUUUUCAAACAAUGCUACAGAAAAUAUCCCUUAUACUCCCUCCGUCUAGGUUUGUAAGUCAUCUUACGAAAACAAAAUAAUCCCAAAACACUUAGGCGCGGUGCGUUAACUUCUACCUCGUUUCUUGUUUCUUGACAUAUCAACCAAUAAGAGAUAUGGGUGUGCAUGCUUUUAAUGACUUGAGACUACCAAACACGACAUGCAGUGGUUAGUUCAUUGCAUGCAAUGCUAUUAAUUAGCAAAAAACAUUAAGUUCUCUCGUUUUCCCUCCUCCUUGGUCACGGUGCACAACAUAAGAUGACUUAUUCACUUAGACGGAGGGAGUAUCAUGGAUUUGCGCCUGCAUCAAUUGUUUCCGAGUGCUGUCAAAGAGAAAAAUUUACUAAGAUUUCCAUUGUCAAACUGUGAUGUCCGACUAGUGUUGGUGGAAGAAUCACAUAUUGGAGAGGAUAAUUUGGAGUAGGGGAUGAGAAGAAGUUGAAGAACAGAUGAAGAGGGUGAGAUGUAGAACAGAGUAGGUGAGAGUUCAAACAAUUCUCAUUUCAUCGAUAAGUUACGGCACAUGUCUGAUUCACUUGCCCCUUUUAAACACAUAGGCACUCUCUUACAAGUGGGCCCUCAAAUCCACACGCCCAGUGCACUAGAUGAUCUUCCUAUGGCUCACUCCUAAGUUGUCUCUCUCUAGUUGUUGGGCCCUUCGUCCUCCAUAUCCUAGUCCUCCUCAUUCCACUGGACUGGGAUCUUGAUUUCCGUCGAGGGUGUGGUAGAGAGCAGAUGCAUGACACAAUCUUUGUUCCAUUACGCUUCCUCAAAGUCGCCAUUUUAGACAUUGUCAUGUCUACAACACACAAUUAGACGCUUGGUGACCUGUUGCUUCAAAAAUAUAUUUUGAAAUCAUGUGCCUAGAGGUGUUUUGAAUGUAUGGCUACAAAUGUCACUGAGGUUCCUAGUUCCUGUUCCAUCAGCAUACCCUGCCGAAGUGGUAAUCUGACUUCAAGUGGAAUAAGCAAGACAGGAGAAAGAAUUAAGGUGGUAUUCAGCUCGUUUUCCCCUCACCUUUUUGACUCUCACAUUUUUGUUUUCCUCCCAUAUCUUAGAUGGGGUGAAGCUAUAUGCAUAAACAAAUAUGAAUUCAUAUCACACUCACCUCGACAUCUCAGUAGUACAACACAGGGCUUUCGUCACAGGGCAAUUUUCACAUUAGUCCCGGUUCAGUCACGAACCGGGACUAAUGUGAGCAUUGGUCCCGGUUCGUGCGGCUAAGGCAUUAGUCCCGGUUCACCUGGGCCCUUUAGUCCCGGUUGGUGCCACGAACCGGGACUAAAGGGUGCGAUGCCCAUUAGUACCGGUUGGUGGCACCAACCGGGACUAAAGGUCUAACCUUUAGUACCGGUUGGUGCCACCAACCGAUACUAAUGCGCUUUGAGGCAUUAGUACCGGUUCAUGGCACGAACCGGUACUAAAGGGCCCAUUUUCAAACUCUACCCCCCCUGGUGGACCGCCUUUUCAGUUUUAGGAAAAACAAAAGAAAAUGAUGGAAAUGUCAAAAAAAUAAAAUAAAAUAAGUUUCCCAUGUGAUAUGUGGUCUAGUUGUUGGGAAAAUUAACAAAUAUGAAUUUCGACUUUAUUUGCAAAAUCUCUCUGAAAUUUCUUAAAAUGGGCAUAACUUUUGCAUACGAACUCGGAUGAAAAAGUUUUUUAUAUGAAAAAUCAUCUACUCAAAAUCCUCAAAAACCUAACAGAAAAAAAGAUACGGGACUUUUAAGAUCUGGAGAGGCAAAAAAAUUCAAAAAAUUUCAAUUUGUGGUCAAACUGUGGUCAAACAAUAGUCAAACUAAUUAUUCUAGAAUAUUAGUGUUACUAAAUAAUUAUUUCAGUUUUUUUGAAUUUUGGUCAAAUCUGGUCAAACUGUGGUUAAACAGUGGUCAAACAAUGGUCAAACUAAUUAUUCCAGAAAUAUUAGUGUUACUAAAUAAUUAUUGUUUUUAAAAAUAAUAGUUUCAAACUCAAACAGUGAAAUAUGUCACUUCAUGCUCAAGCUAAAUUCCUGAGGGUUAAUAAAAUUGACAUCUUACUAUUGUCAGGAAAACAACAAGUGCAGACUUGGAAACGAGGGAGAAUAGAACCCAGAAGUUAAGCGUGCUCAGGCUGGAGUAGUGAGAGGAUGGGUGACCGUCCGGGAAGUUAGAUGAUUUGAAAUGAUGAGGGGUGAUUAGAGAUUAGAGGAUAAAUUGAGCAGUGAUGAGGGGUGGUGAUUAGAGAUUAGAGGUUAAAAUAAUUCAGAAAUUUGAAAAUCAAAAAAAAAGUUCGCAAAUUUUUUUUUCAAAAAAAAUAUAUCAUAAAAUUCUGCGUCCACGUGGACGGCCUUUAGUCCCGGUUCGUGUCUAAAGGCUUGGGUAUAUAUAGACCUUCUACACGUCUCCAAUCUCUAGUAGCUCUUCAUAUGAUAAAAAUAUAUUGUGAGUAUGGGAUAUGUGUUGAGAAGGCCAUUCAGGAAUCGUUUAUCAUGUGAGUAGACUGCAAAAUGACAUAACCAUUCCACGAGCAUGCUUAAGUUUGAAAACUCUUUCCCGGGAAGUAUCCUAUGUGAUUGAAUGUAACUCAUAAUUAUUAAAGAAUGUAUAGAAGUUUCUAAACGAGCGAGUGGUUGAAUGUCAAAUGCAUCUGAUACUCGGCGAAGACUUAUGUUUGCCAAAUUCGGUACUCGGCAAAGUUUCGCCGUGUUUAUUAUGGGCUCUGCCAAGUUUCUAAGAAGACAAUCCGGGUAGUGAUGGAUGCCUGAUCUUUAACAUGGAAUGUCUGUAUACAUAGUCCUCAAUGUGGGGCAUAAUGUAGUAGCCGGACAAGACGCUUGAUUAAUCUGGUUCUUCUCUACAAUAGAAACUCGCCUUGUACAUGAACAUAUUUUGUUUUGGGUAUAUAUAGACCUUCUACACGUCUCCAAUCUCUAGUAGCUCUUCAUAUGAUAAAAAUAUAUUGUGAGUAUGGGAUAUGUGUUGAGAAGGCCAUUCAGGAAUCGUUUAUCAUGUGAGUAGACUGCAAAAUGACAUAACCAUUCCACGAGCAUGCUUAAGUUUGAAAACUCUUUCCCGGGAAGUAUCCUAUGUGAUUGAAUGUAACUCAUAAUUAUUAAAGAAUGUAUAGAAGUUUCUAAACGAGCGAGUGGUUGAAUGUCAAAUGCAUCUGAUACUCGGCGAAGACUUAUGUUUGCCAAAUUCGGUACUCGGCAAAGUUUCGCCGUGUUUAUUAUGGGCUCUGCCAAGUUUCUAAGAAGACAAUCCGGGUAGUGAUGGAUGCCUGAUCUUUAACAUGGAAUGUCUGUAUACAUAGUCCUCAAUGUGGGGCAUAAUGUAGUAGCCGGACAAGACGCUUGAUUAAUCUGGUUCUUCUCUACAAUAGAAACUCGCCUUGUACAUGAACAUAUUUUGUUUUGUGGAACUUCCUCCGGAUUAAAAAUACUUGAAGAUAGCAACAUAAUUGAUGAACUAAAAAAUGGUACUCUGGUAGCAAUGGGAUAAAACAAUAUUAUGCCUUUCUUUCAUUAGUUAACUAAAAAUUUGUGCUGCAGUAGUAACGGGAUAAAACAAUAUAAGUAGAAACAAUUUUGAUAAGCAAUAACAUUUCCUUUUGCUAGGGCAACGCUAUAGGUAACUCCUACAAACUAUUUCUCCUAGGUGUUGAUUAAUAAAUUAGCCAUAUGCAAAAUUAAACUGCAGUGGAUUAGUAAUACACGGUUGAAGUCAACACUUCCGGUUAAUCUUAUAAAAUCUAGCCUCUUUAGUCUCCAAUCUCACAUUGAGACAUGGUUAAUAGUUGUUGGUAUAUCUAAAUCCUAUGGGAGGACAUCCUCUUAUUCUCAGACACAUGAGCCCAAGUAUCUCCACAAAAAGUUCACCAGACAUACAUAUCAUGUCCUUUCAUAGCCAUCCAAAAAAAGGAAGGUGCUAUGAUGUAGUGCAACAUUGAUGGAAUAAUACCAAAAAAUGUAAAAAGGGUGUUUCAUUCUCAAAAAUAACUUUGGAAGUAUAUCGGUGAACCAUCUAAACAGGAACAUACUAGUAAAUUUGUUGAGGAAAUUGUUAACUGGUAGCAGCUUGGUUGGCUAGGGAGUAGGGGAUUAAUAGGGUGAUCGGCAAGUUUAUUGGCCUAUUAAGCAAUUAAACGGAGGAUUUAUCAGUUUAUUGGCUACAUGGUGACCUUACAAGUAGGGAUUAAUUCCCAAGUUAACUGGUUAAUCAGACGAAUUCUUCAACAGGACCAGUAAUCAUGCUAAUAUGGUACAUGAUAAUCUCUUAUGGUUGAAUGAAUAUGAGUAAUGUCUGUAGCUAUCUUUAACAGUAUUUUAUUGAGUACCUAAAUAUGUAAAGUUCAGUAGUUUGUACUAUCAUGUUAUUGCACAAAAAAAAAGGAAAUCUCUCAUUCCAAUUUUUUUAGCUAAACUAAACAAAAGAUACUAGCAUGUUGCUCAGGAGAUAGGAAUGGUAGCAGGGGUAGAUAGCCAACAAAAACAUUAUGUUAUUACAGUGUGAAUAAUAAAUAAGAUUAUUUGGAUCAUAUGAAGGAUAAAGCCAUCAAUCUCGCCCAUGUGCAAUAAUUUUAAUUUGUCUUUGUGUAGUAUAUAUUGUUGAUUAAUCAUUCGUGAUGAGAUAUGCACCUUCAUAUGGUUUAACAAAUAGAAGAUGGGUGGCGCCAGAAUAAUUUUUCUGACCGUGCAAAGAUAGAGAUCUGCAUUGCUCUCAUCAAUGACCUGCAACGAUUCAUGCAUGCUUCUACUAUGAUCCUUGAGCCUAUCAAAAUUAAUUGCUAUAAUCUUGACUGACCGAGCUACUGAUAUGUGGGCGUCUUGAUGAGUAUGGCGAAUUCUCUUUUAUCUUGGUGGUUGUUCAUUUCAUAGACAUCUCAAUAUAUUGUUUAUUUGGAUGGUUUUGUCUCCUCCUUUAUUUUGGGGUUAUUUUUACAAAGAGAAGUCUAGUUUUCUCCCUAACAAUUUCACAUGGAGAAGUGUCACUCAUAUUUAUUUCAAUCACAUUUACCUCUUGACCUUAAUAUUCACUCACAUUUACCUCCUGACCUUUUGGUUUUGGUUUAAUUUUUCCAUUAAAAUUUCACAAAUGAUAGAAUCCUCCCUGGAAGUUUUAAGAAAAAAAAAAUCUAGUAAAGGCAUAUGUAAUUUUUUUGUAAAGGAGAAUGUAUUAAUAUCAAGCAGAUACCAAUUAUUCCCAGACUCUGCAACAACAAGAUGCCUAAAAACAUCCAGGAUGCACACAGCUAAAAAUUAAAAUAAAAAGGGAAGAAAAAAUGAGAAAAAAUAUCCCGCCACGGUGAUCAAUCACCCGAUGUAGCCGCACUCUAACCACCACCAAAGAUGUCACCCGGACUACAAAAUAGGUUCUCCAAAAGCAAUGCCUCUAGAAAGGAAACAAAACACAAGCAUUGUCGUUGCCCGAUCAAAGAUAUUACGUUUUCACCCUGGAGAAAGAUCAGGUUCCCAACAAUAAUGCCUUCAACAAGACUACCGCCAGGCACAACCAAUAAAGGCCAGACCUUGGGUUUUCACCUUGGAAAUCCUGAUUGGGUACUCAAAGGAGCACCGAAUAACAAAGAAGUCCUCCAAUGCCGCCACCCCCACUUGCGGAGGCUAAUACUGCAAGUCACGCACCAUUAGGCUCACAGGAAUUCACAUCCCGCCUGGACGGGAACAUAUCCUGUAAGCCAUGUCUAAACAACUGCCUAUGAAGCAAAGUCUUCAUCGCAUCCAAGACCUCGCAUUCGCCACUUGCAAGUCCUUCAAUCACGCCAUGGCAUUCUCCGUAUGUGUUGAUCCCAUGGAAAUCUUGGUGCAGACAUGUCCCAAGGUGCCAACAAAAACAGAGCUUCACGAUACCCCGGUAAACCUGGUUAUGCUGAUGUUGCGGGUGCGCACGACAGGCCCCUAUCUAGUCAAGGUGUCCAAAGAGCGCCAUAUGUGCCAGUCCUUUUUUUCCUUCAAAGGAGAAGUCCGGAAAUCGCAGAUGGCCAGAUUGAAGAUCUCAGGUUCUCAAUUGCAUGAGCUUGUGAGCAACGAGAAUGAGCAAGACCGAACAAGGGGAAACCAUCCAAGGACGGGAACACCGUGUGCACAAUAUAUAGGAUCCAAUUUGCACCAGCAAUGUUUAUACAGGAAUAACCAAAAUGUGAGUGUUGCCACGUACAUGUAUUUACUACUGCAGAUAGUUUUCUUUAUUGCACAGGUAUAAAACUUGUUCUUAAUUUUAAUCAAUUCUCUUGCACAAAUUUAUCCACAGAGAGCACAUAUAUGAUUUAUCUAACACUAUGUUUUCAAUAUCACAAGAUAAAAUCUUGUCUUUACAGAGCAAAAUUAUACACCGAUAAAAAUGUGUUGUCUGCCUGCAUGAAAUUACAUAUGCUAUGCAAAACUCUUUACUUCGUAUCGUCAUGAUCAUCCACAAUAUUAAAAUUGUAAAUAAACAAAAAAAGAGGUGCCGGCAAAUAGUUUUGGAUAGAGUAGUUUGGCACAAUAUAUAUGUUAUCCCUGAAAAUAUAACGUCUUCCUGGAUCACACUGUAGCUUCGUGAUAGUUUUGACGGCUAUGAUAACAAAAGCUGCCGACACAUGGCUCUGGAAAUAGUUAUGGCUGUAGGGGUAAAUAUAAUAGCUGACAGCUCUAAAAAAUAUUCCCGCAAAAGAAGGCAGCUCUAAAAAACAAGCCGACAAAAGAAUCAUGAAGCUACAGUGUGAAUUAUACUCUCUCCAUUCACAUUAUUAUGGGAAAACGAAUUGUGCGAGUACAGUCUGCCAAAAUGAGUGGUCGUCCAUGCACCUUGUUUAGGGGCAACUUUAUUUUAAUGUGUCUUUUUGUAGUAUAUAGUGUUGAUUAAUCGUCCGUGAUGAGAUCUGUGCCUUUGUGUGAUAUAACAAAUAGAAGAUAUAUGGCGCCAGACUAAUUUUUCCAUCCGUACGUGCAAAGAUGAGAUAUGAAUGCAUUGCUCUCAUGAAUGACCUGCAACGAUAGACAUAUGCAUUCAUACAUGCUUCUGCUGUGAUCCACGAGCCCGUCAAAAUUAAUUGCUAUGCAGUGGCUUAACUACUCAGAUGAACGUGGGCGUCUUAAUGAGUAUGGUGACUUCUCUCUUAUGUUGGUGGUUGUUCGUUUCAUAAACAUUUCGAUAUAUUGUUUAUUUGGAUGGUUCUGCUUCCUCCUUUAUUUUGGGGUUGUUUUUACAGUGAAAAUUCAAGUUUUUUCACUAACAUAUUCGCAUGGAGAAGUGUCACUCAUAUUUAUUUUCACUGACAUUUACCUCCUGACAUUUAUUUUCACUCACAUUUAACUCCCGGCCUUUUGGUUUUGGUUUAGUUUUCCCAUUCAAAUUUCAUAAAUCAUAGAAUUUUCUAUCGAAGUUUCAAGAUUUGUUUUUCUAAAAAAGGUACAUGUAUGCACUAUAUAUUAGAUCUAAUUUGUACCAGUAAUGUUACCAGCUACAUGAAUUUACUGCUGCAGAUAGUUUUUUUUUGUAUUGCAUAUGUAUAAAUCUUGUCCUUAAUUUUACUCAUUUCUCUUGCACAAAGUUAGCUUCAUAGUGCACAUGUAUGAUUUACCUAAUAUUAUUAUUUCAAUAUUCCAAAAUAUAAUUUUGUCUUAACAGAGUGAAAUAAUACACCAAUAAAAAAACAUUGUCUGUAUGCAUGAAAUUACAUAUGCUAUGCAAAACUCUUUAGUAUGUAUCGUCAUGAUCAUCCACAAUAUGAAAAAAUAGUAAAGAAACAAACAAGAGGAGCAGACACAUGGUUUUGGAUAGAGCAGUUUAGCACAAUAUAUUUUAUCCCUGUUUAUAUAACGUCUUCAUUGCUCACACUGUAGCUUCGUGAUAGUUUUAUUGGCUAUGAUAACAGAAGCUGCUGACACAUGGUUCUGGAAACAGAUAUAACAGCAGGUGUAAAUAUAAUAGCCGCAGCUCUAAAAAAUAAGCUGACAAAAGAAUCAUGAAGCUACAGUGAACUAUACUCCAUCCUCCCUUGUCUAGGGGCAACUUAAUUCGCUUUGCGAAGGAUAAUGCAUCCAUGGCAAACAGUUUCAGGGUUGUCAGAAUAAGAAAUCUUAUGCCUCCCGAUCAAGAUCUAGACAGAUUUUCAGGGCAUGGUGUGGCCGUCCAACUACCUGAUAAAAAAAAAGAUAAUGAAAAGGGCCCACAGCAUCAAACCAAUGACAGAUAUGUUCAGUUUCGAAUCUCUUAAUAUUUAGUUUGAAAGCUGCAGAUUUUCAGGUUGUGAGAGCCGAAACUCUUGGACCAAGCCAUAUGUUCAGUUUCGAAUCUGACCUAGUAGCGUCCUGGAACUAGUUAUCAUCGAUUGGCUGCCAAACUCCCCCAAGAAACUCCGCACACAUCUCUGCAAUCGAACCAGGGCAAAUUAAUUUAGCGAAGGGAACUCACAACGCAGUGUCUCUUGACACAUCAUCCUAUUUAGUGAAAACUAUUUAGAGACAAUGACCCCUAUUCAUUAUAUACUCAACACGUCUCUUAAUAUUUAAAGUAUCUUAUAAAUGUCGUAUCUAAAUGAUAUUCCAUUUAAUUAGUUUAUGGACCUUUUUUGCAUGUCAACAUUGUGGCCUACUCCAGUUGUGAAGACAAAAAUUGUGAGAUAAACCACAAAGGCUCAAAGCGUUAGUCACUAUACGCAGAAAAACAAGUUAAUUAAGAGCCAUAUCUACACUAAAUAGAACAUAGGGAAGCUCAUCGAUCCAUCACCGGCCACACUUCUUGAGUUAGGCGAAUGUUCUCUUUUGGAGACCAUUGAGGACAUGCGCAUUUCAUCGCUCCAUCUGCCUGUCACUACAAGGGAUAAGGCUACACUAGUAGAAAACAGGGUUUUGGUUCGGCCAGAAAAGAGCAUUAAUCCCGGUUGCAUUACGAACCGGGACUAAUGUGAGCAUUAGUCCAGGUUCGAGCGGCUAGGGCACCGUACAUGCAUUAGUCCCGGUUCAAAUGGGACCUUUAGUCCCGGUUGGUGCCACGAACCGGGACUAAAGGGUGCGAUGCCCAUUAGUACCGGUUCGUGGCAUCAACCAGUACUAAAGGUUAGAUCUUUAGUCCCGGUUCGAGCCACCAACCAGUACUAAUGGGGUUUGAGGCAUUAGUACCGGUUCAUGGCACGCCUUUUCAGUUUUGUAAAAAGCAAAAGAAAAUGAUAAAAACUUCAAAAAUUAAAAUCCUUCCAGAUGUAGUUAUGUUACUACAUGUCCUAGUUAGGAAAAUUUAAAAACUUCAAUUUGGACAUGUUUCGCAAAAAGUGUAGGGAAAAUGUAAAACGGCUAUAACUUUUGCAUACGAUGUCAGAAAAAACGUAUAAUAUAUCGAAAUGUUCAGCACGAAAAUCCGCAUCCGAUUUUGACAGCCUACGGCCUGUUUGUAAAUUUUUAGAAUCCUCAAAUUCUAAAAGGGAAAAAAGUUAUGCUAUUUCUGUUUUUUUAAUUUUUGUUAAAUCUGGUCAAACUAUGGUCAAACUACUUAUUCAAGAAGUAUUAGUGUUACUAAAUAAUUAUUCAAGAAUAUUAGUGUUACUAAAUAAUUAUUUCAGUUUUUUUGAAUUUUGGUCAAAUCUGGUCAAACUGUGGUCAAACAAUGGUCAAACUAAUUAUUCAAGAAAUAUUAGUGUUAGUAAAUAAUUAUUUCAGUUUUUUUGAAUUUUGGUCAAAUCUGGUCAAACUGUGGUCAAACUACUUAUUCAAGAAAUAUUAGUGUUACUAAAUAAUUAUUGUUUUUUAGAACAAUAGUUUCAAACUCAAACAGUGAAAUGUGUGACUUCAUGCUCAAGCUAAAUUCCUGAGGGUUAAUAGGAUUGACAUCUUACUAUUGUCAGGAAAACAACAAGUGCAGACUUGGAAACGAGGAAGAAUAUAACCCGGAAGUUAAGCGUGCUCAGGCUGGAGUAGUGAGAGGAUGGGUGACCGUUCGGGAAGUUAGAUGAUUUGGAAUGAUGAGGGGUGAUUAGAGAUUAGAGGUUAAAUUGAGCAGUGAUGAGGGGUGAUUAGAGAUUAGAGGUUAAAAUAAUUCAGAAAUUUGCAAAUCAAAAAAAAAAAUUUAAAAAAAAAAUCAUAAAAUUUCCUUCAGUACCGGUUGGUGUUACCAACCGGGACUAAAGGUGGACCUCACGUGGAGGGCCUUUAGUCCCGGUUCGUGUAAGAACCAGGACUAAAGGGGGAGGCUUUAGUAACGACCCUUUAGUCCCGGUUCCAGAACCGGGACUGAAGGCCCUUAUGAAGCGGGACUAAAAGCCCUUUUUCUACUAGUGCUAGUAGUGGCGCGGUUUAAAGGCAUAGGAGUAGCGCGGGUUGCCUCUCUACUUACAUUAGCAACUAUAUAAAAACUCAUCAUCAUCAUCAUCAUCAUCAUCAUCAUCAUCAUCAUGUAACAACUCAUCAGCGCGUAGCUAACUGGUUCCUAGUAAGACGGGCCAGGCUCGGCUCUAAUACUACUUACAUUAGUAGCAGCGCGGUGUUUGGCCCGUGCUACUAAUAACUAGCUAUAGCGCGAGGCCCCCCGCCACUACUAACUCUAUGUAUUUCCUUUCUACAUAUUAUACUAUAUUAUACAAUAAUUAUACAGAUUUUUAUACACUAGCAACUAUAUAACAACUCAUCAUCAUCAUCAUCAUCAUGUAACAAAUCAUCAUUAUCAAAAUGAUAUAACUCAUCAUCAUCGUAGUGAUAUAACAGCUCAUCAUGAUCAUAAUUAUAUAAAAAUGUCUCAUCAUCAUCGUCAUCAUCACCAUCAGCAUCAUCAUAAGUUAACCACUACUAGCUAAUUGUCAUCAUCCUAGGUAAGUAACUUUCAAGCACAUGACAAGUACUAUGACCUACUCUAGUGUCUUAGGUAAAAUAGAAUAAAACAGAAAAAAUAACUACAUCUCCAUGAUGGACCACAGAGAUCCCCGGUCUCCAAUUUGUUGCCCGCGCUCAUUGACUAUUUGCCUCCAUCAUUCAAUUUUGAGGCAUCCAUUUGAUUAACACUCAGUCAAGUAUGUAUAUUUGAAUCCGAUCUUCAAAGGGCAAAUAAUAGUCAUCUCACUUUUGACGUCCAUCAGCAGAGGCACAACAACAUUUGGGACCUUCCGCUGAAGUACAUAAUAGUAACAUAGUCGAAAUAUGCAGAUAUAGCAAGAAUGAUCCUAAUUUAUUUAGGCAUCACUACCAGUUUGCCCUCAAUGCCUCGAGCGCCAUCUGGCAGAUCAACCAAGUUCCAAACUUGAUUGUCAUCCAUGGACUUUAAUUCGGAUCUCAUGGUCUUAAGCCAUAACUCAGAAUCAGGGCUCUCCGUCGCUUCUGCAUACAUUGCCGACUCGUUGUUCUCCAAGAACAACACAUUGCAGUUAUGCAUAUUGCGCAACCUUUCCGACCUCUGUGGAAUCAGCGUCGACUCCACUAUGGGUUCCUUGACUAACUCCAUGUGGUUCUCGAAUUUCCUCUAGUCGGAUCAUCCUCCCACUAGCCUUCCGAUUGAGAAACUCUUUCUCAAGGAAAACUCCAUGUCGAGCGACAAACACUUUGCCCUCUUCACAGAUGUAGGAGUAAUAUCCCAAGGUUUCCCUUGGAUACCCCAUGAAUAUGCACUUGUCCGAUUUGGGUGUGCGCUUGUCUGACUGGAGUCGCUUGACGUAUGAUUCACAACCCCAAAUUUUUAGAGAAGACAAAGUUUGGCUCUUCGCAGUCCAUAUCUCAUAUGACGUCUUAUCUACAAACUUGGAUGGUACCCUAUUUAGUGUGAAAGCUGCAGUUUCUAGAGCGUAUCGCCAAAAUAACAAGGGUAAAUCCGACUGACUCGUCAUUGAUUGGGCCAUGUCUAACAGAGUCUGAUUCCUUCGUUCCAACACGCCAUUUCUCUGUGGCAUACCCCGAGGAGUCAGUUGUGGAACUAUCCUACGACUCUUCAGAUAAUCAUCAAACUCCUGGCUCAUAUACUCAUUCGCCACGAUCAGAUCGCAGAAGUUUGAUUCUCUUGUCGAGUUGAUUCUCCACUUCAUUCUGAAACUCCUUGAACUUUUCAAAAGUUUCUAACUUGUGCCUCAUCAAGUAGACAUAUCCAAAUCUACUCAAGUUAUCUGUAAACGUCAUGAAGUAUUGGAAACCACCUCUAGCUGGACUUGUUUUACCAUUGUUGAAAUGUCUUGUGCAUCGGGAUUCCGAGUCUGAUCGGAGGGUCUCGAGAUGGAGGAUUGUCUCUGCGGAUCGUGAGCUUGUCAUGGGCAAAGUUGGGACACCCCUGCAGGGUUUAAACUUUCGAGAGCCAUGCCCGCGGUUAUGUGGCAGAUGGGAAUUUGUUAAUAUCUGGUUGUAGAGGACUUGAACUAAACUCAAUUAAAAUACACCAACCGCGGGUGUAACCGUGACUGUCUCUUUCCAGGUGCGUUCGAGAAGAGAAUACGGUUGGGUUAUGUUUGAACGUAAGUGGUUUAGGAUCACUUCUUGAUCACUAUUAGUUUGCGACCGUUGUGUAGAUUCUCUUCUUACUUUUGUACUCGUAAGUUAGCCACCAUACAAAUGCUUAGUGCUUGCUGCAGCUUCACCACUAUCCAUUCCAUACCCAUUAAGCUUUGCUAGUCUUCAUACCCAUGGUAAUGGGAUUGCUGAGUCCUCGUGGCUCACAGAUGACUACAACAAUAGUUGUAGGUACAGGUAAUGCAAUGAUCUGACGUGAGAGCGAUGCUUGAUUGCUUUUGGAGUUCUUCUUCUUCUUCGAUCAAGGGAUUAGGUUCCGGGUCGGGGAGCCUGGGAUUAGUGGGGUGGAUAUUAUUCUUCUUUUUUGUUUGAUUUCAUCCGUAGUCGGAUCCUGCCCUUCUGUGUGCGCUCGAAAUGCGGUUGGAACAGACGAUCGCUAGACAGCGCGCCCGCAUUGCCACCCUCAAAGACGGUGAUGCCAGCUCUGCCUUCUUUCACCGGCAGUGCUCGUUUCAAUGACAGAAAAACCGCAUCUUCUGCCUCUCUGCGAACGGCACGCUACUCACAGACCAUGACGAGAUGGCCGAGGCUGCAUUCCGGCACUAUGACACACUGCUUGGCACGGCGGUCGAACACGACCACUCGAUGGACCUGUCGCAGCUCAUCGAGGGGAGCGAUCUCUCCGACCUUGACGCGACCUUUUGCCCGGAGGAGAGAUGGGAAGCUGUGAAACGCCUCCCCGCGCACAAGGCAGCUGAGCCUGAUGGCUUUAGCGCUGAAUUUCUCCGCGUGUGCCGGAGCAUCAUCAAGCAGGACUUCAUGGAUGUGUUCCAGUAGCUCUUCGAGCUGCGUGGCCGUGGCUUCUGCAAGGUCAACCAGGCCCUUCUCACGCUGCUGCCGAAGCCCAGGAGGUGCGCAACUACCGCCCGAUAUGCCUCAUUCAUAUCGUGGCCAAGGUACUCGCGAAGGCCCUCUCGCUCCGGCUAGCUCCAAAACUUGACCGCUUUGUCAGCCGCAAUCAAAACGCGUUCAUCCUCGGACGGAGCCUACACGACAACUUUAUGCUCGUCAGGCAAUCGGUCAAGCUGCUGAGCCAACUUGGGGGCCCCAGGGUGAUGCUCAAGCUCGACCUCACGCGCGCUUUUGACUCCAUCUCCUGGCCGUUCCUCUUUGAGGUUCUGCGCCAAUUUGGGUUCGGGAAUCGCUUCCUCGAAUGGAUCGCCAUCCUCCUGUCCUCGGCAAGCACUCGGGUGUAGUUGAUUGGUGUCCCAGGCCCACUGAUAUGGCAUAAGGGAGGGCUGCGGCAGGGGGGACUCCUUGUCCCCGCAGCUGUUCGUGCUCGCGGUCGACACUCUCGGCCGGCUGAUUCGGCGCGCCCAUGAUACGGGCAUCCUCCAGCCGCUGCAUCUGCGGAGGCCGAUACCGGCUAUAUCCCUAUACGCCGACGACGUCAUGCUCUUUUGCCAUGCCACGGAGAGUGACGUGACUGUCGUCAAGGAAAUCCUUGACCUGUUUGGUAGAGCGUCCAGCCUCAAGGUGAACUACACCAAGAGCUCGGCCACGGUCUUGCAUCGGGAAUAGGUUGCCUCCGAGAUGAUCACCAGCUUGGGGUGUUCGACUGCCGCGCUCCCGGUCACCUACCUCGGUAUACCUCUGACGAUGCGCCGCCCUUCCGCCGGGCAGUUGCAGCCCCUUGUCGACAAGGUCACCGGACGCUUGCCCACCUGGAAAGCAUGGCUCAUGAACAGAGCCGGCAGGCUCGCCCUCGUCAAGUUCUUCCUUUGCACUAUCCCGGUGCACCAGCGGGUUGCAUUUGCCCCCUCGAAGAAAAGACUGCAGCAACUCGAGAAAAUUCAACGAGGGUUCCUCUGGGCCGGGCGAGCCAUCACCAACGGCGGGCACUGCCAUGUGAACUGGCAUCAUGCUUCCCGCCCGCUCGCGCUUGGCAGCCUUGGGGUUCGUGAUGUCGAGCGCGUUGGACUCGCGCUCAGGCUGCGGUGGCUCUGGCUCUCGCGAACGGACGAAGGGCGCGCCUGGCAGGGGCUGGACCUCCAAUUUUCUAGCAACGAGCGUACACUGUUCUUUGCCUCCACCUACAUGACCAUUGGAAAUGGCAUGAACGCCCUGUUCUGGGAGGAUCGAUGGCUCAACGGGCACUCGGUUGGCGAGCUCAUGCCCCUGUUCUACAGCUGCAUCCCCAAACGCCGGCGCAAAGCUAGAACGGUGGCCGAAGGUCUCAACUGCAACGCAUUGGCCCAUGACAUCCAGGGCGUCCUCGUCAUCCACGAGAUAGGCCAGUAUCUACAGCUUUGGCAACUCACGGAACAGGCUAUGCUCAGCGAUGCUCCUGACCAGCUGAUCUGUAAGCAGACUGCGAGCGGCAUCUAUUCGGCGCAGUCUUGCUACGCGGCUACCUUCCAAGGAUCAGUGCACUCCUACUCUUGGAAGUUGAUCUGGAAGGCUUGGGCUCCCCCUCGACUCAAGUUUUUCCAUUGGCUUGCCAACCUGGAUCGCUGCUGGACUGCCGAUCGACUGGCCUGCCAAAGACUGCAGCAUCAUCUGUGCUGCCUUCUUUGCGAUCAGGCGCCGGAAAUGAUCCGGCACCUCAUGCUUGACUGCCCCUUCUCUAGGCAGGCAUGGCAUGAGACCCUGGCCUGGCUACGCAUACCGGCGUCGAUCCCCAACCAGGAGCCCACCCUCAUGGACUGGUGGCGGCACGCCGCAAGCACAACGCAAGGCCCUGCAAUCCGUAGUGCUACUCGUACCAUGGCUCGUCUGGAAGCAUAUGAACAGCCACGUCUUCGACAGCGCGACGCCCUCCCUAGGCACGCUAGUCGACCGGAUCAAGGAGGAAGCCGACUCCUGGGCUAAGGCCGGAGCAGUAGGCCUUAGAGUAGUCCUACCCCCUUUAUGGGACGUGCACUGAGCAUUGUAUCUGAUCCUUCAUUAUUCAUCCUAGGACGACUGUAACUGACUCCCUACCUUUUCAAUGAAAAGAAACGGAAAGGUCUUUUGCAUUUUCUCGAGAAAAAAAAGAAUGACCUUGAGGCAAGCUCAAUGAAAAUACGUUUUCCAAAGGUUUCAAGACUAUCUUCCUUGUGCUCUGGGAUAAAGCCAUUUGCAAUUCAUAGUCAGAUCAGCUUGUCCACAUCAAUCUUGUAAUCCUUUGGAAAUAUAGCACAAAAGGAAAAGCAUUGCUUCAUGUGUGAUGGCAAGUCAUUGUAGCUAAGCUUUAAUAUUGGCAGAAUCCAGUUUCCAAAGUGCAAAUGCUGCUACUAGAUGAUAUAGCCUUCCACUCUUCGACGCUAGUCUUGGUACGAAGUACAUAGCCCAAUGCAGUUGCAGCUAAAGGAGAGCCAGAACAUCAGCUUACAAUCUCAUCAACCAUCUUGCUUAGCUCGACAGGCUUUUCUUUCUCCGAACUGAAUGCUCUAGCCUCAGUAAUUUCCUUUACGAAGAAAUCCUCCACAAUAUUGAGAUUGUAGGCUCUACCUGCACCCAUAAUUUCAGUGACUUGUUUAUCACGAGUUCUUGUUAACAUUGCACUACCCAUGCCACCAUGUUGAGGACAGACCUUCAGCCUUCCCAACUUAUAGACCUCUCUGUUCCAGACAUCAUCCAAUACAUGGAGAUACCUGUGCCCGCUGUCCAGUUUUUGAAAUCUAUCCAAAGGUAUCAUAGACCUCUCUGGGGGAUGCCCGCUGUACCCAGAGCUGCAACUGAAAAUGAUUCUGAAUUUCAGGUUCAUUGUAUAUGAGUUACGCUAAUGUGGUCUUGCCAAGGCCCCCCAUUCCAACAAUGGGAACUACUGCGAGAUCAGUAUUGCUAGCUUGACCAAGUAGUAUGUCAACGAUAUUAUUCUUAUCUCCGUGUUUGGAUCUGUUGGCAAUUUCUUGUUGGUCGCUGAUGACAUAAUCUGUGUGCCUCCACUCCUUGGACACUCGUGUUUGCCUCAACUGAUUAGACACCAACAACGUCUGCCUCAACAUAAGCGCGACGCGUUGUUGGGCUAGGCCCAGAACGGUGCGCGGGCAGGUGGGGCGUAUUUUUACCGUAGUAACUGUUUCGUCCGCUGCGCUUCCCCACGACCUGCGUUGAACACGCACGUGGAGGGUCGUGCGUGACGUGGGGGUCAUGCGUGGGGCGGUCUCCACACGCAUGCGUCACAUCGCAUUUAAUGGGAAAAGAGGCGGCCCACGCCUUCCCCGUAAAAAGGAAUAACAGCGGGCGCGCUGUUCAUUUACCCCCUGCGUCUUCUUCAAUCUCGGAAUCGCCGUCCCCUUCUUCUUCCUUCUCAAACUCUCGCCUUUGCUCGUUGCCGCCGCAUCUUCGCUGUCCUCCGUCCUUUGCCUCUCGCAGCCGCCAUGGCCCCCAAAACAAGUAAAGGAAAGGGAGUGGCCAAGGAUGCCGGGGCGAAGGAGCCGCCGGAGAGCGAGUUGGUGGCGCGGCGGACGCAUCUCGCCUACUUCCCCUCGACGGUCGACGCGGUCGAACUCCGGGACUACUUCAGGNNNNNNNNNNNNNNNNNNNNNNNNNNNNNNNNNNNNNNNNNNNNNNNNNNNNNNNNNNNNNNNNNNNNNNNNNNNNNNNNNNNNNNNNNNNNNNNNNNNNNNNNNNNNNNNNNNNNNNNNNNNNNNNNNNNNNNNNNNNNNNNNNNNNNNNNNNNNNNNNNNNNNNNNNNNNNNNNNNNNNNNNNNNNNNNNNNNNNNNNNNNNNNNNNNNNNNNNNNNNNNNNNNNNNNNNNNNNNNNNNNNNNNNNNNNNNNNNNNNNNNNNNNNNNNNNNNNNNNNNNNNNNNNNNNNNNNGCGUGUCAUCCCCGCCAAUUGCGCCGAGGCCGCCCCGAAUCGGUAUCCGUUCUUCGUCGAUUACUUUUCUUGCGGUCUCUGCCCCCCUUUCUCCGAUUUCUUCAAUGAUGUCAUGCACACAUUUGGCUUCCACCUUCUGGAUUUCACUCCCAAUGCCGUGGCGUGCAUGGCUCUUUUCGCCCAUCUCUGUGAGGGCUUCGCCGGAGUUCUUCCCAACACAUUGCCCUUCCGCUAUUAGUUUUACCCUCGCAUCCAAAAGGGAGGCGCCAUCUCUGGUUGCGUCGCCUGGAUACCAAGGUCCAAAGGGACGUACCCGGAGGGCGCCCAGAAGGAGAGGUUGGAAGAGUGGCGGGGCCGGUGGUGCUGGAUUGGGGAGGACGACCCGCCGGAAUUUUUCCGGGUUCGUCAGGCGCCGCCGGUUCGCAGGAACGACUGGGGCGAUGUCAACGCCCUGGAUGACAAGCUCAAGGUCGCCACCACCAGGAUUCACCGCCUCACCGUUGCCGGGCUCACCCUGGAGAUGAUUGGGGCGGACUUGAUCCGCCGCCGAAUCGCUCCACUGCACAACAAGGGGAGACCGGCCUGGCUCUUCCAAAACGCGGCUGACAUCAUGAGGCUUCACUCUGGCCUCAACAACAACUUCACGGUGAUGGGGCACGCCCACUUCUGCUAGCGGAUCUUUCAGCUCGACGUGAACCGCGACGGCAGGGCCAAGAGGUCCGGCAAGGCUGCAAAGGCCGGCAAGGUCCUCAAGGGGCCCUUGUUUGGGUUGCCAGCGGGGGUGGUCCCGCUGAGCAACAACUCGCGCCAGACCGACAUCAUCGCCAUGAUGUCGGACUACAAUGCACACGGUCCCGUCCCAAAUUGGUUCGAGCCGCUAGCGGAUCAGGUGCAGGAGUUCUUUGAUACUUUGGCGGAGAAGUAUGUCUGCGACGAGCCGCUGCUCAUCUAGGACACCACCCAAGCAGAGCUGGACUACAUCGCCGCCAGGGCGGCGGAGGCGGAGCUCGCUAGGGAGGCCGGCAGCGCUGGCGGCAUGGAGGACGAGGUCGCAGCAGCCGCAGAGGAGAGGGAGCUCGCCCAGUGGGAGGAAUCCGAUGGGGAGGCCAGCAGCGCCAGCACCGGGGCCCCUCUUAUUGAAGAUGUGGUCGACGAUUCGGAGGAGGAGGAGGUCGAGGCUGUCGAUCCUCCGGUCAUGGGGAGAGGGCGAGUCCUGCGGCGGGCCAGCUCCGGCAAGCCGGUCCAGCCCGGCAGGGCUGUGCAACCGCAGCAGACCUAGGAGGGGUAUGUGCGCCAGACAAGGGCCGCGGUGGCGAGGAAGUUGGUGAAGGCCGUGGUGGCGAAGAAGAAAGCAACAACCUCUUCUUCGUUCAAGCGUGGCCAGACUCCACCUUCUUCCCCUCCUCGGGCAGACGUUGACACGGAGGUCGUCUUCGACUUUGGGUCCCUCAGCCCAAGGAGGAAGAGGAAGGCAUCAGAAGAGGAGGUGGAGGAUGAGUAAGUUUCUUGUUACUUUUUGUCAUCUCCGUCUCCUCAGACUGUGCUGCUUAUCUCGAUUUGUUUUCAUCUUUGCAGGGAUGCGGAGACGCUGGCCCAGAGGGUGAAGAGGGCCAGGUCCUCGGCUGGCGGCCGGCCUCCGGCGGGCACUUCGAGGAUGCCACUAGUGGUGGUGAGCAGCCCGGACAGCAGUCCCCGAAGCAGCCCCCGGCGUAAGUUCCCCACUCGUCCCUCGUCAACGUGUGUUGGGGGUACGAUCCCUUGGCGCUAACCUUGCCGUGAUUGCAGGAGGAGGACAACAGGAGGAGGAGCCACGGAGGGUUACCCCCAACACGCUGCCCCCAUCGACCACGCCGCCCCGAGGGGUGGUGUCUACUACGCAACCUUCUUCUUGUAGACGUUGUUGGGCCUCCAAGUGCAGAGGUUUGUAGGACAGUAGAAAAUUUCCCUCAAGUGGAUGACCUAAGGUUUAUCAAUCCGUGGGAGGCGUAGGAUGAAGAUGGUCUCUCUCAAGCAACCCUGCAACCAAAUAACAAAGAGUCUCUUGUGUCCCCAACACACCCAAUACAAUGGUAAAUUGUAUAGGUGCACUAGUUCGACGAAGAGAUGGUGAUACAAGUGUAAUAUGGAUGGUAGAUAUAGGUUUUUGUAAUAUGAAAAUAUAAAAACAGCAAGCUAACUAAUGAUAAAAGUGAGCACAAACGGUAUUGCAAUGCGUUGAAACAAGGCCUAGGGUUCAUACAUUCACUAGUGCAAGUUCUCUCAACAAUAAUAACAUAAUUGGAUCAUAUAACUAUCCCUCAACGUGCAACAAAGAGUCACUCCAAAGUCACUAAUAGAGGAGAACAAACGAAGAGAUUAUGGUAGGGUACGAAACCACCUCAAAGUUAUUCUUUCGGAUCGAUCUUAUUCAAGAGUUCGUACUAGAAUAACACCUUAAGACAAAAUCAACCAAAACCCUAAUGUCACCUAGAUACUCCAAUGUGACCUCAAGUAUCCGUGGGUAUGAUUAUACGAUAUGCAUCACACAAUCUCAGAUUAAUCUAUUCAAACCAACACAAAGUACUUCAAAGAGUGUCCCAAAGUUUCUACCAGAGAGUCAAGACGAAAACGUGUGCCAACCCCUAUGCAUAGGUUCAUGGGCGGAACCCGCAAGUUGAUCACCAAAACAUACAUCAAGUGGAUCACGUGAUAUCCCAUUGUCACCAGAGAUACGCACAUGCAAGACAUACGUCAAGUGUUCUCAAAUCCUCAAAGACUCAAUCCGAUAAGAUAACUUCAAAGGGAAAACUCAAUCCAUUACAAGAGUGUAGAGGGGGAGAAACACCAUAAGAUCCAACUAUAAUAGCAAAGCUCGCGAUACAUCAAGAUCGUACCACCUCAAGAACACAAGAGAGAGAGAGAGAGAGAGAUCAAACACAUAGCUACUGGUACAUACCCUCAGCCCCGAGGGUGAACUACUCCCUCCUCGUCAUGGAGAGCGCGGGGAUGAUGAAGAUGGCCACCGGUGAGGGUUUCCCCCUCCGGCAGGGUGCCGGAACAGGGUCCCGAUUGGUUUUUGGUGGCUACAGAGGCUUGCGGCGGCGGAACUCCCGAUCUAUUCUGUUCACCUAUGUUUUUAGGGUAUAUGGAUAUAUAUAGGCGAAAGAAGUCGGUAAGGGGAGCCACGAGGGGCCCACGAGGGUGGAGGGCACGCCCAGGGGGUGGGCGCGCCCCCUACCUCGUGCCUUCCUUGUUGCUUCCCUUACGUACACUCCAAGUCUUCUGGAUUGCUUCGGUUCCAAAAAUAACUCUCCCGAAGGUUUCAUUCCGUUUGGACUCCGUUUGAUAUUCCUUUUCUGCGAAACACUGAAACAAGGAGAAAAACUGAAACUAGCACUGGGCUCUGGGUUAAUAAGUUAGUCCCAAAAAUAAUAUAAAAGUGCAUAGUAAAUCCCAUUAAACAUCCAAGAUGGAUAAUAUAAUAGCAUGAAUACUUCAUAAAUUAUAGAUACGUUGGAGACGUAUCAGCAUCCCCAAGCUUAAUUCCUGCUCGUCCUCGAGUAGGUAAAUGAUAUAAGAAAUAAUUAUGAAGUGUGAAUGCUAGCAGGUGCACAAGUUUGAUCAAUGAUAAUUUCAAUCACCUUUUCAAGCAUCAUUAUAUGUCAUAACAGUAGCUCAACUCAUAAAACUUUUCAUGAUCAAGUAACAAGCUAUUCACAUAUUAAAGCAUAGACCAUAAACUUUCUUGAAAACUAACAAACUAUGUUCUCAGUCAUCAAACAAUUGCAAUUCAUCUUAUUUUCAGGAAGGGUCUAUGUAAGAGCUUUGAUUUAGCAAAUCCCACAUACUCAACUAUCAUAUAGUCUUCCAUGAUUGCUACCACUCAAAGCAUAUUUUCGGAACAAAUAGCAUCCAUCGAACACAGAGAAAGAUAGGGGCUUAAUGUUUCGCCUCCCAACUUAUUUAUCAUAUAGAUAAUUGUCAACAAUAAUAAUUCAUGAUCAAAUAUAUUUGAAUGGCCAUAUAUGCUUAGAUCUUUCCAUCACAUGAUGCUUGCCAACUAAAAAGUAGGUUGGAAUGAGAAGGAAUACUACUGACUCUUGCAUAAAAGUAAAAGAUAGGCCCUUCACAGAGGGAAGCAGGGAUUUGCAGAGGUGCCAGAGCUCGAAGCUAAAACAGAGAUGAAAAUAAUUUUGAGAGGUAUGCUUUCAUUGUCAACAUAACGACCAAGAGUUCCCAAUAUCUUCCAUACUACAUACAUUAUAGGCGGUUCCCACGCGGAAAGGUAAAGUUUUUACUCCCCCUCCACCAACAUUCACACUCCACGGCUUGUCCGAAACAAUGGGUGCCGUCCAACUAUCAACAUUCUUGGGGGAGUUUGUUGAAAUUAUUUGUGAAUUUGUUUUUGAUCUUUUGAUCAUAGGACUGGGCAUCCCAGUUACCAGCCAUUUUCUCGUGAAUGAUGAGCGGUGUCCACUCAUCGUGAGAAUAACCCACCCAGCAUGGAAGAUACUGACAGCCCCUAGUCGCUACAUGAGCGAUUCGGGCAUACAAAACAGAUUAUUAUUUGAAGGUUUAGAGUUUGGCACAUGCAAAUUUACUUGGAACGGCAGGUAAAUACCGCAUAUAGGUAGAUAUGGUGGACACUCAUGGAAGAAACUUGGUUCGAGGAAUUUGGAUGCACAAGCAGUAUUCCUGCUUAGUACAGACAUUUUGGCUAGCAAAUGAUUCUAAAUAGCAAGCACCACAAGUUAGAGGAUCCAUAACAAUAUAACUUCUAUACAAAUAUACCCAAGCAUAACUCAUUAUGUUGUCUUCCUUGUCCAACUUCAACUAAUUUGCUCAGGUUUGCUAAUAAUUAAUGGGGCUCACGAUCAUAGAAGAUGUCCAAGAUAGUAUUAUAUGUGAAAUCUCUCUUCCUUCAAUAUUCUUUCAUGAAUUGUUCAAGUGACAAAUACAAAGUUUGCUAACCUUCAAAAAAUUUACCACCUCUACUUCUUAUAUGUGAAGUCAUUACUCCCCAUGGGAUAAGUAUAUGAAACAUAUAUAAUUUCAGAUUUAUAAUAUUCAAAUCAUUCAACUAUUUACUCAUAGGAUAUAAGUGAAGCACACGAGUAAAUGACAAACUACUCCAAAAAGAUAUAAGUGAAGAUCAAUGAGUAGUUAAAUAAUUAUGUAGUUAUCUGAAGACUCUAUCUCAUUUAAGAAUUUCAGAUCUUGGUAUUUUAUUCAUACAGCAAGCAAAACAAAAGAAAAUAAAAUGACGCUCCAAGUAAAACACAUAUCAUGUGGUGAAUAAAAAUAUAGCUCCAAGUAAAGUUACCGAUGAACGAAGACGAAAGAGGGGAUGCCAUCCGGGGCAUCCCCAAGCUUAGGCUCUUGGUUGUCCUUGAAUAUUACCUUGGGGUGCCUUGGGCUUCCCCAAGCUUAGGCUCUUGCCACUCCUUAUUCCAUAGUCCAUCGAAUCUUUACCCAAAACUUGAAAACUUCACAACACAAAACUUAACAGAAGAUCUCGUGAGCUCCGUUAGCGAAAGAAAACAAAACACCACUUCAAGGUACUGUAAUGAACUCAUUAUUUAUUUGUAUUGGUGUUAAAUCUAAUGUAUUCCAACUUCUCUAUGGUUUACAAACUAUUUUACAAGCCAUAGAUUCAUCAAAAUAAGCAAACAACACACGAAAAACAGAAUCUGUCAAAAACAGAACAGUCUGUAGUAAUCUGUAACUAACGCAAACUUCUUGAACUCAACAAAUUCUACCAAAAUAGGACGACCUAGAUAAUUUUAUUAUUGAUCUGAUGCAAUUGGAAUCAGUAUUUUAUCACGUUCUGGUGAUUUUAAACAAUUGUUUUCGUGAACAGAAAGUUUCUGGAAUUUUCAGCAAGAUCAAAUAACUAUCAUCCAAGAAGAUCCUAUAGGUCUUACUUGGCGCAAACACUAAUUAAAACAUAAAACCACAUCUAAACAGAGGCUAGAUAGAUUAUUUAUUGCUAAACAGAACCAUAAAGAAAGAACAAAAAUAAAAAUCGGGUUGCCUCCCAACAAGCGCUAACGUUUAACGCCCCUAGCUAGGCAUGAUGAUUUCAAUGAUGCUCGCAUAAAAGAUAAGAAUUGAAAUAUAAAGAGAGCAUCAUGAAAAAUAUGACUAGCACAUUUAAGUCUAACCCACUUCCUAUGCAUAGGGAUUUUGUGAGAAAACAACUUAUGGGAACAAUAAUCAACUAGCAUAGGAAGGCAAAACAAGCAUAACUUCAAAACUUUAAGCACAUAGAGAGGAAACAUGAUAUUAUUGCAAUUCAUACAAGCAUACAUUCCUCCCUCAUAAUAAUUUUCAGUAGCAUCAUGAAUGAAUUCAACAAUAUAACCAGCACCUAAAGCAUUCUUUUCAUGAUCUACUUGCAUAGAAAUUUUCCUACUCUCCACGUAAGCAAAUUUAUUCUCAUCAAUAGUAGUGGGAGCAAACUCAACAAAAUAACUAUCAUGUGAUUGAAAAUUAAGAUCAAGAUGACAAGUUUCAUGGUUAUCAUUAUUCUUUAUAGCAUACGUGUCAUCACAAUAAUCAUCAUAGGUAGGAGGCAUGCUUUCAUCAUAAUAAAUUUGCUCAUCAAAACUUGGGGGACAAAAAAUAUCAUCUUCAUCAAACAUAGCUUCCCCAAGCUUGUAAUCAUGCUCAUCAUUCAAAUAUUUAGUGCCAAACAUUCUAAUGCAUUCUUCCUCUAGCAAUUGAGCGCAAUUAUCGGAAUCCUUAUUUUCACGGAAGACAUUAAAAAGAUGAAGCAUAUGAGGCACACUCAAUUCCAUUUUUUGUAGUUUUCUUUUAUAAAAUAAACUAGUGAUAAAACAAGAAACUAAAAGAUUCCAUUGCAAGAUCUAAAUAUAUACCUUCAAGCACUCACCUCCCCGACAACGGCGCUAGAAAAGAGCUUAGUUGACGGGGUGUGAGUGCCGCUUACCUAGCCUCCCCGGCAACGGCGCCAGAAAAGAGCUUGAUGUCUACUACGCAACCUUCUUCUUGUAGACGUUGUUGGGCCUCCAAGUGCAGAGGUUUGUAGGACAGUAGCAAAUUUCCCUCAAGUGAAUGACCUAAGGUUUAUCAAUCCGUGGGAGGCGUAGGAUGAAGAUGGUCUCUCUCAAGCAACCCUGCAACCAAAUAACAAAGAGUCUCUUGUGUCCCCAAAACACCCAAUACAAUGGUAAAUUGUAUAUGUGCACUAGUUCGGCGAAGAGAUGGUGAUACAAGUGUAAUAUGGAUGGUAGAUAUAGGUUUUUGUAAUCUGAAAAUAUAAAAACAGCAAGGUAACUAAUGAUAAAAGUGAGCACGAACGGUAUUGCAAUGCGUUGAAACAAGGCCUAGGGUUCAUACUUUCACUGGUGCAAGUUCUCUUAACAAUAAUAACAUAAUUGGAUCAUAUAACUAUCCCUCAACAUGCAACAAAGAGUCACUCCAAAGUCACUAAUAGAGGAGAACAAACGAAGAGAUUACGGUAGGGUACGAAACCACCUCAAAGUUAUUCUUUCGGAUGAUCUUAUUCAAGAGUUCGUACUAGAAUAACACCUUAAGACACAAAUCAACCAAAACCCUAAUGUCACCUAGAUACUCCAAUGUCACCUCAAGUAUCCGUGGGUAUGAUUAUACGAUAUGCAUCACACAAUCUCAGAUUGAUCUAUUCAAACCAACACAGAGUACUUCAAAGAGUGUCCCAAAGUUUCUACCGGAGAGUCAAGAUGAAAACGUGUGCCAACCCCUAUGCAUAGGUUCAUGGGCGGAACCCGCAAGUUGAUCACCAAAACAUACAUCAAGUGGAUCACGUGAUAUCCCAUUGUCACCACAGAUAUGCACAUGCAAGACAUACAUCAAGUGUUCUCAAAUCCUUAAAGACUCAAUCCGAUAAGAUAACUUCAAAGGGAAAACUCAAUCCAUUACAGGAGUGUAGAGGGGGAGAAACAUCAUAAGAUCCAACUAUAAUAGGAAAGCUCGCGAUACAUCAAGGUUGUACCACCUCAAGAACACGAGAGAGAGAUCAAACACAUAGCUACUGGUGCAUACCCUCAGCCCCGAGGGUGAACUACUCCCUCCUCGUCAUGGAGAGCGCGGGAAUGAUGAAGAUGGCCACCGGUGAGGGUUCCCCCCUCCUGCAGGGUGCAGGAACAGGUUCUCGAUUUGUUUUUGGUGGCUACAGAGGCUUGCGGCGGCGGAACUCCUGAUCUAUUCUGUUCCCCGAUGUUUUUAGGGUAUAUGGAUAUAUAUAGGCGAAAGAAGUCGGUAAGGGGAGCCACAAGGGGCCCACGAGGGUGGAGGGCGCGCCUAGGGGGGUGGGCGCGCCCCCUGUCUCGUGCCUUCCUCGUUGCUUCCCUUACGUACACUCCAAGCCUUCUGGAUUGCUUCCGUUCCAAAAAUAACUGUCCCGAAGGUUUCAUUCCCUUUGGACUCCGUUUGAUAUUCCUUUUCUGCGAAACACUGAAACAAGGAGAAAAAACUGAAACUAGCACUGGGCUCUGGGUUAAUAAGUUAGUCCCAAAAAUAAUAUAAAAGUGCGUAGUAAAGCCCAUUAAACAUCCAAGAUGGAUAAUAUAAUAGCAUGAAUACUUCAUAAAUUAUAGAUACGUUGGAGACGUAUCAAGGGGCGUCCCCGGCAAGGGCGCCAAGCACCGAGCCCAUGCACACAGAGGAGGAGGAGGCAGACUUGGGCGCUAGUGGCUCCGCCUCGGUGCCAGAUGUUGGCAGGGAAGGGGCUACUUCUUCCCAGCCCGGCACGGGUACGUCACUUGCCUCCUGUCCCUGCUUUUUCUUCUUCUUUUUGAAUCUUGGUCUUGGCUCCGCCUCAUCCCCUUCUCGAUAUCCAGACCCUCCCUCGGCGGACCGGGAGGACAUAGACACCGUCAUCGAGGAUGUCGCCAAGGACACCGCGGCGGAGGCCGAGAAGAUUGCCGCCGAGGAGGCCGCCAAGGGCGCUGCCGAGGACGCCGCAAAGCGAUCUGCCGGGGAGUCCGGCAUGUCUACUGCCAAAGUGGCCGGCAAGGGGCCUGCCGGGGAGGCCGGCAAGGCCGCUGCCGGGGAGGAGGUGGUUAACGACCAACCUUCCUCCUCUGCUGCCUCUGGUUCCGGCAGGUAUCUGAAGGUGAGCGACGACCUAUUCGUCAACCUCCUAGGGACGGCGAGCACUAGGGCGCCCACCGAGGGAGAGGUGUUCGACGAGGAGGUGCUUGCCGCCGCUGGGCUCGAGGUUGUUGACGAGUCGAGCGCCGGUGGCGACGGUUCCCAGGAAGAGCGGCUCCUUCAGGCCAUGGGCGCCAGCUUUCGGAAGCUCCAGGCGCUCCACCGCGCCCGCCUGGACAAGGCCAAGUCCAGGAUGGCAGCGGUGGAAAAGGCGGAGGCGGACCUCGAGGGUCGCAUCGUCGAGACGCAGGCUUGGUUCCGCCAGGGCUGCGAGGAGCUGAAGACCGCCCAGGACGAGCUGGCCAAGCGCAAGGUGGAGCUCGUCAUGAAGCAGGCCGACAUCGAGAGGGGCCAGGAGUUGGCGAAGAACCAGGCCGCCAAGGACGAGGUCGCUCGGUCCCAGCACCAGGCCGCGCUGAACUCCCAGGAAGAGGACCUUGCCGCUCGCGAGGAGAAGCUCGCCGUGACACUCCGCGGCAAGGACGAGGAGGUCAAGAAGCUUGUCCUGCAGCGGACCCAGGAGUUGGAGCAGAAGCACGAGGAGGCGCUCAAUGCCCAGGCUUAGGUCCACGCCGGCAAGGUGAAGGAGCUGGAGGUGGAGCGGGACGAGCUGAAGAAGCAGGCCCUGGAGUUGACGGCGGAGAGGGACGCUGCCAAAGGUGCCCUGGCCGACGCGCAGGCCGCAGUCCUCAGCAAGGCCGGGCUACUCUCCACGGCCAACGAGACCAUCAAGGACCUGAAGCUGAAGCUGGAGGGCCUUGAGGGGACGCUCUCGGAGGCCAAGGCCCGGGAGGAGACCCUGGCCAAAGAUUUGGAGGCCGAGAAGCAGCUGCGGAAGAACGAAACCGCCAACCACAAGGAUUUUGUGGAGGGCGAGAACCGCUGGAUCAGCCGCCUCAAAGGCGUCGCCGGCAGGAUCACCACGCAGCUGGCUACGAUGGGGAUGCCAAAUGUGAGGUACGCCCCGGAGCCCAAUGUGACUCCCAAUGCCAAGCUGACCCUAUUCUUCGAGGGUGUCCUUGGAGCCCUGGAGCAUCUUCGCUCCAGCAGGGCGGCCUCUUUGGCCGAUGAGGCCCGGAAGCUUUGCCGGGGUGCCAUGACCAAGGUCCUCACCAAGGUGGCGUACUGGAACCCCGACCUCGACUUCGACGCCGCACUAGAGAGCUUGCCGGAGGAUGCUGACCUCGCGGCGCUCAAGGAGCGUAUCAAGCCCAUCAUCAGUCGCGUCGACGGAAUCCAGAGGGUGGAGGGCCAGCGCUGGGAUUAGGCACCCCGUUUCUCAUUGCCGCUGCAGGUUCAUGACCAUGACAAUUUCUAUCUUUAGUUAGAACCGCGGCAACAACUGAUGUAAUAUAACUCUGCAGUACAUUCGUGAUGAUGUAUGUUAUCUUCCUGUUUGAUCUUCCUUUGUAUGUUCACCCUACGUUAAUCGGGUAGGCUUGCCGGCGCGUAAACCCAGGCCGCGGCGCCUUGAGGAUGGAUCCCCAAUGGCCUGCCGGGUAUGCUUGCUGCCAGGCGAACCACCUUACCGCAUUAGUAGAAAACAGGGCUUUGGUUCCGGCCUGGCCAGCCCAUUAGUCCCGGUUCUUCAUGAACCGGGACCCAUGGGGGGCAUUAGUCCCGGUUCAUGAGCCCAGGGGGCCGUCCGGGGCCUCGUGGGCAUUGGUCCAGGUUCCUCUGGAUCCAUUUGUACCGGUUCUAGAGGGCCGCGCUCCUUGCCCACAGCCAUUGGUACCGGUUCGUGCCUAUAACCGGGACAGAAGGGGGGGGGGCUUUAGUACCGGUUCGUGCCACAAACCGGGACAAAUAAGUUGCCUAUAUAUACUCGUCGCCGCAGCAGAGCACUCCACAGUGCUCUGUUUUUUCUGGCCGGCGAGGGGAGGGCAUUUGGGUGCUCUAGCUCACCUCCUAUGCACAUGAGGUGUUUGAUGAAAUGCCCGAGCGACACUAGUUAAGCUUUCUCCUCUUGAAGCUCGACCUCGGAGCUCCAUUUUUCCCAAGAUUUGUCUAGAUUUAGCGGUCCGUCACGCCCCGUCCCCGUUUUCACCGCCGUCAAUCGCCCGUGCCGAUCUCGUCGCCGGCACCAUCGUGGUGAGCCUCUUGUUCUUAUCUUCUUUCUGAUUUGCUUAAUUUAGAUAGAUACUUGUCUGAUUUUCUUACUUUUGACACACAUAAUUAUAUAUAAUGCACGCAGAUGAACCGGCAAUGGAUGUACGGUGACAGACACACCUCCGAGUACAUUAAGGGCGUGCAUGAAUUUCUCGAAGUGGCAGAGGCAAACAAGCAGAAUGGUUUUAUGUGUUGUCCAUGCCCUAAAUGUGGGAAUACGAAGUCUUACUCUGACCGGAAAAUCCUGCACACCCACCUGCUUUACAAGGGUUUCAUGCCACACUAUAAUGUUUGGACGAGGCACAGAGAAAUAGGGGUUAUGAUGGAAGACGACGAAGAAGAAGAGGACGAUGACAACUAUGUGCCCCCUGAAUACGGUGAUGCUGCAACGGGGGGAGCUGCCGAAGAUCAAGAGGAACCAGACGAUGUGCCCGAUGAUGCUGCAAUGGGGGAAGCUGCUGAAGAUCAAGAAGAACCAGACGAUGUGCCCGAUGAUAAUGAUCUCCGCCGGGUCAUUGUCGAUGCAAGGAUGCAAUGCGAAAGUCAAAAGGAGCAGCUGAAGUUCGAUCCCAUGUUAGAGGAUCACAAAAAAGGGUUGUACCCCAAUUGCGAAGAUGGCAACACAAAGCUCGGUACCGUACUGGAAUUGCUGCAGUGGAAGGCAGAGAAUGCUGUGCCUGAGAAAGGAUUUGAGAAGCUACUGAAAAUAUUGAAGAAGAAGUUUCCAAAGGACAAUGAAUUGCCUGACAGUACGUACGCAGCAAAGAAGGUCGUAUGCCCUCUAGGAUUGGAGGUGCAGAAGAUACAUGCAUGCCCUAAUGACUGCAUCCUCGACCAUGGUGCGUACAAGGAUUUGAACGCAUGCCCGGUAUGCGGUGCAUUGCGGUAUAAGAUCAGACGAGAUGACCCUGGUGAUGUUGACGGUGAGCCCCGCAGGAAGAGGGUCCCUGCGAAGGUGAUGUGGUAUGCGCCUAUAAUACCACCGUUGAAACGACUAUUCAGAAACAAAGAGCAUGCCAAGUUGAUGCGAUGGCACAGUGAGGACCGUAAGAAAGACGGGAAGUUGAGAGCACCCGCUGACGGGUCGCAGUGGCGAAAAAUUAAGAGAAAGUACUGGGAUGAGUUUGCAGGUGACCCAAGGAAUGUAUGGUUUGCUUUAAGAGCGGAUGGCAUUAAUCCUUUCGGGGAGCAGAGCAGCAAUCACAGCACCUGGCCCGUGACUCUAUGUAUGUAUAACCUUCCUCCUUGGAUGUGCAUGAAGCGGAAGUUCAUUAUGAUGCCAAUUCUCAUCCAAGGCCCUAAGCAACCCGUUAACGACAUUGAUGUGUACCUAAGGCCAUUAGUUGAAGAACUUUUAUAGCUGUGGAAUGGAAACAGUGUACGUGCGUGGGAUGAGCACAGACACGAGGAAUUUAACCUCCAUGCGUUGCUGUUUGUAACCAUCAACGAUUGGCCCGCUCUCAGUAACCUAUCAGGACAGACAAACAAGGGAUACCACGCAUGCACGCACUAUUUAGCUAACACCAAAAGUAUAUACCUGGACAAAUGCAGGAAGAAUGUGUACCUGUGCCAUCAUCGAUUUCUUCCGACCAACCAUCAAUGUCGAAAGAAAGGCAAGCAUUUCAAAGGCGAGGCAGAUCACCGGAAGAAGCCCGCCAUGCGUACCGGUGAUCACGUACUUGCUAUGGUCAAUGAUUUACACCUAAUGUUUGGAAAGGGUCCCGGCGGACUAGCUGUUCCGAAUGACGCUGGGGGACGCGCACCCAUGUGGAAGAAGAAAUCUAUAUUUUGGGACCUGCCCUACUAGAAAGACCUAGAGGUCCGCUCUUCGAUCGACGUGAUGCACGUGACGAAGAACCUUUGCGUGAACCUGCUAGGCUUCUUGGGCAUGUAUGGGAAGACAAAAGAUACAGCUGAGGCACGGGAGGACCUGCAACGUUUGCACGAAAAAGACGGCAUGCCUCCAAAGCAGUAUGAAGGUCCUGCCAGCUAUGCUCUUACCAAAGAAGAGAAGGAAAUCUUCUUUGAAUGUCUGCUUAGUAUGAAGGUCUCGACUGGCUUCUCGUCGAAUAUAAAGGGAAUAAUAAAUAUGCCAGAGAAAAAGUUCCAGAACCUAAAGUCUCAUGACUGCCACGUGAUUAUGACGCAACUGCUUCCGGUUGCAUUGAGGGGGCGUCUACCGAAAAACGUCCGAUUAGCCAUUGUGAAGCUAUGUGCAUUCCUCAAUGCAAUCUCUCAGAAGGUGAUCAAUCCAGAAAUCAUACCAAGGCUAAGGAGUGAUGUGGCGCAAUGUCUUGUCAGUUUCGAGCUGGUGUUCCCACCAUCCUUCUUCAAUAUCAUGACGCACGUCCUAGUUCAUCUAGUUGACGAGAUUGUCAUUCUGGGCCCCGUAUUUCUACAUAAUAUGUACCCCUUUGAGAGGUUCUUGGGAGUCCUAAAGAAAUAUGUCCGUAACCGCGCUAGGCCAGAAGGAAGCAUCUCCAUGGGCCAUCAAACAGAGGAUGUCAUUGGGUUUUGUGUUGACUUCAUUCCUGGCCUUAUGAAGAUAGGUCUCCCUAAAUCGCGGUAUGAGGGGAGACUGGCUGGAAAAGGCACGCUUGGAGGGGACUCAAUAAUAUGCAGGGACGGAUAUUCUUGGUCUCAAGCACACUACACAGUUCUACAGAACUCUACCUUGGUGACCCCUUAUGUCGAUGAACACAAGAACAGUCUGCGCUCCAAACACCCGGAGCAUUGCGACGACUGGAUUACAUGUGAACACAUCAGGACUUUCAGCAGUUGGUUGGAAACACGUCUCAGAGGUGACAACACUGUUUGUGAUGAGAUGUACUCGUUGUCCAGGGGACCAUUUUCGACUGUAUUGACUUACAAAGGAUACAAGAUAAAUGGGAAUACAUUUUACACGAUCGCCCAAGAUCAAAAGAGCACCAACCAAAACAGCUGUGUCCGCUUUGAUGCAGCAACCGAGAGGGGAAAGGACACAUAUUAUGGUUACAUAGUGGACAUAUGGGAACUUGACUACGGACAUGAUUUUAAGGUCCCUUUGUCUAAGUGCAAAUGGGUCAAUCUGUCAGGAGGCGGGGUACAGGUAGACCCACAGUACGGAAUGACAACAGUGGAUCUGAACAAUCUUCGGUACACUGACGAACCUUUCGUCCUAGCCAAUGAUGUGGCACAGUUUAUCUAUGUGAAGGACAUGUCUACCAAACCGAGAAAAAGAAAAGAUAAGGAAGCGAAUACAUCAUACGAUGAGCCAAAGCACCACAUAGUUCUUUUAGGAAAAAGGGACAUCGUGGGAGUGGAGCGCAAGACAGACAUGUCUAAAGAUUAUGAAAAGUUUCCUGAAAUUCCUCCCUUCAAAGUCAAGGCUAACCCAAGCAUCCUAAUAAACGAUGAAGAUUAUCCAUGGUUACGGCGCAAUAAGCAAACGACACAAGCGAAGAAAAAGUGAAGACUUUCUCUCUACAACUAUUAUGAUGAUGCCUUUGAUCUAGAAUAUCACUGCAAUUACAUGUGAAGAAAUGAAAUGCAUGUUGUAACAAACGAGUUUCCGUGUGAAAUGAUGAUACCAUGCCAAUUUGCAACCUUAUCGGAGUUCAUUUGAAAUGGUUUUCAAUUUCCGGGUCUUAUAGCUCAAAAAAGCAGUAAAUGCAUGAAAAAUAACAAAUGAAGUCAGAAAGGGUUGAAAAUUGAUGAUGUUGCUUUGAAUGGUGCAUUUUGAACACACAAGAAGUCUGGAGUUCAAAUAAGUUCGAAAAAAUGAAAUCCCUUUGUAACAGAUGAGCUUUCGUGCGAAACCCUGAUACUUCGAAAGAGAUUGUCCGUUUUGUACACAAAGUGCAUCUAGUUUUUGCCGUAACCCUCUCAACUUUCUUGCACAUGCUAUGUGGGUGAAAUGAUGAUAGCAUGCCAAUUUUCAACCUUUUCGGUGUUCAUUUGAAAUGCUUUUCAAUUUUCGGGUCUUAUAGCUCAAAAAAGCAGUAAAUGCAUGAAAAAUAAUAAAAUGCAUAAAACUAUAAUAUUUGUUAUGAUCACUAAAAAACUAAAAUCAAUUAAAAUAUUAAAUAGCAGGAAAAAGAAUCACUCAAAAAUCUAUUUUUAUAGUAAAUUUAUUCAUAAAACUAGUGAUUCACAUACAUUUAAAAAAAAUCAAAUUUUAAAACUAAUGGCACUAACAGAAAGUUUAUAAUUUUGUGACCCAAAAGCAAAAAGAAAUCACUAAAAAACUAUAAAAUUUAGUUUUAAGUAGAAAUAAAAAAAUAAAAAGAAAAAAAGGAAAAAAAAUGCCACCUACUGGACCUCCUCGGCCUAAAUACGACUAGAAACCCUACAAUGGGCCAGGAUUCAGGCCCGCAGAAGGCCCAAUAGGCCCAACAGGCAUGGCAAAGUAGAGAUUAGGCCCGUAAGCCUGCAAUAGAGAGGAGCUCGAGAGGGUGGCGGCAGCAAAGCUUAUAAACCACCCCGAGCCCCUCUCAACUAGCGAGGUGGGACUAAACAUCCCACCGCACCGUGCCAGCACAAGGCCUAUGGUCCCGGUUCAUGCCACCAACCGGUACCAUAGGCGGGCAUUCGUACCGGUUCGUGGCACCAACCAGUACCAAUGCCCACCUACGGUCCCGGUCCGUGCCACCAACCGGGACCAUGGGCCUCUGUUUCCCGCCCUUGGGGCUGCCGAAAAGAGACCUUUGGACCCUGUUGGUGGCACGAACCGGGACCAUAGGUAGGCAUUGGUACCGGUUGGUGCCAUGAACCGGUACCAUUGGUUUUGCUAUAUAAGGUAGCACUUGUGAAAAUUUCGCCAACUGCUCCCCCAUUCCCCCCGACGCCGCCAGGCCGUUCCUCGUCGUCGUCGCCGUCGCCGCCCCGAGCCCCUGCCCCGACGNNNNNNNNNNNNNNNNNNNNNNNNNNNNNNNNNNNNNNNNNNNNNNNNNNNNNNNNNNNNNNNNNNNNNNNNNNNNNNNNNNNNNNNNNNNNNNNNNNNNNNNNNNNNNNNNNNNNNNNNNNNNNNNNNNNNNNNNNNNNNNNNNNNNNNNNNNNNNNNNNNNNNNNNNNNNNNNNNNNNNNNNNNNNNNNNNNNNNNNNNNNNNNNNNNNNNNNNNNNNNNNNNNNNNNNNNNNNNNNNNNNNNNNNNNNNNNNNNNNNNNNCCCGACGACGUCGCCGCGCCCUUGACCCGCCGUUGACGUCGUCCUCACCGUCGCCGUCGUCGUCACCGCCCCCGAGCCGCUCCUCCCAGAGCCCUCGCUGUGCGCGUACCCCUCCCCCAAGAGCCCACCGUCCUCGUCGCCGUCAUCGUCACCGGCCUCGUCGUCGUCCUCGUCACCGGCCUCGUCGUUGUCCGGCCUUGAGCCCCCAGUGAGCCCCUUCCAAUCCCGAUCCGUGCACUGCCGCAGCUGCCGCCGCCCCCCCGCGCCGCGCCGCCGCCCCUGUUUUUUAUAUGUAUGUAUGUAUGUAUCUAUGUAUAUGGAUGUAUGUAUGUACGGAUGGAUGGAUAUGCAUGUAUAUGGAUGGAUGUAUGUGUAUGUGUUCAUAGUUUUUUUUUGUUCAUAGUUUUUUGUUGAUAGCAUUUUUAGGCUGUAUAGUUUUAUUUUUGUUCAAUUUUUAUGGUUAGAAGAGGAGAGGAAAAAAUUGUGUUGCUAAAGUUACAUUUAAGGUUAGUUGAUUUAGUUCAUUUUAGGUUAUUAGUUCUACUGUUAGUGCAUUUAAGGUUAGUUUAUUUUUAGUUGAACUAGUUGAUUUAAUAAAACUAAUUUAUUUUACUAUACAUAUAAGUAGUUUAUUUUUAGUAAGUACUACUUUAUUUUAUUUAUAGUAAGUGCUUAGUAGUUGAACUAGUUGAUUUAAUAAAACUACUUUAUUUUACUAUAGAAGUAGUUUAGUUUUAGCAAGAAAAUUAAUAGAAUUAGUUUAUUUUUUAGUUCAAGCAAUUAUUCCCGCAUCGACAUCGACGAUGCCUAUCCCGCAUCCUCGUCGUCGACUCGGCGGAGGAGGCCGACUUGAUCAGAGGGGCCAUGUCCGGGACUGGGCUCCGCCGGGCUGGUAUUGGGAGGUGCUACCUUCCGGGGGGCGUAGGUUGGUGAGGAGCCAGCCCGUCGUUGACCCGAUCCUUGUUUGGUGGCGGUCGCGUGGGCCAGUGACUGUAUCGAGGCUUCCGGACACCGCGGAGGUGGUACGUCACCAUGUCAGCGAGGAGGACGAGCACGCCCGUCGCUACAUGGUUGCGUUGGAGGGCAGGUUCGACAAUACCUGGCAGCUUCUUCAGGGAUCUCAUUGGAGCUAUGAUCAUGUGAUGGUUCCUUCUCUUUGGGCAUCCACCGCCCGCGCCGAUACCCGUCGGGCGCUACGGUUCUAGCUGUACUAGCGAUGCUAUAUGUAUGAUAGUAUUCGAGGUGUAUUAGUGAUAAUAUUCGACGAUGUACGGACGCAAGAGAUGAUGUAGUUUUGCUUAUAAUUGAAUGCAUCCUAAUUUGAAUACUACUUUAUUUUGCGAUCUGAUUUUGCUUAUUGAAUGCUCAAAUUGGAAAACUACUCCUACUUUGAAUGCUAAAAUUAGAGAGCACUAUGCAAGGCGUAUGCAUAUGAUUAGUUGAUAGCUUAUAGUGUUUUUGUUUUCGCAAAAAUAUAGGAGCCCCCAACCAUCAUCCCCGCCGUCGUCCCCGUCACUGACCCCCUCCGACGUCGAGGUGAGACCAGCCAAAUCUCCAUGUCAAUAUGAGUCCUAUAAUAUGAGUCCUCGGGUCGACUUUAAGUCUGUCGAGUCUCCACCAUAUAUGAAAGGACGAAGAAUCAUGACUGUUGUCGUGGGGGUAGCUUCUCCUUCGUUCCCGUGAUGAAUAAUAAUGAUCUAACUUAGGUUUUUAGUACAUAUAUUUAAUUGUAGAUGUUUAAUAUUUGAAUUAUGAACAUAGGAAAUGUCGUACUCAGACUACGAAAGUCUCCCGGGGGAGUGCGACUGGUGCCACGACGACCGAGGUUAGUGCGACCGGCCUCACCUGGACGAAGAUCAGCGCUUCAGCAUUAAGCUGGAGGAGACCUUCGAUGUUGAAACGGUACGCAACGACGACAAGUGUUAUUUUUUCGUAAUUAAGCACGACUUCAAGUAUUUCAACGUGUACUUCUUAUCUUUUACAAUUCGACUAGCUUAUCCCAUGCCAUGCAAGACGCUAUGUCUUGGAGAGGAUGGGUUUUGAAGACCAGGAAAGUUUCGAAACAAAGAAAAUUCAUCUAAGGACCCAUCAUGGUGUGGAUUUUGAAGUAAAGCGGUACAAUUCUGAGAGCGUAACCCAUUUUGGUUGCAAAAAAUGAGAAGCACUUUGCAAGAUGUAUGGUUUUGAUGAGGGUAUGCUUGUCACCAUUGAUCUUGGUGACCCUGAAAUCGAGCAAGACAAUAUGGACAUUUGGGUCCUUGUUGAUACGCCUCCAAUUCUACCGCUAUGUGAGUUUCUCAAACAUAGUUAUUAGCUAAUUUAUAUUGUUUAUUUCAAAAUAGUUGACAACUUAUUUCCAUUGACAGCUUAUUUUGAUUGUUCAAACAAUGUGCGGAACAUGGUAGACAAAACCCACUACACCGAUGGCUCCGAAUUAACUUAUCAGGAGAAAAAUCAUCUGGUCUGAUUUUGUACUGAUAUUGAGAAUUACAAUAUCUAGAAUCAAACUCCUCAACAUUAUUGUCAAUACGUGCCACUAGUGCACGUGUUGAACUACAGUAACUACCAUGGAGAUACCCUGGUAAGAUUUUUUACUAUUACGACAUCCGUGCAUCUUUUGCAUACUUCUAAAACUAGUACAUCAUUGCUAACUAUGAAGUUAUUACUAUGUUUUUCAACAGAGAAUCCCAGAGGAUUGUGUGCCUCAUUUGAUGUAGCAGAAUGGCAGCCUUCGUGUUUUGAACAUAUAUCCAAGUCAUCCAACGAAUCUCAACUGUCCAUACCGGAUUUAUCAAUGAAGUGGAGACAUGCUAAUCAAAAAAUGGAAAAAAUGUAUGGACAGUCGUAAGGAGGUUCUUGGAAGCAAAAGGAAGCGAAGCGUAAGAAUUGGAGACAGGAUGAUCUCCAUUCUCCAUAAUGGAGAGUCAGGGUCUAUAUUGUUUUAUGCUAUUUUACCUUAAAGAGGGUAUUUAGGUCCUACCUAAUACUGAUGAUCAUGUGCUAAGAACAAUUAAGUAGGGCUGGUUCGAUGACUAUGAGGAUGAUGAUCGUAUGACUUGUUAUUAAUAACGAGUAGAAGUUGUAUGAUGAUGAUUAGUAGGACUUGUUAUUAUAUAAGAUGAUGCAUGAUGCGAGCAUGAAGAGUUAUUAUAUAUCAGCGGGUGAAAUGAACAUGGAUUGGAUUGAAGUGAAGGCAACAUGCAUGUGGUGCAUGUCGAAAGUACUACAAUCCAAACUUGAUCAAAGUUAGGAUUAGUAUUACUUUCGACAUGCACCACAUGUUGCCUUCACUUCAAUCUAAGCCAUGUUUAGGCAUAGCAGUAGCGUUGGUAAACCAAGCACGGAGAUAUAAGAGAGGACACUUCUCUCUAUUAUAUUAGCUAGCUAAUAACAACCUAAAUUAACCCCCAAAACCCCUAAAUCAGCCCCUUUAAAAAAACAAAAAGCUCAACUCCAGCCAGCUGCUGACGCGUGGAUGCCUUUUGGUCCCGGUUGGUGUCACCAACCGGGACCAAAGGCCCCCCUGCCUGGGCUGGCCGUAGUGGCCACGUGGAGGCCCAUCUGUCUCGGUUCGUGUAAGAGCCGAGACUAAAGGCCAAGGGCAUUAGUAACGACCUUUUAGUCCCGGUUCCUAAACCGGGACAGAAGGCUCUUACGAACCGGGACAAAUGGCCCUUUUUCUACUAGUGCCGCUCUAAACGCGGCCGCUCGAACUGUUGAGCUUGACUCGAGUCAGAAUCGAGAGCGUUGCCGAUUGCGGAAGGCUAUGUUGCCGUUCUCGACGCGGCCGCUUGAGCUAUUGAGCGGACUCGAAACAGAGUAAGGGCGUUGCCAAUAGCGGAAGGGCCCCUUUGCGUGCAUGUUUUCCAUACAUAGGGCAGGACCUUCGAGUACAAUAACCUUCUAUAUAAAAAGAUAUUGCUUAAAGUUUCACACGACUUAGCUUUUCUGUCAUUGCACGGGCGUCCACCGCAUCUGCAGAUGGUGCCGUCAAGCUUGGUCGUCUUCUAUCUUGGAACGACGGCCACGAUGAAGCCGCUGCUCCGAUCAGACCAAAUUUCCACAACUGCGCCCCCUACCUAGCGCGCCAAAGAUGUCGGGGGAAAUCGACACCUAUGGAAUCACAGGGAUCCCUUCUACGGUUGGCGGGCGCGGGGUUGUGCAAAGAGCAGGUCUGACAGGAAGCACGCAGAUCGUUUACCCAGGUUCGGGCCGCGGAGAUGCGUAAUACCCUAGUCCUGCUAUGGUGGAUGUAUUCGAGUGUUCUUGUGUUCUUGAACUAGCUACGGGGUGUAACUUGCCCAGAAGAUCCGAAUCCCUGUCCUGGAUGCCUCGGGCCUCCUUUUAUAGACAAAAGGGGUUGCCACACUGGCACACAGGAGGUGGAAAGGUGUACAGUGGAUGAGUCUAUCCUCUGGCACCGUUGGACGAACACAUUUAAUGCGCUGCCAACGUGACCCUCUCGCUUUAUCGGGGACGGUCAAGGAAGCUCGUCCCAGCUGUCGCCGCCUCGCCUGGCUUCGACACGCGUCCGAGCUGACGAGGCGUCGUGGCGCCACAUUGGCUGGCUGCUGGGCUGGCGCGGUGGUGGAGCCUUCACGAAGGUCUGCAUGCCACCACGCAGGUGCUUGCUGUGUCGGUGUAGAGGCCGCUCGUCGCCACGCAGGUGCCUGCCCAGCUGGUUGGGCUAGCAGCUGCACGGGGACGGCGGUGGAGUCUUGGCAGGCGCGGGCCUGGCUGUGGCCCCGCUGAUGCCCUUGGCAAGGGUCUUGCCGGGGGCCCGGCAAGGGUCUUGCCGUGGUGCCGCGGUCGUCCCCGGCAAGGCGCUUGCCGGGGGUCUCGUGGAUUUCCUCGGCAAGGACCUCGCCGAGGAUCAUCGUCUUCUGGUCCUCAUCUGAUCUUGUGUAUUUAUGAUCUUCACAAAGAUCAGCAUGCCACCACGGAGGUGCCUCCCGAGCCUUGGUCCCAAUGUGGUUGAUGGCGUUGGAACCCUUGGGCUCAAUGGAGGCGCGCUUCGUUGGCGUCAGGCAAGUUGCCCCGGCAAGGCUCUCGCCGGGGCUGAGGAGGCCGUCCCGGCAAGGGUCUUGCCGGGGGAGUCCACCUCGCCCUCUUGCCCUUUGUGUCUCUGGUCUUGGCAUUGCCAUGGCUGUCUUGUGCUCCGGCUUCCCUCCUCUGCCCUGCUAAGUGUGGCCGUGGGCGCGGCUCUGACUACCAGUGCACAAGUAAAGGGGUCAAAAGGAGAGCCCCUAGUUUUAUACACCGACAUGUAUCCUCCCAGAAUCUCGUAGAAGUACCGUUACUGAUCACAAGCUUUGUCUGAUUGAAAAAAAUGGAUUUAACUCUCAUCAGUCCUUUCCAAAAGGGCUAGUCCAUUGGCCUCACUGUGACCUGGGAUAAAGUUCUGGAAUGAAGGUACUUAUUACGCAGUAUUUGUGCCCAUGUAGCCCCCGUCUCGCUAGAUAGCUUAUACAGCCAUUUGCUGAGAAGACAUAUGUUCUUCACCUUAAGAUUUUUGAUACCUAGACCCCCUUGGUCUUUGGGUCGACAAAUAAUAUCCCAUUUAGCGAGUAUACUUUCUCUUCAGAUCAUCACUUUGCCAGAAGAAACGGGAUCGAUAGAAAUCUAGUCUUUUCCGAACUCCAACUGGUACCUCGAAAAAAGACAAGAGAAACAUGGGCAUGCUCGUGAGAACCGAAUUAAUAAGAAUUAAACGGCCUCCAUAUGACAUGAGUUUGCCAUUCCAGCAACUGAGUUUCUUCUCAAAUCGAUCCUCAGUGCACUUCCAUUCUCUCUUUGUUAGCUUACGAUGGUGAAUUGGUAUGCCCAAUUAAGUGAAAGGCAAAGCCCCCAAUUCGCAUCCGAACAAUUGCUUAUAUGCCUCUUGUUCCUCAUUGGCUCUUCCAAAAUUGUAUAAUUCGCUCUUGUGGAAAUUAAUUUUUAGUCCGGUCAAUUGUUCGAAUAAGCAUAACACCAGCUUCAUAUUUCUCGUUUUUGCCAAGUCAUGGUCCAUGAAGAUGAUAGUAUCAUCGGCGUACUGUAGGACAGACACACCUCCAUCCACUAGAUGAGGUACCACAGGAGAGCACCUGCGAUAAUUAUAUCAUGCCACACGAGUACAAAGGAUGAAGCAUCUUAGACGUUUGGAAUAGAUUUGGGCAUCACAUACGAUUUAUUUUUCCAAAAAGGUAUGCAUGAUUGGGCUCUAUCUGUAGGAGAUAUGCCCUAGAGGCAGUAAUAACAGUUAUUUUGUAUCUCCAAGUUUGUAAUGAAUGUUUAUGAUCCAUGCUAUAACUGCAAUGAUUCUCGAGUCUACAAUAUCCACGAGGCUCGGAGGGAACUCAUAUGCACGUGUGGUAUUAUAAACGGUAAAAUAUAUUCCUAGUCUUGCCUCUAAGACUAGCUCAAGUAUUGCAUGAUGAUCCUGUUUCCUGAUCAUGGGCAUGACUAUGCCGGCAAUUUUGAGGGCACAAGUUUGGUAGAACGCUUGUGUUGAAUCAACCCGGAUUGAUGUUGUGCUAUGAGAUGCCUUCGUCACAAGUUUAUGGUUAAUAUCAUUGAGAUAGUUAAUGUUUGCAUAAUUCCUUAGACCAUGAGAGUAUCAAGUUCCUUCGUGCUUGCUUCGUGAACUUUGGGGUUUGUUAAACGUCAUCCGUAACUUGGUGGCUAUUAUGGCAGCUUUCGGGUUCACGGAAAAGUAUAGGAAGUAACAAGAUAGCUCAAGAUUGGGAUUUGCUCCUCCGACGAUGGAGAGAUAUACUCGGGCCCUCUCAGUGUAACGGUAUCCAUCAUCGUCUGGCCAGACACAUUGUGAUUUGAUCACUGGGAUGCCGGAACACGGAAACGAGAAAAGAGAACAAAACCGGUAACGAGGUAACUUGCAUGGUGGACAAAUUGUUCGUCCAUGGGCAUGCAAUAAAUCUCACCUCGGGUGUUUGUGACAUAUCGCGAAGCAACAGGAAUAGCUCACUACAACUAGAGGUUCACUCGAAUAUUCAUUCGUGUGGGUAUAGGGGUCAAUAUGGGUGUCCACGGCUCCGAUGUUGAUCAUUGAUCGGAAGGGGUUCCAGGUCAUGUCUAUACUUCACCGAACCUAUAGGGUCACACGCUUAGGGGUCAUCUAUCUGUUGAAUACUAGACAGGGAGUCUGAGAGAAAAUCACCGAAAAAGUUUCGGACACCGAAAAGUUUCGGACAGCGGAAUCGUACCGCAGAGAGAGGUCAUCGGAUAAGUUUCGAUGAUACCGAAAAGUUGUUUCGGGAUACACCAUUAAGUCAAAUUGGUUUCGGCACAUGCCUGAUAAUUCUUGGAGGAUGCCAGAAUCAUUCUGGAAGCUUUUUGGAAUUUUCUGACAUAAAAACCGGAAAUGUUCCGGAGCUGCCGGAGCCACUUCAGAUGCGUUUCGCAGAUGAAAAUCACUAAAACCGGAAUUGUUUCGGAACGCGUUGAAAAACAUUUUAGUGGGUACUGGAAAUGUUCUUAGCCCACAUAAAUAUUUUCAGUUCGAUCAGACGCUGAAAAAUGUCGUCGUGAAUAGUGAAAAUCAGCUUUAUGGUUACUUUAUGGAAAGCCACCUUUUGGGGCUUUGCUCCAAAAGAUCUUGGGGAUGACAUGGAUGGAUAGGACCCAUUUUUUGGGCCCCUCAUGGGGGUGUGGCCGGCCACAUGGGGUAUCCCCCCUUGGGGACCCUUUUGUUCAUUGGUUUCACUUCUAGGUCCUUGUGGAAGGACUUCAUUCAUGUGCAUUUUGGGUUUUUGUGUGAAACUACCCUACCCCUUGGGAUUUCCUAUAAAUAGAGGUGGAGGGGCAGCCCUCCACACUCAUCCCUUGCUCUCAUACACAUGCCAUGCAUUAUCUGGCUUCUUCUCUCCCUCCCACGAAAAGAGUUUCGUAGAGCCGUAAGGCUGUCUGGGUUCCGGCAGGAACUAGUUCUGGACGGCGAAGCCCUGCCGGAUAGCUGACACCGUAUGUGUGCAACCCCGUAGAGAGAUUGUAGUUUCGAUCUUUUGCCCGAGGGGCUGUUCGAGUGUCCUCCCGAAGGGCUGUCCGAGUCUCCGUCCGAGUUUCGAGGGUCCUCCCGAAGGGCUGUCCGCGACAUUGUCCGGGGGACUGUCCGACCGCCUCCCGAAGGGCUGUCCGGAGAGGGAGUACAUCCUCGCGGUUGGGAGGUUGUAAAUCCUAGCUGCGGGGAUCUGCACCGACGAUCUACACCGACUCUUCUUCCGCUGCGCUUCGAGUCGGUACGGAUCAGAUCAAACCUUGUAUGCAGUCUCCAUAGUGGUCCUGGGCGUGCUCGCUAUACCGAAAAUUUUCGUUUUCUGUCGCGUUCCCCUACAGUGGCAUCAAGAGCCGUGCUAUGCGUAGAUGCAGGUUACGAUCUAGAAUACAUGGAGAUGUAUGGGUAUUGCAUAAUAUAAUUUUGGAGUAGAUGAGAUGUAUUGCUGAAAAUUAUUUAUGCGGGUGACAGAUGAAAUCUGUUACCCGACGUUCUUGUUGCUUCCCUAGAAUUUGCGUUUGCUCAAUCUCGAGACAGGAUGGUGGAAUUUGACAAAGUUCUGGCAAUCCGUGAUCCUGAUUGAUCAUGGAAGUGCUAUCAGUUCUUUGGGUUCUGCCAUAGUCAAAAGAAAGAUGAAAUUCGCAGAUGAAAGGGCAUUGCAGAUAUGAUCUGCACGGGGGUCAUGCGUAUGACGAAGUUUAGUAUGGGGCUCGAGAUUUAAUUAUCUCGUGUUUCAUACACCCCGAGAUGUUAAUCUAGCAACUUGAAUAAUCAUACUUGAUGAUAAAACGUUGGUAGCUGCGGUUUAAGUCAAAACCUUAGAAGCCACGUAAAAUAAAAUUUUGCAUAAACCGAUUAGAGGCGUCUAACUUGGUUUUGCAGGAUGUGCAUGUGAUGUGGUAUAGCAAUGCUCAUAUUCAAUUUGAUUAUGUAUGAGAUGACUAUAUGAUGUAACUAACAUGACCUGCGUGUCAUGAUUCUGCAUGAUGGCUGGAGCCAUAUGAUUGCACUUUAAUGACCUGCGUGUCAACCUUAAGUAAUGCACUUAUUUUAUUAGCUAUAGAGAUAGCAAUAUUAUCUGGUGCAUCGACAAGGUGGUGGCAAUCUUCGCGAAGGUGAACACCGACGCAAAUGCCGAAGACGAAGAAUUGAAAGACUUCUCCGUCAGAAAGGGCUAUACCAUAUCAUGCUAAUUAUGAAUUGCCUGAGAUGUUUAUCCCCUAUGAUGCACCCUUCUUGAUUGCGCGGUAGUCGCUUUUAUUAGGGUGAUCUCUCACUUAAAAAUAUCAAGUAGAUAGUGUUCUCCCAAGUGUAGCACCGUCACGGCACCUAUCGUUUCGGGGUGCGCCGUGUCACACGGGUACGAACGAUUAGAGAAGUGUGAGGCGGGUGAGUUGAGACCUCGCAGCGAGAUCACUUGGUUGUCUUGACGUUCAGGCAUGACCGUCAUGAGCUCGGAACACACGCAUCGAAAGAUGAACAAGAGUCACAUAGUGAUGUGAUUGGCAAGUUGGCCUACCGGUUAAGAUUUUCGUCAUCAGUGGUGUUACACCAAUGGCGAACAAUCAAGACACGGAUCUUGAAUCACUCAUAAUCAAUUUUGAGAGAUAUUGAUUUGAGUGGGAGUGCAUUUUAGAAUAAAAUGUUUAUUCACUAGUGCAAAUUUCAUUAUAAACAAAGUCUAAGUGAAACUUGUGUCUUCGUUGUAGAUCAAAUGGCUCGCAACACCGCGUUCAACUUAGGCCCGAUGUUAGAGAAAGAGAAGUUAGCUACGACUGGAAACAACUAUGCGGACUGGGCCCGUAACCUGAGGAUUGUCCUCAGGAGCGCUAAGAAAUUGUACGUGCUUGAAACUGCUCUUCCAGCUAAACCGGCGGCAGAUGCACCGGUAGAUGAACAAAAUGUCUGGGCCACUAAGGAUGAUGAUCACAACUUAGUGCAGUGCCUCAUGCUAGCUUGCAUGAGUCCAGGGCUUCAAAAACGUUUUGAAUUCCAUAAAGCCCGUGAUAUGAUCCGGGAAUUGGAUGCUCUGUACAAGGAAACCGCAAAGUCUGAACGAUAUGAUAUCAUGAAGGCUUGGAUGGAUUGCAAGAUGGCUGAGGGUAGUUCAGUUGGCGAACACGUGGUCAAAAUGAUUGGCUAUUCUGAAAGGCUUAAAGCCCUAGAAUUUCCACUUCCACCUGGCCAUAUGAUGGACAUGUUGCUUUCUUCACUCCCCCCGUCUUACGACGGUUUUGUCAUGAACUACAACAUGACAGGGAUGGAGAAGACGCCGAAAGAAGUGCUCGCCAUGCUGAAAACUACAGAAGGAGGACUGCGGAAAAAUCGCAAGUAAGUGUUGCUUGUGAAUAAAACCGCCUGUUUCAAAAAGAAGAAAGGCAAGCCAAAGAAGGGCAAGGGCACCGGUAAGACCGGCUCCCAAAGCAACUCUAAGGGCGGAGCCAAGAAUGAAACUGAGUGCUUCUACUGCAAGGGCACAGGACACUGGAAGAGAAACUGCAAGAAGUAUCUGGAAGAUAAGAAGACCGGGAAAACCGGAAAAGGUAUAAUUGUUAUACAAGUUAAUGUCAUUGACGUUUUGCUUGCUAGCGAAAACUCUAAGUCUUGGGUAUUUGAUACCGGAUCGGUUGCUCACAUUUGCAACUCGAUACAGGGACUUCAGAAGGUGCGCAAGCUAGCAAAGAAUGAAGUCGUGAUGCGCGUCGGGAACGGCGCUGGGAUCGCCGCUCAAGCCGUCGGCAUUAUGCCUCUACGUCUCCCUUCAGGAUUUAUCUUAGAACUAAGUAACUGUUAUUUUGUUCCACUGUUGUGUAGAAACAUUAUCUCCGGAUCAUGUUUGGUACACGAUGGGUAUUCGUACAAGUCUGAGAACAAUGGUUGUUCACUUUAUUGUAAGGAUAUGUUUUAUGGAUUUGCACCCAUUGUUGGGGGCCUUUUCAUACUAAAUCUUGAAUGUGGAAGUGAUGUCUUUAACAUGAAUGCUAAACGCCUUAAGAAGGCUGAUACCACCACCACUUUCAUGUGGCACUGUCGCCUUGGCCACAUCGGUAAGAAACGCAUGCAAAGACUCCAUAAAGAUGGAGUUUUACCGUCCCUUGAUUUUGAAUCAUUUGACACAUGUGAAGCUUGCCUGAUGGGGAAAAUGACCAAGACGCCGUUCACGGGUCAUCCUGAACGGGCGGGUGAAUUAUUGGAAAUAAUACAUAGUGAUGUAUGUGGUCCAAUGAACACAGGCGCACGGGGUGGAUAUUUUUACUUCGUGACUUUUACUGAUGAUUUGAGUAGGUAUGGCUAUAUCUACUUAAUGAAGCAUAAAUCGGAAACCUUUGAAAAGUUCAAAGAAUUUCAGAAUGAGGUAGAAAAUCAUCGUAACAAAAAGAUUAAGUUUCUGCGGUCUGAUCGCGGAGGCGAAUAUCUUAGUCAUGAGUUUGGCCAACAUCUGAGUGAUCGUGGAAUCGUUUCACAGCUUACGCCUCCCGGAACUCCACAGAGAAAUGGAGUAUCGGAACGACGUAACCGAACCUUGUUGGACAUGGUAAGGUCAAUGAUGUCUCUUACAAAUCUUCCAAUAUCUUUUUGGGGUCACGCACUACUUACUGCUGCUCACACACUAAACAAAGCACCGUCUAAAUCUGUUGAGACGACGCCACAUGAGAUGUGGCACGGGAAGAAACCCGACCUGUCGUUUUUCAAAAUUUGGGGUUGUGAAGCUUAUGUAAAACGUUUACAGCCAAGCAAGCUUGAUCCCAGAUCAGACAAAUGUUACUUUGUAGGUUAUCCCAAGGAGACAGUUGGGUAUUCUUUCUACCACGCCUCCGAGAAUAAAGUGUUUGUUGCAAAACAUGGAGUCUUUCUUGAGAAAGAGUUUCUCACUAAAGAAGUGAGUGGGAGGACAAUACAACUCAAUGAGAUUAGUGAAUCUUCGGGAACCGUUGAUAUGGCUAAGGAACCGGAAGAAAUUCCGCUAAUUAUCCCUACAACCGAGCCGGAAGUUGUCGCAUGUGAUGCGGAGACUUCAGACAAUGUUGUAACUGAACCGCGCAGAUCAGGUAGGGCUAUCCAGCCACCUGAGUGGUUUCAUAACGAAAUCUUCAUUCUUGAAGACGAUGAACCUGCGCACUACAAGGAAGCGAUGGCGGGGCCCAGCUCAAAAGAAUGGCACAAAGCCAUGAGAUCCGAAAUGGAAUCCAUGUACGAAAACCAAGUUUGGAACUUGGAAGAACUUCCAGAAGGCAUAAAGCCCAUUGGUUGUAAAAUGGAUUUUCAAAAGAAAGACGGACGCGGAUGGUAACAUUACUAUCCACAAAGCUAGACUUGUCGCGAAAGGGUUCACACAAGUUCCAGGAGUGGACUACGACGAGACUUUCUCGCCAGUAGCUAUGCUUAGGUCUGUUCGGAUAUUGCUAGCAAUUGCUGCUUAUUUCGACUAUGAAAUAUGGCAGAUGGAUGUCAAAACGGCUUUCCUAAAUGGAAACCUCAAAGAGGAUGUAUACAUGAUACAGCCAGAAGGUUUUGUCAUUCAUGAGGAUGCUGGAAAGGUAUGCAAACUUCAGAAAGCCAUUUAUGGUCUGAAGCAAGCAUCAAGGAGCUGGAACAUUCGUUUUGAUGAAGUGGUCAAAGAGUUUGGCUUCAUCAUGAAUGAUGAAGAAUCUUGUGUUUACAAGAAGUUUAGUGGGAGCGCAAAAGCAUUUCUAAUCUUGUAUGUGGAUGACAUAUUGUUGAUUGGAAAUGACGUGAAUUUUCUUAGCGAAAUAAAAGACUCAUUGAAGAAAAGUUUUUCAAUGAAAGACUUAGGCGAAGCGGCAUAUGUAUUAGGCAUCAGGAUCUAUAGAGAUAGAUCAAAACGCCUGAUAGCGCUUAGCCAAAGCACGUACAUUGACAAGGUGUUGAAAAGGUUCAACAUGGAGAACUCCAAGAAAGGCCUACUCCCCAUGUCACCUGGCACAGUGCUUUGCAAGAAUCAGAGUCCUCGGACUCUGGAUGAGCGAGUACAAAUGAAUGAUGUUCCAUAUGCCUCGGCAGUUGGUUCUAUUAUGUAUGCCAUGCUAUGUACAAGACCAGAUGUUUCCUAUGCGCUAAGUGUUAGCAGCCGGUACCAAAGUGAUCCAGGGUUGGAACACUGGGCCGCAGUCAAGGGUAUUCUUAAGUACCUCAGAAGGACCAAGGAUUUACUCCUUGUGUACGGAGGUGAUGAAGAGCUCAUUGUAAGUGGUUACAAUGAUGCAGGCUUCAUGACUGACCCAGAUGACUUCAAAUCUCAAUCAGGCUACGUUUUCAUAUUGAACGGCGGCGCAGUUGAUUGGAAAAGUUCCAAACAAAAGACUGUGGCGGAUUCUACGACGGAGGCGGAAUAUGUUGCUGCUUCAGAAGCCUCCAAGGAGGCGGUAUGGAUCAAACAAUUUCUUGAAGACCUUGGUGUGGUUCGUAGUGCCCAGGACCCGGUGGAGAUCUAUUGUGAUAAUAGUGGCGCCGUGGCUCAGGCAAGGGAGCCAAGUUCGAACCAUAAGACAAGACAUAUUCAACGCAAAUAUAAACUCAUUCGACAUCAUGUCGAAGAGGGUUUAGUGAAAGUACGCAAAGUUCACACGGAUCUGAACGUGUCAGACCCGAUGACAAAGCCUCUACCACGAGCAAAACAUGAGCAACACCGGAUAGCCAUUGGUGUUAGGGAAGCCAUGUAACUGGAUUAUGACUCUAGUGCAAGUGGGAGUCUGUAGGAGAUAUGCCCUAGAGGCAGUAAUAACAGUUAUUUUGUAUCUCCAAGUUUGUAAUGAACGUUUAUGAUCCAUGCUAUAACUGCAAUGAUUCUCGAGUCUACAAUAUCCACGAGGCUCGGAGGGAACUCAUAUGCACGUGUGGUAUUAUAAACGGUAAAAUAUAUUCCUAGUCUUGCCUCUAAGACUAGCUCAAGUAUUGCAUGAUGAUCCUGUUUCCUGAUUAUGGGCAUGACUAUGCCGGCAAUUUUGAGGGCACAAGUUUGGUAGAACGCUUGUGUUGAAUCAACCCGGAUUGAUGUUGUGCUAUGAGAUACCUUCGUCACAAGUUUAUGGUUAAUAUCAUUGAGAUAGUUAAUGUUUGCAUAAUUCCUUAGACCAUGAGAGUAUCAAGUUCCUUCGUGCUUGCUUCGUGAACUUUGGGGUUUGUUAAACGUCAUCCGUAACUGGGUGGCUAUUACGGCAGCUUUCGGGUUCACGGAAAAGUAUAGGAAGUAACAAGAUAGCUCAAGAUUGGGAUUUGCUCCUCCGACGAUGGAGAGAUAUACUCGGGCCCUCUCGGUGUAACGGUAUCCAUCAUCGUCUGGCCAGACACAUUGUGAUUUGAUCACUAGGAUGCCGGAACACGGAAACGAGAAAAGAGAACAAAACCGGUAACGAGGUAACUUGCAUGGUGGACAAAUUGUUCGUCCAUGGGCAUGCAAUAAAUCUCACCUCGGGUGUUUGUGACAUAUCGCGAAGCAACAGGAAUAGCUCACUGCAACUGGAGGUUCACUCGAAUAUUCAUUCGUGUGGGUAUAGGGGUCAAUAUGGGUGUCCACGGCUCCGAUGUUGAUAAUUGAUCGGAAGGGGUUCCAGGUCAUGUCUAUACUUCACCGAACCUAUAGGGUCACACGCUUAGGGGUCAUCUAUCUGUUGAAUACUAGACAGGGAGUCUGAGAGAAAAUCACCGAAAAAGUUUCGGACACCGAAAAGUUUCGGACAGCGGAAUCGUACCGCAGAGAGAGGUCAUCGGAUAAGUUUCGAUGAUACCGAAAAGUUGUUUCGGGAUACACCAUUAAGUCAAAUUGGUUUCGGCACAUGCCUGAUAAUUCUUGGAGGAUGCCAGAAUCAUUCUGGAAGCUUUUUGGAAUUUUCUGACAUAAAAACCGGAAAUGUUCCGGAGCUGCCGGAGCCACUUCAGAUGCGUUUCGCAGAUGAAAAUCACUAAAACCGGAAUUGUUUCGGAACGCGUUGAAAAACAUUUUAGUGGGUACUGGAAAUGUUCUUAGCCCACAUAAAUAUUUUCAGUUCGAUCAGACGCUGAAAAAUGUCGUCGUGAAUAGUGAAAAUCAGCUUUAUGGUUACUUUAUGGAAAGCCACCUUUUGGGGCUUUGCUCCAAAAGAUCUUGGGGAUGACAUGGAUGGAUAGGACCCAUUUUUUGGGCCCCUCAUGGGGGUGUGGCCGGCCACAUGGGGUAUCCCCCCUUGGGGACCCUUUUGUUCAUUGGUUUCACUUCUAGGUCCUUGUGGAAGGACUUCAUUCAUGUGCAUUUUGGGUUUUUGUGUGAAACUACCCUACCCCUUGGGAUUUCCUAUAAAUAGAGGUGGAGGGGCAGCCCUCCACACUCAUCCCUUGCUCUCAUACACAUGCCAUGCAUUAUCUGGCUUCUUCUCUCCCUCCCACGAAAAGAGUUUUGUAGAGCCGUAAGGCUGUCUGGGUUCCGGCAGGAACUAGUUCUGGACGGCGAAGCCCUGCCGGAUAGCUGAAACCGUAUGUGUGCAACCCCGUAGAGAGAUUGUAGUUUCGACCUUUUGCCCGAGGGGCUGUUCGAGUGUCCUCCCGAAGGGCUGUCCGAGUCUCCGUCCGAGUUUCGAGGGUCCUCCCGAAGGGCUGUCCGCGACAUUGUCCGGGGGACUGUCCGACCGCCUCCCGAAGGGCUGUCCGGAGAGGGAGUACAUCCUCGCGGUUGGGAGGUUGUAAAUCCUAGCUGCGGGGAUCUGCACCGACGAUCUACACCGAUUCUUCUUCCGCUGCGCUUCGAGUCGGUACGGAUCAGAUCAAACCUUGUAUGCAGUCUCCAUAGUGGUCCUGGGCGUGCUCGCUAUACCGAAAAUUUUCGUUUUCUGUCGCGUUCCCCUACACUAUCGCAGCCGGUUAACUUGCGUUGUGUGUGAUGGACACCCUUUUCGCACACCUUCACACAGCGAUGCAUCAAAGGUACGUGAGCAAAAGGGGUUUUUAACCGUUUGUGUUGGACUUGCGUGCACUAGUGUGACAUGCGUUACUUAACCUAGCUUUUGUUUAGUUUAGUUAAAUUUCAAGUAGUUUUUUAUGUAACUUGUUAAAUUUUAUCAUAUAUGCAUAUAUGUAAUAUAUCGUACUAGGUUUAUUUUCAUUCGUAAUUCAUUUGAAAUGUGUUCCGAACCGGGGGGUGGUAGUUAAAUGCAGAAAAAACACCACAAUAGCCAUCUCAUUAGCAAAAACAACCACUUUACAAUUUGUGGCAAAAAGGACGACACGCAACAACGGACAGUGGCAAAAGAGCCGGUCGGGACCGGCUCUUUCAAAAUGUGGGGUCCCACUCACCCACUCACUCUCUCACUCACCAGCUCUCGCUCACACUCGACGCCGGUGCCGCUCCUGCUUGACGCUGCCACACAAUGCAUUCAUGGAAUGACGAAGAGGAGAGCAGCAAGGAUGCCCUCAAGUACAGCAGCAUGGAUAUGGAUUUGUGGGUAAGUUUCAGCGCUCAAUAACUAGACGUUUGGAUUAGGGUUAGUGUUUGGAUUUGGGGAUUUAGGGUUUGUGCUCGUUUCCAGCCUUAUUGAAAGGAUUUGUUAGUUAAUUUAGAUAUUGUCAAUGCAGGAGAACCCUGAGACCAUUGUGAAUUCAUUUUACUAUGGGACAGUGGCAUUUUCGGCCAUCAAAUCCAAGCUUUACCAGGCAAGAGCCAAAAAAUCUGUUGGUUUUGGUGACAGACACUAGGAGGAAACUUUAUGGCUGCACUGCACAAGUACUCCCUCCGUCCUAUAUUAAUUGAGCUAAAAUGGAUGUAUCUAGUACAUAUGGAUACUUUCAUUUCAACAACAAUUAAUAUGGGACGGGGCAGUAAUUUUAACUUGCCUUGCUGUUUCACCACUUUGCUCUGUAGCUGUUUGAUUUCGCUGUGUAGUUAUCUAUGUAGUGACGAGUCAUCUGAACUUAGUUGUAUCUUGUUCAUUUUGACUGGAUUAAACUUAGUCUUGCUGCUAUUAAAGGUUAGUCUGUAAUUUAGUAAAUCGAAAUUUAACUGAAUUUUGUUGUUCAAGUUCAGUAUGUAGUUUAGUGAAUCAGAAUUUAACGGAAUAUUGUUUUUCAAGUCCAGUCUGUAGCUUGCUGAAUAUGUAUUGUACUGAUUGUUGUUACUCAAGUUCAGUAUGUAGUUAAGUCAAUCUAAAUUGUAGUGUCAUCAUGUAGUAAAAUAGGUAGUAUAUGUGAAAGAAAUAGGCUUGAUUUAUUGUUGUGUAGUUUUGGAAACAAUAAAUUUUGAGAUACUUUUGUCUGUCUGAACAAUAUGUCACUAGUAGAAAACAGGGCUUUGGUUCGGCUAGAAAAGAGCAUUAAUCCCGGUUGCAUUACGAACCGGGACUAAUGUGAGCAUUAGUCCCGGUUCGAGUGGCUAGGGCACCGUACAAGCAUUAGUCCCGGUUCAAAUGGGACCUUUAGUCCCGGUUGGUGCCACGAACCGGGACUAAAGGGUGCGAUGCCCAUUAGUACCGGUUCGUGGCACCAACCGGUACUAAAGGUUAGACCUUUAGUCCCGGUUCGAGCCACCAACCGGUACUAAUGGGGUUUGAGGCAUUAGUACCUGUUCAUGGCACGAACCGGUACUAAAGGUCCCAUUGUCAAACUCUACCCCCACCCUGGAUCGCCUUUUCAGUUUUGUAAAAAGCAAAGAAAAUGAUAAAAACUUCAAAAAUUAAAAUCCUUCCAGAUGUAUAGUUAUGUUACUACAUGUACUAGUUAGGAAAAUUUAAAAACUUAAAUUUGGACAUGUUUUGCAAAAAGUGUAGGAAAAAUGUAAAACGGCUAUAACUUUUGCAUACGAUGUUAGAAAAAAAGUAUAAUAUAUCAAAAUGUUCAGCACGAAAAUCCGAAUCCGAUUUUGACCGCAUAUGACCCGUUUGCAAAUGUUUAGAAUCCUCAAAUUCUAAAAGGAAAAAAAGUUAUGCUCAAAUUUCUGUUUUUUUUAAUUUUUGUUAAAUCUGGUCAAACUACUUAUUCAAGAAGUAUUAAUGUUACUAAAUAAAUAUUCAAGAAUAUUAGUGUUACUAAAUAAUUAUUUCAGUUUUUUUGAAUUUUCGUCAAAUCUGGUCAAACUAUGGUCAAACUAAUUAUUCAAGAAAUAUUAGUGUUACUAAAUAAUUAUUUCGGUUGUUUUGAAUUUUGGUCAAAUCUGGUCAAACUGUGGUCAAACUGUGGUCGAACUAUGGUCAAACUACUUAUUCAAGAAAUAUUAGUGUUACUAAAUAAUUAUUGUUUUUUAGAACAAUAGUUUCAAACUCAAACAGUGAAAUGUGUGACUUCAUGCUCAAGCUAAGUUCCUGGGGGUUAAUAGGAUUGACAUCUUACUAUUGUCAGGAAAACAACAAGUGCAGACUUGGAAACGAGGGAGAAUAGAACCCGGAAGUUAAGCGUGCUCAGGCUGGAGUAGUGAGAGGAUGGGUGACCGUCCGGGAAGUUAGAUGAUUUGGAAUGAUGAGGGGUGAUUAGGGGUGACAAGUUUUUGAUUACUUGUCCGGUAAGUAUACGAAUUAGAAACCGAGUCGGUUUGGGAUUGUGGUCGCGACACAAUACCGCCUCUGGUCCUAAUAUAUAUACAGCUACCGGCUGCGGCCAGAGACACACCGAAAAACACCUAGGGUUUUGCCUCAUCUCACAACCUGCGCCGCCAUUGUAGUCUACUCCAUCCCAAACGCCGGCGUGCAUCGACGCGUGGGAGAGCAGGUCUCCGGAACCGUUCGUCUUUGCGAUCCUGCACCGGGAGAGGACGAAUUAGGUUUAUGGGAAGCGUUGUGCGCGACUGCUCAAAUUCGUCAUCACGGGUCGUCUUCCGUCCAAGUCGGGCGGUGCUACUCAUCGUCGUAUUCAUCGCCGUCAGCAGCAGAUCGUCACCAACAUCGUCAUCAACACUGUCACACCCUUAAUAGCUAACGAUCAGUACGUCCGACAUCCUCUGUUCAUGUCUGCUUCUACAGCUAUUGUUACGUGUUUGCUGCUGUUAUGCAUGUCUUGCUGUUCUUCUAGUUUGCUAGAUUAUUGCAUGCUAGUAUCUCUUCUAGUCAUGAAUUAUUUACUGGAAUCAAUCAUGAACUUGCCUAAUAUUCCAACAAUCCAAAAACCUAAUUAUAGGCAAUUUCCUGAGUUAACUAUGGCUGGAUUCGCUGAUGCACUGAGGCCGGAUAAGUUUACCGGUGUGCACUUUAAGAGGUGGCAGUUGAAGACCACGCUCUGGCUUACUGGUCUGAAAGUUUUCCACGCUAGUGUUGGUGCUCCAGAGGGAAUGACCGACGAAGAUCGGAGAAAAUUCCAGGAAGCCAAUACUAUGUUUGUGGGAUGCAUUCUGAGUGUUCUUGCUGACUGUCUGUGUGAUGUGUACAUGCACAUAAAUGACGGAAAGAUUCUGUGGGAUGCACUGAAUGCAAAAUUCGGUGCAACAGAUGCAGGCAGUGAACUGUACAUCAUGGAGAGUUUUCAUGACUACAAGAUGGUGAAUAACCGUUCUGUGGUUGAACAAGCUCAUGAGAUACAGUGCAUUGUGAAGGAACUUGAACUCCUUAAAUGUGUUCUACCUGACAAAUUCGUGGCUGGGCGCAUGAUUGCAAAGUUGCCUCCUUCAUGGAGGAAUUUCGCCACAACUCUGAAGCAUAAGAGACAGGAGAUAUCAGUUGAAAAUCUGAUUGCAUCUCUUGAUGUUGAAGAAAAAGCUCGGGCUAAAGAUACUACUGAAAAAGGAGGUGAGGUUCAGCCUACUGCUAACAUGGUGCAGAGGUACCCACAGAACAAGAACAAAGGGAAGAACAAACCUGUUUUCAACAAGCCUACCAAGACUACUACCUUCAAGAAGAAGAAGUUCAACAAGGCUGAGCUAGAGUGCUACGCCUGUGGGAAGCCUGGACACUUUUCCAAGGAAUGCCCUGAACAUGCAGACCGCAGAGGGAAAAUAAGCUCCAAGACUGUCAACAUGGUGACCGCUAGCAAUACUGAUGGGUAUGGUAAUUUACCUAUUGUGCUUUCAGUAUUUCAAUCAUCUUCGUGGUGGAUUGAUUCGGGUGCUAACGUUCAUGUGUGUGCUGACAUCUCCCUAUUUACUUCUUAUCAGGUCGCAAGGGAUUCUUCCGUCCUAAUGGGGAAUGGGUCACAUGCUUCGGGAAAGAUCGUGCAACUAAGGAACGUGCAGCAUGUCCCUACUAUGAACAAGAAUCUAGUUAGCGUCUCCCUUCUAUGUCGAGAUGGAUUUAAGGUAGUUUUAGAGUCCAAUAAAGUAAUCGUGUCAAGAUUUGGACAAUUUAUAGGAAAAGGCUACGAGUGUGGAGGCUUGUUCCGCUUUUCUCUUUCAGAUUUUUGCAAUAAGUCAAUAAACCAAAUUUGUGCUAGUGAUAAUGAUGAUGCAAGUAUUUGGCACUCUCGUUUAUGUCAUAUUAAUUUUGGUUUAAUGUCUCGGCUAUCCAGCAUGAGUUUAAUUCCGAACUUCAGAGUUGCCAAAGGUUCUAAGUGCCAUAGUUGUGUGCAAUCUAUGCAACCUCGAAAGCCUCAUAAGGCCGCCGAGGAGAGAAACUUGGCACCUCAAGAACUCAUACAUUCUGAUCUUUGUGAGAUGAAUGGUGUGUUGACAAAAGGUGGAAAGAGAUAUUUCAUGACUUUGAUUGAUGAUGCGACUAGAUUUUGCUAUGUUUAUUUGUUGCAAACUAAAGAUGAAGCAUUAGACUACUUUAAAAUCUAUAAAGCUGAAGUUGAAAAUCAACUAGAGAGAAAGAUCAAGCGUCUUAGGUCCGAUCAUGGUGGAGAGUAUUUUCCAAAAGUUUUUGAUGAAUUUUGUGAGGAACAUGGUAUUAUUCAUGAGAGGACGCCUCCCUAUUCACCUCAAUCAAAUGGAGUGGCCGAGAGGAAAAACCGCACAUUGACUAACUUGGUGAAUGCCAUGUUAGACACUGCUGGUUUAUCUAAGGCAUGGUGGGGGGAGGCUCUAUUGACUUCAUGUCAUGUCCUGAAUAGAGUUCCCAACAAUAAUAAGGAGAAAACCCCUUAUGAGGAGUGGGUUGGGAGAAAACCAUCACUUUCUUAUUUGCGCACUUGGGGAUGUUUGGCAAAGGUCAAUAUUCCUAUUCCUAAGAAACGCAAACUUGGACCAAAGACAGUGGAUUGUGUCUUUCUAGGGUAUGCUCAACGGAGCAUUGCUUAUAGGGUUUUAGUGGUAAAAUCUGAAGUUCCUGAUAUGCAUGUUGAUACUAUAAUGGAAUCUCGUGAUGCAACAUUUUUUGAGAACAUAUUUCCUAUGAAAGAUAUGCAUAGCAUUGCUAGAUUUUCUUCUGAGAUAAUUCCUGUAUCUAGUACAACUGAUGAAUAUUUCGAACAAUCACAUGAGGAAGUCCUUGAGAAGGAUAACAAUGAAGUUCCUAGAAGGAACAAGAGACAAAGGAUUGCAAAAUCCUUUGGUGAUGAUUUCAUUGUAUACCUUGUGGACGACACACCCAAGACGAUUGCAGAAGCAUAUGCAUCUCCGGAUGUAGAUGAUUGGAAAGAAGCUGUUCAUAAUGAGAUGGACUCAAUUAUUUCUAAUGGAACUUGGGAACUAACUGAUAGACCAUAUGGUUGUAAACCUGUGGGCUGUAAGUGGGUGUUCAAAAAGAAGCUCAAGCCUGAUGGUACUAUUGAUAAGUACAAGGCGCGGCUAGUGGCCAAGGGCUACACUCAGAAAGAAGGCGAAGAUUACUUUGACACCUAUUCACCCGUUGCUAGAAUGACCACCAUUCGAGUGUUACUUUCCUUGGCUGCCUCUUAUGGUCUUAUCAUUCAUCAAAUGGAUGUAAAGACAGCUUUUCUCAAUGGAGAGUUGGAAGAGGAGAUCUAUAUGGAUCAGCCUGACGGGUUUGUGGUUAAGGGUGAAGAGAGAAAGGUGUGCAAGUUGUUAAAAUCUUUGUAUGGUCUGAAACAGGCACCUAAGCAAUGGCAUGAGAAGUUUGAAAGAACUCUGACUUCUGCAGGAUUUGUCAUUAACGAGGCUGAUAGGUGUGUUUACUAUCGCCAUGGUGGGGGCAAUAGUGUCAUAUUAUGUUUGUAUGUGGACGACAUACUGAUCUUUGGUACAAACAUUAAUGCAAUUAAUGAGGUCAAGUCUUUUCUAUCAAAAAGUUUUGACAUGAAAGAUCUGGGAGAAGCCGAUGUAAUUCUAAACAUCAAACUUAUUAAGGAUGAGAGUGGGAUUACAUUAACGCAAUCUCACUAUGUUGAGAAGGUCUUGAACCGAUUCGGUUUUAUGGAUAGCAAGCCUUCUCCAACACCUUAUGAUCCCAGCGUGACACUCAGAAAGAACAAGAAAGAAACGAGAGAUCAAUUAAGAUACUCUCAAAUUGUCGGUUCACUCAUGUACUUAGCUAGCGCUACAAGACCAGAUAUCUCUUUUGCUGUGAGCAAACUGAGUAGGUUCAUGUCCAACCCGGGUGAUGAUCAUUGGCAUGCACUAGAAAGGGUCUUACGCUAUCUGAGAGGUACUAUGAGUUACGGAAUUACUUAUUCAGGGCAUCCUGCUGUGCUAGAAGGAUAUAGUGAUUCAAAUUGGAUCUCCGAUGUUGAUGUACUUUACGCAACAAGUGGGUAUGUAUUUACUCAUGGUGGUGGCGCAGUGUCAUGGAGGUCUUGCAAGCAAACCAUAUUGACGAGGUCAACUAUGGAAGCAGAAUUAACUGCUUUGGACACAGCUACUGUUGAGGCAGAAUGGCUGCGUGAGCUCUUGAUGGACUUGCCGAUUGUUGAAAAACCUGUACCGGCUAUUCUUAUGAAUUGUGAUAACCAAACGGUUAUCGCUAAAGUGAACAAUUCUAAAGAUAAUGCAAAGUCAUCAAGACACGUGAAAAGACGUUUGAAGUCUGUCAGGAAGUUGAGAAACUCCGGAGUAAUAACUGUUACAUAUAUACAAACAGACAAAAACCUGGCAGAUCCCUUUACAAAGGGACUAUCACGAAAUGUGAUAGAUAUUGCAUCGAGGGAGAUGGGUAUGAGACCCAUAGAUGUUACACCAUAGUACUAACCCAACCUUUGUGAUCGGAGAUCCCGUGAAUUAGGAUCUGGGAAGAACAAGCUAUUGGUUAACUGAGGAGAGUAAUAACUUAUGAUCGUCUCCAAGUGAAGAUGCAAAACUCUCAGAGCUGUAAAGCUCAGAUCUGUAAGGCAGGUUGGCAACAUGCCUUAAUGUGGUUCUAUUGGCUAUAAUUAGCAAAGAUGCUGUCCUACAGAGCAGUCUUGAAAGAACACACCUAUAUGAGUUCUGACUGUAAACGUCGCAGUCUAUGAGAUUUGGGUGAUCUCUAGUAAGCUCACGAAGAGACAAGGGAGUAUGACGUAUAAGCUCCAAACCGCGGGGUAGCCUACUGACGUAUAAGCUUCCUUUUGCCGUUUUAUUUUUAUGUCUUGGCAUACAAGUUUUUUAUUACUUGUCCGGUAAGUAUACGAAUUAGAAACCGAGUCGGUUUGGGAUUGUGGUCGCGACACAAUACCGCCUCUGGUCCUAAUAUAUAUACAGCUACCGGCUGCGGCCAGAGACACACCGAAAAACACCUAGGGUUUUGCCUCAUCUCACAACUUGCGCCGCCAUCGUAGUCUACUCCAUCCCAACGCCGGCGUGCAUCGGCGCGUGGGAGAGCAGGUCUCCGGAACCGUUCGUCUUUGCGAUCCUGCACCGGGAGAGGACGAAUUAGGUUUUUGGGAAGCGCUGUGCGCGACUGCUCAAAUUCGUCAUCACGGGUCGUCUUCCGUCCAAGUCGGGCGGUGCUACUCAUCGUCGUAUUCAUCGCCGUCAGCAGCAGAUCAUCGCCAAUAUCGUCAUCAACACUGUCGCACCCAUAUAGCUAACGAUCAUUACGUCCGACAUCCUCUGUUCAUGUCUGCUUCUACAGCUAUUGUUACGUGUUUGUUGUUGUUAUGCAUGUCUUGCUGUUCUUCUAGUUUGCUAGAUUAUUGCAUGCUAGUAUCUCUUCUAGUCAUGAAUUAUUUACUGGAAUUAAUCAUGAACUUGCCUAAUAUUCCCACAGACGCAAUAAUUGUUUUCGGGAUUUUGAAUAAAUCAGAAAAUGAUUUGUUUAAUUCCGAAAAUACUCCAAAAUUUGGAAAAUCAUGGAAAAUAAUCUGUAACUCAGAUGGAGAUAAUUUAUAUAUGAAAAAUUAUCAGGAAAAUAUGAAGAAUCUAUUUAUAGCAUUUUCAUGUAUGUUUGAACAAGUUAAGUUUUCUGUAUAAGACAAUUUGAAUAAAUGUCAUUUUAAAUUCUUAUGUGGAGUUUGAAUUUGAACCUUUGGUUCAAACCAACUUUAUUUAAAUUGUUGCUAGUUGCAUUAGUCCAAACACCAGCAUGCCAUGUCAUGAUCAUGCAUCAUACUGCUGCAUUGCAUUGAUUGUGUUCCCUCUCUGUUGCCGGUGUUUGUUCCUUCUCGAUAGAAGACGAUUCGGACGUUGUGAUCAUUGACACCGAUGAAGAGCUACUAUCUUCAAAGUGUCAGGCAAGCAAAUCCCCUUUGAGCAUUCUGAUACAAUCCCACUCUCUAACUCUUGCUCUCUUUUACUGCAUUAGGACAACAAUGAUUCAACUGUUACAUGUUGUGGUAGUUGAACCCAUUCCUCUGCAUGAUCUGUCUUUGCCACAGUAAAUAGUAAAACCCACUAGCAUGAGUAGGAGUAUUUUGAGCCAUGAUGUGCCUACUCAUUCAUGCUUGCUUGUUAUACCUGCUAUGCUUAGAGUUGUGUCAGGUUUGAUUCAUCUGGGUUGGCUUGGAAUGGUGAUGAACAUGUCCUACUGCUGAGCUCUAAGUGUGUGAACACGAUUUGGUAAAGGUAGCGAUGAGAGGCAAUGUAGGAGUACAUGGUGGGUUGUCUCGUUGAAAUCGUCCUUAGGAACUGAGUUCCGUGUUUGUGAUCCAAGACAGUUACUACCACACAUCGGGUUUCGAUAACUUGACCCCUCUCGACUUACUAAUCGCCUUGAUCUCUAUCUAGGAGUUGUAACUAGUUUCUGGUGUUUGUAGGAUGUGCUGGGGGCUGUACCUAGCGCUGACCGGAGGGGUAGGCUUUGUUACGGUAGGCACCAUGGCACGGUGUAUCAAGCGCAGUACUAUUGGUCGAGGUGGACAUGGGAAUCCUGCACACAUCGUUUGACGCCGUGAUGGAAACUUCGGCCGAACAUCCGUUACGGGUCAGUUCUCAGAUAGGCGAUAAACCUAGACUAGAGUCUUGCGUGGUUAGUCAGGUUGUGGCUGACACCCUCGCUAGGCUUCCGCUUGAAGGUUUCCGAGAUACAUGACGUGUAUAUGGUGUUAAGUGGUGAGAGCGUGUGUGAAGAAAUACACCCCUGCAGGGUAAUAUAAUCUAUUCGGAUAGCCGCGUCCUCGGAUAUGGACUACUUGGAAAGCUUGUAUGGUCCAUAGAUAACCUGAAGUGGAUACUCUAAAUGCGCAAAAUAAGUGUGAGUGCUAUGGAUGGCCUUCUCAUGGGGAGACGGGAGCGGAUCCAUAGUGGUGUAUUGAUAUGGUGAAUAUGUGGACUCACGUGCGCUUUCUCACCUCAAAGAAGUUAUUGGUAGUCAUAGUACAUGAAAGCCACUGAGUCAAAGCUGGCUUGCUGUAGUUAAACUCCACAACCCCAUUGUUGAUACUGAUGCAUAAGUAGAUAGUUCUGAUGUAAGUCUUGCUGAGUACAUUUGUACUCACGUUUGCUUAAUUGAUGUUUUUGCAGAGGAGAUUUCAAUCUCGCUAGUAGUUUCACAUGGGCUUUGACGGUUAGCUUGGGAAUCCCAGACAGAGGUAUGGCUCCUAUGGAGGGUAUUGUAGACAGACAUGCUUCCUAGCCUUCUUUCUUUUCAGCUGUCUAUAUUCAGACAGGUUUAUGCUUCCGCUUGUUGCUUGUAUGACUUUGUAUGUUGGGUCAUGAGACCAAUGUUCGUAAUAUCAUGUUAUGUGUGGCUCUUCAGAGCCUCUUAAAUAAAUACUUGAGUCGUAGAGUUAUAUUGUGACGACAUGUUGUAUCCACACAUAUUUGCAUGUUCUACAUACAUAUGAUGUGUGUUGCAAUGUGUUGGGUCACGAUAAAUCUUCUAUUGGAUUGCUUGAAUCUUUUGAUCUUUUGGUCCAACAAAAUUAUACUGUAAUAAUUAGGUCCAACAGAACAAAUCAGAAAACUUUGCUUGUACCAGACAUGGUUAGGUCCAAUAGAACAAAUGAAUCAUCUCUUCUUGGAGGAUUGUUUAAUUUAUCUUAGAUGUACCAAAAAUGAUCAUUGUGUUGGUCACCAGGAAGCAUCACAAGAUAAUUUAACAUCCAACAUGAAAGAACAUAGAUCUCAAUUCAAACAUCAUGCAAUAACUAACAGACUUCUCAAGUGUAAAUGGAAUCAUCACCACUAUAGCAGCUAUAUUUUGAACACCACGGAAACUCCAAUUUGAAACUGCAUCCUCAUUAAUAGAAACUGGAAAUUAGCUUGUCUAGUUCCAGUUUGAUUUGUUCAUCAACUAAAGAGUUAUAGUUUAAAUGACAAAUUUCACAUCCAAACUACAUAUCACAUCACAAAUUUAGGGUAAUUCAUACAUAGUAUAAAUAUAGGUAGCAUAGUACAGAAGAUCAGUUCCCAUCAAUCAAAUAUAGCAAUAGUCUUUGCAACAAAAUAUAUAAUAUAGACUUUCUUCUUGAGCUCAGCCACUUAGAUCAAUGACAUCAUCCUCUUCAAAAUUCCCUUUGAUAUUUUUCGGCUUGCCCUUGUGAAUUUCCCCAAUUUUAAGAAGCUCAGCUAUGACAUACUCUACCUUCUUAAUAUCUUUCCGGAUAACAUCCAUGUCCUUCAUCAUAGUCUCGAGCUCAUAUAUGUCCUUCUUCAGAACAUCCCUCUUCUUCAUCACAUCAUCCGAAGGGAAAGCUAGCUCCUUCCUAUCCUUUUUUAGGUCAAGGGUCUCCCUCAUGAUCAGAACCAUCUCCUUCUUGAGCCCAUCUUUGUCCACUUUCAGCUUAUCAUUAUCCUUCCUAGUGUUCUUGGUCACUUCUCGCUGAACAACAUGAAUGGCCUUGAGAUCACUGAUUACAUACUGCUUGUUCUCUAGCUGCUUCUGCAGGUCUAUAGAGUCCUCUGACAUCAUUUUUGGUAAUUCUCUUGCCACACCUUUUGGCAUUGCCUGACCCAGUGCUUGUUCCCAUCACUAGCAAACUCAGUGAAUUGGAAGUCCAACUACUUAAUCUUAUCUUUGAGAUUGAGCACUUCCUCUGCAGGAUCAAGCCCUUCCUGGGUUCUAGCAACCAUACACUUUUCAUAUUUUUUCCAGAGCAUGUGAAGUGCCUUUUUCAGGGCUUCGGGCCAGUCCUUCACUACUAGGGAAAACCUUAUACACAGAGGUAUAGCAGUAGCGCUGGUCAAAACAUGGCGCUAUUGCUACUUAUUAGUUGCGCUUGUUACAAAAGCACGCUACAACCAUUGUUGUAGCAGUAGCGCGUCUGCCCGGAAAAGCGCUACUACUAUAAUUCCCUCGUUGGUGCCGGUAGGCUAGGAAUAGUAGUGGCGGUUCUUCCAGAAGCACGCUACUGCUAAAAACUUUGUAGCAGCGCAUUUAUGCUGUAGAGCGCUACUGCUAUGAAAAGGAAAAUAAAUAGAAAAAUAAGUAGAAAAGUAAAUGAAAAUGAAAGAAAUAGAAAAAGGAGAAAUGAAAAAAAGAAAAUGUAAAGAAAACAAAAGAAAAAGAAAAAGAAAACAGAAAGGAAUAGCUGUAGCGCGUUUCGCUGGAAAACGCUAUAGCUAACUUAGCUAUAGCGUGUUUCGGUAAAACGCACUACUGCUAGUUUGACUUAACCCCCAGCCGCGCGGGCUCAAAAUUUUGCUAAGUCCUUCCCCCUCCACUCCCCCCUCUCCCCCAACUGCUCCAUCGCCGUUGUCGCCCUGCCGCCUUCAACCACACCGCCGCCACCCAAGGCCGUCUUCGACCACACCGCCGCCGCCCGAGGCCGCCCUCGACUUCACCGCCGCCGCCCGAGCCAGAGCCUGCCCUCGCCGUCGACCGUAAAGCUCUGCCUCUCCUUUCCCCUACCCUCCUAUCUCUCUUUGCUAGGGUAAUUCAUAUAUAUGUUGACGUUGUGUUGAUGUUCAUAUGAACCCUAGGUGUUCAUAUGAACCCUAGAUUUGUUGAGGGCAGUAGGCAUUUUUUGGCAUUUAGGAAAAAUGAUUGGCAAUUUUUUUAGGAAAUUAGCUAGGGAAAUUUUUUAUGAAAAUGCCUAAACAGUAAUUCCAUUUAGCUUUCAAUUAAUAGAGGGUAUGUAAAUAAUAGUAGCAUUUUGAUUAGAUUAAUAGACGCUAUAAACAAAAAACACUUAGAUAUAAAAAUUUAUUUGGACUAUGGACUUGAAUCUGUUCCAAAUUUCAUUCAAAUGAAAUUUGAAUUAUUUGGACUAUGGACCUGAAUCUGUUCCAAAUUUCAUUCAAAUGAAAUUUGAAUUAUUUGGACUAUGGACCUGAAUAUUUCUGAAGAAAUUGGGUGUAGGUACUAAGCUCUUGCUGCGGAAUUUUUGGUGAGGUCAGAAGGGUUAGAGAAAAUGGAGUUCCUAGACUUUUAGCUUUAGACAAAAAACAAAAGUAUUUAGCUAUAAAUAAAAAACAGUAGCUAUGGCAUUUAGCUAUAAACAAAAAACAGAAUUGUUUUUCUUUUCAAAAACUUGGUUAAACUAAUCGUUGCUAUGUAAACAAAAAACAAGAUUUUUGUUAUAUCAUAUAUGUCAUUGAUGUUCAUUUGCACAUUCCAUUAUUGUUGAUUAUAUCUUUUCAUUGAAGUGGCUAUGUUAUAUGCAAAUUCCUCAAUAGUGUUUGCUCAUGUUAUAUCUUUUCAUUGAAGUGGUUCGAUUGUGCCCAAAGUGGCUUCGUUGUUUCCAGGGAAUGAAGCCGAGUGGCCUAUGUUUUUCCGGAAUGUUGAUUCGUUUCCGUUCCGGCAAAUUUCAGGCUCUCGAUUUGUCCACUUUUUAGCAAAAGUCAUGCCGAAAUUUUCCGUGAAUUUCGGCAUGACUUGUGCUACAAACUAGGACAUAUCGAGUGCCCGGGAUUUGCCGCACAGGGAAGGAGUCAACGUUCCUGCAGAGCAUAGACCUUUUUUUAUGUCAUUAUUCAUUUUAUUAGGUCUAGAAUUAAUUGACUAAAUUUAAUCGUAGGAAACAUGGCUAGCAACGAUGAAGGACAGGGUUCUGGUGACUGCGACAACGUCUACCUGGCAGCAGAAGAAUUUUUUAUGGAAGAUGACGAUCAAGAGUUGAUGUUGCUGGGUCCACCUGUCACAUCAGAGAUUGAGACCGACAUCGAGACCGGCGCUGAGAUAGAGACUGGCACUGAGAGUGAGACCGGCAUCGAGACCGGCACUGAGACUGAGACCGGCGCCGAGACCGGCGCCGAGACUAGCGGAGCCGGUAUAGACCCGAAAGCAAAGAGGCAACUGCUUCCUAACAAGCUCAGGUCUAAUAGACUGGUGGUCACGGAGGUGGACGACGGCAAUUUUGAACCAAACGCGCCCUAGGAAGCGCGCGCGUGCUACGACAAUCAAAUAGGAUGCAUCAUACGGACAACCGCCACCAUCAAAGAUGAGAAACUAAAGAAGAUAGAUAAUAUGAGGCCCUCCCUCCUAAAGAAGUUGCACCUGAUAUUCUUGUUCCCGGGCCGGAAUGAAAAGGAUUAUAAAGAUCCAGAUAAGGACCUGGCAAUGAAGAAGAAAAACAAACACGUCAUGACCAAGUUUAGCGACGCGUUGGCCGCCUGGAAAUCAAGGGUGAAAUAUCGGAUCGUUGACAAAAAGGAACCCUACUCCGAGAUUGUAAAGGAUAAUCCGACAACCAUGGUAGAGCACUUUCAAAUAUUCAAGGCAGCUUGCGAGGCCGAAGCUGCCAAAAAAUAGUCGAAGUACAUGAAGGGGCUUCAAUAGAGGAACAUUGGGUGCCCCCACCUCGGAAGUCGUGGUUACGGCAGGAAGAGGUCCAUAUGGGCCAUGGAGGACGCGGAAGCCGCGAGUCCGGGCAUCCCAGACCCCUUGGCGGAGUUCACCGUCCCGCAGGAGCGUGACAUCCUCAGGGCCCGGCACCGUUGGGAUCCAAUGAAGAAGGUUUUCGAGACGAACGCGGUCACGGCGGAGUUCAUGUGACUGCUGGCAAUUUUAGUUUCUGAUCAAUUCGACUGCACGUUAGUCAUAUUUAUAAACGAUCCUUGUGCCAUUUGCAGAGAGAGCAGCGCAGGAUUGCGGCCGAAAGCGACUCGCCGUCUGAGGCGUUGGCGAGGCCCAAGUGGGACACUCCAUUCAACCGGGCGUUGAACAUAUUGAAAGGACUCCCGGUGGAGACUCGACUGUCGUAUGGACGCGUGCACGGUGUCGGAGAUGGCGCCACGUGGAAGAAGUACUACCGUGAGACCACGGAGGAGAGAAAGGAAAGACGGAGGUUAACUGAAGAAAACAUUGACAAGAAGGUUGAGAUUGCGGUUGAGAAGAAAUCAUCUAAGACAGUCGCAAUAGCGGUAGCUGCCGCAAAACAGGUGCUUGUACAUAUGUCUACUACCUUGGUUCCGGCCGUUUUCAAUUGGAGCAGGCAAAAUCUAGAAAAAAAUGCAGCGGAGUUUCCCCUUGCUGACUUCUUUGGGAGCAGCUCGACUAGCGUUGCACCAGCACCUGCAGCUGCACAUGCUCCCGCACCGGCUCCCGCACCGGCUCGUGCACCUGCUCCCGCACCGGCUCCCGAACCUGCUCCAGCACCGGCUCCGGCACCGGACGUGCUCGGCGGUGCUUCGUCUUUGGCUGAGCUCGACGCCCUCACGGUGUCUGUCACACCGGCCCCCAUCAAUAAAUGUAUUAUCUCCCGUUUUCGUUGCCUUUCGGAUGUCUCACGUCACAGACUUUUCUUUGCAGGCCGACGAAACCCCGUGCACCAUAUUGUACACCAUCGGCGACAAGAAGGUGGACGUGGGGAAGGCGACGAUAAUGGAGCCGAAGGAACCAUUGUUCCACAGCGGCUGAUCCCCCAGGACGUCUUCAAGGUUUCCGUGGCCAGUGUCAAACCGGGCCACGAGAAUUUGACUCCUCUGGUACUAGUGGGGGAUGACAACGAGACCCCACGGCGGCUUGGUAAUUGUUGCAAUGGGUGGGUCCUGUUGUGGCCAAAGAGUCUGCUUCGUCUGGAGGUGGCCGGGAGCACACCCACGAGCACACAGUUAGGUAUGAACAUCAACACCUCACCUACCCAAUUAGCGUCGGCUGUCGUGCUAGGUGAUAGCGGAGGGGGUGAGGAAGAGGCUCCAUUAGUCACUGGUGAUGUCGCCAUAGAUGAGGAUGAGGAUGACGAUGACACUCAACAGUAUGUCAAUACUGGUGCCUACUUAGGGUUUGAGCGUCAUGAGUCGGUGCCUGAAUUGCCGCCUCCGAAGUCUGAACGUAUUAUGGACAACCUUCCGGUAGUAAAGAAGUCUAGGAAGAGACCGAGGAAAGGCAAAAAAGCUGCUUCUAUGAUCCAGCCGCCUCAGCAGCCUCGGGUUCAAGACUGUAUAGAUAUCCCCGGUGCGGCAAAAUGGCAUAUCCAUGGUCAACCAAUCCUACCUAAAGCAGCGCUAGGGGCUAGAUUCGGCGAUUUAAGGAGACUUCAUGACGAUGUGCUGCGGAUAGAGAAAUGGCUCAUCGCCUCAAAAAAUCCAGGAUACCCACUCUACAUGGUUAACGUGCCGCGGCAAUUCUCGUACGUCGACACAUUCCCCGCGGAGAAGUUCUUCCUUCGAUUCGAUUACAUCUUCGACAUGUUUCACUUAAAGAAACUGGAUUUUACGUUUGUCCGCCUUUAUGUCUUGCACAUGAACUACCUCAUCAGGGUUGAGCAGAUACCUCAUAUCUGUGUCGCUAGCCCGUACUUCAUGCAUGAGGGCUUCUUGGGAGUCUGCGCAGAGCACCGUGAAUAAGCAAGGGAAUACAUCGCCAAUUUCAUGCUCACCAUAAGGACAAGGAGGCGAUUCUCGUGCCUUAUCAUCCCCUGUAAGUCAUCUGCGCGGAUAUCCUUCCUUUGAUUUCAAUCAUUCAUUUGCACAGUGGAGGCUAAUUAAUUUGAGGUGUACUUAUUUUUCGCAGCGGCGGGCGCGCCGUCCUCAUCAUCCUCUACCCCCGAUACUCCCACGCUCUUUACUUGGACUCGUCGAAGAACAUUAACAAAAAGGAUUACACCCACAUGAAGUCUGUUCUCGACAGUGCUAUGUUUUACUACGGCGCACGGGGUGGAGAGGUCAAGGACAAGAAGAAAAGGGACGGCAGGCCCGCCUUUGGCCAUAAGACCGACUUCUGCUGCAUCCACCAACCGAGUUAUUCUCUUAAUGAUGGAUUCUAUGUCCUACACCACAUGCUGGAGUACAGACGGGAUCACCAGAACCUUCGCAUGUCACCUAGAUCCGGCGAUGCCCAUAUUCUGCAAUGGGCAAAGAACUUAGGAGAUAUCGAGGAUCAUCGACUUCGAGCUGAGUUCUAUCACAUCCAGCGCAAACUUGCCCAAAUCAUCAUGAAGGAGGUCGUCGAAAAAACAGGGAUUUUCUAUGAAGAAGGACAAAUGUCGCGGGAAGACGUCCGAACACGCGUAGCGGCUCAGCUUCUCGACCUGAAGCCUUUCACUAAGCUUGGGGACUAUCUCCCUGACUUGGAUGCAUGGCACGACAUGUUGGAGUGAUUGUCGAUAUAUGACAAUGUGUCUGUUUAGUCCAUACUAUCUGUAUCACGAAACUCUGAGUUAUGCAUGACGAAACUUUAUUUGUUAUGUAAUUAAACCGUCCUCCUCGACUAGUGAAGAUCACUCUAGUUAGGGCUUUUUGGGUACGAUGAAUUUUGUUAUAUAUGCUUAUGGUAUGUUGCUUCUAUUUUUGCCAAGUCUGUCUCUUUCUGUUGCUCAACUAUAUAUGUUGCAUAUCAUCGACUCAUGUGACGAUGCAGGUGUAUAGAUCAUCGAUGGCGAAGAAGUGCUACGCCAGGAGUAUACGACGAGUGGCCGGAAUGUCAGGCCCAGGUGUACCGGUUUCCGGUUUCCGAGCGACAGCCAGUAGUUAGUUUAGGUUCACGCUAAUGCGAGAGAGGGAUACGAACUCAUGUACUGCAUAGUUCCGCUCUCACUCAAAGUGAUAGCUCUUCUCGCGUAUAUCAUUGUUUAGAUGGAUGACGACGUAGUUGCAAGUAAUCGAGACUUGUAUCGCUAUUUUUGAGAUGAUGACGAGAGACCACUUGUUGUUGGAUGAUGAUUAUGAUGAUGGCAUGAUUUGAUGAGACUAUUUGUAUGUAUAUGCUAUGAUUACAUUUGUAUGUGUAUGAUAUGCUAAAGAUUAUUGUAUAAAGCCUAUUCAAAUACAAAACAAAUAUGCAUAAAAAAAUAAAAACUAAUAAAACUAGCAGUAGCGAGGGGAACAAAGUUAGCAGUAGCGCUCCCUUACCAGUAGCGCUUCGUGCUAAAAAGCGCUGCAGAUAUUAGCAGCAGCGCUCUGCACUAAAGCGCGCUACUGCUAGCCAUGUAUAGCAGUAGCAUGGGAUGACAGGUGCUACUGCUACACGUUAGCUGUAGCGCCUUAUCAGUAGCACGUCGUCCCGAGCUACUGAUAGGCAAAAUACCCGCGCUACUGCUAGGGUUUUCCGUAGUAGUGCUUGUCAACCCAAUGAAUAAAUCUACCGUUUCCUAGUUGCAAUAAGAAACAAUUAGCAUUUAAUUAAUGGACACACAUUAGUCAAUAUAUUUUGAAAUGAGCAAAGUAUAGCAUAACUAGAUGAAAACCAAAUAUAGCAUAAGUGAGCUAGAAUGUUCCACAAACACGACAUGUCACAACUAAGUUACAAUGUUCUACCAACACAGCUUAGCAGCCAAACAAAACAUAGCUAUAAGACAUCCAAAUAUAGCACAAUAUAGUUGAAUUGUUCCACAAAAGUUGUGCAUGGGAUAACUGAAAUAUACAAUGGGUAUUGUCACAGAACACUAACUCUAGUUUAUACCAUUUACAUAUACUUUUUCCAGACAACCAUCACUUACUGAACAAGCAUCCCAUCAUUAGAGUCUGAGAAGAAAUGCAGCCUUCUCAGGGCGUCGAGAUCUGGGCCGUUGGAUUAAGCUUUCAAAAGAAUUGCGACCAUCAGAUCUUCAGAUGGAUCGAUCCGGGCCGUCGGAUCAUAGCAAACACUGCUACAGUGAAUAGUGUUGUUUCUUUUUUAUUUUGGUCUAUUAUUACUAUCUCGCUGACUGAUGGGCCACGCGGUAAGUGGUCCAUUGCUGUUAGUGAGAGCAGAGCACUAAGCGGUCGGUGCUGGUUCGUACAGGCUCAGGGGUCAGGCCAACGCCUGUGAAAUUGGGUAGCCGCUGAGGGCAAAUUCAACAUUUCACGUCAUCGCCCCUGCGUGACGCUCCGUGGAUGGCUAGUCAGCAAGUAAUGGCGAGGGAGCGACCCAUUGGCUAGAAACCUAGCCGCCUCUUCCCCGUCGUGUUCCUAUCUGUGUCGUUUGAGCUGCGGUCGCCAUCGAGGACGUGUCACUCGCACCGCCACUUCCCUGUCGAGCUCAUGCGUCCACUAGCCACACCGUCUCUUUUCCAUGCCUGCUCAUCCUCCGUUCCUCUUCGAUCACCGAGCUCGCCGUCGCUAUCGUCGGGAGGAAGCGAUUGGUGGACCUAGCCCACCGCCAUCAACGGGUGGAGCGCAGGAACCCGCGAUGCCCCUCCAGCGACCAGCACUUAUCCCUCGCCCAGCGACGAGGCCCCAUCGAACUCGCGUGUGGUCGCAGCUGGGAAUCCUCCUGUCCGCUCCUUGCUCCCCGCCGAGAGCCUUGAUUGGAUCUGGAUCCUGAGCUCUCCGUGCCCGCAUCGCCCCACCAUUCAUGGUGCACCACCAGCACGAGCUGCACAUCAUCAUGUCGUCAGAGGGAGAGCGGGAGGAAGUUGGCGCUGUUUAUCCCCACGAGGUGUGCCGUCGACGGUAGGAAGCCAGGCAGGGCGACGGGGAAAUACCGACGUAGUUCAAGCCGCAUCAAAAGGAAUUUCUGGCGCAGUUGCCAGGGAGACAUCAUCAACAUCUAUGAGGUUCCUAAUCACAAAUCCCAUCUCCUUGCAAUUUACAUUAUUUGCCAUUUGCCUCUCGUUUUCAUCUCCCCCACUUCACAAAAAAUUGCCGUUUUAUUCGCCCUCUUUUUCGUUUGCCUUUUUCUGGUUCGAUCUUAUGUUUGUUUGUGUCUCCAUGUGCCUUCUAUUUUGCUUGCAUCUUUUCUUGCUAAAACCUAUUGUUAUGGAUCCACUCAAAGUUUUGUACCUGGAUCUUGUUCGACCCAUAUGUGCUCGUGCUGAAACCCCAACUAGUUUAGUUGAGGGAAAAUCAUUAGAUGAGCAUGCUCUUUUUGCCCGUCAUCGUUUGUCUGAAAAAGGGAAGCUCUUAUGGAAUCAAAUAAAUUGUUUGCUAUGAUAUGCUUGGAAUCAUUAUGAAAUUUGUGAUUUUACUUGUUGCUCUAAGAACCCCAAAAAACACUUCCCCUAUCUAUGUGAGUUUAAUGACAAUGAAGUCUUAUGUUCUUAUGCCAAGGAGGUUUAUAGUUACUAUGAUAUCGAACAAAUUGAACAAUUUGUUGCUUUUAAGGGUGCUUAGAAGUUGCUUAUUUGAUUGAAAAGUAUGAUAUUACUCUCUACAAAUCUGAAAAUUUUGACAUACUUAAAUAUUGCUAUGAAAACUAUGCUCAUAAUGCCUAUGUUAAAGAAUUUAUUGAGAGAAUGUCCUAUGCUUUGAAAGAAAAUAGUGAUAUGCAUGAAGCUAUGGAUAACCAUGAUUCCGUUGAUUUGAUUGAAUUAUCCCCUCUUGAUGAACACGUUGCUAGCUAUUCUUGUGGCCAUGAUGCCAAUAUUAAUGAUGCUUAUGAAGAUGAACUUGCUAUAGUUCUUUAUGUUAAACAUGAAAUUAUUGCUAUUGCACGCACGCUGGAUAGCUCCUUUAAUGAAAAGCAUGAUUGCAAUGAUAUUAUUAUAGAUUCUAUUAAUCUCAAGUUUGUUAGUGAUAUGCAAAACCCCAAGCUUGGGGAUGCUUGUUUUGUUAUGUCCGCUACUUAUUGCAAUGAUCAUGAUUGGGGUGAUGAUGACUUUUAUGAUCUUGAUAGUCUAUUUAAGCCUCAUGAUGAAUAUGUUUGCAAUAAUAUUAAAAGUGGGUUUGGAAGAGUGUCAAAUAUUGAUAAAAAUAAUCCCACAAAUUUGGAGAGUGUUCAAUCUUAUGAUUUUUUUAUAAAAGUGGGCUUGGAAAGGUCAUGACUUUAUUUUAUGGUAAUCCCACUAUUUUGGAAGAGUGUCAACUUUGCAUGCAUGUGGAUCAUGUAGAGAAUAUGUUAUGUGAUAUCUAUAUUAUUGAAUUUGAACAUGAUUCCACAUGUAAUUGUUAUGAGAGAGGGAAAUAUGGUUGUAGAAAUUUCUUGCUACUAAGUCACCUCUCGUUAUGUUGAAUUGUCAAAGUUUUAUUUGUUUCCUAUGUAUAUGCUAGAUAUUUCUUGUUUUGAUAAUUUGUUUGCCUGUAAAAUUCCUAUACAUAGGAAAUAUGUUAGACUUAAAUGUGUUUAUCACAUGUUUUAUGAUCCUCUCUUUGUGUUUCAAUUAUUAUCUUUCAUGUGAGCAUCAUUGAAAUCGCAAAGCCUAUCUUAAUGGCUAUAAAGAAAGAGCUUGUUGGGAGGCAACCCAACGAAUAAAUUUUAUGUUUGCCUUUUUGUUUCUGUACAAUUAUGCCUCUGUUAUGAUUAUGUUUUUUAUGUUUUAAUUAGUGUUUGUGCGAAGCAAAGCCUUUUAGGAUCAUGUUGGGUGAUAGUUGAUUUGAUCUUGCUGAAAAACAGAAAAUUAUGAGUCCAGUAACACAAUUAUUAAAAUUCACAGAAGCGUGAUAAAAUUCUGAUUUUUUUACAGAAGAUUAAUACAAAUAGCGUAUGUUGUCCUAAUUUUUCAGAAUUUUUGCAGUUACAUAAGUAUACGAAGUUUUCAGAUUGCUACAGACUAUUCUGUUUUUGACAGAUUAUAUUUUCUUUUUGUUGUGUGCUUAUUUUGAUGAAUAUAUGGACUUUAUUGGAGGGUAUAAGCUAUAGUAAAGUUCGAAUACAGUACAUAUAAUGCAAAAAUAAAAUAUGAAUGGGUUUGCAACAGUACUUAGACUAGUGAUUUGCUUUGUUAUACUAACGGAUCUCACGAUGGUUUUGUUGAGUUUUGUGUGAUUGAAGUUUUUCAAGUUUUGGGUGAGAUCACGAUGGAUGAAGGAAUAAGGAGUAUGAAGAGACUAAUCUCGGGGAGGCCCAUGGCACCCCAAGUUAUUAUCCAAAGAGGAACAAGCAAUUAAGAUUGGGGAUGCCCCCGAGUGGCAUCCCCUCUUUCUUCUAAUGACCAUCGGUAUUUUACUUGGAGCUAUAUUUUUAUUCGUCACAUAUCAUGAGUUUUGCUUGGAGCAUCUUGUAUUAUAUGAGUCUUUGCUUAUUUUGCUUUUUUAUUUUGUGUCAUCUAUCCUUGCUGGACACACCUAUUUGAGAGGGCCCAAAUUAUGCUAUGGAAUCUUUUUGCUUCACUUAAAUCUUUUUGAGCUAUGGAAUUGAUCUUUGUGCUUCACUUAAAUCUUUUUGAGCUAUGAAAUUGCUCUAGUGCUUCACUUAUAUCUUUUUGAGAACGGUGUGCUUUGGUAUUUUUGAAGAAAUGCUCUCAUACUUCACGUAGAUUUAUUUGAGAGUUAGUAAAUUUUUUAAGAAAUCCUCUCAUGCUUCACAUAAAUUAAUUUGAGAGAAGAAAUUUUUUAUGCUCGUGUUCUUCACUUAGAUUUGUUUGAGCUAUCAAAAGCAACAUAUGAAAUUAGUCCCAAAGUGAUAGAUAUUCAAGAGGGAUAUAAUAAAAACUUUCAUGAAGAUCGUUAGACAAAAUAAACUUGAUUCUUUGUAAUAGUUUUGCGGUAUGACGAUAUAAUAUGUGAGUCAUGUUGAUGAGUUAUUACGCUUUAGUGAGAAUAUUGAUGUUAAGGUUUGUGAUUCUCUAUGUAAGCACGAAAGUCAAUAGUUAUGCAAUGAAAUUACAUCCUACUUGUCGUGCAUUAUUCGGUGUUAGUUCUGCUUAAUUCUUGCUUAUGAGAUUUUUUGUUUCUUGGUUGGAUGCUUCUCAAUAUUUUGCUAGCCUUCAAUUGUACUAAGUGGGAUUACUACUUGUGCAUCCAAAAUCCUUGAACCCAGUUUUUGCCAUAUGAGUCCACUAUACCUACCUAUAUGCGGUAUUCAUUUGCCGUUCUAAGAAAAUUUGUAUGUGCCAUCUCUAAUCUUCAAAAUAACUUCCUUUUUGUGUGCUCGUACCGCUCAUGAAACGGUAGGGGGUGGCUGAUAUUUUUCCAUGCUAGAUGUGUUAUUCUCAAGAUGAGUGUUUAUUCACUUGUCACUGCACGAGAGUAUGGCAAAGUUAUUAGGGAUGCCCAGUCCUGAAAUGAAAAAUGAAUUUACUUUAUGUUGUCAAAUAAUAAACUCCUUGGAAAGUGUUGGUAUGGACGGUACCCGUGGAUUCGGUUCGCCGUGGAAUGUGAAAGUAUGGUGGAAAAAGGAAUAAACUUUAUUUUCUGUUUGGGAACCACCUAUGAUAUAUCUAGCAUGGAAAGUAUUGGGAACUACUCGAUCGUUUUCAUUGACAGGAAAGGCAUGCCACCCAAAAUGUCUUAUCUCUAUCUUUUUCCGCUUUUAGCUCUGGCACCUCUACAAAUCCCUACUUCCCUCUGCGAAGGGCCUGUCUAUUUACUUUAUGAAAUUUUUAUUUUUAUUUCAAGUCUCCAUCUUCUCUUACAAAGCACCAACUAAGGGGCACUACGAUCGUACCAUAGCAUUGGGUGUAGCUAAUAUGCGAGUGUGUUUCAUGAAUGGAUCAAUGAUUGAGCAUAAUGGGCUAGGGAUAAAUUGCUUUAGUGUUGAUAUUUUGAAAGACAUGGUUGCUUGUUGAUAUGCUUGAGUAUUGAAAUCUUCAUAUCAACACUAGACUAUUCCUUUGAAUCAUAUAAAAGUCCAAAUGUCCAUGCUACAAAAGAAAAAGAAUAUGUGAUGAACAUGAUAGGCAACAUUCCACAUCAAAAAUUCUAUUUUUAUCAUUUACCUACUCGAGGAGGAGCAGGAAUUAAGCUUGGGGAUGCUGAUACGUCUCCAACGCAUCUAUAAUUUUUCAUUGUCCCAUGUUGUUAUAUUAUCAUUUUUGGAUGUUUUACAAUCAUUUUAUAACAACUUUAUAUCUUUUUUGGGACUAGCCUAUUGACAUAGUGCCUAGUGCCAGUUGCUGUUUUUUGCUUGUUUUUACACUGCAGAAAAUCAAUACCAAAUGGAGUCCAAAUGCAGCGAAACAUUUUGCAGAAUUUAUUUGGACCAGAAGACACACGAUGGGCCAAUAGAGUACUAGAGGGGGGCUCCGAGGGAAGCACAACCCACCUGGGCGCGCCCUGGUGGGUUGUGCACACAUCGGCUCGCUAUCGUGCCGCCUCUUUGCUCCAUAAAUACCCCGAAAAUCCAAAAACCCUAGGAGUCGACGAACACAAUUCCAGCUGCCGCAAGUUCCACAAAGCACAGAUCCAAUCUAAACACUGAUACGUCUCCAAUGUAUCUAUAAGUUUUUAUUAUUCCACGCUAUUAUAUUAUCUGUUUUGGAUGUUUUAUAUGCAUUAAUAUGCUAUUUUAUAUUAUUUUUGGGACUAACCUAUUAACCUAGAACCCAGUGCUAGUUCCUGUUUUUUCUUGUUUUAGAGUUUCGCAGAAAAGGAAUAUCAAACAGAGUCCAAACGGAAUGAAACUUUGGCGAUGAUUUAUCUUUGACCAGACGAUAACCAGAGGACUUGGAGUACACGUCAAGGAAGCCACAAGGAAUCCCAAGGGGGUAGGGCGGGCCCCCCACCCUUGCGGACCCCUAGUGACACCACCGACCAAUUUCUUCCGCCUAUAUAUUCUCAAAUACCCCAAAACCUUCUAGGAGAGCCACGAAACCACUUUUCCACCGCUGCAACCUUCUGUACCCGUGAGAUCCCAUCUAGGGGCCUUUUCCGGCAUCCUGCCAGACGGGGACUCGAUCACGGAGCGCUCCUACAUCAACAUUGCCUCUCCGAUUAAGCGUGCGUAUUUUACCACAAACCUACGGGUCCAUAGCUAGUAGCUAGAUGGCUUCUUCUCUCUCUUUGAUUCUCAAUACCAUGUUCUCCUCGACGUUCUUGGAGAUCUAUUCGAUGUAAUACUUUUUUGCGGUGGGUUUGCCGAGAUCCGAUGAAUUGUGUAUUUAUGAUCAGCUUAUCUAUGAAUAUUAUUUGAAUCUCCUCUGAAUUCUUAUAUGCAUGAUUUGAUAUGUUUGCAAGUCUCUUCGAACUAUCGAUUUGGUUUUGCCACCUAGAUUUGUUUUUCUUGCAAUGGGAGAAGUGCUUAGCUUUGGGUCAAUAUUGCGGUGCUCGAUCCUAGUGAUAGAAGGGGAACCGACACGUAUUGUAUUGUUGCCAAUGAGGAUAACAAGAUGGGGUUUUCAUCAUAUUGCUUGAGUUUAUCCCGCUACAUCAUGUCAUCUUACUUAAUGUGUUACUCUUUUAUUCAUGAGCUUAAUACUCUAGAUGUAGGCAGGAGUCGGUCGAUGUGUGGAGUAAUAGUAGUAGAUGCAGGCAAGAGUCGCUCUACUUGAUACAGAUGUGGUGCCUAUAUUCAUGAUCAUUGCCUUAGAUAUCGUCAUAACUUUGCGCUUUUCUAUCAAUUGCUCGGCACUAAUUUUUUCACCCAACGUAAUAUUUUCUAUCUUAAGAGAAGCCUCUAGUGAAACCUAUGUUCCCGAGUCUAUUUUCCAUCAUAUAAUCUUCUAUUUUCCAUCAUAUAAGUUUCCGAUCUACAAUUUUAGUUUCCUAUUUACUUUCUUUGCAAUAUUUUGCAUUCCGAUCUAUAAACCAAAAAUACCAAAAAUAUUACUUUACCGUUUAUCCAUCUAUAUCAGAUCUCACUUUGCAAAUAAUUGUGAAGGGAUUGACAACCCGUUUAUCGCGUUGGGUGCAAGUUGGUGUUUGUUUGUGCAGGUAUUCGGUGGCUUGUGCAUUGUCUCCUACCGGAUCGAUACCUUGGUUCUCAAAACUGAGGGAAAUACUUACUCUACUUUGCUGCAUCACCCUUUCCUCUUCAAGGGAAAAACCAACGCAAGCUCAAGAAGUACUGGGAAGAAUUUUUGGCGCCAUUGCCGGGGAGAUCUACGCCAAGCCGAGACAUACCAAGUACCCAUCAUAAACUCUCAUCCCUCGCAUUACAUUAUUUGCCAUUCGCUUCUCGUUUUCCUCUCCCGCACCUCUCACUACUAGGAAAAGGGCUAUAGACAAUAUGCACACUAAUGGCGCACCAGACAUGCGGUGCGCCACUACUAUAUAGCGGUGGCGCACCGUGUGCUGGUGCGCCAUUAGUGUGAUAGACACUAAUGGCGCACCACAACCAUGGUGCGCCACUACUAACAAAUUUUCUUUUUCUUUUUAAAAAAAUACUAAUGGCGCACCGCAACCAUGGUGCGCCACUACUAAUUUUUUUCCUUUUUUCCAAAAAUACUAAUGGCGCUACUUGGCACAGUGCGCCAUUACUAGUUUUAACUAGUAAUGGCGCACCAGUCACCCCGUGCGCCACUACUAUCAUUUUUUUGCAAAACUACUAAUGGCGCACCGCCAGCUGGUGCGCCAUUAGUAACCAGGGUUACUAAUGGCGCAUUUGUUGGUGGUGCGCCAUUAGUAACCUGGGACCAGCUAGAUAUUUUGGACAGCCACCUACACACUCACUUUCCCCACUUCAUUCUCUCCACCUCCUCCUCCAAGCUUGUCUCGGCUGCCUCCUCCUCCUCACCUCAUUUGCACCAUAGAUUCAUCCAAAUUAAGUGGUUAAAUUACCUUUUUUGAUAGGUAAGUAAGGGGAAAGCUUUCUUUAUGUUGUAGAUCUACUUUUUUCUCCCUCCAACAACGUGCACAUGCACUUUUUAUGGCCUAGCUAGAUCUAUGUAUGUUUGUGGUGUUGCAUAUGUUUGUGGUGUUGCAUAUAUGUUUGUGUUUGCACGUACCGGUAUUUGAAAUGCGAUAGUUGCCAAUAUUUUGCCAGAAUGUUGAUUCAUUUCCGUUUCGUCAAGAAUUUUGGCACUAUGCAUUCUUUUUUGUCCUAUUUUUAGGCAAAGUCAUGCCAAAUUUUUUCUUGGUUCUAAAAUAUCGUUUUGCUCUACCCUGCAGGCGACCAUGGUCUGCACGAUGACCGAAGGCAUCGUGAAUAGGUUUUUGAGCUCCGCGAAGGCCGAGAUGCUUCAAAAGAAUGAGACGGAGAUAAGAUGUCCGUGUCGAAGAUGCAAGCUGAGGAGCCUUAUGGACCCGGAUUCCGUACAGGUGCGGGACCACCUGCUCUUGCGUGGUUUCAUGGAUGGCUAUCGGUGGCAAGGUGAUGAAGAUGAUUAUGAAGUCGUCCAUGGGGGCCGGCCGGUAAGAAAUGAGGAAGGGCAGCAAGACAACCGCGGCGAGGGCGGGCGAGAAGACGAAGAAUCUCCAGGACAUGAUCACGAAGUAGAUGCAGUACGCAGUCAUCAUGUAGAAGAUGCCGGACAUAAAGAUGAGGAAGAUGCCGGAGCAGACGAAGGGCAUGAUCAUGAAGAUGAAGAUGCCGGAGCGGACGACGAUGGACCAUCGAUGGGCUGGGUGCAGGACCCUCAUAUUCAAGAGCUGCUUCUCAAGCAGACGGAUAACGCAAGAGCUGCCGCCCGAGAGAAAGCCAAGCUGGAUCAACUGGAGAUAGACGCGGUUACUCCAUUGUAUGAAGGAUGCAGGCCCGAGGAUACCCGCCUGAAAGUAACGCUCAUGGCUCUGGAGAUGAAGGUAAAACACAAAAUGACCGACGCAUGCUUCGACGAGAACAUGUCAUUCUGGCACGAACGUCUUCCCAAGGGGAACAAGUGCCCGACCAGUUUUGAGGAGGCGAAGAAAAUCGUGUGUCCUCUGGAUUUACCGCACGUGAAAUACCAUGUGUGCAUGAACAAUUGCAUCAUUUAUCGGGACGAGCACGCGGAGUCUACCAUAUGUCCGGUGUGCGGCGUCACUCGAUACAAGAAGAGGAAGAAAGCUCCUCGAAAAGCGGUGUGGUACUUUCCGAUCGCUCCUCGUGUGCAGCGGUAUUUCGCGGACCCUAAGGUAGCAAAGCUCUUGCGUUGGCACGCGGAUAGGGAGGAGAAGAAGCGAGAAGAUGACGCAAAUGAUCCGGAGAUAAAUAAAAAAGACAAGAUGCUGAGUCACCCUAAGGAUGGGAGCCAGUGGCAAGCGUUGAACUUCGAACACCCAGAAUUUGGGAACGAUCCAAGGAACAUCGUGCUGGGCGCGAGCACCGAUGGAGUCAAUCCGUUUGGCAGCCAGAGAAGCACACAUAGCACCUGGCCUGUGUUUGUGGAUGUACAACCUUCCCCGCUGGUUGUGCAUGAAGAGGAAGUACAUUCACAUGAGUAUGCUAAUUGAAGGGCCGAAACAACCAGGGAACGACAUCAAUCUGUAUCUGGGGCUGCUGAAAGAGGAGCUAGACACGCUGUGGAAAACGCCAGCCAAUACGUGGGACACCGCAGAGAAAGAAUAUUUCCCUAUGAGAGCCGCUCUGCUCACGACGGUGCACGACUAUCUCGAUUACGGAUAUGUCGCGGGGCAGGUGGUCCACGGAUUUUCUGGAUGCGUCAGGUGCAUGGAUGACACAACAUAUCGCCAGCUAGAUAGAGAUCUCAGGUCUUCGAAAACCGUGUUCAUGGGACAUCGAAGGUGGCUUCGCGACGAUGACUCAUGGAGGAAACGCAAGGAUCUGUUCGAUGGUGAAACCGAAACCCGAAGACGCCCGCGUACGAGGAGCGACAAGGAAAUAGACGAGUUGUUGAAAAAUUGGAAAGAUUGCCCACUGCCGGGAAAGAAGCAAAAGGCACCAGAGCCGGAAAAGAAGCGAAAGGCGCAAGAGCCGCUGCUGAAGGUAUGGAAAAUGAGGUCUGUUUUCUGGGACUUGCUGUACUGGAAGAUCCACCGUGUGCCUCACAGCCUUGAUGUCAUGCAUAUCACGAAGAACGUGUGCGAGAGUCUGCUUGGUACCCUGCUCAACAUGCCGGAGAGGACCAAAGAUGGGCCGAAAGCAAGGGCAGACUUGAAAUCAAUGGGCAUCAGGGAGGAGCUUCACGCUAAUGAUGAUGAUGAUGAGGCGAAGCAGGACACGGAAAGUCGUCGCAAAGGCAAAAAGGCCAAGAAGACCGAAAAUGACUUCCCUCCCGCGUGCUUCACUCUAAGUCAGGAGGAGAUCGAUCAGUUUUUCACCUGCCUCGUAGGAGUAAAACUUCCUUACGGUUACGCGGGGAAGAUAAGCAGAUACCUAGACUCAGCGAAGCAGAAGUUCAGCGGGAUGAAGUCUCAUGACUGUCACGUGCUGAUGACGCAGAUACUUCCAGUUGCAAUCCGUGGGAUCAUGGACGCGCACGUCCGUGAAACGCUAUUUGGCCUAUGCAACUUUUUCGACGUCAUCUCUCGGAAGUCGGUUGGUGUGAGGCAACUCAGAAGGCUACAUGAAGAGAUCGUAGUGAUACUAUGCGAGCUUGAGAUGUACUUCCCGCCCGCAUUCUUCGACGUUAUGGUGCAUCUGCUGGUCCAUAUCGUGGAGGAUAUCAUCCAACUCGGGCCGACGUUCCUGCACAGCAUGAUGCCGUUCGAAAGGAUGAAUGGUGUCAUCAAAGGAUACGUUCGCAACAUGUCACGUCCAGUGGGAAGCAUAGCCAGGGGCUUUCUGACCGAAGAGUGCAUCUCCUACUGCACGAAUUAUCUAGGCAUCGAGAACCCCGUUGGUCUGCCCGCCAACAGGCACCUCGGCAGGCUCGCUGGAUGGGGUCAUCGUGAGGGUUGCCGCGAAAUGCAUGUCGAUUUCGAGGGUCGACUCGCCGACUUUGAAAGAGCAAACCUAGUCGCGCUACAACACAUAGACGUGGUCGAUCCUUGGGUGGUAGAGCACAAAACCUUUAUUGAGAAGACGUACAAUGACCGAGACCAACAGAGGACGGACGGAGAUAUAAUCAAAGAGCACAACUCAUAUUUCACGCGUUGGUUCAAGCAGCAUGAGGAUUCUUCCGCGGAAGAACAACUCAAAUUCGCCUUGUCACAGGGCGCCGAGCACAACCUGAUGACGUAUGAGGCGUACAAUAUCAACGGCUACACAUUCUACACCGAGGGAAAGGACAUGAAGAGCGAUGGUUAUCAGAACUCUGGGGUAACGAUGGAAUCCUACACCGGUAACGAUAAGGACAGAUACUACGGAAGGAUCGAGGAGAUCUGGGAGCUGAGCUAUGCUGGAGAGAAGGUCCCGAUGUUCCGUGUCAGAUGGGCCAAGAGCGUCCUAAAAGAAGACCGGUAUUUCACCACCAUGGUUAUACCCGAAGCCAAAUCCAAGACCGCGGGCGCAAACGACACCGUGAAAAAUGAGCCAUGGGUACUGGCUUCCCAAGUGGACCAAUGCUUCUUCAUUACCGACCCGUCAAAGCCCAGUCGUGUUGUCGUGAGGAGAGGCAAAAGGAAGAUCAUCGAAAUGGAUGGAGUCGCCAAUGAGCAAGACUUCGACAAGUACGGCGACCCGAAGAUGGAACAUGACGACGAUGAUGAAGUACCAGCAUACACCACAAGAAGAAGCAGGACCACCCUACCUAAAGGACGUCCGUUCAAGAGAAGAACUCCAUUUACGAAAAAUAAGGGCAAGAAGAUUGUGAACAGAUAGCUAGCUAAGAUCGAUUGUAUUUAAAUUGUAGCCUUCAUUUCUCGAUUGUAUUUCAUGGGCACUUUUUGAACUCAUGAAUAUUUUUAAAUUUCAUGGGCACUUUUUGAAUUCAUGAAUAUUUUUUCAAAUUUCACCGCCGCCGCCGCCGACCCCCCGCACCCUCCCCCGCUCCACCGCCACCGACGACCCACCGCACCCUCCCCCGCUCCACCGCCNNNNNNNNNNNNNNNNNNNNNNNNNNNNNNNNNNNNNNNNNNNNNNNNNNNNNNNNNNNNNNNNNNNNNNNNNNNNNNNNNNNNNNNNNNNNNNNNNNNNNNNNNNNNNNNNNNNNNNNNNNNNNNNNNNNNNNNNNNNNNNNNNNNNNNNNNNNNNNNNNNNNNNNNNNNNNNNNNNNNNNNNNNNNNNNNNNNNNNNNNNNNNNNNNNNNNNNNNNNNNNNNNNNNNNNNNNNNNNNNNNNNNNNNNNNNNNNNNNNNNNNNNNNNNNNNNNNNNNNNNNNNNNNNNNNNNNNNNNNNNNNNNNNNNNNNNNNNNNNNNNNNNNNNNNNNNNNNNNNNNNNNNNNNNNNNNNNNNNNNNNNNNNNNNNNNNNNNNNNNNNNNNNNNNNUCCACCGCCACCGACGACCCCCCGCACCCUCCCCUCUGCCCUCUAUCACAGCGGGGACAACAGGAAGCCGCCGUCGCGCCCCUCUGCACCGGCUGCCCACGGCGCCUCCGUCCCGAAGCCGCAGCCCAAGUGCCCACCACUCUCUGUCCACGGUGAGCCAUCCUCUCUGUCCCAACUCUCUGUUCUUCUUUUUUAGCUAUCCUUUGUUGAAACAGUAGUUGCUGUGUAGCAAAUCUUUGGGAUUAGUGUUCAGUACUUUGUUGGGUGAGCGGCCAUCUGAGACAUCCUGCUUACAUAGUCUCCUUUUUAAAACUCGUCAAAUUGGUUUUAGAUAGAAAUGAUCAACACUCAAUUGGCCAACUGCAUGUGGAAUGAUUUCGAAGGGCGCCAUAACUUAUUGUAGAUGCUGACUACAAUAACAAUACUAAACUCAGUGUAGUCUGUUGUAAAGACACUUGUGCUUCUUUCAUCUGGAAAGGGGUCGUCUGGCCUCCAAAACUGUCAGAUUAGGUUGUGCUGUAACUCCUCACAUGGCCAUGUUUUUGGAAGAUUGGUCGUUUGUCACCGGCCCUUUGGUCACCCAGCAAUGGGACUUGUAUCAUAUUGCCAAUGAGGUUAAUAAAACAGUAGUGCAUCAGUACUUUGUUGGAACAGAAAGUCAGAAAAUCAGAAAAUCCACGGUACUUUGUUUAGAUCUUCACUGUUGACAAACGCAGUCAACUAAAAAUCCAGUUCAGUGCAUAAUUAGUGUUGACAAAUACACUGAUCUUUAUCUGCAGUAAUUCAGUUUAAACUGAAAAUUCAGUGUUGUAGUACAGAAAAUUUAAACUGAAAAUUCAUAGUCUCCUGGUGCAUAUUGAUCUCAGUGUAUGAAUUCAUAGUGUUUCAAAUUACUGAUGCUAUGGUCCAGGAGUAGAAAAAUUUGUACUCCAAGAUCAAUAUGGUUCAAUUUCUACUGUACUGUAAUCAAAGUGGAUAUAAAUUGCAGAGUGUUUAUGUUGGCAUUCGACAACAUCUAAAUUUACCAAAUGAUUGUGAACUCAGUUUAUGUUUGCAACCAAAUGCUUAGUUCAUUGUUUACUCCAAAUGAUUGUGAACUUAUUCAAAGUUUCCAAUAUUGUUCAGACACUACUUGUACUGGAACUGGAACUACUACUACUGAUGCAGCACCCCAUGUAGUUUAAGUUUUCUUUAUCUUAAACUCAGACAGCUCUCUAAUUAUUGGAGUUUAUAUCAUAUAUAUUGCUGGCAUGUAUUUCAUAUGUUCUGUAGCAUUAAGGCUACAUAGCAUUGCUUUUGUCUCUGACCAUCGUGUCGUGAUGAUAUUGUGGGGUGUUGUGGGGUUGCAGAGGCCCUUGAGUUUCAUCGCGAUGAUGCUAAUCGUGAUGACCGCAGCUCUCUUCUAUGUGAUGGUAGUUUAGAUGAUCGAUAUCGACUUGUAAUGUGAAGACAAACUCGCUACUCGCGGUUUCGAGACUUGUAGUGUUCUAACUUUGUUUGGUCUUUUGAAUUCGGAGACUAAUAUGAUGAAUUGUAUUCGGAGACUAAUCUUCUAUUGUAUUCGAUAACUCUGCUGUUUAUAUGUUGUGUGUCUAUAUUCUGUGCAGUAAUAUGUUUUGUAACCUGUGCAAAUAUCAGAAAAGAAAAAAAUCCCUAAUAUUCAUACUAGUGGCGCACCACCCAGAACUUUAGUGGCGCACUGCAAAAUGCAUACUAGUGGUGCAUCAGCAAGCAGUGCGCCAUUAGUAAGCCAGAGACAUGGUUAAAUAUGGCCCCCUGGGAGGCAUUCUAAUGGCGCAUCAUAGGGUGUACUAAUAGCGCACUACAUGGUGCGCCAUUAGUAUCUGAUAUACUAAUGGCACACUUGUGGUGCGCCAUUAGUAAUAAAAUCUAAUGGCAUGGUACUAGUGGCGCACCUGUAGUGCGCCAUUAGUAGGCAAAACAGGUGCGCCACUAGCAGCCCUUUUCCUAGUAGUGUCUAAAACGAUUUUCGAAAAAUUUGUCUUUUCUUCGCCCCUCUUUCGUGCGUCUUCUUCUUUUGCUCUUUGUUCGCUUGUCCGUUUGAUCUUUUAUCUUGCUGUCAUGGCUAGUUUUCCAUCCUUGUUAGCACUCCCAAUAAUAAGGUCCUCAACUUCAAACAAAGGGAAGGAGAAAAUUUAAAAGAUGCUUGGUAUAGAAUUUAUAAUGCUCAAAUUUGAUGAUUACUGCUGGAGAUGACUAACAUCCUAGAUGUUACUCACUAUGUCUAGAUACAUUCGUUUGAGUGUCAACUAAUUCUGAACAUCUUAGGUGUUACUCCCAAGUCUAGAUACAUUUUUUUGAGUGGCAACUAAUUCUGAAUGGAGGAAGUACACAAAGCUAAGCCACAGCCAUGAAAUAUAUAUAGGGCGGGGGGCGCUCGUUCCACAAGGAGCGGCGGGUAGCUUAGCUAUAGCUCGAUCGAUGAAUAUGGCUGUAGAUGGGUUUGGUGAGCUGGGCAUUCGUGUGGUGAGUCGCCGGCUGGUGCUCUGCCUGCCAGCUACUGCUCUGCCUGCCGCUCCACCUCCUUGUCGAUCGCGCCCACCCAAACGGACGUCCAUGACACAUACACCGACAAUGUGCUCCUCCACGGCCACGACUACCCAAGUAGUGGCCACGGCACCUCCUCCACAGGCUCGGGCGUGGGCGGUGCUGGUGGUGGUGGGGGCACGUUGGCCUCCACUCCGGCCGCCAAUUGGGCCAGCGCCUGCGCAAGGCCAGGCCACCUGGCCUUGCUCCUCGCGCUCGGCCUCCACGAUGGCCCUCCAUGUGGCCUCCUCGAGGGACACAACACAGGCCUCCUCGGCAUCCUAAUCCUCCUCCUUCACCACUCCCGGAAGUGGUGGUGGAGUGGCAAGAACGCGUGGUGCACCGGGCGCACACUUGACGCACUACCGGCAAUGUUGGUCGUGCUCGGUGGCAAACCACGCGUCCUAGUUACCGCAUACGUUGGGUCACGGCGGAGGUUGGCUAGGAGUAGAGCAUGGGAUCUCCGUCAGCUGUGCGCGGCCUGAGGCCGGCACCGGAACCCUAGCAAGGUUGAGGUCCCACCCGUGCGGUAGGUUCACACUGGGCUAUGGCGCAGGCACGCCAUACUCCCAAAAGUACUGGUAGCGGUGCAUCGGCAUGUAGUGCCGAAACCAUGGCUGCCGACUCAAGGUCGAUUUAUCUGUUCUUAUAAACUAGCGAAUUAGCAACUAUAUUACCCAAGAGUAACAACCAAGUCAUAUAUACAAUGUACGCUUGCAACCAUUGAAUAAAUUGUACAGAAUACCAAACAAAGAAGAUUGAACGAGGUCGUGGAACAACUCACAUGCACCAUCCACAGGUCAAGUGGAUGAUCCCAAUGAUGAGCGAAUGAUCCUAAUGACGAGCAGUUGGCGAGAUUAUGUUGCUCUUGUGAUGGUUAGUGAUGUCUGCGCUAGAGCUUGCUUACAACCUUGCGAGGUAAGGAGCUACGGCUACAUGCGUAUUAGGUUUUAUAAGCCGUGAAACCUCGAUAAAAGUUGCCGCUAUAAGUUUUUUCUUCAUGUCACUAUAAACCUUAUNNNNNNNNNNNNNNNNNNNNNNNNNNNNNNNNNNNNNNNNNNNNNNNNNNNNNNNNNNNNNNNNNNNNNNNNNNNNNNNNNNNNNNNNNNNNNNNNNNNNNNNNNNNNNNNNNNNNNNNNNNNNNNNNNNNNNNNNNNNNNNNNNNNNNNNNNNNNNNNNNNNNNNNNNNNNNNNNNNNNNNNNNNNNNNNNNNNNNNNNNNNNNNNNNNNNNNNNNNNNNNNNNNNNNNNNNNNNNNNNNNNNNNNNNNNNNNNNNNNNNNNNNNNNNNNNNNNNNNNNNNNNNNNNNNNNNNNNNNNNNNNNNNNNNNNNNNNNNNNNNNNNNNNNNNNNNNNNNNNNNNNNNNNNNNNNNNNNNNNNNNNNNNNNNNNNNNNNNNNNNNNNNNNNNNNNNNNNNNNNNNNNNNNNNNNNNNNNNNNNNNNNNNNNNNNNNNNNNNNNNNNNNNNNNNNNNNNNNNNNNNNNNNNNNNNNNNNNNNNNNNNNNNNNNNNNNNNNNNNNNNNNNNNNNNNNNNNNNNNNNNNNNNNNNNNNNNNNNNNNNNNNNNNNNNNNNNNNNNNNNNNNNNNNNNNNNNUAUAUAUGUAUAUAUAUAUGGGGCAUGAAACUGCAAACUACCACUAUUGUUGCCGGUGGACCUCCCGGCUCCGGUGCACAUCCCAACGUCGCCCUCGUGAAGCAAGCGAAUGGCCCCGCGAGCAUGUGGACGUUGUCCAUGUGGCAUUGGGUUCCCGCUUCUUGAGUGAACCGGAAAAAAAACCCAAAGCUGGUCAAUCUUCGGCUCGAAAGGAAGCCUGGCUUAUGGUUUUGUGUUUUCGCGCCGGCGUAGCCGCUCUCCGUCUGGGUGAGCGAGCGGUGGAGGACUGCCGCAAUGGAGGAGAUGGUGGUCCUUGGGCCCCGAUGCCUUUCGUGGCAUGAGGGCCGUGUCUUGUAUUCGAUGGCCGGGGACGCCAUCCGGAGCAGCUUGAGAAGGCACCGUCGGGGCUUUGCGCUUGCACCCCUAUGCAGCCAUGCCCGGCGCAGCGGGCUGUCCGCUGUGUGUCUUGCGGAGUCUGAGUGCAUCCAUCGGCUGAUUUUUAUUUUAUUCUUUCGAUGAGGAUUAGUAGUCGGAGAGUAGAUAGGUUCUUCCUCGAUCCCAUGAUAUAAAAGCUUGGGUGUUCGUUGACGCUAGCAAUGUCAAAAACGCUCUUAUAAAAUGGGAGGGAGUCCCUCGCAAAGAAAAAAAGAGAGUAGAUAGCUACUUUAUCUUUUAUUUUGAAGGUGGGAGUAGAUUGAUAACUACUUAGUGCACGUACGAAAAGAAAGACACGAUCGCCUAAAAAAAAGAAAUACUAUAUUGAGAUAUAUAUAGGGCGUGCGGGCGCUAGCAGUUCCACAACGAGCGGCGGGUAGCUAGGUUCAACAUCCAUAUAGGUUGAAUAUGGCUGUAGAUGGGUUUGGCGAGGUGGGCAUUCGUGUGGUGAGUCGCCGGCUGGUGAAGGCAUCCGACCCCUCCAUCCAACCGCAGGUGGUGCCCCUCUCCAACCUCGACCUGUACGUCGGCAACGUACAAGUCGCCAUACUAUGCCUCUAUCCCAAGCCUCCGGCGGGCAGGGAUUUCGCCGGCGUGGUGGCCACCUUCGAGUCCUUGCUGCCGGCUUUACUCAACGAGUUCUACCCUUUCGCCGGCCGCAUCGGCACCAACCCAAGCUCAGGCCUCCCCGAGCUGCUCUGCCAGAACCAGGGCGCAGAGCUGGUCGUGGGAGAGGUCCGCGUCGCUCUGGGGAGCCUGGACUACGGCCUGGCGGACAAGUCCCUGAAGAAGCUGAUGCUCCCGUACGCGGAGGACGUCACCUUCUCGGUGCAGCUGCUAUCCUUCGCCUGCGGCAGCUUCUCCGUGCUGUGGGCAACCAACCACCUCGUCGGCGACGGCCAUGACAACAUCAGGUUCCUGCGGAUGUGGUCUGAGCUCGCACGAACGGGCAAAAUCGUCGCCGACGGCGGGGACGGAAAGCUAAGCCACGACCGCUCGGUGUUCCGCCCUCGCAACCCGCCGUCAUACAGAGCCUCGCUCGCCACCGACCUAACGACGUUCGACCCGCGCCGGCUGGUAAACGUCCUGACGGCCCACGACAGCUUCGUCGACCGCCUCUACUACAUCGACGCGGCCGACAUCGCCAGGCUGCGCGAGAUGGCGAGCACCAAGCUGCAGCGCUCGUCACGCGUCCAGGCCGUGUCCGCGUACCUGUGGAAGGUCCUCGCCGGCGUGGUUGCCGCUUCCCGCGUGCCCGAGGAGCGCUGCCGCAUGGGGUGGUGGGUGAGCGCGCGCCGUCGUCUCACGUCGCCUGACCUCGCCUCUGCGAUGCGCAACUACUUCGGCAACGUCACGACCUAUGCCUACGGGGACGCGACGCUGGAGGAGAUCCAGCGCAAGUCGCUCGCGGAGGUGGCGGCCAUGGCGCGGGAGCCGGUCGCCUCCGUCAACUACGACGAGUACAUCCAGGAUCUGGUGGACUUCGUGGAGGUGCACAAGGGACAAGGGCUGAUGGAGACGGCCGUCGUCGGGCUGGGCAGCCCGACCCUAAGCCAGUCCGUGUUCGACUCAUUCCCACUCGACACCGACUUCGGCUUCGGCCAAGCUGCUCUCGCCAUGCCCAUCUCCGACUUCGCCAACCUCUGCUCAGCCUACCUGUCCAUCAGCGCGCGGCCGGCAGGCGACGGCUCCUGGCUCGUCAGUGCCUACAUAUGGCCGCGUCUCGCCGCCGCCCUCGAGGCCGAUGAGCAGCACAUCUUCAAGCCUCUCACGGCGGACUACCUUGGCCUCACAGCCUGCUAGACAACACCCACGCUAUUCUGUGUGUUCUUUUAGCCAACAAUAAAAUUCCUUGGUGUUUUGCUCUUCUUCCAACAAUAAAAUCCUUGUGUUGUGUUGUGUGGUGCUAUGUACUUUGGUUUUUUUCUUCAUCCAACAAUAAAGUUAGGAAGCGUUACUUUUUGAAAAAUAGCACACCUUAUAUAUACAUUUACUUUGAAAGUUAGAGAGGAUUUACUUUGAAAGUCACAGGUUUGCCAAGCACCUGAGGAAAAACACUCGGCAAAGCCAGCCCUUGGUUUCCGUCAGCCAAUAAAAGAUAGAUCACACGCGUGGCCGCCUGCUUAGCUAUAACCAAGGGCUCGCCGCCGCCAUACCCCCUUCACCUCCCCGCUGCCCCCAUCGGCCUCCUAAUUCCGACCACAGCCGCCUCUAUCCCCCACUAGCCGUCCAACUUUCUCCUCUUCAUAGAUCUAAAACUAGGAAUGGGUUGGAGGGCUCAAUGAACUAGAUCUACUAUAUAGUCAUCUUUGAGCUCAGCUAUUGGGCAUCAUUGCUAGUUGCAAGCUCCCAAUUGGUCACAUCACUGCUAUUCAUAUACCAGCGGGAUCAAAUUGGCCUCUACACGAGUAAGUUGGUCCCUACGGUGAAGUACAGCAGUGGGCCCAUAUUGGCACCCACCACUGAUAGGUGGCAAAGUAAAAUUGGCAUGUGAAAAGAAUUGCCAUGUACUGAUAAGAAUUUACCAGUGCGGUCCCACUUUGCACACACCACUGGGAAAAAAAUGAGACCAACCCAAGGGAUAACCCUCGUUGGCAUUUUCUUUAUAGGAGAAACUUCGCGAGCACCACACGUCCAAGCCGAAGCUCGAACUCGCGUGGGCUGGCAGCUACCCCAGCUACCGAGCCGACGGGUCGACGCCCCGUCCUCGCACACACCUAUGUGAUUUGGCUAUAUUAUGAGUUGGUGGGCCAUUAGUGUUUUAUGCAUAUUCCAAAAAAUCACAUUGUUUUACCAAUAUUCUGCGGCAGAAGCUUAUCCUCAAAGUGCACAUAUCCCAUAUUUACGAAAAAUACUCGUUUAUUCGUUUUUCUGCAGACCGCUCGGCGUUAAGGUUGGUUUACAGCCGAGCAAGCCGACUGCUCGGCGGGAUGAAGAUGAAAAGGCAGUGGGCUAAGCCGCGUGUGUUUUAUCAACUACAUGGGCUACAUUUAGGUAUUUCAAAACCAAAGGGCAAUAUAUAAGCCGAGUAAGGCGUUAGAGGACACUCGGCCAAUACCAAGACGUCGUCAUGGAGCCGUCAAGCACGUGGCAAUAGAAACACUGCAGUUGCUUGCGUGAGCCACACGUGUAUGCCGUGGUUUUUCUACAUAAUAUAUCGUGUUCUUUCUGUAGGCCAUGCGUCUUUUUACGUUGUAUUCGGUUUACAUGGAGCUAAGUUGAGGGACCUGCAAAUGCCGUGUGUUUUCAAGAUGGUACUCGGCUUAGGGUCUCUUUGAUUCAAAGGAUUUUGAUAGGAUCUUUGAAGGAUUAAAAUCCUGAGGAAGUUUUCCUAUGUUGGUCGUUUGAUUUGUAGGAUUGAAUCAUGUAGGAUUUUUUUCUAAAGAUGUAUUUGUACUACAUUUUACAGGAAUUCUAACAUCCACUCCAACCUUUUGGAAGAAAUCCUUUGUUUUCUCCAUGACACAAUCAAACAAACUCAAAUCCUAUAGGAAUCCAAUGGACAUGUCAUUCCAAUCCUACGUUUUUCCUAUGGAAAACUAUUAAAAUCAUCCGACUUAUUUUUCACGAACGUAAACCGUCUUUGACGGACGCCACGUGUCCCUGCUGGUCGCUCACUCCUUAUCCUUAUCUUUUCUCCAGAAGAAGCGUGAGCCACUCAUUCCUUUUCCUCCUUUUUCUUCUUCCUUCGAGCAAACAUGCUUUCCCAGGGACGGCUCUCUCCAGCAAUCCCAGUCGCCGCUCACUUCGUGUUGAUGUAGGGCUAGGCUGAGAGGAUGCUCCUUCCAUGGCCGGCGGCGGAGCUGCGUUUGGUGAUGCGCGACGAUGUUGCGGCCACGUUGACGGCAAAGCUGCGUUGGAGCAGAAGGUGCUACGAGCUGCUGCCAUGACCGGCGGCGCUACUGCACAGCAACGGCGAAGCUGCGUUUCAGCAGCAAACAGCUAUGAGCUGCUGCCAUGGCGGGCAGCAGAGCUACAUGGCAGCAUGCAGCAGGCGAUGCGUCAAUGAAACUUGGCCGGAGCUCCAUUGAAGCUUCGCCGGUGCGUCAAUGAAACUUCGCCGGAGCUCCAUUGAAGCUUCGCCGGUGCGUCAAUGAAGCUUGGCCGUAGCUCCAUUGGAGCUUCGCCGGGGCGUCAAUGAAACUUCGCCGGAGCUCCAUUGAAGCUUCGCCAGUGCGUCAAUGAAGCUUCGACGGGGUGGCUCGGUGUUGCUAUGGAGCAGCACCCGGUGGCUCUCGGUGUUGUGAUGCAGCGGUCGCCGGUGGCUCCGGGGACGCGAGGUCGCCGAGGCAGGGUGACAGGGGAGGGUCUGCGUUGCUCUGCAUCAGGAGGAGUUGUUGUGCGCUGCUCUGUAUCAGAUGGCUGGGGAUUAGUGGAGAAAGGCCCAGGUUGUGUCGCGGCGAUCGAACGACCAUCUGUGCGGACCGAACGGCUGGCUGGGCGGAUGAUAUCUCUAGGAAAUCAUCCGCCUGAUUUGUAGCAGCCGCCUCCUAUUCCUGUGUUUUUGCAAUUCUAUGAAUCUGUCUAAGACGAGUAUCCGAGAAAAUACACCCGGCUUACCAAAAAGCACUAAGCAACAUGUCUUUUUCUCGUAGUGGCCUUUUAAGGUUUUUAUUUUACUUCAUAUAGGGCUCAAAGAGCCAACCUCGCCACCAACAUCGCCUACCAAACUUUGCCCAAGACGUCAUGUCCAUGAUCACAGACCAGUCAGGUUUAAACAUGUUUUCAUCUCUAUGAAAUUCACACAAAAAUUCCAAAUUGACUAGGUGUUUAAACUUAUGUUUCGACAAAGACUCAGACACCUGGACAUUUGAAAAUAGGACAAACGUCGACGCUCACAUGGACGCACCUAGACUCACAUCUAUGAACUUAUACACUAUCUCACUAAAUAGCAUAAAACUACUACAAUUCGGACUAGAGUUUCAAAAAACUACUAAAUAUAUUUUUCCGCUCAUAACUACUAAAUCAGGGGUCGGCUGUUUCAAAAAACCCAAAUCAUCGAGUCUUUAGUAAUUGAUCACGAUUAUGACAGUUGGGGCCAAGCGUAAGAUAACCGUUUGUUUGACCGUUUAGUUUGAAUGUUAACUUACAUGUGGGUCCCACAUGUUAGUUUUUUUAAAAGCAAUCAGGUCCCUGUAAGUUUUCUAAAAUAGCAACCGGGUACAUGUGAGUUUUCUAUAAGGUCCCUAAAAGUUUUUGCAAAAAGCAAUAUAAUCAGGUCUCCAGAGGAGCCGCGCCCGCGGCAGCCUGCUCGAUCCCGAGCGCUCUGCCCGAACCACGACGCUGCCUCCAUCGGCCGGCCAGCCGCGCCCGCAACGGCCGAAUCCACGCCGUGCCUCGCCUGCCACCAUGGCGUGACUCGCAUGCCGCCAUGUCAUGCCUCGCUGGCGGCCGCUGCCACGCCGUGCCUCACCUGUGGCUGCCGCCAUCCCCUGCCGCGAGCUCCUCAAGCUAGACGUGGACGGCCUGCGCCGCUGCUGGAGUGCGCACCUCCCAUUGCCGCGGACGAGGUCGCUGUCUGCUAUGCCUCCUCGAAGCCACCGUCACCACCAGGAGCUACGGUGAGCACCUACCACGACCAUGGGGAGGGUGGGAAGGAGAGGGAGGGUCGCCGCCAGCCAGGCCCGGCCCGGAUGGAGGGGUAGGGGGCGGCCGCCCCAGGCCCCCGAAAUUGAGGGGACCCCACGUUCGUGUGCUCUCUGUAUCCAGCCCAUGUGCUCUCUGUAUCCAGCUGAUGAGAAAAAAUGAUUCUGGGCUACUUUUGAUGAAACAGACCUGUACAUGUAGUGGAACUUGUGUUUCCCUCGCGUAGGUCCGCGGAUGACGACAUGAGCGAUCAACCUAGCGAUAUAUCCUACAAGCCCGAGGGAAACCCCGCCGCCGACACAGCCUCCUCCCGUGGAGGCCUCCCCCGAUGAUUUCUCGUCCAAUGGCGGAUCGAGUAAUUUCAUGUUCAUCGCCCUGGACAGGAGUAACAACACCACCGGCCCUGGCAGGCAGUUUUAAACUACAGAGGUCAGGUUAGCAUCUUCCUGAUGCAUCAUCCAACGGAGCUAGCUAGAUUGAUAUGUGACUAGUUGGUGGCAGAAUUAUUAGAUCUAGUGUAUUAGCGGAGAGGAGUAGGACGUAGUUGUCCUUCUGACUAAUUUUUUUAAUGCAAUCCUUCCGAUUAAUUAAUCUGGUCGUGUUGGAGAUCGAUGAAAGAUGAGGGGAGAGGAUGUCUAGAAUCCAUGGGAUAAUGAUAAUUGGCAAGCUGAAAUUAAUUGGAGGAUUCAUGGUCGAUUCAAUAUGAUUAGGUGGCAAAAUUAAUUUUUAGUAGCUAAAAAAAUUAACUUUUAGUGUUGCAAACUAUGAAGCUAUUCUACCUGCAUGCCACCAAGAGCAGUUCAAAUUACUUUUUGUUUGCCAAACUAUGAAAUAUACAAUGCAUGAAACUUCCCUAUCAAAAUCUUAGCAAAAGUGAGAAAUAAUAAUUAUAAUAAUGUAUAAUUAGAACCCGGAACUAGGUCGACCAGCUGGUUUUGCACGCCAUGAUAAAAAAAUUAACAACAAUUCAUGUUUAAAAUUUAUCUAGACAUGCACAUAAUGAUUAUAAUUUUGGAUAUAUAAAGGGCCUCCGAUUGUAUUUUUGCCCCGGGCCCCUGAAAUCUCAGGACCGGCCGUGCCGCUAGCUUGGGAUGGGAGGGGACGGUCGUCGGCUUGGGAGCGGAGGGGAGGGUCGCCGGCUUGGGAGGGGAGAUGGCCUGCUCGGGAGACACCAGAAGAGAGACGAGAAGAGACAAAGAGGAAGAAGAAAGAGAAUAGCAAGAGGAAACUUACAUGUAGGCCCCACAUGUAAGUUAACGGCCAAACUAAGGUCAAACUGACAGUUUGUUUAGGUGCGGGCCCAACCUGUCGUGACCGUGAUCAACCGAUAAGGACUCGGGGAUUUGGGUUUUUUGAAACAGCCGACCCCCCGGCUUGGUAGUUAUCAGCAAAAAGAAUUUGGUAGUGUUUUGUAACCCUAACGUGAAUUGUAGUAGUUUUAUGCUAUUUACUCAAACGAUCUCUAUGAGCAUUUUCAAGAUACUGAACCGGCACAUCAUUUUGAGAUUGGUGAACACCACAGACGUCUUCAUAGUUGACAGAAACGUCUCCUCCCAAUGAACGAACAUCGCAAAAGCCUGAAAUAAAUCCCAAAAACUGUCAGCACCAUUACCAAGUUUAAAACUUGAACCCUGAUAGGGUUGGUUCCACCACAAGAAAUCUAACUAUUUGAGCCAUGCACAUCUCAUAGUUUUCCCUGUGGCCAUGGAGGGUGCCACAUAUGUAACCCAUUAAUAUGGGAACCCAUACCUGUAAGCUUGUCAGCAUUUAUAGGCUAUAUAUGCUAAUCAAUUAUAAAAAAAACUGGGAUAACAAGUUUGAACUACACCCAUUAUUCCUCCGCCUAUAUAUUGUCGUGCAUGCAUGCCAGUGCCAUAUACGGAAACAAACCGACCGAGAAGGCCCUUAAUUAACAGCUAGCUAGCUCUCUUGGUCGAAUAUGGUAACUGCUAAUGCUAUUGGCUCCGGCGACCUGAGCAUCCGUGUCCUGAGUCGCCGCCUUGUCAAGGCCUCCGACCCAUCUACCAAGCCGCACGUAGCCGCCUUCUCGAACCUCGACCUCUACCCUGGCAACGAGCAGGCCUCGAUAGUAUGCCUCUACCCCAAGCUCCCAAACGCCGGUGACUUCCCGGCGGUUGUAGCCACCUUCGACUCCAUCCUCCCGUCGUUGCUCAACGACUUCUACCAUUUCGCCGGGCGCAUCCGCACCAACCCAAGCUCCGGCCUCCCCGAGCUGCUCUGCGACAACCAAGGCGCAGAGCUGGUGGUCGGCGAGGCCGGUGUCGCCAUGGCCAGCCUGGACUACGGCCUGGCGGAGCAGUCGUUGAAGAAGAUAAUGCUUCCGUACGCCGAGGACGUCACGCUCUCGGUUCAGCUGCUCUCCUUCGCCUGUGGCGGCUUCUCCGUCGUGUGGGCGACCAACAACCUUGUGUGUGACGGCCAAGCCUUCACCAUGUUCGUCAGGAGGUGGUCCGAGCUCGCCCGAACUGGGCGCAUCGUCGACGGACCGCCCAACCAUGACCGCUCGGUGUUCAGCCCUCGCAGGCCGCCGUCGUACGGAGCCUCGAUCAGGGACAUGUUCGCGACGUACGACCAUGACCGGCUGGUGAACGUGCUGACGGCGCACGACAGCUUCGUCGAGCGCCUCUACUACAUCGAGGCGAGCGACAUCGCUGCCCUGCGGGAGGCGGCAAGCAGCAAGCUCCAGCGCCCGUCGCGCGUCCAGGCGGUGUCCGCGUACCUGUGGAAGGCCCUCGCCCGCGUGGUGGCCGCGUCCCGCGUGCCGGAGGAGCGCUGCUGCAUGGGGUGGAUGGUGGACGCGCGGCGGCGGGUGAAGGCGCCGGAGCUCGUCCGGGCGAUGGGCAACUACUUCGGCAACGUUACGGCCUACGCUCUCGGGGAGGCAGCCGUUGAGGAGAUACAGGAGAAGGAGCUGUCGGAGGUGGCGGCCAUGGUGCGGGAGACCAUCACGUCUAUCGACUACGAUGAGUACACCCAGGAGCUGGUGGACUGGGUGGAGGAGCACAAGACAGAGAGGCUGAUGGAGAAGGGCGUCAUCGGGCUCGGUACGCCCACCUUGAACCAGACGGUGUUCGCGUCGUUCCCGCUCGACACCGACUUCGGCUUCGGCCAUGCCGUGCUGGCAAUGCCCAUGUGCGACUACGGGAGGCUCAGCUCGGGGUACCUGUCGAUCGGAGCUCGGCCGGGAGGCGACGGCUCCUGGCUGGUCAACGCCUACAUAUGGCCUCGCCUCGCGGCGGCGCUUGAGUCGGACCAGCAGCGCAUCUUCAAGCCUCUCACGGCGGAGUAUCUAGGGCUCGUCUAGGCGUACCACUCUGCUGUCUGCCCGGUUUCUUCUUCAAUAAGUCUUUGCUUCGUCUUUUGAGGCAUGAAAGCAGCUCGUGCUUGUUUUACUUCCACCUAUUUUGCAAUACCCCAAAUAAAGCCCUUCUGUGUGGAGGGUAGUUUGUUUGAUCAAUAAAUGUUUGAGUCGUUCAUAAGGUUUCCUUGAUUAGUAUACAAAUCAGUUGAUGACUACGUUUCACAACUCAUGUGCAUGGAGAUGCUAAACCGAUAGUAUGGACUCGGGGAUGGAGACCACGCAGUCGGACAUACCAACUCUGAGACGCAGCGAGAUGUUGUCAUAUGUUAGUGUCAAGCACAAUGUUUAUGCCAUGUCCUAGACCUAAGGUCCUCGCAUGUUCUCGGGAUGAGUAUCGACUCACUUAAGGUCUAUCAAACGCUACUCCAUAACUGGCUAGAUAUAAAUGUAGCUUUUGGGUGGGUGGUGAGAUAUGCCGCGAGACAUGGCCGACCAAGAUGGGAUUUACCCCUCCUAUUUGAAGAGAUAUUUUCUGGACCCUCUCGAGGGAUCGGAUUCGGAAAGCAUGACCAUGCGACUUGGUUAAGUGUUAACCCAGUGCGGGAAUCUAUAUCACGGUGUCAAGAAGAGAGGUCGAGCUACCACAAGGGUGACAAGUACUCACCUUGAGCUUGACAACAUAUAUCGUGAGGCAAAAGGAAUGUUGCAGAUGAUACAUUGUCGAGGUUCUUCGAACGACUUUACACGCACAUGAGAGUUGGCACGUUCAGCGAGGAGCUGCUACCAACUAUCGACUCUGGUCGUGUCCAUGUGUACGUAAACCUAUAGGGUCGCACACUUAAGGGGCUGCAGGCCAUUCGGAUUGGAUUCGAGUGGAAAUGGUUUUACUCCUAGUGGGCCUCAAGUAUUGAGCCUAUCUCGGAGGUCUAUAUAUAGGGGAGUGGCCGCACAACUGAGGUUGAUCUUUUUCCACCAUGGACAGCCUCCAUCGCAACUCCCCACGCCCAUCCCGCGCGACCUAACCUAGAUGCCUACCGCCCGACGCUGCUCCCCGUACGUGUGGAUACCUUGCAGGCAUCGCAUCCGUGGUGCUUGGAUGAACUGUUCGAGGGAACCGCGAGGUGCCGUUCGCGGGAGAUCAACGUUCACAGGUCUUUGUUGUUCGCGGGAGAUCGACGACGCGAGGAGGAGACGCCUCGGGAGAUCGUCUACAUGCAUCUCCAACUCUAUUUUCUGCUGCGGUUACUGCGCGUCUAGUGGUAAACUCGAUCUCAUGAUCUAUUUCCAGCAACUUGAUCUUGGGUGCGUGGUAGAAUUUUUUUUAUUUGGCUCUAGCUUAGCAUACCGCGUGUUUCUACAGUCGUAUCAGAGCCUAUGCUACGUGGUAUUAGAUUCAAGGUAGAAUUUUCAAAUGAUGAUAUGUAGAUUGCUUUAUGUACUGGCCGAUGAGAUCGGUUGUCAAUAUGAUUGACUAUACAUGGUGUCAGGCAUUCGAAAUUGUGAUCUAAUUUUCCGUGAUGAUGUUGUGGAGGUCGUGGCACAAAUUACCUAUACCGGUCGGUUUCGGCCAUCGGGUAAGACAGUGGAACGUAAAGUCGGUCACAACACGCGAAGACCAAUGAGAUUGGUUGAAUCAGAUAGAUGGUCAAAAUAGGAUAAAUAUGAUUUGCCGGUGAAAAUUCCCAUGCAAAAAUGCAUAGAUAUUGCAAGGGCGCUGCCAGUUGACCCCACAGGGGGCAAAGCCCCAUCGACCCCCAUCCUGUUAAUCUCUUAGGGCGGUGGAUAACUUGUUUUUGCAGGUAAUGCUUGUGAUUUGGUACAACCCGGGUAUGUUGCAUGUACGUAAUUAUAUCAUGACCUGCGUGUCGAGAGUACAAUAACUGGUUGGAGCCAUAUGGUUGUCCCAUUAUUGUAUUAAUGACCUUCAUGUCAACAUGAGAAGCAUUGUAUUGUUAUUUACUUUCAAUAGCUAUUAGUUUGUAAUAGCGUAGUAUCUUAUGUAACACUUGGCGGUUGACACCAUGGCGUGGAGAUGAAGAUCUCCACGAGGACAACCAUGCAUGGAGAUGGAGAUCACCAUGGGCAGGCCGUGCAGGUGGAGACGAAGAUCACCAUGCGAUAUCAAAAGGGGCUAAACCAUAUCACACAUAUAAACUGCCUGUGAAAGUUUAUCUCUGUUAUGCACCCUUCUUUUGCAUGGUAGACGUUUCAAGUAGGGUGAUCCCUCAAAGAAUGUCAAGUAAAAAUGCCUCUCCAAAUGUUGCACCAUCACACAUCAAGUAUACUUAGUGGUGGGAUUAUAAAAUUAAGGUGCCAUUUGGUGUCCUUGAAGUGAUGGGUUCGGUUCGGACACUUACAUGCAUAGCAUUGGUUAUCUUGUCGUGGCUAUCAAAACAGUUUUGGGCCUCGAGGCGUAGGAGUUGGUGCGACAUGAGAUGUCCCCAACAACAAGAGUCGUAUGGAGACACGAUUAGCAAGAAAUACUUAUGGAGUGAUCUCGUCUUCUAGCAGUGAUGCAAAUGCUCACUAGUUAACAUGUUGAUCUUGGAUCUUGAAUCACUAAGUAUCAUCUGAGGGAUGUUGAUUUUAUUUGGAGUGAUGAUCUUAUUAAAAUGUUUAAUAUGAAUUACUCUUCAUGAAUACAUGUCUUAGUGUUUUGCAUCUUUCUGUUGGAGAUCAGAGGCACCACCUGCUCAAGUUACUCCUUUUGCGCUGAAAACAAUCCUAGAAAAAGAUAAAUGGAAUGGGACAAACUUUACGACCUGGUAUAGAAAUCUGGGAAUUGUUCUUAGGCAUGAGAAAAAGGACCAAGUUCUAGAAAAUCCGCUUCCAGAUGUACCUGCCAAGAAUGCUAAUGCCACAACCAGGAGUGCCUACCAGAAACCCAUUGAUGAAUAAAAUGAGAUCAUCUAUCUCAUGCCGGCUUCAAUGGAGCCCGAUCUACAGCAGCAGUUCGAAAACAUUAAGGCUUUCGAUAUGAUCGAGAACCUCAAAAGCAUGUUUCUGAUGUAGGCUAGGACCGAAAGGUUCAACGUCUGGCUAUCCUUGAUGGAUUGUAAGUUGAAUGAAAGUGAUCAAGAUGACUAGGUACAUGCAAGCUUUGGAUUGGUUGGGCUUCCCACUUGGGAACGUUCAACUCGAACUACCAUAUGCAUGGGAUGGAAAAGAAGCUCACUGAAUUGCAUGGGAUGCUCAAGGUGGCAGAGCAGGAUAUAAAGAAAGUUACGCAUCGUCAAGUGUUGAUGGUGCAGAACUGGGCUAAGUUCAAGAAGAGAUGUUCCAAGAAAAAGCAUAAGGCAAACGGCCAGGAGGAGAAGGCAACUCCAACUUCUGCCGUUGCGCCUAAGUCAGGGCCAGCCGGGGACCGUUUUCUUUCACUGUAAGGAACACGGCCACUAGAAAAUGAACUGCAACAAGUGGCUUGUCGAGAAGGGCAAGAAGACUGGAAGUGUCACUUCUUCAAGUACACUUAUUGUAUAUGUUAUAGACAUUUAUCUUGCUGAUGUUUCUAGUAGCUCUUAGGUAUAUGUUACCGGAUCGGAUGUUCACAUAUGCAUCUCGAUGCAGAGUCUAAGAAGAACUAGGAAUGUUGGAAGAGAAGUUGACAUACACAUCGUGAAUAAAGCAAGAGUUGAUGCAUUGGCCGUCAGCACUAUGCAACUUAAUUUACCUUCAGGAUUUGGAAUGGAACUUGAUAAUUGUAAUUAUGUUCCUGCUUUGAGUCAAAACAUUAUUUCUGCCUCAUGUUUGAUGAUACAAGUUUAUGAAAUAAGUAUUAAGGACAAUGGUUGUUCUAUGUACUUGAAUAAAAUGUUUCAUGGCUUUCCACCUAUUGUGAACGGGUUAUUAAUCCUAGAUCUUGAAGGUGAGCCAGUCUAUAACAUAAAUGUCAAGAGGCAUAAGCCUAACGAAAUAAACCCGACUUACAUCUGGCAUUGUCGACUAGUACACAUUAGUAAAAGUGCAUGAGGAAGCUCAAUGAUGAUGGAAUUCUAACUUCAUUUGAUUUUGAAUCAUUCGAGACAUGUGAGUGUUGCCUUCUUGGCAAGAUGACUCAGACUCCUUUUGCAAGGAGUUGCGAAAGGACGUCCGAGUUAUCGAAACUCAUCAUAGUGAUGUAUGUGGACCAAUGAGCACGACAGCAGGUGGUUUCCAAUAUUUCGUGACGUUUACAGAAAACUUGAGUAGAUUUGGAUAUGUCUACUUGAUGAGGCACAAGUUAGAAACUUUUGGAAAGUUCAAGGAGUUUGAGAGCGAAGUGGAGAAUCAACUCGGCAAGAGAAUCAAACUUCUACGAUCUGAUCGUGGCGGUGAGUAUAUGAGCCAGGAGUUUGAUGAUUAUCUAAAGAGUCGUGGAAUAGUUCCACAACUGUAUCCUCGGGGUAUGCCACAGAGAAAUGGCGUGUUGGAACGAAGGAAUCGGACUCUGUUAGACAUGGUCCAAUCAAUGACGAGUCGGUCGGAUUUACCUUUGUUAUUUUGGCGAUACGCUCUAGAAACUGCGUAUUUCACACUAAAUAGGGUACCAUCCAAGUUUGUAGAUAAGACGGCAUAUGAGAUAUGGACUGCGAAGAGUCACAGUUUGUCUUCUCUAAAAAUUUGGGGUUGUGAAGCAUACGUCAAGCGACUCCAGUCAGACAAGCGCACACCCAAGUCGGACAAGUGCAUAUUCGUGGGGUAUCCAAGGGAAACCUUGGGAUCUUACUCCUACAUCCGUGAAGACUGCAAAGCGUUUGUCGCUCGACAUGGAGUUUUCCUUGAGAAAGAGUUUCUCAAUCAGAAGGCUAGUGGGAGGAUGAUACGACUCGAGGAAAUUCGAGAACCACAUGGAGUUAGUCAGGGAACCCAUGGUGGAGUCGACGCCAAUUCCACGGAGGUCAGAAAGGUUGCGCAAUAUGCAUGACUGCAAUGUGUUGUUCUUGGAGAACAACGAGCCGGCAACGUAUGCGGAAGCCAUAGAGAGCCCUGAUUCCGAGUUAUUGCUUGAGGCCAUGAGAUCCGGAUUAAAGUCCAUGGAUGGCAAUCAAGCUUGGAACUUGGUUGAUCUGCCAGAUGGCGCUCGAGGCAUUGAGUGCAAACUGGUAGUGAUGCCUAAAUAAAUUAGGACCAUUCUUGCUAUAUCUGCAUAUUUCGACUAUGUUACUAUUAUGUUCUUCAACAGAAGGUCCCAAAUGUUGUUGUGCCUCUGCUGAUGGACGCCGAAAGUGAGAUGACAAUUGUUUGCCCUUUGAAGAUCAGAUUCAAAUAUACAUACUCGACCGAGCGUUAAUCAAAUGGAUGCCUCAAAAUUGAGUGAUGGAGGCAAAUAGUCAAUGAGCUCGGGCCACAAAUUGGAGACCGGGGAUCUCUGUGGUCCAUCAUGGAGAUGUAGUUUUUUUUCUCUGUUUUAUUCUAUUUUACCUAAGACACUGGAGUAGGUCAUAGUACUUGUCAUGUGCUUGAAAGUUACUUACCUAGGAUGAUGACAAUUAGUUAGUAGUGGUUAACUUAUGAUGAUGAUGAUGGUGAUGAUGGUGAUGAUGAUGAUGAUGAGACAUUUUUAUAUAAUUAUGAUCAUGAUGAGCUGUUAUAUCACUACGAUGAUGAUGAGUUAUAUCAUUUUGAUAAUGAUGAGUUGUUACAUGAUGAUGAUGAUGAUGAUGAUGAUGAUGAUGAUGAUGAUGAUGAUGAGUUGUUAUAUAGUUGCUUGUGUAUAAAAAUCUGUAUAAUUAUUGUAUAAAUAUAGUAUAAUAUGUAGAAAGGAAAUACAUAGAGUUAGUAGUGGCGGGGGGCCUCGCGCUAUAGCUAGUUAUUAGUAGCACGGGCCAAACACCGCGCUGCUCCUAAUGUAAGUAGUAUUAGAGCCGAGCCUGGCCCGUCUUACUAGGAACCAGUUAGCUACACGCUGAUGAGUUGUUAUAUGAUGAUGAUGAUGAUGAUGAGUUUUUAUAUAGUUGCUAAUGUAAGUAGCGAGGCAACCCGCACUACUCCUAUGCCUUUAAACCGCGCCACUACUAGCCUUAUCCCUUGUAGUGACGGGCAGAUGGAGCGAUGAAAUGCGCAUGUCCUCAAUGGGCUCCAAACGAGAACAUUCGCCUAACUCAAGAAGUGUGGCCGGUGAUGGAUCGAUGAGCUUCCCUAUGUUCUAUUUAGUGUAGAUAUCACUCUUAAUUAACUUGUUUUUCUGCGGAUAGUAACUAACGCUUUGAGCCUUUGUGGUUUAUCUCACAAUUUUUGUCUUCACAACUGGAGUAGGCCACAAUGUUGAGAUGCAAAAAAAGGUCCAUAAACUAAUUAAAUGGAAUAUCAUUUAGAUACGACACUUAUAAGAUACACUAAAUAUUAAGAGACGUGUUGAGUAUAUAAUGAAUAGGGGUCAUUGUCUCUAAAUAGUUUUCACUAAAUAGGAUGAUGUGUUAAGAGACACUGCGUUGUGAGUUCCCUUUCGCUAAAUUAAUUUGCCCUGGUUCGAUUGCAGAGAUGUGUGCGGAGUUUCUUGGGGGAGUUUGGCAGCCAAUCGAUGAUAACUAGUUCUAGGACGCUACUAGGUCAGAUUCAAAACUGAACAUAUGGCUUGGUCCAAGAGUUUCGGCUCUCACAACCUGAAAAUCUGCAGCUUUCACACUAAAUAUUAAGAGAUUCGAAACUGAACAUAUCUGUCAUUGGUUUGAUGCUGUGGGUCCGUUUCAUUAUCUUUUUUUUUAUCAGGUAGUUGGACGGCCACACCAUGCCCUGAAAAUCUGUCUAGAUCUUGAUCGGGAGGCAUAAGAUUUCUUAUUCUGACAACCCUGAAACUGUUUGCCAUGCAUGCAUUAUCCUUCGCAAAGCGAAUUAAGUUGCCCCUAGACAAGGGCGGAUGGAGUAUAGUUCACUGUAGCUUCAUGAUUCUUUUGUCAGCUUAUUUUUUAGAGCUGCGGCUAUCAUAUUUACACCUGCUGUUAUAUCUGUUUCCAGAACCAUGUGUCAGCAGCUUCUGUUAUCAUAGCCAAUAAAACUAUCACGAAGCUACAGUGUGAGCAAUGAAGACGUUAUAUAAACAGGGAUAAAAUAUAUUGUGCUAAACUGCUCUAUCCAAAACCAUGUGUCUGCUCCUCUUGUUUGUUUCUUUACUAUUUUUCAUAUUGUGGAUGAUCAUGACGAUACAUACUAAAGAGUUUUGCAUAGCAUAUGUAAUUUCAUGCAUACAGACAAUGUUUUUUUAUUGGUGUAUUAUUUCACUCUGUUAAGACAAAAUUAUAUUUUGGAAUAUUGAAAUAAUAAUAUUAGGUAAAUCAUACAUGUGCACUAUGAAGCUAACUUUGUGCAAGAGAAAUGAGUAAAAUUAAGGACAAGAUUUAUACCUAUGCAAUACAAAAAAAAACUAUCUGCAGCAGUAAAUUCAUGUAGCUGGCAACAUUACUGGUACAAAUUAGAUCUAAUUAUAGUGCAUACAUGUACCUUUUUUAGAAAACAAAUCUUGAAACUUCGAUAGAAAAUUUUACGAUUUAUGAAAUUUGAAUGGGAAAACUAAACCAAAACCAAAAGGCCGGGAGUUAAAUGUGAGUGAAAAUAAAUGUCAGGAGGUAUUUGUCAGUGAAAAUAAAUAUGAGUGACACUUCUCCAUGCAAAAAUGUUAGUGAAAAAACUUGAAUUUUCACUGUAAAAACAACCCCAAAAUAAAGGAGGAAGCAGAACCAUCGAAAUGUUUAUGAAACGAACAACCACCAACAUAAGAGAGAAGUCACCAUACUCAUUAAGACGCCCAUGUUCAUCUGAGUAGUUAAGCCACUGCAUAGCAAUUAAUAGAAAGAAAACUGCAUAGAAAUUAAUUUUGAUGGGCUCGUGGAUCACGGCAGAAGCAUGCAUGAAUGCAUAUGUCUAUCGUUGCAGGUCAUUCAUGAGAGCAAUGCAUUCAUAUCUAUCUUUGCACGGAUGGAAAAAUUAGUCUGGCGCCAUAUAUCUUCUAUUUGUUAUACUACAGAAAGACAUAUUAAAAUAAAGUUGCCCCUAAACAAGGUGGAUGGACGACCACUCAUUUUGGCAGACUGUACUCGCACAAUUCGUUUUCCCAAUAAUAAUGUGAAUGGAGAGAGUAUAAUUCACACUGUCGCUUCAUGAUUCUUUUGUCAGCUUAUUUUUUAGAGCUGCCUUUUUUUUUGCGGGAAUAUUUUUUAGAGCUGUCAGCUAUUAUAUUUACCCCUACUGCCAUAACUAUUUCCAGAGCCAUGUGUCGGCAGCUUUUGUUAUCAUAGCCGACAAAACUAUAACGAAGCUACAGUGUGAGCCAGGAAGACGUUAUAUUUUCAGGGAUAACAUAUAUAUUGUGCCAAACUCCUCUAUCCAAAACUAUUUGCCGGCACCUCUUGUUUUGUUUAUUUACAAUUUUAAUAUUGUGGAUGAUCAUGACGAUACGAAGUAAAGAGUUUUGCAUAGCAUAUGUAAUUUCAUGCAGGCAGACAACACUUUUUUAUCAGUGUAUAAUUUUGCUCUGUAAAGACAAGAUUUUAUCUUGUGAUAUUGAAAACAUAGUGUUAGAUAAAUCAUAGAUGUGAUCUUUGUGGAUAAAUUUGUGCAAGAGAAUUGAAUAAAAUUAAGAACAAGUUGUAUACCUGUGCAAUAAAGAAAACUAUCUGCAGUAGUAAAUACAUGUAGGUGGCAACACUCACAUUUUGGUUAUUCCUGUAUAAACAUUGCUAGUGCAAAUUGGAUCCUAUAUAUUGUGCACACGGUGUUCCCGUCCUCGGAUGGUUUCCCCUUGUUCGGUCUUGCUCAUUCUCGUUGCUCACAAGCUCAUGCAAUUGAGAACCUGAGAUCUUCAAUCUGGCCAUCUGGGAUUUCCGGACUUCUCCUUCGAAGGAAAACAAGGACUGGCACAUAUGGCGCUCUUUGGACACCUUGACUAGAUAGGGGCCUGUCGUGUGCACCCGCAACAUCAGCAUAACCAGCUUUACCGGGGUAUCGUGCAGCUCUGUUUUUGUUGGCACCUUGGGACAUGUCUGCACCAAGAUUCCCAUGGGAUCAACACAUGUGGAGAAUGUCAUGGCGUGAUUGAAGGACUUGCAAGUGGCAAAGGCGGGGUCUUGGAUGCGAUGAAGACUUUGCUUCAUAGGCAGUUGUUUAGACAUGGCUUACGGGAUAUGUUCCCAUCCAGACGGGACGUGAAUUCCUGUGAGCCUAAUGGUGCGUGACUUGCAGUAGUAGCCUCCGCAAGUGGGGGUGGCGGCAUUGGAGGACUUCUUUGUUAUUCGGUGCUCCUCUGAGUACCCAAUCAGGAUUUCCAAGGUGAAAACCCAAGGUCUGGCCUUUAUUGGUUGUGCCUGGCAGUAGUCUUGUUGAAGGCAUUAUUGUUGGGAACCUCAUCUUUCUCCAGGGUGAAAACGUAAUAUCUUUGAUCAGGCAACGACAACGCUUGUGCUUUGUUUCCUUCCUGGAGGCAUUGCUUUUGGAGAACCUAUUUUGUAGUCCGGGUGCCAUCUUUGGUGGUGGUUAGAGUGCGGCUACUUCGGGUAUUGAUCACCGUGGUGGGAUAUUUUUUCUUCUCUUUUUAUUUUGAUUUUUAGUUGUGUGCAUCCUGGAUGUUUUUAGGCAUCUUGUUGUUGCAGAGUCUGGGAGUAAUUGGUAUCUGCUUGAUAUUAAUACAUUCUCCUUUACAAAAAAAAAUUACAUAUGCCUUUUCUAGAAUUUUUUUCCUAAAACUUCCAGGGAUGAUUCUAUCAUUUGUUUAAUUUUAAUGGAAAAAUUAAACCAAAACCAAAACGUCAGGAGGUAAAUGUGAGUGAAUAUUAAGGUCAAGAGGUAAAUGUGUUUGAAAUAAAUAUGAGUGACACUUCUCCAUGUGAAAUUGUUAGGGAGAAAACUAGACUUCUCUCUGUAAAAAUAACCCCAAAAUUAUGGAGGAAACAAAACCAUCCAAAUAAACAAUAUAUUGAGAAGUCUAUGAAACGAACAACCACCAAGAUAAAAGAGAAUUCGCCAUACUCAUCAAGACGCCCACAUGUCAAUAGCUCAGUCAGUCAACAUUAUAGCAAUUAAUUUUGAUAGGCUCAAGGAUCAUAGUAGAAGCAUGCAUGAAUCGUUGCAGGUCAUUGAUGAGAGCAAUGCAGAUCACUAUCUUUGCAUGGUCAGAAAAAUUAUUCUGGCGCCACCUAUCUUCUAUUUGUUAAACCAUAUGAAGGCGCAUAUCUCAUCACGAACGAUUAAUCAACAAUAUAUACUACACAAUGACACAUUAAAAUUAUUGCACAUGGGCGAGAUUGAUGGCUUUAUCCUUCAUAUGAUCCAAAUAAUCGUAUUUAUUGUUCACACUGUAACAACAUAAUGGUUUUGUUGGCUAUCUACCCCUGCUACCAUUCCUAUCUCUUGAGCAACAUGCUAGUAUCUUUUGUUUAGUUUAGCUAAAAAGAUUGGAAUGAGAGAUUUCCUUUUUUUGUGCAAUAACAUGAUAGUACAAACUACUGAACUUUACAUAUUUAGGUACUCAAUAAAAUACUGUUAAAGAUAGCUAUAGACAUUAGUCAUAUUAAUUCAACCAUAAGAGAUUAUCAUGUACCAUAUUAGCAUGAUUACUGGUCCUGUUCAAGAAUUCGUCCGAUUAACCAGUUAACUUGGAAAUUAAUCCCUACUUGUAAGGUCAUCGUGUAGCCAAUAAACUGAUAAAUCCUCCGUUUAAUUUCUUAACAGGACAAUUAACUUGCCGAUUACCCUAUUAAUCCCCUACUCCCUAGCCAACCAAGCAGCUACCAGUUAACAAUUUCCUCAACAAAUUUACUGGUAUGUUCCUGUUUAGAUGGUUCACCAAUACACUUCCAAAGUUAUUUUUGAGAAUGAUGCACCCUUUUUACAUUUUUUUGGUAUUAUUCCAUCAAUGCUGCACUACAUCAUAGCAUCUUCUUCUUUUUGGAAUGGCUAUGAAAGGACACGAUAGGUAUGUCUGGUGAACUUUUUGUGGAGAUACUUGGGCUCAUGUGUCUGAGAAUAAGAGGAUGUCCUCCCAUAGGAUUUACAUAUACCAACAACUAUUAACCAUGUCUCAAUGUGAGAUUGGAGACUAAAGAGUCUAGAUUUUAUAAGAUUAACCGGAAGUGUUGACUUCAACCGUGUAUUACUAAUCCACUGCAGUUGAAUUUUUGCAGUUGAAUUUUGCAUAUGGCUAAUUUAUUAAUCAACACCUAGGAGGAAUAGUUUGUAGGAGUUACCUAUAGCGUUGCCCUGGCAAAAGGAAAUGUGAUUGUUUAUCAAAAUUGUUUCUACUUAUAUUGUUUUAUCCCGUUACUACUGCAGCACUAAUUUUUAGUUAACUAAUGAAAGAAAGGCAUCAUAUUGUUUUAUCCCAUUGAUACCAGAGCACCAAUUUUUAGUUCAUUAAUUAUGUUGCUAUCUUCAAGUAUUUUUAAUCUGGAGGAAGUUCCACAAAACAAAAAUGUGAGAGUCAAAAAGGUGAGGGGAAAACGAGCUGAAUACCACCUUCUUUGUCCUGUCUUGCUUAAUCCACUUGAAGCCAGAUUACCACUUCGGCAGGGUAUGCUGAUGGAACUCGAACUAGGAACCUCAGUGACAUUUGUAGCCAUACAUUCAAAACACCUCCAGGCACAUGAUUUCAAAAGAUAUUUUUGAAGCAACAGGUCACCAAGCGUCUAAUUGAGUGUUGUAGACAUGACAAUGUCUAAAAUGGCGACUUUGAGGAAGCGUAAUGGAACAAACAUUGUGUCAUGCAUGUGCUCUCUACCACACCCUCGACAAAAAUCAAGAUCCCAGUCCAGUGGAAUGAGGAGGACUAGGAUAUGGACGACGAAGGGCCCAGCAACUAGAUAGAGACAACUUAGGAGUGAGCCAUAGGAAGAUCAUCUAGUGCACUGGGUGUGUGGAUUUGAGGGCCCACUUGUAAGAGAGUGCGUAUGCGUUUAAAAGGGGCAAGUGAAUCAGACAUGUGCCGUAACUUAUCGAUGAAAUAAUAAUUGUUUGAACUCUCACCUACUCUGUUCUGCAUCUCACCCUCUUCAUCUGUUCUUCAACUUCUUCUCAUCCCCUACUCCAUAUUAUCCUCUCCAAUAUGUGAUUCUUCCACCAACACUAGUUGGACAUCACAGUUUGACAAUGGAAAUCUUGGUAAAUUUUUCUCUUUGACAGCACUCGGAAACAAUUGAUGCAGGCGCAAAUCCAUGAUAUAAGGGAUAUUUUCUGUAGCAUUGUUUGAAAAUACAUCAGUUACGCAAGGGCCCUUUUGCUUCUUUACUUCUUGUUCUGUGUGCACUCUGAUGUUCGAAGGUGCAGUGAUGGUAGACAGAUAUUUAGUUGGAAGAAAAAUAGAUAAACUCAGAUUUCGUGUAACCCGGGCUCACUCUUUUCAGUGAAUAAAUUAUUGUCACAAAAAACCAGCCUUUUGCUUCUCUUGAUGACAUUAUUCUUAGAAGUAAGAAUGUGCAUUUCUGCAGCCCAUGCUCAUGUGCUAUUUUUUCUUUUUAACUAGUGUAACAAAUGGGGUAGAUGUUUUUUUUUCUGUGCCAAUAAUGGUGUUAAGACUGCUAAAAUCUUGUAAGGGAAGAAAACAUUGAAGAGCAGAAAGAAGAAGAAAAUCAUUUAUUUAUAUAGAACUGACAUGCAUUUGAACAUCAACAGUCAUUUAUUAUUAAUAAUUCCGCAUUUUGUGAAUUCCUUUCUCCAAUGUUUUCUUCCAGGUUUAUUUACUAUGAUAGGCUCACCAGGAAAGGAACCUGAAAAUUUAAAUCGUGUCAAUUUCCUUUUCACACAAUUCUCUCAUGAUGCAAUGGUUUCAGAGAACGCUGUUGUUAUUUGCCAGACAUGUGAUGUUUAGUAUGACUUGAACUAACAUAACAUGCAUAAUACGUUUAUUGAGUACAUGAAGGUUGGUUUCUUUGAAUCAUUUUGGAUUAGCCUGUUUGCAAAGGCUAUUAUCAUUCCACCACUCAGUGAUUUAUGAAUAUCUCCCAUUCAUUUGAUGUGAGUUCCCUGCAACCACACACGAUAUUUCCCUUACUCCGUUUUCGGUAAGAUAUGGGAAACUAAACAUUCAAGGAUAUUGUUCCCACAAGUGGAGAGACUGAAAAAGUCGCGCGCGUUGCUCUCCNNNNNNNNNNNNNNNNNNNNNNNNNNNNNNNNNNNNNNNNNNNNNNNNNNNNNNNNNNNNNNNNNNNNNNNNNNNNNNNNNNNNNNNNNNNNNNNNNNNNNNNNNNNNNNNNNNNNNNNNNNNNNNNNNNNNNNNNNNNNNNNNNNNNNNNNNNNNNNNNNNNNNNNNNNNNNNNNNNNNNNNNNNNNNNNNNNNNNNNNNNNNNNNNNNNNNNNNNNNNNNNNNNNNNNNNNNNNNNNNNNNNNNNNNNNNNNNNNNNNNNGAGGCCGAACAGGUGAAGCCCGCCUCGGUGGGCGGCGGCAUCAGGGCAGUCUAUUCCCGCGGCAACUCAUCGCCCUGGACGGCGGAGCCCGCUCGCGGCACGGUGGCGAAAGUCGGCGCGUUGGAUCCCACGGUGGACCCCUCGUCAGCGUGGAGAGAUGCUUGUGUGUGGCUGACCGGGGUCGAGCACGAGGGAUUCGGGCCUUGUUCGCCGUAUCAAUCUCGCGACGACACCUAUGUCUUCAGCUGGUGCGGUCAGGGUGGUGACCCGGGCUGGCGGCGGCGACCGGUUCCUCCAUGGCUGGUGGGUUAAGUCCUUGACCUGGACGACCAUGUGACGAUGGGUGGUGGCAGAGGCCGCAGAACUAGCGUGCCAUCCAGAUCCAUCUCGGCGUGGCCUUGGCCGGCAGGCGAUGCGUGCAGGGACCGAUCUGGGGCGGCUGGAGGCCCUAUGCCGACGUUCCAGCGAUAGCUUACGUCUCCAUGGCGACGCAACUUCUAGUGAAAAUGUGCUGACUGCGGUCAUGGAAGAUGGUGGCAUCUCUAAUGUCGUUUCCUUCUUCGAGGCAUCGUCGUUUGUAAGCUGUGUCACUACGCUCGGGAUGUUCCGGGGGGAACUCUAUUUCUGGGUAUCCCGGAUCAGACGAUGACGGUGCCUUCAGCGCCAUUCUCCCUCCUAGGGGCAUUGUUCUGGAGCAGGUGCCGACUGGAAGAGACAAGUGGAGGAGCGGUGUUACAUCUACCGCAAGGAUGACGCAGGGUCUCGGUGGCGUGGCAAGGCAGAGUGUCGGCGACGAGCGCCCACGCUAGAUGGUUGAGCUAUCUGGUGUCGAGAUGGCCUGGCGAGAUGAAUACGUUGAUCGCUCCUGAAGGUGGGACAGCAGAACAUGGCGGUGGCUUAAUCUAAAGUGUGUGCAUGCUGUGCGCGCAAAGGGUCUAGCUAGACCAGUUGGUGCUCUCGAAUUGCCGGCAGACAUCUUGGUGAGGUGACCGGAAUAUAUGAUGUGUGUUGAUAAGUGGUCAGGGCACGGCAUUAAAGCUUGUAGGUGUAACGACAAUAGUUUCUAGGGAGGUGGCUUUGCCUUGAUCCAUAUAUUUGUUUUGUUUGGUUCCGUUGAAUAAUAUAAUAAAAUGGUUGUGUGCAUGGCCCGAUGCAUAGACUAGGGGUAAUCGUCUUUUUCGAAAAAAAGUAGAAUGGUACAGUCACACCAUUUUGCCAGUGACAUGCUAAAAAUGGCAUGAUAAACAAUUCCUGAAUGAUAAAUCACAUGGUGACAGUAUAUCUAUUUUAUAGGAAGAGCUGGAUAGAUUAGAGUAUACUGCCCCAGGAUUUUAAAGUGAGUGCGAGAGUUCAGAUUUAUUUACAUGUUUAGCUUCAGAGCUUCAGAACGUCUUUUUUUCACGAAUACACAAAGCUUGAAUAUCUUUUAUUGAUAGAAGAAAGAGAAUGAGUACAACAGAGGAUACAACACAUGGCAUGAACCCAAAGAGGCAUGAUCAUGGAACCCGGAGUAGAGAGACAAGGGGUGCUCAGCCCGAAUAGGGAAAUGACACAACUACACCCACAAAUCCUAAACAGAGAGGCAGGCCGAACAAGCACGGCGUCGAACAUCUCAAAAUCCAACACCAGGGACACCACGAGCGAACAAGAUAGCGCCUUCAGGAAGGGGUGCGACGUCGUGACACCGCCGCCAUCCGAUCCGAGGAACCGGAUCUAGGGUUUCCCCCAGCGCUCAAAGAGGGGCACGGAUAAAAGCCAUGGCAAAUAACUCACGAGUGUCGCCUCUGCCAACAUCGGCAAGAAGAGCAUGGAUUUCGCCUGGCCCAAGUCCGAGCAAUCCCAUAGCUGCCAAAUCAGGAUCCGAAGAUGAGGAAGACAAUCCGCUAGUCAACCACCGUCCCAGUACGGAGGUGGUGGGGCUGCACCUGCUGCCAAAAGAACACGAGCUUUGGAAAUGACAUGCCGUGGGUGUCGACGGGGUCGGGGAGGCAGCGUGGUAGACAGCUUGCAUGGAGGGUGGGAUGGUGACCGGCGCCGCUGACGAGAUGGAGCCGGAAGGGAGCACAAGUCCGAGCUGCCGGAGGUGAAGCCGCCAGAACACCGGCAAACCGAAGAUGCCGGAAGGGGACGCAGCGACCGGGGUGUUGGGGCUGAAAUUGAAGGAAAUAUGCCCUAGAGGCAAUAAUAAAGUUAUUAUUUAUUUCCUUAUAUCAUGAUAAAUGUUUAUUAUUCAUGCUAGAAUUGUAUUAGCCGGAAACAUAAUACAUGUGUGAAUACAUAGACAAACAGAGUGUCACUAGUAUGCCUCUACUUGACUAGCUCGUUAAUUAAAGAUGGUUAUGUUUCCUAACCAUAGACAUGAGUUGUCAUUUGAUUAACGGGAUCACAUCAUUAGGAGAAUGAUGUGAUUGACUUGACCCAUUCCGUUAGCUUAGCGCACGAUUGUUUAGUAUUCUGCUAUUGCUUUCUUCAUGACUUAUACAUGUUCCUAUGACUAUGAGAUUAUGCAACUCCCGUUUACCGGAGGAACACUUUGUGUGCUAUCAAACGUCACAACGUAACUGGGUGAUUAUAAAGGUGCUCUACAGGUGUCUCCACAGGUACUUGUUGGGUUGGCGUAUUUCGAGAUUAGGAUUUGUCACUCCGAUUGUCGGAUAGGUAUCUCUGGGCCCACUCGGUAAUGCACAUCACUUAAGCCUUGCAAGCAUUGCAACUAAUGAGUUAGUUGCGAGAUGAUGUAUUACGGAACGAGUAAAGAGACUUGCCGGUAACGAGAUUGAACUAGGUAUUGAGACACCGACGAUCGAUUCUCGGGCAAGUAACAUACCGAUGACAAAGGGAACAACGUAUGUUGUUAUGCGGUUUGACCGAUAAAGAUCUUCAUAGAAUAUGUGGGAGCCAAUAUGAGCAUCCAGGUUCCGCUAUUGGUUAUUGACCGAAGACGUGUCUCGGUCAUGUCUACAUAGUUCUCGAACCCGUAGGGUCCGCACGCUUAAAGUUUCGAUGACAGUUAUAUUUUGAGUUUAUAUGUUUUGAUGUACCGAAGGUAGUUCGGAGUCCCAGAUGAGAUCACGGACAUCACGAGGAGUCCCGAAAUGGUCGAGACAUGAAGAUUGAUAUAUUGGACGACUAUAUUCGGACACCGGAAUGGUUCCGGUGGUUAUCGGAUAUAUACCGGAGUACCGGGAGGUUACCGGAACCCCCUGGGGGUUUAAUGGGCCUACAUGGGCCUUAGUGGAGAAGAGGAGAGGCGGCUAGGGCAGGCCGCGCGCCCCCUCCCCCUCUAGUCCGAAUUGGACAAGGAGGGGGGCGGCGCCCCCCCUUUCCUUCCUCUCUCUCUCCUCUUUCCCCCUUCUCCUAAUCCAACAAGGAAGGGAAGGGAGUCCUACUCCCGGUGGGAGUAGGACUCCUCCUGGCGCGCCCCUCUCCUGGCCGGCCGCCUCUCCCCCUUGCUCCUUUAUAUAAGGGGGCAGGGGGGCACCCCAAAGACACAACAAUUGAUCAUUGAUCUUUUAGCCGUGUGCGGUGCCCCCCUCCACCAUAGUCCACCUCGAUAAUAUCGUAGCGGUGCUUAGGCGAAUCCCUGCGUCGGUAGAACAUCAUCAUCGUCACGACGCCGUCGUGCUGACAAAACUCUCCCUCAACACUCGGCUGGAUCGGAGUUCGAGGGACGUCAUCGGGUUGAACGUGUGCUGAACUCGGAGGUGCCGUGCGUUCGGUACUUGAUCGGUCGGAUCGUGAAGAAGUACGACUACGUCAACCGCGUUGUGCUAACGCUUCCGCGUUCGGUCUACGAGGGUACGUGGACACACUCUCCCCUCUCGUUGCUAUGCAUCACCAUGAUCUUGCGUGUGCGUAGGAAUUUUUUUGAAAUUACUACGUUCCCCAACAGUGGCAUCCGAGCCAGGUUUUAUGCCUAGAUGUUAUAUGCAUGAGUAGAACACAAGUGAGUUGUGGGCGAUACAAGUCAUACUGCUUACCAGCAUGUCAUUCUUUGGUUCGGCGGUAUUGUUGGAUGAAGCGGCCCGGACCGACAUUACGCGUACGCUUACGCGAGACUGGUUCUACCGACGUGCUUUGCACACAGGUGGUUGGCAGGUGUCAGUUUCUCCAACUUUAGUUGAACCGAGUGUGGCUACGCGCGGUCCUUGAGAAGGUUAAAACAGCACUAACUUGACGACUAUCGUUCUGGUUUUGAUGCGUAGGUAAGAAUGGUUCUUGCUCAGCCCGUAGCAGCCAUGUAAAACUUGCGACAACAAAGUAGAGGACGUCUAACUUGUUUUUGCAGGGCAUGUUGUGAUGUGAUAUGGUCAAGACAUGAUGCUAUAUUUUAUUGUAUGAGAUGAUCAUGUUUUGUAACAGAGUUAUCAACAACUGGCAGGAGCCAUAUGGUUGUCGCUUUAUUGUAUGCAAUGCAAUCGCCCUGUAAUGCUUUACUUUAUCACUAAGCGGUAGCGAUAGUCGUAGAAGCAUAAGUUGGCGAGACGACAACGAUGCUAUGAUGGAGAUCAAGGUGUCGCGCCGGUGACGAUGGUGAUCAUGACGGUGCUUCGGAAAUGGAGACCACAAGCACAAGAUGAUGAUGGCCAUAUCAUAUCACUUAUAUUGAUUGCAUGUGAUGUUUAUCUUUUAUGCAUCUUAUCUUGCUUUGAUUGACAGUAGUAUUAUAGGAUGAUCUCUCACUAAAUUAUCAAGGUAUAAGUGUUCUCCCUGAGUAUGCACCGUUGCGAAAGUUCUUCGUGCUGAGACACCACGUGAUGAUCGGGUGUGAUAGGCUCUACGUUCAAACACAACGGGUGCAAAACAGUUGCACACGCGAAAUACUCAGGUUAAACUUGACGAGCCUAGCAUAUAACAGAUAUGGCCUCGGAACACUGAGACCGAAAGGUCGAGCGUGAAUCAUAUAGUAGAUAUGAUCAACAUAAAUGAUGUUCACCAUUGAAACUACUCCAUCUCACGUGAUGAUCGGACAUGGUUUAGUUGAUAUGGAUCACGUGCUCACUUAGAGGAUUAGAGGGAUGUCUAUCUAAGUGGGAGUUCUUAAGUAAUAUGAUUAAUUGAACUUUAAUUUAUCAUGAACUUAGUCCUGGUAGUAUUAGCAUAUCUAUGUUGUAGAUCAAUAGCUCGCGAUAUUGCUCCCCGUUUAAUUUUUAUAUGUUCCUAGAGAAAACUAAGUUGAAAGAUGUUAGUAGCAAUGAUGUGGAUUGGAUCCGUGAUCUGAGGUUUAUCCUCAUUGCUGCACAGAACAAUUAUGUCCUUGAUGCAGCGCUAGGUGACAGACGUAUUGCAGGAGGACAUGCAGACGUUAUGAACGUUUGGCUAGCUCAAUAUGAUGACUACUUGAUAGUUUAGUGCACCAUGCUUAACGGCUUAGAAUCAGGACUUCAAAGAUGUUUUGAACAUCAUGGACCAUAUGAGAUGUUCCAGGAGUUGAAGUUAAUAUUUCAAGCAAAUACCCUAGUUGAGAGAUAUGAAGUCUCCAACAAGUUCUAUAGCUAAAAGAUGGAGGAGAAUAGCUCAAGAAGUGAGCAUGUGCUCAGAUUGUCUGGGUACUACAAUCACUUGAAUCAAGUGGGAGUUAAUCUUCCAGAUAAAGAUAGUGAUUGACAGAAUUCUCUAGUCACCAUCACAAAGUUAGUAUAACUUCGUGAUGAACUAUAGUAUGCAAGGGAUAACGUAAACGAUUCCCGAGCUUUUCAUGCUGGUGAAAUCAGAAAUCAAGAAAGAGCAUCAAGUGUUGAUGAUUAACAAGACCACUAGUUUCAAGAAAAUGGCAAAGGGAAAGAAAGGGAACUUCAUGUAGAACGGCAAGCAAGUUGCUGCUCAAGUGAAGAAGCCCAAGUUUGGACCUAAGCCUGAGACUGAGUGCUUCUACUGCAAAAGGACUGGUCACUGGAAGCAGAACUACCCGAAAUAAUUGGCGUAUAAGAAGGAUGGCAAAGUGAACAAAAGUAUAUUUGAUAUACAUGUUAUUGAUGUGUACUUUACUAGUGUUUAUAGCAACCCCUCAGUAUUUUAUACUGGUUGGCAACCUCUGCUUGCCUCUGCGAAGGGCCUAUCUUUUACUUUUAUGCAAGAGUCAUGGUGAUCUUCACCUUUCCUUUUUUUCAUUUUAUCCUUUGGCAAGUACCUCGUGUUGGAAAGAUUCUGAUAUAUCCAAUUGGAUGUAAGGCAUCAUGAACUAUUAUUGUUAACAUUACCCUUGAGGUAAAAGGUUGGGAGGCGAAUCUAUAAGCCCCUAUCUUUCUCUGUGUCUGAUUAAAACUUUGAACCCAUAAAUAUCGCGUGAGUGUUAGCAAUUGUGAAAGACUAAAUGAUAGUUGAGUAUGUGGAGUUUGCUAAAUCAAAGCUCUGACAUAGACUCUUCCUGAAAAUAAGAUGAAUUGUAAUUGUUUGAUGACUAAUAACACGGCUUGUUAGUUUUCAAGAAAGUUUAUGAUCUAUACUUUAACAUGUGAAUAGCUUGUUACUUGAUCAUGAAAAGUUCUAUGAGUUGAGCUACUGUUAUGACAUAUGAUGAUGCUAGAAAAAGUGAUUGAAAUUAUCAUUGAUCAAACUUGUGCACCUGCUAGCAUUCACACUUCAUAAAUUCUUUCUUUUAUCAUUUACCUACUCGAGGAUGAGCAGGAAUUAAGCUUGGGGAUGCUGAUACGUCUCCAACGUAUCUAUAAUUUAUGAAGUAUUCAUGCUAUUAUAUUAUCUGUUUUGGAUGUUUAUGGGCUUUAUUGAACACUUUUAUAUUAUUUUUGGGACUAACCUAUUAACCUAGAGCCCAUUGCCAGUUUCUGUUUUUUGCUUGUUUUUGAGUUCUACAGAAAAGGAAUACCAAACGGAGUCCAAUGGACGUCCCAAUUUUUGACGAUUUUUUAUGGACCAAAAGGAGACCCCGGAGCAAAAGGGUUGGGACAGGAGAGUCCCGGGCUGCCCACGAGGGUGGGGGGCGUGCCCUCCCCCCCUGGGCGUGGGCCCCUGCCUCGUGGACAACCCGGAGACCCCCCUGACAUGAGACCUACGCCAAAAAAUCCUAUAAAUACUGAAACCUCCAGAAAGCAGAAUAGAUCGGGAGUUCCGCCGCCGCAAGCCUCUGUAGCCACCAAAAACCAACCGGGACCCUGUUCCGGCACCCUGCCCGAGGGGGUAUGUCGGUGUCAAAACCGGCGGAUCUCGGGUAGGGGGUCCCGAACUGUGCGUCUAAGGCGGAUGGUAACAGGAGGCGGGGGACACGAUGUUUACCCAGGUUCGGGCCCUCUCGAUGGAGGUAAUACCCUACUUCCUGCUUGAUUGAUCUUGAUGAUAUGAGUAUUACAAGAGUUGAUCUACCACGAGAUCGUAGAGGCUAAACCCUAGAAGCUAGCCUAUGGUAUGAUUGUUUUUGUCCUACGGACUAAACCCUCCGGUUUAUAUAGACACCGGAGGGGGCUAGGGUUACACAGAGUCGGUUACAAGGGAGGAGAUCUGCAUAUCCGUAUUGCCAAGCUUGCCUUCCAUGCCAAGGAGAGUCCCAUCCGGACACGGGACGAAGUCUUCAAUCUUUUGUCUUCAUAGUCCAACAGUUCGGCUAAAGUAUAUAGUCCGGCUGUCCGAGGACCCCCUAAUCCAGGACUCCCUCAGUAGCCCCUGAACGAGGCUUCAACGACGAUGGGUCCGACGCGCAGAUUGUCUUCGGCAUUGCAAGGCGGGUUCCUCCUCCGAAUAUUCCAUAGAAGAUUUUGAACACAAGGAUAGUGUCCGGCUCUGCAAAACAAAUUCCACAUACCACCAUAGAGAGAAUAAUAUUUCCACAAAUCUAAUCUACUGACACAUUCUGCAGCAUGACAUCACACCAUGGCCCGGUCAUUAUUCGGACCGUUUUUCUUAACCAGCCACUGCACAUAUCGCGAGGCGGUUUUCUUGGCACGUCUUGUCGAAGCAGAGAUCGUGUCCCCCUAUCACGGGAUUGUCAUCAAUACGGGUGUGGGUAACCUAACCGCGCCAUCAAUUACAGCUCUUGGGGAAUAAGCGAGUUUACCAGGCAGGUGGGGAGGCGCAUAGUUCCUUCCGCCCUUAUAAAGAGACAAGGAUUCAUCUUUUUCACCCACGCCCUCUUCCUCCUUGCUCAUCCGUUCUUGCGCACUUGAGCUCCAACACCCAAGUUCGCAUUCUCUCCUCAAACCACUCCAAGCAUGUCCGGAGCAGGAGGCAAGUGGAUGGUCUCCUCCGUUACGAAGGAGGACAUCACAAGGCUAUGGGGAGCCGGAUACCUGGCCGCGGAUAUCGCGCACCGGCUACAAGAUGCGGGGCAGAUCGUCCCUACUCCAGAACCCCAUGAGAGGGUGAUAUUUCUUACCCACUUUGUCCGCGGACUGGGAUUUCCCCUCCACCUGUUUGUCCGCGGGCUCAUGUUCUACUACGGGCUGGACUAUCACGAUCUGGCCCCCAAUUUCAUCCUCAACAUCUCGGCGUUUAUCGUCGUGUGCGAGGCCUUCCUCCGCAUCAAGCCCCACUUCGGCCUGUGGCUGAAGACCUUCAACGUUAAACCGAAGGUGGUGGCCGGCCAGCAAGCGGAGUGCGGAGGCGCCAUGGUGGGCAAAAUGCCCAACGUCACCUGGCUAGAAGGCUCCAAUGUGGAGACCGUAAAGGGGUGGCAAUCGGGGUGGUUCUACAUCACCGAGCCGCGCGACACCAACUGGGUAGCGGCCCCCGAAUUUUUAUCCGGAAUCCCCAUGCGGCUCACCUCCUAGAAAGAGAAGGGCCUAUCCUGGGGUUCCUCGGUAGAGCUGACCGGACCCCAGACCUGCGUCAAAAACAUGAUGAGCAAGAAAAUCAAGCUUGUCAACAUGGUCCAAGUCAUGCUCUUCCGCCCGAUCCUCCCGUGUCAAAGACGGGCAUUCAAUUUGUGGGAGUUCGACCCGGCCGAGCACCAGACGCUGCGAGAGCUCUUCGACACGGCGCACAAGGACGUCUGGAAGGUGAUGUUCAAGGGCGCUGAGGUACCUCCUCCCCUUACCAAGGACCGCGGACUCAGCGCAAAGCGCCCUGCCAAUCCGGUAUGUCUUUUAUAUUUCAUAAGAUGUUCUUUUCCCCAGUAUAACCACACGCGGGAUCUAAGCCCCCACGCCAUUUAACAGGACUGGGUAGCGACAGCGGAGCAGAUCGAUUGUCCAGCCCCCCUGCCUGAAGAUCCAGCGGAUGCUCUCCUAACGGAGAUCCUGGUUUCGGCGCCUUAUGAGGUGCCGGAGAAGAAGGCCACGGGGACCAGGAAGGGUCUCCGGCGCAAGGUUAUAUCGGACUCAUCGUCCGAAAACACCGAGGCGCACUCCUCCCACGAAAACGGGGAGGAAGAGGAAAGUUCUCCCCCCCAGCCAGGGGGGACAGGACAAGGAAGGCUGCCCCAUCAGGGGAGGCCGAAGGGUCCAAGAAGGGAAGGACCCUCCUCCCGGACUGCUCCACAAAGGCCGCUUUUAGCGACGAGGAGUGGUUACCCAGGGACAAGCCCCUGGCAAAGUCGUGAGUAUCCGGAUACCAUAAUAAUUCUUGGUACGUCUUAUUGUACUGUUUCUUAUCACGCCGCGCAUGAUUAUGCAGUCCGUCCCGAGCCCAUAUCGACGUAUCUUCGUCGGAUGAUUCUUUGGGCCCGUCAGAUAUGAAUAGCGAUUCACUCCCGACUGCCUCCUCCCCCCGCCCUACGGACGACGCCGAGGUGUUGUCUCAAAGGGAACUAAACCAAGGGGAGACAGUUCCGGAGGCGCCCCAAGGCGACAUUCCAGGCGCUAGGUGCACGAGGGGCAAGACUCCCCUAGGCCCUAACACCGGGGGCAGUAAGUCUAGCCCCAAGCCGAAUACGGCGCCGGAACCUCCAGUGGUUCCGGAUUCUGUCAGGCAACCCCUCGCUAAGGGGGGUAAGCCGUCUGUGCCGAUGGCCUCUGUCCAUCCAGAGGCAUCGGACAACUUGCUAGAAGUGCUUCGCGGCGCUUCCAUUGACGAAGAGCACCGCACUAUUAUGAGUGCGGUAGUUAAGAAGGUUCAGUCCGCUAAGAGCGGACUGACUGAAGCCUGUGCCAACCUCCUAACCGGCUUUGAGGUAAGUAAUCAAAUUGUAAGAAAAUGUUACAGCAUAGACAGUAGCCCCUGAUGCUCUGUUUGGCGUUCGCGGAGAAAGGCCGAAUAGAGGAUCAAAUAAUAAUCGCAGGAGUCUAAUCAGAAUGUGUCUAUGUGAAUAAGCGGGCUUCACUGCUGGCCGCCGCCGCUCGUACUGCGGAGGUCACCGCACUGAAGCGGGACCUUGAGCGGUCCAAGGAAGAGCUCGGCCUUACCAAGAGGCAGCUCGAAGAGAACAAAGGUAAGUGACACCCCGUCUGAAUAUUGGUAAAGAAAAAUUUGGUUUUGGAAUAAUAGGAUCCUCAUGAAUUUUGCUAGGGGCCACGACCGAAGUGGCGGCCCUGCAGAAGGCGCUAUCUGAGGCCGAAGACAAAGCGGCCAAGGAGCACAUCGAGCGAGAGAAGCAAGAGGCCCGAGUAGGCGAGGUGCGGCAAGAGCUCCAGGCUCUCGUCAAGAAACACGAGUCCUUGGAGCUUGACUCUAUGACGCAAGGGUCCGAGCUUGCGAAGGCCCUCGAAAGCGCACAACAUGCCAAGGCCAAAGCCCAAAAGGCCCUCCAGGAAAUUUAGGCGGUUAAGAAGAUAGCGGCGGGUAAGGCAUUCAUUAUGCAAAGCAAGCAUGUGAAGGAAACUUUCUUUUUACUUACCCGAGUUCGGAGUUCUCCAGAAGCGUUCGCAGAUCUACCCCGCAGUGUGUCGGAUGCCACGGAGUUCUACCGGGCCGAGGAGGGGAGCUCGGCGGAGAAGUUGUUCUGGUCUCAGUAUACUGGGACCGAACAUCCAAUGCCCUUGAGCGACCAGUUGAAGCAACUGGUCGAGCUUCACAAGGCGGCCGAACAGGCCAUGAAGGGUCUUAUGGUCUGGAUGUGGCAUGGCGACCCCUGCCUGGUAGCUACUUCGGUCUGGUGAGGCGGCUUGUGAAUGCCUGCACACGGUUUGAAGUCAUAAAGCGGUCCGUCUGCAUUGAGGGUGCGCGCAGGACUUUUGCCCGGGCGAAGGUGCACAGGGCGAAGCUGGACGCCGAAAAGCUGGUGAAGGAGGGGCCGCCGGAGGGCAAGGAGCAUCGCCACCCCGAAAAGUAUUAUGAUAGUGUCCUGAAGGGUGCUCGCCUUGUGGCGGAGGAAUGUGCUAAGGAUGUAAUAUUUGAAUGAAUGUACUCAUGUGAUCCUGUAAUAUGAAACGAGUUCAUUUGCGUACGCAAUGCUUGUUAAUUUAAAAUAUUACCUUCUAUGCGGCCGUUUAUAAAAUCUGAGAGUUGGCCAGUCGUCGGCUUCUGCCCCCAUGUAACUAGUACUAAGGUGUUCGGGGUAAACCUGAGCACUCUUUAUCCCAAUUUUGGGUCCUUCGAAGGAGGUGUUUAGCACAAUGAACCAGGCAAUCGGACUAUAAAGCUUUAUCACUCUCACUUAGCCAUAGAAGUCUACAAUUUUAAAUUUUGGCGAAGCCCCUAGUAUUUCGAAGGCCGAAUUUGGGGCACUAUAUACGCCUAAGUCGGGCAAGACGACUCCUUGCCCGAAGCGGAAAGAGACUUUAAGGACUUGAGACCUCUCGAACAGCGACCAGCUCUCGCCUCAUUAUGACAGUCAGUUUUCGGCUUUCUCUACUGAGGUGCUCGUCCGGAAGAACCGGGACACAAUCGCAGUAGUUCUCCCAAGGCUACCUUAGCCGAUAUUGCGGAACGUAAGGUACCAAAACAUGGGAGCCGGGCAAACCCAACUAUUGACCCAAGACAUGAUUCGGAGCUGGUGCAUAUAAUUCUAUAAGUUCGGGGUGCCGCACUGUCGAAAGUGUUCGGACUUCUCACACUGUAUUAUGGGGUAUACUAAAGCCCCUGGCGCACUGGUCAUACCAGGAUGUACGGGUGCAAUUUGUCGUAAAUAAGCAGACAAGGAAAAAAAAGAAAGGGGAAUGCAAUAAUAGACUAACGAUAUGCAUUGUUAUUAAAUAAUACGUCAAAGCGACGGAUACAAGUAGUGCAAUAAGCAAAAAAUAAGACUAUUUGACAUGUCCUAUCCAAGGGCAAGCUGCGUAUGGGUAUGUAAAACAGGUAUUUCGAUCGUUAUCAGAGACCACCUAGGGAUUCCCUUGUACGUCAGAGCGUCUUGCUUCCUUGGUAUUUCCUUACCGCGAUGGGUCCAACAAUUAGAUUGCCGAAAAGGGCUUCCAGAGAGUAAGGUCCUGAAAGAGAGAAAAUGAUAAAGGUAUAUGGCCCCUGGGGCGGUUGAGCCACCUUGUGGGACGUGCCGUAGCUGUGCCUCCGCCUAUGCCCAUGGUAUCUUGAGUGCGUAGUUAUGUACGCGCGGCGCAAAUUUCGCCACUUGACUGGGACUAGGACGGAGGCCGAAUUGCUAGGCGAGCUCAAAACGUGCAUGGCGAUCCUCCUGCGGGGUACCCCGGACUCGCUUGAAGGUGUCCGGGGUCUUUUUCGCCGAAUUGGCGGUUUGCCUAUUAAGGCUGCUUUGCGCUUCUGCUGCGAGGGCUGCAGUGUGCUCCUCCGUGCGGAGCGAGCGCUCUGUGUUUCCAUUAACUGUUAUAACCCCGCGUGGUCCUGGCAUUUUGAGUUUGAGGUAUGCAUAAUGCGGUACCGCAUUGAAUCUGGGAAAUGCGGUUCGUCCGAGCAGUGCGUGAUAGCCGCUGCGAAAGGGGACGAUGCCGAAGAUUAACUCCUCGCGUCGAAAAUUGUCCGGAGAUCCGAAGACCACUUCCAGUGUGAUUGAGUCCGUGCAACAGGCCUCUACACCUGGGAUUACACCUUCAAAGGAGGUUUUGGUGGGUUUGAUCCUCGAGGGGUCUAUGCCCAUUUUGCACACUGUAUCCUGAUAGAGCAGGUUCAGGCUGCUGCCACCGUCCAUAAGGACGCGAGUGAGGUGAAAUCCGUCAAUGAUGGGGUCAAGGACCAAUGCGGCAGAUCCGCCAUGACGGAUACUAGUGGGGUGGUCCCUGCGAUCGAAGGUGAUCGGACAAGAGGACCAUGGGUUCAACUUUGGGGCGACUGGCUCCAUAGCAUAGACGUCCCUUAGUGCACGCUUCCGUUCCCUCUUGGGAAUAUGGGUUGCGUAUAUCAUGUUCACCGUUUUCACUUGUGGAGGGAACCUCUUCUGUCCUCCAAUGUUCGGCGGCCGAGGCUCCUCCUCGUCGUCGCUAUGGAGCCCCUUGUCCUUGUUUUUGGCAUUUAACUUGUCGGCCUGCUUGAAUACCCAGCAUUCUCUGUUGGUGUGAUUGGCUGGCUUAUCGGGGGUGCCAUGAAUUUUAACGAGCAAUCGAGUAUACGGUCCAAACUGGACGGGCCCGGAUUGCUUGUUUUGAACGGCUUCUUCCGCUGACCGGAUUUAGAGCCACUGAAUCCGGCAUUGACUGUCGUGUCUUCGGCGUUGUCGCCGUUGUUGUGGCGCUUGUGUCUGUUGCGACGUGGUCUGCCAAUAGUAUCUUUGGCGUCUGAAUUGCCGGGAUUUCUUGAUGUGCUGUUGCUGCGAGCUAGCCAGCUGUCCUCGCCCGCGCAAAAGCGGGUCAUGAGUGUCGUGAGGGCUGCCAUGGACUUCAGCUUCUCUUGGCCGCGGUGUCAGGCGAGCCACUCGUCCCGGAUGUUAUGUUUAAAUGCCGCUAAGGCCUCGGCAUCCGGACAGUCGACAAUUUGGUUCUUUUUAGUUAGGAACCGAGUACAGAAUUUCCUGGCCGAUUCCCCUGGCUGUUGGGUUAUGUGGCUCAAGUCAUCAGCAUCUGGUGGUCGCACAUAAGUGCCCUAGAAGUUGUCAAGGAAUGCGUCUUCCAAAUUCUCCCAACUGCCAAUGGAGUUUGCUGGCAGGCUAUUCAGCCAAUGUCGAGCUGGUCCUUUGAGUUUUAGUGGGAGGUACUUGAUGGCAUGUAGAUCGUCAUCGCGGGCCAUGUGGAUGUGGACGAGGAAAUCCUCGAUCCAUACCGCGGGGUCUGUUGUACCAUCAUAUGACUCAAUGUUCACGGGUUUGAAUCCUUCUAGGAAUUCAUGAUCCAUUACUUCAUCGGUGAAGCAUAGUGGGUGUGCAGCGCCUCUGUGCCGGGCUAUGUCACGACGCAGUUCAUACGAGUCUUGUCUGCUGUAUUCGGCCCCGCCGGAUUUGCUUUUAGUGUAUCCGGCAUGACGAUCAUCAUCACACAUUGGGGCGCGACCCCGUGAUCCGUAGAUCGAUCUUGUUUGUCCUGCUCUGUUUUCCUAUACGUCUCGCAGGUCCCGCGUGUUGCCCCAGGCCUUGGUAUUUAUGUUUGAAUGGCGGCGGGGUGCGGGCUGGACUUCGGGCUGAUAUGCCCCUCUGUCUCGGCCACGAGGUGGCCGAUCAGCCGCAUCAUACGCUGGUGAUGUAGGUUUUAAUGCUUCCUCCUCGAUUUGGGGUAGCAACCUGCGCUUUGGGUAACUCUUGGUUGGGCGCUCGAGUUCGUAUUCCUCUACCUCCAGGACUUCAGUCCAUCUAUCCGCUAGCAGAUAUUGAUCAGCUCGAAGCUGUUGUUGCUUUUUCUUCAGGCUGUUUGUUGUAGCUAUAAGCCGACGCUUGAAGCGCUCCUGCUUGACGGGAUCCUCAGGCACGAUAAAUUCUUCGUCGCCGAGGCUCACCUCGUCUUCGGAGAGAGGCAUGUAAUUGUCAUCCUCUGAUUCUCCGUCUGCUGCCUAUUCCGGAGGGCUAGCUUGUUCAUCCUCUCGCUCGAGGUCUGGCUGGAGGGGAUUGUCGUCGUCUUUGGCACUAUCCGGAGCGUUAUUGUCUCUUGUGCCGGUAUCGCUGCUUUUGCUAUGGCGGGACUUAGAGCGGCGCCGCUGACGUCGGUGCUUGGGUUGCUUCUUGGAGGGAUUAUCCUCGGUUGUCUUAUCGCCGUCGCCUUCUUUGGGGGUGUCCACCAUGUAUAUAUCAUAUGAUGAGGUGGCAGUCCAGCGCCCUGUGGGCGGUGGUUCCUGUUCGUCUCCUGUAUCGUCGUCCAUACCGUCGAUGUUUUCGGAGCCGAAAUCGAGCAUGUCGGUUAAAUCGUCGACAGUGGCUACUAAGUGGCUGGUGGGUGGGGAGCGAAUUUCUUCGUCGUCCGCAUCCCAUUCUAGCCAGACAUAGUUCGGCCAAGGGUCUCCUGACAAGGAGAGAGACCUCAAUGAGUUCAGCACGUCGCCCAGUGGUGAGUGCUGAAAGAUAUCCGCGGAGGAAAACUCCAUAAUCGGUGCCCAAUCAGAUUCGAUAGGCACAUACGCAGGCGGCUCAGAGCCCGUGGCCGGGGAUGAAUCCAGGUGUCCGGCGACACAGGUCUCAUAGGAGGUGAAGUCAGUAUUCGGCUCUAUCGCCACUCAGUGUGUGGCCUCCGAGGCGGGGUCCAUCCACCCGUCCUCGGACGGCGCAAUCGACUCCGGAUCUAGGGCCGGAGUAGCCAUGGGUGUGAUCUCCCGAACACCGUCCGGCGGCAGAGCUAAGUCGUGCUCGUCGUGACUGUGCGGCGCACCUGACAUGGGCUCGAAUCCGUCAAAGAUAAAGUCUCCGCGGAUGUUGGCACUGUAGUUUAAAUUUCCAAACCUGACCUGACAGCCAGGGGCGUAGCUCUCGAUCUGCUCCAGAUGGCCAAGCGAGUUGGCCCACAGUACGAAGCCGCCGAAUACAAAGAUCUGUCCGGGGAGGAAAACCUCACCCUGGAUCGCAUCGUUGGCGAUGAUUGAAGGAGCCAUCAAGCCUUUAUCGCGACGGCAGAGUGGAACUCUCAAUGAAAGCACCAAUGUCGGUGUCAAAACCGGCGGAUCUCGGGUAGGGGGUCCUGAACUGUGCGUCUAAGGCGGCUGGUAACAGGAGGCGGGGGACAUGAUGUUUACCCAGGUUCGGGCCCUCUCGAUGGAGGUAAUACCCUACUUCCUGCUUGAUUGAUCUUGAUGAUAUGAGUAUUACAAGAGUUGAUCUACCACGAGAUCGUAGAGGGUAAACCUUAGAAGCUAGCCUAUGGUAUGAUUGUUGUUGUCCUAGGGACUAAACCCUCCGGUUUAUAUAGACACAGGAGGGGGCUAGGGUUACACAGAGUCGGUUACAAGGGAGGAGAUCUACAUAUCCGUAUUGCCAAGCUUGCCUUCCACGCCAAGGAGAGUCCCAUCCGGACACGGGACGGAGUCUUCAAUCUUGUGUCUUCAUAGUCUAACAGUCCGCCUAAAGUAUAUAGUCUGGCUGUCCGAGGACCCCCUAAUCCAGGACUCCCUCAGGGUAUCCCUCACCGGUGGCCAUCUUCAUCAUCCCGGCGCUCUCCAUGACGAAGAGGGAGUAGUUCACCCUCGGGGCUGAGGGUAUGUACCAGUAGCUAUGUGUUUGAUCUCUCUCUCUCUCUCGUGUUCUUGAUUCAGCACGAUCUUGAUGUAUCAUGAGAUUUGCUAUUAUAGUUGGAUCUUAUGAUGCUUCUCCCCCUCUACUCUCUUGUAAUGGAUUGAGUUCUCCCUUUGAAGUUAUCUUAUCGGAUUGAGUCUUUAAGGAUUUGAGAACACUUGAUGUAUGUCUUGUCGUGCUUAUCUAUGGUGACAAUGGGAUAUCACGUGAUCCACUUGAUGUAUGUUUUGGUGAUCAACUUGCGGGUUCCGCCCAUGAACCUAUGCAUAGGGGUUGGCACACGUUUUCGUCUUGACUCUCUGGUAGAAACUUUGGGGCACUCUUUGAAAUACUUUGUGUUGGUUGAAUAGAUGAAUCUGAGAUUGUGUGAUGCAUAUCGUAUAAUCAUGCCCACGGAUACUUGAGGUGACAAUGGAGUAUCUAGGUGACAUUAGGGUUUUGGUUGAUUUGUGUCUUAAGGUGUUAUUCUAGUACGAACUCUAUGAUAGAUUGAACGGAAAGAAUAGCUUCAUGUUAUUUUACUACGGACUCUUGAAUAGAUCGAUCAGAAAGGAUAACUUUGAGGUGGUCUCGUACCCUACCAUAAUCUCUUCGUUUGUUCUCCGCUAUUAGUUACUUUGGAGUGACUCUUUGUUGCAUGUCGAGGGAUAGUUAUAUGAUCCAAUUAUGUUAUUAUUGUUGAGAGAACUUGCACUAGUGAAAGUAUGAACUCUAGGCCCUGUUUCCUAGCAUUGCAAUACCAUUUACGCUCACUUUUAUUAUUAGUUACCUUGCUGUUUUUAUAUUUUCAGAUUACAAAAACCUAUAUAUACCAUCCAUAUUGCACUUGUAUCACCAUCUCUUCGCCGAAUUAGUGCACCUAUACAAUUUACCAUUGUAUUGGGUGUGUUGGGGACACAAGAGACUCUUUGUUAUUUGGUUGCAGGGUUGUUUGAGAGAGACUAUCUUCAUCCUACGCCUCCCACGGAUUGAUAAACCUUAGGUCAUCCACUUGAAAGAAAUUUGCUACUGUCCUACAAAGCUCUGCACUUGGAGGCCCAACAACGUCUACAAGAAGAAGGUUUUGUAGUAGAUAUCAGGGGGAGGGGGGUGAAACCGCCCCGCCGCCGCCGUCCCCGAGCGCGGCGCGGCUUCGCUGGCCGGCCCUCCGGCGGCAGCGAUGCGGGGGGAGGGGGGCACUGGCGGAGGAAGGCUACCGGUGGCGAUGAAGGUUUCCCCCGUAUCGCCUGUUGCGGGCGACGCGGGGGCAGGGUUGACCAGCUCGAGGAUUUCGGCUGAGCUGUAGAACGUAUGAAAUAUUGAAGGAAAACAAAAACAUGAGAAUCAACAGAUAUUGGAGAAGUUGGUACAGAGUGGUACAUGGAAAGGAAAUUUUACUUUUACUGGAGGUUGAAUGAAGUUAUGUUUACACCUUCCAUUUCACUUUGUGGGCACUCCGAAGUUGCAAAGAAAAAAUAUAUAAAAUAUCAUCAUUCGUACGCAUUUAUAUGCAGGUAAUGAAAAUGGCUCCACCUAAUUAUAAGAUUAUUAAGCACUUUUAGUACCCGGGAGUCCCUGGUACUGUGAAGAUGAUAUUAAGACUAAUUAAUGGACAUGGAUUUGUUCUGAUCACACAAAGAUAGCUCAAACACCCAUCCGCUUACUUGCUUGCAUUUCAAAAGAUUGAUAACCACAUUUCAUCAUUUUUCCCCACUUCUCCACCUUGCUGGUGAUAUAUAUCCAGCUUCCGCAUAUAUGAUAUUUUUCACUCUAGCACUUUCAGCUUCUUUUUGAAAUGAAGAGUACUUUUCUUGCUGAUGCAGCAACAAUAGUAAGUCAGAGCUUUCUUAGGCCUUGUACAAUGCAAGGUGCUUUGAGAAAUAAACUAGGCUUUCCUUAAGCACCGAUACUUAUUUGUACAGGAUACUUUAUUAAUUUUUCUCACAAGAUCUUACAAAGUCAUACAACAGUAAGACUAAAGCCGCCGUCUAAGCAACAAACUGUCGCUACACCUAUCCAGUUGAUGAAGGGACGCAGAUAGCCUGGGCCUAAUACCAAACAGACAUCGCAUCCAAGCCUAACAUCUAAGACCUGAGACCCCAACCUAGCCACUUGCCGGGUCUGGGGCACACACUGGUCCGGCGUGCUCUCAGAGGCCGCCGCCGCCAACUGCCACCGCUCCAUCUUCAGAAUUGUACUGAUGCAUCAACCUUACUCGGUCUAGCUAUCGUCGACGCCACCACUGCGCCCAGCGGCACCUCCUCCCUGCCCGCAAACAACUGAGCACAUCGCGGUCGCCACUGAUACACCUCAGCACCAUGCUGCCAAGUACCACCAGCUGACACAGCUUGAAGUCCUUGGAAGAUCUUUCAUGCGUAGCACCUGCCGACCAAGUAUGACAAAGUGUAGCACCUGUCGGUCAGGCAUGACUUGACAUCUCCACCGAAGCUCCGUGCAAGACGAAGCCGCUCCACCUCCUGCCUCUGACUUCCAGCGCUGCUCCACAAACGAUGCUCCCAAGAGAGAAACGAGACAGCGGUGCCACAAUCGUCCGAUCUGGAACACCAGAUCCUAGAGUUUCCCGUGGAGCAGCACGAGUGGGUCGACAGUAGUUACACGAUGAUGCCUCCAUCAAGGUAACGACGAGAACGCCGCCAUCGCCUACCGUCGGCUCGAUUUUCACCGGCAACCAUGUCUCCCCUACUCGCAGUCGGGACUAGAUGAUGGAUCUCGAGAUCCGAUCACCAAGCCUCUGGCCGGCCAUCUCUGGAAGAAGAUGACCACCACGUCCACCAGCGUCACCACACCGGGCACGCGUUGCCGCCGGCACCCCCAUGGUGCCUAGAGGCCGACAAGCCCCGACGAACACCACGCCUCGCCAGCCGCCAUAGCCCAGGCCCAAGCACCACCAGAUCCAGAUCAGAUCGGGGUCAAGGGCCCCAAGCCGCAGCCGUCGCGGAGGCAGCACCACUAGACGGUGCCCUGCCCUCCACCCCGCUGUAGGAUCGAGUCAUCGCCGGAGCUCCGCCACGCCACGCCGCCAAGACGCCGCCGGAAGAACUCGCGCCGCCGCUAGGGGAGAGAGAGACGCGCUAGGGAGAGGCCCCGCCGCUGGCACUGCCUUGGCUUUGCCCGGCUGUGUCCCUCGGCGGCGGCGAGGGGGGAGGGAGGGUGGAGGAGGGCCGGCGGCGGAGGGGGCUAGGGUUCCCCCGAGUCGCCUCAGAGAGGGACGCAGGCGACGGGGUGAGAAAACUGAGAGAGUGGAUAUGGCCUUUACUCGAGCUCAUGGGGUGGCCCGACUGCUGGUGAGUGUUCUCGAUAUUGAGUUCGUGCCUGAUGUGGUUAAGUGGACAUAUAGGGGACAGAUUUUCAACCUCGAGAUUGAGUUUGAGGAUGCCGCUCUCUUCGCUGAGGCUAUCAAUGGGACUGAUGUAGAUAUGCACGAGGGUGAUGACAGCUCGGGUGCUAAGGAGGCACCGGUUGAUGAUGUUGGACGAGAGUUGUCCAACUAAUCGGGGCCCGUUCCUCAGACGCCCAGGGACGGGACGGCACCAUCCUCUUCGGUGCCUAUGAGUUCUCUGAGAUUUGGGUCGUUUGAGCCAGCUUCUGCUCCUCCCAGACUCUGGAGUGACCGGGUGGAGUCCGAUGACGUGUUUGAGCGCACGCUACCUACCCUGGAUUUUGUUGCUGCUGAUAGUCCCGUGCUUGGAGGUUUGGAGGGGAUUAUCUCUGUGCAGACCUCGGUAAGGGGAGGGGAGGCGGAGCUUGGGCAGGUGGCCCCUCUUUCCCCCGCUCUCCCUGCGGUGUCACCUCGGGAGACGGAGUCGACUAUGGAGGCUGUCCCUAGGGAGGGAGUCCAUGGCAGGUGGCCUCGGCUCCUUCUUCUCUUCUCGCGGUGCCGGAGCUGCAGAUGGCGGUUGUGCUUAGGGGAGGCGGUCCAGGGCAGGUGGCCUCGGCCCCCUCUUCACCUCUGGCGGCUAGGGAGGCCACACCCCCUAUGGCGCCGGAGACCUCUUCUAGCCAGAGGGCUGGGGCGGGAGGAGCGUACGGGCAGGCGGCCCACGCGCUUCCCUCUCCCGGCGCGCCAACGUCCCAGGGCCUCGGUUCGAGGUGGACGUCAGUGGGGCCGGGGAGGUCCCCGCCGCUGCCCCCGGCAGCUCCCGCCGACUCUUCGACGUGUGCAGCUUCGCGGUGUGCUGGGGGUGAGGCCGGUGGCUUUACUCCGAGCGGGGUCACUCGGGAGGAGGUCAUCGCCUUUGGAGGGAUUCUAGAUCCUGUCUCUGCGGGGCGACGGAUGAGCUGUCGUCUCUAGGAUCAUCCGGAGGUUGAUGACAUGCAGCAGCGGUGCGCCAUGAGGGCGGCCAAGCUUCGUGACAUUGAGGUCACUACUGGUAUGUCGGUCAACACUUCUAAUUCCAUUCUGCAUUUUUCUAAUAAUGAGAUUAUUAAUAAUUCAAAUCAAUUGGGAGUUUCACUAGGUAGUAAUGAUAGUGAAAUUUCUAACUUUGUAAAUGAUAUCCUGGAUUUGGAAGCGGAACGCGCUUUAGAAAUGAUUCAAAACUUAGCAGCGGUUAAACCCAUGAAUGAUGCAGAUAUCGAUGCGUUGGGGGUCAGGGUGCUCGAUAAUUUUUGUGCAGAUCUUGCACCAUCCAUUCCUGAGUCAGAGGAAGAGGAUAACACUUUUGAGGCUGCCGUAGAUCGAUCCAUGGAGCCCGGUUGUGAGGACUGGGUGGAGGAUCAAAACAAACCUAAACGCAAGUGGAAGCGGAAGAUCUACCCUGCUUCGGCGGUGCGUAGGAGUGCUAGGAUCCGUACUAUUAAAACAUUUCAUGAUGAAAUAUGAAAGGAAUCUUUUGGAAUAGCAGAGGUCUGAAAGACUUGGCUAAAAGAAGGUUUCUUGCAGAUGCGUCUAUCGAGCAUAGGUUGGAUUUUAUCACUCUCUCGGAAACUGGUAGAGAUAAUUUUUCGCCCCAGUUUCUCAGUACUUUAUCGGGAGGUGUUGAUUUCAAUUGGCACUGCCUGCCUCCGAGAGGAAGAUCGGGUGGGAUCUUACUUGGAGUGAGAUGCGAUUCGCUAGAAGUCUGAAGUGUAGUGAUGGGAGAUUUCACAAUUAAGUUCCGGGUUAGGUCGAAAGCCAACGGGUUUAAUUGGGCUCUGAUGGCGGUUAUGCUCCCGCGCAGCCCGAUCUCAAACCAGAGUUCUUGGCGGAUCUUGUUCAAAUUUGCGGCUCUGAGCAGCUCCCAAUCCUGGAUGGGGGUGAUUUCAACAUCAUUAGGAGGAGAGAGGAAAAGAAUAAUGAUAAUUUCGACGGCAGGUGGUCGUUUAUGUUUAAUACCAUUAUUGAAAGCUUGGAUCCUAGAGAGAUAGAGCUUUCGGGUAGAAAAUUCACCUGGGCUAAUACUUUGCCAAAUCCGACGUUUGAGAAGCUGGAUCGAGUCCUAGUGAGCGUCGAAUGGGAACAGAUAUUUCCUUUGGUAACGGUCCAGGCUCUUUCGCGUGGUAUUUCUGACCACACGCCUUUAUUUGUGGACUCUGGUGAGCCAACCCACAUGGGGAACAAAAACUCCUUUUCUUUCGAGCUGGCAUGGUUUGAACGAGAAGGCUUCUUGGAUAUGAUAGCCAGGGAAUGGGCUAAGGAUGCAGGAGGUAGGACUUCGAUUGAGCGCUGACAGAAUAAGAUAAGGCACUUGAGAAGUUUCUUGCGUGCGUGGGCUAAGCAUCUUAGUGGGGUUUAUAAGGUCGAAAAGGAAAGGCUCCUUACACUUAUUCAGUCUCUAGAUUUAAAAGCCGAGUCCACAAUUUUGCAAGCCACAGAGCUUCAUGAUAAACUGGAGGCGGAGAUGAGAUUGAAAGAGCUUCUCCGUGAAGAGGAAUUAAAGUGGGCGCUGCGGGCUAAGGUUCGCAAAGUUGUCCAGGGGGACGCGAAUACUCAAUUCUUUCACAUGAUCGCUAAUGGCAAGCACAGAAAGAAUAGAAUCUUUCAGCUUGAACCAAGAUGAAGGAACGAUUUUAGGACAGGAAAACCUAAAAUUAUACAUAACCGAAUACUACAAGCAGUUGUUUGGGCCUCUGGAGGAUAAUUGUGUAUCCCUGGAUGAGUCUAGGAUUGAGGAUGUGCCUCAACUUACUGCUGAUGAGAAUGAUAUUUUGAUUGCCCCUUUUUCGGGGAAAGAGGUGUUUGAAGCCAUUACACAGAUGAAAAACAAUAAGGCUCCAGGGCCGGAUGGAUUUCCGGCGGAAUUCUAUAAAAAGUGUUGGCAUAUUAUUAAGGGGGAUUUGCAACCAAUGUUCCAUGAUUUAUUCUCUGGACAGCUUCAGUUAUUUCACUUGAACUUUGGAAUGAUAACAUUGCUUCCUAAGAAAACAAAGGCUGUGAGAAUUGAGCAGUUCAGGCCGAUCUGUCUUCUCAAGGUUAGUUUCAAAAAUUUCACAAAGGUUGGGACUAAUAGGCUCACGCAGACUGCGCAUUCUGUGGUGCAGCAUUCCCAAACUGCUUUCAUGCCGGACAGAAACAUCCUAGAAGGGGUUGUGGUCCUUCAUGAAACGCUCCACGAAAUUCACACGAAAAAACUAGAUGGAGUUGUUUUCAAGGUGGAUUUCGAGAAAGCGUACGAUAAAGUCAAAUGGCCUUUCCUUCAACAGGCCUUACAUAUGAAAGGUUUUGAUGAAGCCUGGCGACGCCAGGUAGAAUCUUUCACGCAAAAAGGGAGUGUUGGAAUUAAAGUGAAUGACGACAUAGGUCAUUAUUUCCACACACAUAAGGGCCUGAGACAAGGGGUUCCGAUGUCUCCUAUUUUGUUCAACAUUGUAGUUGAUAUGUUGGCAAUUCUAAUAGGAAGGGCUAAGGAGGUUGGUCAGGUGGGUGGCUUGGUGUCUCAUCUAGUUGAUGGAGGUGUGUCUAUCCUACAGUACAGCGAGAAAUAUGAAGCUGGUGUUAUGCUUAUUUGAACAAUUGACCGGGUUAAAGAUUAACUUUCACAAAAGCAAAUUGUUCUGCUUUGGAAGAGCCAAUGAGGAACAAGAGGCUUAUAGGCAAUUGUUUGGGUGCGAAUUGGGGACCUUACCAUUUACGUAUUUAGGUAUACCAAUUCACCAUCGUAAGCUGACAAACACAGAAUGGAAGUGUAUCGAGGAUCUCUUUGAGAAGAAACUGAGUUGCUGGAAGGGCAAGCUCAUGUCAUACGGAGGCCGAUUAAUUCUGAUUAAUUUGGUUCUCACGAGUAUGCCUAUGUUUCUCUUGUCUUUGUUCGAAGUCCCAGUUGGAGUUAGGAAAAGGCUGGACUUCUAUCGAUCCCGAUUCUUCUGGCAGAGCGAUGAACUAAAAAGAAAAUACAGACUCACCAAAGGGAUAUUAUCUGUCGACCGAAAGACCAAGGGGGUCUUGGCAUUGAAAAUCUUGAGGUCAAGAACAGAUGUCUUCGCAGCAUGUGGCUGUCUAAGUUAUCUGUAGAGAUCGAUGCCACAUGGGCGCAGAUUCUUAGUAGUAAGUAUCUUCAUUCCAAAACUUUGUCCCAGGUGACAGCGAGGCCGACAGACUCACCUUUUUGGAAAGGGCUUAUGAUAGUCAAAUUAGCCUUUUUUAAUAGGACAAAGUUUAUUAUCGUCAAUGGCGCUAGCACGCGAUUCUGGGAGGAUACUUGGCUCGGAGAGACCCCCUUGCACUUCAAUACCCGUCUCUGUAUCGUAUUGUUCAACGACGUGAUGCUUUCGUUGCAACGAUACUUCAAUCCAUCCCCCUUAAUAUUUAGGUCAGGAGGACGCUAGCCGGUAAUCGUUGGGAAGAGUGGCUCCAUCUAGUGAGUAGACUGAUGGAGGUUCAGCUGUCUCAACAGCCCGAUCAAUUACGCUGGAAACUUACUAGGUCUGGAGAGUGUACAGUUAAAUCAAUGUAUCUCGAUGUGAUCAAUUCUAGCUCUAUUCCUAGUUCCAAAUAUGUUUCGACAGUCAAAGUUCCAUUGAAAAUUAAAGUGUUUACGUGGUUUGUACAUAAACAAGUCAUCUUAACCAAGGACAAUUUGGCAAAGCGUAACUGGACAGGACCUACUAAGUGUAGUUUUUGUGAUCGGGAUGAAACUAUCAAACACCUUUUUCUUGAUUGCUCGAUGGCCAAAGUUCUAUGUCGGACAGUCCACAUAGCCUUUGACAUUUCCGAGUUCUGUUAGCACGUUAUUUGGAACGUGGCUUAAUGGGAUAGAGUCCGAAACAGCGAGACACAUUCGCGUAGGAGUAUGUGCUUUAUUGUGGGCAGUCUGGAACUGCAGAAAUGAUUUGGUUUUUAACAGAACAACAAAUAUUCAUUUUUUGCAGGUUAUCUUCCAAGCCACUGCGUUGAUCCGUACGUGGUCACUACUCACUCCGACGGAGGCCAGGGAGCGUUUGGUUACUGGAUCUAUCCGGUGGGAGAUGGUAGCACGGGAUAUCUUCAACCGGUUUGAAUGGCGGUCAUGUAAUAGGAUAGGCAAUUAGUUUACCUAUCUUUCUUAUGCCGGCCGAUUGUGGCUUUUUGGCUAGUUUGUUAUUGGCCCUUUGGCUCUUUAUGAGCUUUCCUUUACUUUCGUUUGAGACUUUAAGACCUUGUUAAACCUAUUUGCUUUUUUAUAAAGUUGGCCGUAUGCAUCGUUCUGAUGCAGAGGCCGGGGAGCCCCCACUUUUCGAAAAAAAACCUCUUGUUAUCUUGUAUUCUUGUGUGACAAUGCUCGAAGAAUAUAAAAGGGCUAGGUGGAAAGACCCCCAUAUCGAAAACUUGCCUACCUACGAGUUUUAUAGACACAGAGCCUCAUUGGAUUGUACUAGAUGGAGCCUCCAGUGAGAGCUGAAGACGAGGCGAUGAGCACGGAGGAGCUGCUCCAAGCCCAGACGGAUCUCUACCACCACUCCCUAGCCUACAUCAAAUCUAUGGCGCUCGGUGCCGCCACAGAACUCAGCGUCGCCGACGCCAUCCACGGCCGUGGCGGUGCCAUCACCUUGUCUGACCUUGCGGCCGCGACCGGCGUCCACCCGACGAAAGUCCAACACUUCGGGCGGCUGAUGCGCGCGCUUACCGUCACUGGUGUCUUCACCUCGGAAGAAAAAGAAGGCGGUGGUGGUGCCCUGUACAAGCUCACUCGGAUUUCACGCCUCCUUCUCGGAGUCGGCAAGCGUCGGCUCUCCCCGAUGGUGCGUAUGCUUGUCAGCGAGGUCAGUUUCACUACUCCCAUGAGCAUCUGCGAGUGGAUCACCACUGAGACGCCGGCCAGGGCCAUGUUCGAGGCCCAUUUUGGCUCUACGCAAAAUGGGUUGUGGGAGAAGGACGACGCGUAUGGUGCCCCCUUCUACUCAGCAAUGGCUGCGGACAGCCGUCUCGUCAUGGAGGUUCUGCUGAGAGAGUGCAGCAGCGUCUUUGAGGCCGUUGCCGGCUCACUUGUCGAUGUCGGCGGCGGCAGCGGAGGAGUCGUGGCUGCCGCCAUUGCCACAGCGUUCCCUCACAUCAAGUGCUCCGUGCUGGACCUCCCCAACGUGGUAGCCGCGGCUGACGACACCACCAACGUGCAGUUUGUCUCCGGCGAUAUGUUUGACUACAUUCCACCAGCGGAUGCCGUUCUACUCAAGGUACGUACUUACAUAGUACUCCCUCCGUAAGGAUAUAUAAGAGCAUUUAGAUCAUUAUUAUUUUAGUGAUUGAUCCAAACGCACUUAUAUUUCUUUACAGAGGGAGUAGCACAUACAAAUGCAGCAAGCUAUCCAUUUCUUAUAUAUAUAAUGAACCAAAUUAAUCAACCAAUCCUUCCUAUAAAUUUUGUAGUGGAUUUUGCAUGACUGGGAAGACCAAGACUGCGUCAAGAUACUGCGCAAGUGCAGAGAGGCCAUCCGCACAAGAGGUGCUGGGGGGAAGGUGAUUAUAAUCGAUUUCGUCGUCGGUGCUGGUUCUUGCAAGGAGACGGAGACACAGGUUCUGUUUGAUCUUUACAUGAUGAUGGAGAAUGGGGCUGAGCGGGACGAGCAAGAGUGGAGCAAGAUUUUCUUUGAAGCUGGAUUUAGUGACUACAAGAUCAUGCCAGUCUUAGGCGCUCGUUCACUCAUUCAAGUAUUCCCAUGAAUUCUGGCGGUUUGAUGUCCAAAUGUACUUCCUGUUUCCAAAUGUUUGUUUGCUUUCACAUCAGAAUAAUGCCUAGGACUAUACUAUAUAGUCUCGACUUUGAAUCUGAAUAAUGAAACUGUUUGUUAUCCUACGUGUUGUUUUCGUUCAUAAUUCAUAUGCUCACAAUGAAAUACAGUCUGCUAUUUUUGUUUACAUUAAAUUAUACUUUACCUAGCAAUAUGGUAAACAGGCUCACUUAGCAGAGGCUGGCUUGUUCGCUUAUUCGCCGCCCUAGGAAUGCGAGCUCCUUGCCGAAAUGAAAUUCUAGUAGCACUGGUUACUAUCGGGUCCUGCAUGUUCGUCAUUUGUGCAAGUAAACACAAUGCAUACGAGUACUCUACUGAAUUGAACUUUUUUGUAUUGUUUUCAUUGGACCAUCCACUGUAUAGUAACAGAGUAUUUAUUGCACACAGACUAUUUUAUUCUUUCAACCCAUAGUUCAUCCACCCACACUUUUAGUCUGAUUCUAAAAUUUGUAACACUUUUAAAUUUUGAACUUGUUCUGAACAAGUAAAAUUCCAAAUUUGACACCAUAAUGAAACUUAUGUCAAAUGUGAGAUCAUAUGAAAUGAAACUGAAGUGAACCAAUAAUAAAAAAUGCAAAAAUAAUUUAAUAAACCAUAAUAAAACUUAUAUCAAAUUUGAGAUGAAACAUAGACGAAUUGUGGAUUGAAACAAUAACGAAAACAAGCUAAGGGGAAUCUAUGAAUAAAUAAUGAGAACAUGUAAAAUUACGAUGACACGGAAAUGAUAUCGUAUGGAAAAUAUGCUAAGAGAACACUUUCAUUGGCCAGCCCAACCAUGAAAGGUAAUUUAACAAAAUGAUAUGAAACUUAUUUGAAAGCUCGAAAAAUAGAAAUAAAACCAGAAUGAAAAUAAUAAUGAAACAUGUAAAAAUACGAUGAAACACAUAUGUAAAAAUAAGGCCGCGAGAUCGUCGUCCUCUGAGUUGGAAGUUUAUGGUGAAGGUGACGUGGGAUCCAUUGCAGGCGCGCCCGGGGUCUGGUGUGGUUGUGGAACACAUAUGUGGAGAUCAUAGUAGCGGUGAAUGACGAACGUGAGCGCUCCGAAGAAUAUGGUGCAGGAAGGAGAAGUCGGUCUGUUAGUGUAGAACCGGCCUUCUGCGAUGAAGGUGAGGAAGCCGAUGGUUAAGCCGUGAGAUUGCCAGCCGUUAUUGAGGAUCUGAUCUAGAGUCGGUCCCCAGCUGACAUAGCCCCUUCCUGUGCUAACUGAUGGUAUGGGAAUUUGCGAGUAUCCUUUGUAGGGUGGCGAACAUGUCCGGAAGUACAAGAAGGGAGUUCGCCAAGGGGGUUUUCCAGAUUUGCGCCCUCAUGGCGAGGAAAUACCUUACGUCCUGCUAUUUGUUUUCUAUUGAUGAUGGAGAACGUUGAGCGAGGGGUUACAAGGGACAUAAAUAUGGCCAUAGGAGUAUAGUCUACGGGAGUAGAUUGGAAUCGCUACCCCUAUCCUCACCUUAUAUAGGUGACGGGGCUAGGUUUUACAUGGCGCCUACAUGAUCUCACACUGCCAUCAUCUUGGCUUCCACCCAAGAUGGUCUUCUGGCUUCCAGGACCCCCGGGCUGUCUCUUGAUGCCAGACCUCCUUCAAGACUUUUGGGCCCGAAGGCCGGCCCACUAUUGGGUUCAUAUCUAGUGUGCCAUCCACGUUGUAAUGCACCAUCACCAACCCCGAUUUCUGGGGCCUUAAGAGUGAAGCGAUUCCUAAUUCUUCUUGGUAACAUGCCAAAGUGUUGUGUCCCAAAGGCUCGACUGGGUAUUUUCGUCAUUGCGGUUGAUAUGGAGAAGGGGUGGGUCGCAUGGAGGCAGAAAUGGGUAAAUGAAGACAGAAACGAGGGGCUGGCCUGACAGUGGUUCAUGUAGACGACGAGCAAGAGCAUGUGGCCAAUUUUUCCGCAAGCGUUAGAAGCAUAGCCAUAAUUCCAGAAAUUUUAGUGGCGGCAACUGAAUUUGCCCUAUUAUAAGAAGGUAUUGCCCCACAACGGUGCGCACACGGGUGACCUUCCUCUUGGUCCAAUGACAGGUGGGCCAUGGACUCGCCGGGGGCCAUAUUAAUGGGACAUUGUCUAUCGUGCUCUUGUGAUUUCUCUCUCGGGUGAUGGGCGGGCUAGACCCACCUGUCGGUUUUUUCGGACACCGUUGGGCUGGCUCAGGUGUGCCAGGGGGCCAGGUCAGACUGUGGUGGGCCUAGACCCCGGCGGGUGUGCGUCGUUCAGGAUGGCCGGCCACGCGGGUGUGCCAUGCUGUUUGAUCGCGAGAGCUGGCAAAGCACGGGCACCAGGUUGUUCGGCUUGUGUGAGCGAAACAGGCGACGGUGAGUCUAUCGUCCAAGAGACGGGCCGAAUAUACCGACAGGCGGAUCAGGCUUCCUGCUCUUGUGCAAUACGAUGAGAAAGGGUUCUCGCGGGAGCACCGAGGCCGCUCCAUGAGAGUGGCCCUGCACGCACCCGCGGUCCACCCGUCAUGGACCCCCGAGUGCACGUCCACUAGUUGAAAACGGAGUUUUAUCACCGGUUCGUAAGGGCCUUUAGUGCCGGUUCUGCAACCGGCACUAAAGAGUGGGGACUAAAGGUCCCCCUUUAGUACCGGUUUGGCACGAACCGGCGUAAACGUGCCACCACGUGGCACGAGCCAGGCCUGGGUGCGUGUAGGACAUUAGUACCGGUUGGUAACACAACCGGUACUAAAUGUUUGGGUGUGUUUUGGUUUUAAUUUUUAUUUUUCCUUUAGUUUUGUGUUUUCAAUUUAAUUUAGUGAUUGUUUUACAUUAUAAUGAGUUGUUAAAUCAUUAGGUGAAAGUACCGCAGAUUAGUUUCGACUGGAUGCAUGUGGAUCCUAGCUAAGUGAUAAAGUAUAUGCCAUAUCCAUAUUACUUAGAUCUAAGUAAUAUGGAUAUGGCAUAUAGUUGAUCACUUAGCUAGGAUCCAUCCAGUUGAAACUAAUAUGCGGUUUCUUUCAUAAAUGAUAUAAUAACUCAUCAUCAUCAUCAUCAUAUUAAUAUAAAAACUCUUGCAUCAUAUCAUCACCAACAACAGUAUAUACUAGCUAGCAAAGAUAUCAUCGAGUUCAACAUGGUCAUGAUAUUAUAAGCAUUCAUAACACCACAAAAGCAAAUCACUCUUUGAGAUUAAGUUCAUGACGAAGAACACGGACACGCAUGAGAGGACAAGAAGUACUAAGAGCAUGAUAACUAGCUAAAUCACUCCUGCUGCUCUCUCUCAGGUAAAAUAGCAUAGAACAUGUAUAGCUCUCCUGAUUCAUCAUAUUGGAUCAUGCAGAUGAACCUGUCUCCUAAUCGUGGGCUGCGCUUCUGAUUGCUGCCCCCUAGUACUUCUUUGCGAUCGUUAACAAUUUUGCUCCAAUCUUUCACUAUUAAGCAUUCAUCGCUUUCAGAAAUUCUGAAUGCACUCAUGUGCACUGUAGGAUAUCUUGGCCGUAAGCUAACAAUUGACAUGCGACCUUUAGUCUUGAUCCACUGAGGCACAACUAUUAAGCAUUCAUCGCUUUCAGAAAUUCUGAAUGCACUCAUGUGCACUGUAGGAUAUCUUGGCCGUAAGCUAACAAUUGACAUGCGACCUUUAGUCUUGAUCCACUGAGGCACAACUGUCAUCGGGAGUCCCUGUUGAAGAACAUCGUAUAGUAAUUAAUAUACUUAGCAAUGAAAGUUUAGCUUGAAAAAUAAUGUAUGCAAAAGAUGCACUGAGGACUAAUAGUAAAAAUCUUACCAUCUUUCCUAAAUACAUGUGACCGUAGUUCAAUACGAUCACUAUUGGUCGCACGUUUUGAGUACUAAGAUUUUCAAAUUCAGGAAAAUGAUUUCUCUUAACAGCAUCAAGAUCCUCAAGCCAUGAAACAUAAUGACUUAUCUCCUCGCAGUUUAGUUCAGCCCCGGGACAGUGGAUGGUCCUGUCUACCAAGCGCCGAACAUGUUUGCUUGAAUCAAAAUAAGCUGUCAAUAGAAAUUACUUGUCAACUAUUUUUGAAUAAACAAUAUCGAAGACAUAAAUAUGGUUGAGAAACUCACAUAAUGGUAGAACUGGAGGCAUCUGCACAUCGACCCAGAUAUCUCUAUUACCUUCAAUAUCAUCUUCCGGACGAAUAUCAAAGGUGAUAACCAUAUCAGGCUCAAAUGCAUAAGUCUUGCAUAGUGCUUGCCAAGUUUUGCAUUCAAAAUAGGUGUAUGUGUCUGCAUUGUAUAAUUUGACGUUGAAAGUAUAACCAUGCUCGGUCUUCAGGUAAACUCUCUUUGCCUCCAUAGUUUCCAUAGCACUGAAACCUAUCUUAUCCAAGACAAAAAUUCUUGCAUGGCAGGGGAUGCGCUACUACAAUAGUGAAAAUUAAAAAUUAUAAGUUGAAGCAAAUGAAGCAUAAGUCAUGCUUAAUUAUGAAAAAAGACUUGUCGUUGUGACUUACUGUAUCCACUUCGAAGGUCUCAUCCAGCUUGAUGCUGAAGCGCCUAUCAUCAACAAGGAAAUUUCUGUCGCACAGGCCGCGCUGGUCUUCACAGUAUUCGCACUUAAUGAAAUCUUUUUCGUCGUCAGACGACAUUUCCUAUGUUCAUAUAGGUGAAACAUUAAACACUUACUAGUUCUAUUAAUUCAACUAGUUCAACUACUUCUAUUAAUUCAACUAGUUCUAUCAAUUCAACUAGUUCUAUUAAUUCAACUAAUUCAACUAAGCAUUUACUAAAAAUAAACUAGUUCUAUAUAUAUAUAUAUAUUAAUAUUUUAAUUAGAUCAUCAAAUCUCAAAUACCUAAAUUUUCUUACUAAAAAUAAACCAGUUCUAUUAAUUCAACAAAUUCAACUAAGAAUUUACUAAAAAUGAACUAGUUAUAUUAAUUUUCUUACUAAAAUAUAUAAAGUAGCUAUGUAUAGUAAUAUUUUAAUUAGAUCAUCAAAUCUCUUAUACCUAAAUUUUCUUACUAAAAAUAAACNNNNNNNNNNNNNNNNNNNNNNNNNNNNNNNNNNNNNNNNNNNNNNNNNNNNNNNNNNNNNNNNNNNNNNNNNNNNNNNNNNNNNNNNNNNNNNNNNNNNNNNNNNNNNNNNNNNNNNNNNNNNNNNNNNNNNNNNNNNNNNNNNNNNNNNNNNNNNNNNNNNNNNNNNNNNNNNNNNNNNNNNNNNNNNNNNNNNNNNNNNNNNNNNNNNNNNNNNNNNNNNNNNNNNNNNNNNNNNNNNNNNNNNNNNNNNNNNNNNNNNNNNNNNNNNNNNNNNNNNNNNNNNNNNNNNNNNNNNNNNNNNNNNNNNNNNNNNNNNNNNNNNNNNNNNNNNNNNNNNNNNNNNNNNNNNNNNNNNNNNNNNNNNNNNNNNNNNNNNNNNNNNNNNNNNNNNNNNNNNNNNNNNNNNNNNNNNNNNNNNNNNNNNNNNNNNNNNNNNNNNNNNNNNNNNNNNNNNNNNNNNNNNNNNNNNNNNNNNNNNNNNNNNNNNNNNNNNNNNNNNNNNNNNNNNNNCUGGGGCGGCGAUGGGGGCGGCGACGACGGCGGCGACGACGACGGCGACAGGAUGGGCUGGGGCGCGAUAGGGGCGGCGACGGGGGCGAAGAACAAACUGAAACGAACUGAAAAUAUUCGUAAGUGGUGCUUAUAUAGCGGUGGCCAUUAGUACCGGUUUGAUACUAAAGGCCUAUUUUGGCCAGGCCAAGAGGCGGGAAGAGCAGGCCUUUAGUACCGGUUGGUGGCUCCAACCGGUACUAAAGACCCACCUUUAGUACCGGGUUGGGCUACCAACCGGUACUAAAGGGGGUGCGCUGCCACCCGCGGUGUAGAAAGUUUAGUCCCACCUCGCCGGGCGAAGGGCAGCCGCACUGGUUUAUAAACCCAGCCGCGGCUGCUACUUUGAACUCCCUUGUAAAGCAGGCUUCUGGGCCUAACUAUGGCACGCUGCCCUGUGAGCCUGCUGGCCCUUGUGGGCCUGAAUUUCCACGCCCGUGGUCUUGUAGGCCCAUUGGGAAGCGCCCCAAUAAUUUUUUAUAUAGUUUGUUUCUUUUCUUCUUUAUUUAUUUUCUUCUAUUUAUUUCUGAGUAGUUUUUUAUAUAGUUUUUUCUUUUCUGCUUUUUUUUAUUUUCUUCUAUUUAUUUCGGAUUAGUUUUUUAUAUAUUUUUUUCUUUUCCCCAAAUCGGUAAAUGACUGAAAAAUAGCAAAUGUUGUCAGAAAGUGUUGAAAAUUGAUGACGUCGCUUUGAAUGGUGUGUAUGGAACGCAAAAAAGUCUGGAGUUGUAAUAAGUUUAAAAAAAUGAAGUGCCCAUGUAACAGAUGAGUUCUCGUCAGAAACCCUGAUACUACAAAAAAGAUAGUCCAGUUUGUACACGAAGUGCGUCCAGUUUUUGCCAUAACCCUCUCUACUCUUUUGCACAUGCUAUGUGGGUGAAAUGAUGAUACCAUGCCAAGUUUUGACAUUUUCAGAGUUUAUUUUGUAGUGAUUUUCAAUUUCACGGUCAUUUAACUCUCUAAACAAAUCGGUAAAUGACUGAAAAAUAGCAAAUGAUGUCAGAAAGUGUUGAAAAUUGAUGACGUCGCUUUGAAUGGUGCGUACGGAACGCAAAAAAGUCUGGAGUUGUAAUAAGUUUAAAAAAAUGAAGUGCCAGUGUAACAGAUGAGUUCUCGUCCGAAACCCUGAUACUCCGAAAGAGAUUGUCCAGUUUGUACACGAAGUGCGUCCAGUUUUUGCCGUAAUCCUCUCUACUCUUUUGCACAUGCUGUGUGGGUGAAAUGAUGAUACCAUGCCAAGUUUCGACAUUUUCAGAGUUCAUUUUGUAGUGAUUUUCAAUUUCACGGUCAUUUAGCUCUCUAAACAAAUCGGUAAAUGACUACAAAAGUGCAAAUAAUGUCAGAAAGUUUUGAAAAAUGAUGACGUCGCUUUGAAUGGUGUGUACGGAACGCAAAAAAGUCUGGAGUUGUAAUAAGUCUGAAAAAUCGAAGUGCCAAUGUAACAGAUGAGUUCUCGUCAGAAACCCUUAUACUUCGAAAGAGAUUGUCCAGUUUGUACACGAAGUGCGUCCAGUUUUUGCCGUAACCCUCUCUACUCUUUUGCACAAGCUAUGUGGGUGAAAUAAUGAUACCACACCAAGUUUCGACAUUUUCAGAGUUGAUUUUGUAGUGAUUUUCAAUUUCACGGUCAUUUAGCUCUCUAAACAAAUCGAUAAAUGACUGAAAAAUAGUAAAUGAUGUUAGAAAGUGUUGAAAAUUGAUGACGUCGCUUUGAAUGGUGCGUACGGAACGCAAAAAAAGUCUGUUGUUGUAAUAAGUUUAAAAAAAUGAAGUGCCAGUGUAACAGAUGAGUUCUCGUUCGAAACCCUGAUACUCCGAAAGAGAUUGUCCAGUUUGUACACGAAGUGCGUCCAGUUUUUGCCGUAACCCUCUCUAAUCUUUUGCACAUGCUAUGUGGGUGAAAUGAUGAUACUAUGCCAAGUUUCGACAUUUUCAGAGUUCAUUUUGUAGUGAUUUUCAAUUUCACGGUCAUUUAGCUCUCUAAACAAAUCGGUAGAUGACUAAAAAAUAGCAAAUGAUGUCAGAAAGUUUUGAAAAUUGAUGACGUCGCUUUGUAUGGCGUGUACGGAACGCAAAAAAUUCUGGAGUUGUAAUAAGUUUAAAAAAAUGAAGUACCCAUGUAACAGAUGAGUUCUCGUCAGAAACCCUGAUACUCCAAAAGAGAUUGUCCAGUUUGUACACGAAGUGCGUCCAGUUUUUGCCGUAACCCUCUCUACUCUUUUGCACAUGCUGUGUGGGUGAAAUGAUGAUACCAUGCCAAGUUUCGACAUUUUCAGAGUUCAUUUUGUAGUGAUUUUCAAUUUCACGGUCAUUUAGCUCUCUAAACAAAUCGGUAAAUGACUAAAAAAUAGCAAAUGAUGUCAGAAAGUGUUGAAAAUUGAUGACGUCGCUUUGAAUGGUGCGUACGGAACGCAAAAAAAGUCUNNNNNNNNNNNNNNNNNNNNNNNNNNNNNNNNNNNNNNNNNNNNNNNNNNNNNNNNNNNNNNNNNNNNNNNNNNNNNNNNNNNNNNNNNNNNNNNNNNNNNNNNNNNNNNNNNNNNNNNNNNNNNNNNNNNNNNNNNNNNNNNNNNNNNNNNNNNNNNNNNNNNNNNNNNNNNNNNNNNNNNNNNNNNNNNNNNNNNNNNNNNNNNNNNNNNNNNNNNNNNNNNNNNNNNNNNNNNNNNNNNNNNNNNNNNNNNNNNNNNNNNNNNNNNNNNNNNNNNNNNNNNNNNNNNNNNNNNNNNNNNNNNNNNNNNNNNNNGACUAAAAAUAGCAAAUGAUGUCAGGAAGUGUUGAAAAUUGAUGACGUCACUUUGAAUGGUGCGUACGGAACGCAAAAAAAGUCUGGAGUUGUAAUAAGUUUAGAAAAAUGAAGUGCCAAUGUAACAGAUGAGUUCUCGUCAGAAACGGUGAUACUCCGAAAGAGAUUGUCCAGUUUGUACACGAAGUGCGUCCAGUUUUUGCCGUAAUCAUCUCUAUUCUUGUGCACAUGCUGUGUGGGUGAAAUGAUGAUACCAUGCCAAGUUUUGACAUUUUCAGAGUUCAUUUUGUAGUGAUUUUCAAUUUCACGGUCAUUUAGCUCUCUAAACAAAUCGGUAAAUGACUACAAAAGUGCAAAUAAUGUCAGAAAGUUUUGAAAAAUGAUGACGUCGCUUUGAAUGGUGUGUACGGAACGCAAAAAAGUCUGGAGUUGUAAUAAGUCUGAAAAAAUGAAGUGCCAAUGUAACAGAUGAGUUCUCGUCAGAAACCCUUAUACUUCGAAAGAGAUUGUCCAGUUUGUACACGAAGUGCGUCCAGUUUUUGCCGUAACCCUCUCUACUCUUUUGCACAUGCUAUGUGGGUGAAAUGAUGAUAUCACGCCAAGUUUCGACAUUUUCAAAGUUGAUUUUGUAGUGAUUUUCAAUUUCACGGUCAUUUAGCUCUCUAAACAAAUCGAUAAAUGACUGAAAAAUAGUAAAUGAUGUCAGAAAGUGUUGAAAAUUGAUGACGUCGCUUUGAAUGGUGCGUACGGAACGCAAAAAAAGUCUGUUGUUGUAAUAAGUUUAAAAAAAUGAGUUGCCAGUGUGACAGAUGAGUUCUCGUUCGAAACCCUGAUACUCCGAAAGAGAUUGUCCAGUUUGUACACGAAGUGCGUUCAGUUUUUGCCGUUACUCUCUCUACUCUUUUGCACAUGCUAUGUGGGUGAAAUGAUGAUACUAUGCCAAGUUUCGACAUUUUCAGAGUUCAUUUUGUUGUGAUUUUCAAUUGCACGGUCAUUUAGCUCUCUAAACAAAUCGGUAGAUGACUAAAAAAUAGCAAAUGAUGUCAAAAAGUUUUCAAAAUUGAUGACGUCGCUUUGUAUGGUGUGUACGGAACUCAAAAAAUCUGGAGUUGUAAUAAGUUUAAAAAAAUGAAGUGCCCAUGUAACAGAUGAGUUCUUGUCAGAAACCCUGAUACUUCGAAAGAGAUUGUCCAGUUUGUACACGAAGUGCGUCCAGUUUUUGCCGUAACCCUCUCUACUCUUUUGCACAUGCUGUGUGGGUGAAAUGAUGAUACUAUGCCAAGUUUCGACAUUUUCAGAGUUCAGUUUGUAGUGAUUUUCAAUUUCACGGUCAUUUAGCUCUCUAAACAAAUCGGUAAAUGACUGAAAGAUAGCAAAUGAUGUCAGAAAGUGUUGAAAAUUGAUGGCGUCGAUUUGAAGGGUGCGUACGGAACGCAAAAAAAGUCUGGAGUUGUAAUAAGUUUAAAAAAAUGAAAUGCCAGUGUAACAGAUGAGUUCUCGUCCGAAACCCUGAUACUCCGAAAGAGAUUGUCCAGUUUGUACACGAAGUGCGUCCAGUUUUUGCCGUAACCCUCUCUACUCUUUUGCACAUGCUAUGUGGGUGAAAUGAGGAUACCAUGCCAAGUUUCGACAUUUUUAGAGUUCAUUUUGUAGUGAUUUUCAAUUUCACGGUCAUUUAGCUCUCUAAACAAAUCGGUAAAUGACUAAAAAAUAGCAAAUGAUGUCAGAAAGUUUUGAAAAUUGAUGACGUCGCUUUGAAUGGUGUGUACGGAACUCAAAAAAGUCUGGAGUUAUAAUAAGUUUUAAAAAAUAAAGUGCCCAUGUAACAGAUGAGUUCUCGUCAGAAACCCUGAUACUUCGAAAGAGAUUGUCCAGUUUGUACAGGAAGUGAGUCCAGUUUUUGCCGUAACACAAGAAGUCCGGAGUUGUUAUAAGUUAUUAAAGAUAAAAAAGAGGCACAAUGCUCGUUAAUUAGCUUCAAGCCUUUCGGAAUAGUGCAAACUGCACUGCACAUAGCUCCGUGCAGUCUACACUAUUCCUCAAGGCUUAAAGCUAAGCAACGUGUAGAUGAGCAUUUCACGGUCAUUUAGCUCUCUAAGCUAAUCUAGUAGCCAUGUUAAGUCGAUAAUGACGUGGAAUUGUUAUAUGACAUGCAAAUACCUUCUGAGUUAAUGGCACUAGUCAUCAACCCGUGCAACUGCAUGGGCUAGUUUUUUAAACGGUUCAUAGUUACAAUACUUUUCAUGACCACUUGUUUCUUUGCAUCCAGCAAGAAUAUAAAUUUGUUGUGUGUGAACCAUUAAAUGAACAAUUAAUAUGAAAAUAGAAAACUUAUAUCCUGAAAGUUUACAAUCUUCAUAAAAUAUUUAUAUUUUAUUUUAAGACAAACGGGAAAUUAAAAAUCCUACUUAUAGAGAUCCUGAAACAUAAUUCAAAUGUCGCAUAAAUUACGUAAUUUUGAAUGAUAAGUACUAAAAAUGUAAUAAUUUGUUUAGUUAAUAUUAAUCCUUUUUUUAUUUGGGAGUCUACUUAAUCAUGGGGUAUUUUGCAUAAUGCUUAGGCUUGUCAAAUGAAAUAAGCAUUUCAUAACAACAGUGUACCUCCCUACAGUUUAAUAACAAACUUACUCUACAAACACCGAAAACCGAACCAAAGACUGAAGAAGCAAUCAUAAGUGUCAUACUUCUUAAAUUCUCCUUUUUUUUCCCGGCACCACCCAUGGAGUAGUCUUUCCACCGUGUUUGACUCUCGUUGUGGUAGCAAAUGAUGGGUCCAAGUUUUCGCAUAGUAUUGUCCGUUUGUUUUAUCAUGAUAGAGUACUCCAUUAGUUGGCACCGCUCUUAUAUUUGUGUGUGAUCUUUUAGCAGUUCAACAUUAUAGUUCUUCCACCCAUAUGUUCGCAAUGUUAAAUCUAUGGAGAAAAAGAUUCAAAUCUUCACUAUUGUACCACAAAAGCAAGUCACAUGAAUAGCUCGCAAUUAUUUAACUACUGGUGGUUGGUGCCAGGUAUAUUAGCGUUAGGAAAGUAAAUGUACAUACUGAACAUUUGACUGUGGAAGAAAAUGAAUUUUCUUAUUUACUCUUAUUGAAUUCUAAAUAUAUUUUGGAUAUUUGUUUUCAGUAAUACACCUAAUUUUGGAAAAUCUAUUUCAUAGCCUUGUAUUUUUGAAAUAUUUUACAAAACAUGACACAAAUUGUUGUGUUUUUUCACAUACAUAUUUAUAACAUUAAUACACUCUUUAUAUGUAAUGUGAUAUUUAUUAUAUAAUUUUUUAAUCAUACAUAACUAAAUUCUUAUUAUUUUCAAAUCACAAAUUUUAAAUGAUAUGAUAACUUACAUUUUAAAAGCUCUAUUUCGGGACAUUAUAACUAAAAACUAUCUGAGCGAAUCGGGCACCAUAAUGUAUUUGGUGUCUACACUUUGUCGCAUACAUAGCCUUUUUUAUUUUUAAUGUAAUUGCUAAAAUAUGUAAUUAUGUAGAACUUAAUAUUACAUUCUAUUACACAGAUUGGACUUAUAUAGGUUGGAAAAGAAUUAAAUCUAUGCUGUCAAACCUACCGAAUAGCAUUCCUCCGGCACAUUGUAUAUCUGGCAUUUAUUAGUAAUGUGUCUAAAUCAGUUCGGGAUAAAUUCACUCUACAUCGUCAUAAUGGCUUGUUGUUAAAAUUUGGCAUCCUGACGCAUUACUUGGAAUUUUUAUAAACUCAGUGUAAACAGUUAUGUUAUCUUUUUAAACAUAAGUUAUUUAGUUCAAUUCGGAGUACUAUAUAGUAAUUUUCAACAGUAAAUCUAGCCUAUUUCAACUCGGUCAUUAUAAACAAUAAAUCUAGCCUGUUUCAACUCGGCCAUUAUAUUUAACUUAUUUAAGACAUAAGGUAAUCUAACUUUUGAACAAUCUUUAGAAAUCUACAUAUGUAGAGGUCAAGUAGGACAUACAUAUGUGAAAUUCCUUAAAAUAAUUUGAUAAUUGUUAUAUUAAAGAAAAUAAUAUUAUAAUUUAUUAUCUGUACUUACUAUAAUUGCAAUACUUUUUGAUAGCAUGUUCCCGUUGCAUAGUGUCGCUUACUGCACAAUAUCUUAAUUUGUUAUGUGUCUCGGAUAGAAAAAUAUUGUAUUUCCGCGUAUGUAUAUGCAUGUCUAUAUAUGUUUCACACACAUGAAAUUUUUUUAUAUAUUAAAAAAUGAUUUCGCCUGAGUUACAUCCAUGCAUGCUAAUUUCCUGUCUAUCAUUGGAGUUUAGAUCUAUGCAUGUAUGUGCUUGACUAAGCUCUGCACAUAUAUACGUGCCGGUCAAAUCAUAUACAUGAACGUACAUCACUCUAUUCUACUAUUAAGGGAUUCGUUGAGCACCUCGUCAAAGAAACAAACCUUUCAGAUCAACUUGUAAAUUUUCUUUUUACAUAUUUGCAUUUUUUUAGCAUAUUUGCAUUUCUUUCCUAAAAUAUUGCAAUAUUUGCAAAUAUCUGAAUCAUAUUCUUUUGAUUGACAAUAACACAAUGGCUUACCAGCAGAUCAAAACAGAUAUCUAGCUAGUGCGAAGGUUGUGCCACCUCUUGAUUGUUUCCUCCAUGAGCAAGCAAGCUUCUGGUAACGGUAACAGUCAUGGCGACGGAACAUGAUGUGCCGGCGAGCCGCAGACAUUAGAAAGAUCUGAAAAGAAGCAGAUAGGCAUGAUGCAUAAAUCUGGAAAGGAAGAAGAAUAUGCAUAACUCAAAAGCAUUGAAGCCGUCGGUUUUUGCAUUGCUCUACGAUCAGUUAAUGUACGCAUGCAUCGUAUAUGUACGCAUCCAGCCGCCGGAAUUUACUUCUCCUGCCUUCGUUUGUCAAGGGCAAAAAUACUGGCCAGCAGCACAAAUUGAAGACCAGCUUUCGGCACCUCCAUAACGCUCGUAGAAAAGUUCUCAAUGACUUGCAUCGGGAAUAUCUCUCCAGACCAGGGCAUGCGCCAAUUAAUGCUUCUUGCCGUGUCAUGUAUGCCGGGUCAUGUAUCUCUACGGGGACAACAAAAUUCAACUUGUUUAUUUUUGGAUAAUCAUUGGGAGAUAGAGACCCAGCACAGGACGUCUCCCAUGCGUGGGACAACCGAGGUUUUUUUUUUCAAUCUUAGGCUUCAUCAACGGCUAAAAUAUAUUAUAUUUUAAUCUGACGGAUGUAAAUCUUUAACUUAUAAAAUUGACGUGAAUCCUCGUAUGGCUCUUCCAAUUAGUAAAUAUAUAAGAUAGUAGUAGACGUGAAGAAUAAAGGGGCAGUAAUGGGAUAUUAAAUGUGGCAGCUAACUUGCUAGGCCUUCGAGUUAUAUUUUGUUCAGCAUUAAGUGGAAAACAUAUUUUGGCAUCCUUUUCCUCCUCUCGACUCUGACAAAAUGUUAGUGAUAUUCAAAUGGAAAAGCUUAGGCAAGAAAUAUUCCGAGGAAAAAUAAUGCAUCUACUCUAAAAUAUAUUUUCAUCAAUAGUAGUCCACUACUACCAUGAGCCAAUGGCCAUGGUUCUAUUCAAAAUUUUAAUUUAUCAAGAUCAGGCGUAGACUUGAUGUUGACAUCAAUGGCUAUCUAGGCUUAGAGAGAUGAGAGGAGUGAAGAACAAAAAAGGAGCGCCAAUAAUGGUUAUAACCCAUAGGGGAUAAAAUAAGGACGCCGCUAGUUGGCAUGAAUUGAUACAGGUAGACAUCACUUACUCUGCGUCCCUGAAUAGAGGCCAUAAUUUGUGUUGCUCUAGGGACCCAUAAUUUAUGAAUUCUGCUCACAAGAGAUCCGACUGUUGUGGGGAUCAAACUUUAGCACGCUGCCCUUAGAGCAACUCCAACGCGUCAACCCAAAUGGACGGCGAUUUUGUUAUAUUUUCGUCUGUUUGUGUCGACCGUCCACUCGGUGUCCGCCUAAUUUUCUUUUUGGGUCAGCAGUGCGCCCAAUGCCAGCGACUCAUUUCAUGUCCGUGCACAAAUUUUAAAAAGGCCCGCGGCUGUAGAUCAUGGCAGCGGCCAAGCCGUCACCCAAAGUUCAUGCCGGCACCAUGCCAGCAGCCGACAUACAAUGCCAGCUCCAAAAAAGCACCACACAGUUUGUGUUGGCGCACUUGCCAGCGACUGGCAUAGAUGCCAGCAAACAAAAAAGGGGCGGGAGUUCGACCACGCCAUCGCGACCGUAGUCAUGCCAACACACUUUUCGGCAUGCAAAAAAGGAUGGCGCUUUCCGCCAUAAAUCACUCGUCGUCGAACUUGAGCAUGUCGGCUUGCAUCUUGUCGAACCACGACCUCUUCCUCGGCGACAUGGUGUUGAGGUCCACCUUCAUGAUCUCCACACCCGUCAUCAUGCUAGCGAGAACCACUUCUUUCGCCUUGGUCUUGACAUUUGCGGCAUCGAUAUCUAGCAUCUUGGCUUGCACUGGUGCAGAACCGGGCUUUAGCACCAGUUCGUAAGGCCCUUUAGUGGCGGUUCUUGAACCGGUACUAAGGGGGGGGGGGCUUUAGGGAUUUUGGUUUUAUUAUUUAUUUUUCCUUUAAUUUUGUAUUUCCAUUUAUUUUAUUUUUCAUUUGCUGGUAUUUUACGAACUACAUAUUGUACACGUUAUGCAUAUAUAUAAAUAUAAUUUCUCGUAGAACCGAUCAUAUANNNNNNNNNNNNNNNNNNNNNNNNNNNNNNNNNNNNNNNNNNNNNNNNNNNNNNNNNNNNNNNNNNNNNNNNNNNNNNNNNNNNNNNNNNNNNNNNNNNNNNNNNNNNNNNNNNNNNNNNNNNNNNNNNNNNNNNNNNNNNNNNNNNNNNNNNNNNNNNNNNNNNAGCUAAUCAUUGAUAUAUACUACAUACUAAACGUACAUACUCUCUAUUUUGACGGAUACUACAUACAACAUACAAAAUGCAAGUGGUGGUAAUUACCACCGCUUGGAGGAAGCAUUUGAGGCACCACCAUUUGAAGCACCGCCAUUCACACAUAGAGCAGAAAAGAGUACCGGUUGGAGCGACCAACCGGUUUAAAGGGGUGUGCUGGCCCAGGUGCGAUGCACAAAGUUUAGUCCCACCUUGCUGAGCGAAGGGCGGCCGCACUGGUAUAUAAACCCAGCCGCGGCUGCUCCUUUGAGCUCCUCCCUAACGCAGGCCUUCUGGGCCUACUUGUGUUGCGCUGCCCUGUUGGGCCUACUAGCCUUGCGGGCCUACCUCCUGGCCCGACUACAGGUUGGGUUUCUAGUCGCAUGCAGGCCGCUGUGGCCCAGUAGGCGGGCUUUUAAAAAAAUAUUGUUUGCUUUAUUUAUUUUCUUUUAUUUAUUUCUGAGUUGUUUUUCCUGUAUUUCGAAUUUCUUUGUGAAUAUUUUUGCUUUAGGUACAAAAAAUUACAAAAUUUCUGUUAGUGCCAGUAGUUUUCAAAUUUGAAUAGUUUAAAUUUGUCUCCUUUAUUUAUUUUUAAGUUGUUUUUUGCUGUAUUUAGAAUUUCUUUGUGAAUAUUUUGCUUUAGGUAAAAAAAAUUACAAACUUUAUGUUAGUGCCAAUAGUUUUCAAUUUUGAAUAGUUUAAAUUUGUCUGCUUUAUUUAUUUUCUUUUAUUUAUUUGUGAGUUGUUUUUUGCUGUAUUUAGAAUUUUUUGUGAAUAUUUUUCUUUAGGUACAAAAAAUUACAAAAUUUCUGUNNNNNNNNNNNNNNNNNNNNNNNNNNNNNNNNNNNNNNNNNNNNNNNNNNNNNNNNNNNNNNNNNNNNNNNNNNNNNNNNNNNNNNNNNNNNNNNNNNNNNNNNNNNNNNNNNNNNNNNNNNNNNNNNNNNNNNNNNNNNNNNNNNNNNNNNNNNNNNNNNNNNNNNNNNNNNNNNNNNNNNNNNNNNNNNNNNNNNNNNNNNNNNNNNNNNNNNNNNNNNNNNNNNNNNNNNNNNNNNNNNNNNNNNNNNNNNNNNNNNNNNNNNNNNNNNNNNNNNNNNNNNNUAAGUUGUUUUUUGCUGUAUUUAGAAUUUCUUUGUGAAUAUUUUUGCUUUAGGUACUAAAAAUUACAAACUUUCUGUUAGUGCUAGUAGUUUUCAAAUUUGAAUAGUUUAAAUUUUUCUGCUUUAUUUAUUUUCUUUUAUUUAUUCCUGAGUUGUUUUUUGCUGUAUUUAGAAUUUCUUUGUAACUAUUUUUGCUUUAGGUACAAAAAAUUACAAACUUUAUGUUACUGCCAGUAGUUUUAAAAUUUGAAUAGUUUAAAUUUGUCUGUUUUAUUUAUUUCUGAGUUGUUUUUUGCUGUGUUUAGAAUUUAUUUUUGAAUAUUUUUGCUUUAGGUACAAAAAAUUACAAACUUUCUAUUAGUGCCAGUAGUUGUCAAAUUUGAAUAGUUUAAAUUUGAAUUAUUUGAAAUUUUUGUGAAUAACUAGUUUCGGAAUAACUUUACUUUAAAAAUAGAUUUUUCAGUGAUUCGUUUUUCUUAUGUCUAACAUUAGUGUGUUUUAUCAUUAUAUUCAAUUUGGUAAUACUUAGGUUAUUUAAAAAAUGAAAUGCCAUUGUAACAGAUGAGUUUUCGUCUAAAAACUCUGAUACUUCGAAAGAGAUUGUCCAUUUUGUACACUAAGUGCUUCCAGUUUUUGCCAUAACCCUCUAUACUUUUUUGCACAUGCUAUGUGGGUGAAAUGAUGAUACCAUGCCAACUUUCAACCUUUUCAGAGUUCAUUUGUAGUGCUUUUUAAUUUCAGGGUCAUUUAGCUAAAAAAAUCAUUAAAUGCAUGAAAAAUAGCAAAUGAUGUCCGAAAGUGUUGAAAGUUGAUGACGUGGCUUUGAAUGGUGCAUACUGGACGCACAAAAAGUAUGGAGUUGUAAUGAGUUUCAAAAAUGAAAUUCCUUUGUAACAGAUGAGUUUUCGUCCGAAACCCUGAUACUCCGAAAGAGAUUGUCCAUUUUGUACACGAAGUGCAUCCAGUUUUUUCCAUAACCCUCACUACUUUUUUGCACAUGCUAUGUGGGUGAAAUGAUGAUGCCAUGCCAACUUCCAACCUUUAAGAGUUCAUUUGUAGUGUUUUUCAAUUUCAGGGUCAUUUAGCUAAAAAAUCAAUAAAUGCAUGAGAAAUAGCAAAUGAUGUCAGAAAGGUAUGAAAGUUGAUGACGUGGCUUUGAAUGGUGCAUACUGAAUGCACAAAAAGUUUAGAGUUGUAAUAAAUUUAAAAAAUGAAAUGCCUUUGUAACAGAUGAGUUUUCGUCCGAAGCCCUCAUACUUCAAAAGAGAUUAUCCAUUUUGUGCACGAAGUGCAUCCAGUUUUUGCCGUAACCCUCUCUACUUUUUUGCACAUUAUAUGUGGGUGAAAUGAUGAUACGAUGCCAACUUCCAACCUUUCAGAGUUCAUUUGUAGUGCUUUUCAAUUUCAGGGUCAUUUAGCUAAAAAAAAUCAGGAAAUGCACGAAAAAUAGCAAAUGAUGUCAGAAAAGUUUGAAAGUUGAUGACAUGGCUUUGAAUUGUGCAUACUGAACGCACAAAAAGUCUAGAGUUGUAAUAAGUUUAAAAAAUGAAAUGCCUUUGUAACAGAUGAGUUUUCGUCCGAAACCCUCAUACUUCGAAAGAAAUUGUACAUUUUGUACACGAAGUGCAUCCAGUUUUUGCCGUAACCCUCUCUACUUUUUUGCACAUGCUAUGUGGGUGAAAUGAUGAUGCCAUGCCAACUUUCAACCUUUGUAGAGUUCAUUUGUAGUGCUUUUCAAUUGCAGGGUCAUUUAGCUAAAAAAUCAGUAAAUGCAUGAAAAAUAGCAAAUGAUGUCAGAAAGUGUUGAAAGUUGAUGACGUGGCUUUGAAUGGUGCAUACUGAAUGCACAAAAAGUCUGGAAUUGUAAUAAGUUUAAAAAAAUGAAAUGCCUUUGUAACAGAUGAGUUUUCGUCCGAAACCCUGAUACUCCGAAAGAGAUUGUCCAUUUUGUACACGAAGUGCAUCCAGUUUUUGCCGUAACCCUCCCCUACUUUUUUCCACAUGCUAUGUGGGUGAAAUGAUGAUACGAUGCCAACUUCCAACCUUUUCAGAGUUCAUUUGUAGUGCUUUUCAAUUUCAAGGUCAUUUAGCUAAAAAAUUAGUAAAUGCAUGAAAAAUAGCAAAUGAUAUCAGAAAGGUUUGAAAGUUGAUGACGUGUCUUUGAAUGGUGCAUACCGAAAGUACAAAAAGUCAGGAGUUGUAAUAAGUUUAAAAAAAUGAAAUGCCUUUGUAACAGAUGAGUUUUCGUCUAAAACCCUCAUACUUCGAAAGAGAUUGUCCAUUUUUUUCUACACGAAGUGCAUCCAGUUUUUGCCGUAACCCUCUCAACUUUUUUGCACAUGCGAUGUGGGUGAAAUGCUGAUACCGCCAACUUUUAACCUUUUGAGAGUUCAAUUUUAGUGCUUUUUAAUUUCAGGGUCAUUUAGCUAAAACAAUCAGUAAAUGAGCUAAAAGUAGCAAAUGAAGUCAGAAAAGGGUUGAAAAUUGCUGAUGUGCCUUGGAAUGGUGCAUAUUGAACACACAAAAAGUCUGGAGUUGAAAUAAGUUAUUAAAAAUAAAAUCCUUUUGUAAUAGAUGAGUUUCGUCCGAAACCCUGAUACUUCGAAAGAGAUUGUCCAGUUUGUAGAAGAAGUGCAUCCAAUUUUUGCCGUAACCCUCUCAACUUUUUAGCACAUGCUAUGUGGAUGAAAUGAUGAUAUCAUGCUAAGUUUCAACCAUUUCAGAGUUGAUUUGUAGUGCUUUUCAUUUUCAGGGUCAUUUAGCUAAAAAAAUUCAUUAAAUGCAUAAAAAUAGCAAAUGAAGGCAGAAAAGAGUUGAACAUUGAUGAUGUGACUUUGAAUGGUGCACAAUGAACACACAAAAAGUCCGGAGUUAAAAUAAGUUAUAAAAAUGAAGGAGAGGCGCAAUCCUCACUGGCACAUUGCUUAGCUUCAGGCCUUGACAAACUACACAUAGCUCUGUGCAAUCUACACCAUUUCCUCCAGGCAUGAAGCUAAGCAACGUGCAGGUGAGCAUUGCGCCUCUCCUUCAUCGUUCCUCGUCUCUGCACUCAGGGCUUAUAAACCGCUGAUACGUCUCCAACGUAUCUAUAAUUUUUGAUUGUUCCAUGCUAUUAUAUUAUCAAUCUUGGAUGUUCUAUAAUCAUUUUAUAGUCAUUUUUUGGUACUAACCUAUUGACAUAGUGUCAAGUGCUAGUUGUUGUUUUCUGCAUGUUUUUUACAUUGCAGGAAAUCAAUACCAAACGGCGUCCAAAUUCAAUGAAACUUUACGGGGAUUUUUUAUGCACCAGAAGACACCUAAUGGGCCAAGGCUGCGCCUAGGGGGUGCUCCGAGGAGAGCACAACCCACCAUGGCGCGCCAGGAGGCCCGGGCACGCCCUGGAGGGUUGUGCCCACCUCGGGUGCCCCUCGGGCCGCCUCUUUGCUCUAUAAAUAUCCCAAUAUUCCAGAAACCCUAGGGGAGUCGACGAAAAUCAAUUCAAGCCUCCGCAGAGUCCAGAACCACCAGAUCCAAUCUAGACACCAUCACGGAGGGGUUCACCACUUCCAUUGGUGCCUCUCCGAUGAUGCGUGAUUAGUUCUUUGUAGACCUUCGGGUCCGUAGUUAGUAGCUAGAUGGCUUCCUCUCUCUCGCCAAACUCUCAAUACAAUGGUGUCUUGGAGAUCCAUAUGAUGUGACUCUGUUUGCGGUGUGUUUGUUGGGAUCAGAUGAACUUUCAGUUUAUGAUCAGAUCUAUCUUUUUAUAUCCAUGAAAGUUAUUUGAGUUUCUUUGAACUAUUAUAUGCAUGAUUUCUUAUAGCCUCGUAUUUCUUCUCCGAUAUUUGGGUUUUGUUUGGACAAAUUGAUCUAUUUAUCUUGCAAUGGAAAGAGGUGCUUUGUAGUGGGUUCGAUCUUACGGUGCUUGAUCCCAGUGACAGAAGGGGAACCGACACGUAUGUAUCGUUGCUACUAAGGAUAAAACGAUGGGGUCUAUCUCUACAUAGAUAGAUCUUGUCUACAUCAUGUCAUCAUUCUUAUUGCAUUACUCCAUUUCCCCAUGAACUUAAUACACUAGAUGCAUGCUGUAUAGCGGUCGAUGUGUCGAGUAAUAGUAGUAGAUGCAGGUAGGAGUCGGUCUACUAAUCUUGGACGUGAUGGCUAUAUAUUGAUCAUUGCCUGGAUAUCGUCAUGAUUAUUUGGAACUCUAUCAAUUGCCCAACAGUAAUUUGUUUACCCACCGUUUGCUAUUUUGCUCGAGAGAAGCCACUAGUGAAACCUACGGCCCCCGGGUCUCUUUCUCACAUUAUUUGCCUUCGCGAUCUAUUUUAUUUGCCUUUUGUUUGCAGAUCUAUUAAACCAAAAAUACAAAAAUACCUUGCUGCGUUUUACUCUUAUUUAUUUUAUUUGGUGUUCGAUCUAUCAAUCUACUACAAUUAUCUCACGUCUGUUUGCCAAUUUCUGGCGCCGCUACCCGAAAGGGAUUGACAACCCCUUUAACACGCCAGGUUGCGAGGAUUUGUUAUCUGUGUGCAGGGGCUAUUUACAUUCUAUUGCUAGGUUCUCCUACUAGUUCGAUAACCUUGGUUUCAUAUCUGAGGGAAAUACCUACCGCUGCUAUGCUGCAUCAUCCCUUUCUCUUUGGGGAAAUACCGACGUAGCUUCAAGCCGCAUCAAAAGGAAUUUCUGGCGCCGUUGCCGGGGAGGAUCUUCAACAUAUACGAGGUUCCGAAUCACAAAUCUCAUCUCCUUGCAAUUUACAUUAUUUGCCAUUUGCCUCUCAUUUUCCUCUCCCCCACUUCACAAAAAUUUGCCAUUUUAUUCGUCCUCUUUUUCGUUCGCCUUUUUCUCGUUUGAUCUUUUGUUUGCUUGUGUUGCCAUGUGCCUUCUAUAUGCUUGCGUCUUCGCUUGCUAAAAAUAUAUUGAUAUGGAUCCUCAUCCACUUGCUAAUCUUUUUAAAAGAUCCAAUCAUGUUGAACCAGUUGCUAGUGAGUUGAGUGCACUAGAUUAUCUUUAUGAAGUUUUUCUUGAGAUUCGUGAAUCUAAAAAUUGCGAUGAAGAAAUUUAUGAAGUGAUUCAUGAUAGCUCCUUGAAUGAAAAGCAUGAUUGCAAUGAUUUUACUAUAAAUCCUAUUAAUGUCAAUUGUGCUAAUAAUAUGCAAAACCCCAAACUUUGGGAUGCUAAUUUUGCUAUGUCCACUACUUGUUGCAAUGAUCAUGAUUGGGGUGAUUCUUCUUAUGAGCUUGAAAUUUUAUUUAAACCUCAUGAUGAAUAUGAUAUUGAUAAUAAUGUUUGCAAUAAUAUUGAAAGUGGGUAUGGAAGAGCGUCAACUUUAGGUAAAAAUAAUCCCACAUAUUUGGAGAGUGUUCAAUCUUAUGAUUUUUUUUAUGAAAGUGGGUUCGGAGGGGUCAUGACUUUAGUUGAUGUUAAUCCCACUAUCUUGGAAGAUUAUAAGACUUGUAUGCAUGUGGAUCAUGAAAAGAAAGUUUUAUAUGAUUGCUAUAUUGUUGAAUUUGAGUAUUAUCCUACAUGUAAUUAUUAUGAGAAAGGAAAAUAUGGUUGUAGAAAUUUUUAUGUUACUAAAUUACCUCUCGUUAUGUUGAGAUCGUCAAUGUUUUAUUCCUCUUCUUUGCAUAUGUUAGAUGUUUCUUGUCUUGAUAUUUUGUUUUCUUAUAAAAUUCCUAUGCAUAGGAAGUAUGUUAGACUUAAAUGUGGUUGUCAUAUGUUUCAUGAUGCUCUCUUUGUGUUUCAAUUAUUAUCUCUCAUGUGAGCAUCAUUGAAAUUUUAUGCCUAGCUAGGGGCAUGAAACUAUAGCGCUUGUUGGGAGGCAACCCAAUGAAUAAAAUUUGUUUUUACCUUUUGCUUUCUGUUCUUGAAUGUUUGCACAAUUAUGCUAAUGUUAUGAUUGUGUGUUUUGUGUUUUAAUUAGUGUUUGUACCAAGUAGAACCUAUAGGAUCUUCUUGGGUGAUAGUUGUUUGAUCUUGCUGAAAAAACAGAAACUUUUGCGCUCAUGAAAACAAUUCUUAUUUUUUACCAGAGCGUGAUAAAAUGCCAAUUAUUUUUGCAGAAGAUUAAUAUACAAAUUUCUUAGGUCUUCCUAUUGUUUUAGAAUUUUUGGAGUUUCAGAAGUAUUCGAACAAUUCAGAUUGCAACACAUUGUUCUGUUUUUGACAGAUUUUGUUUUCUUUGCGUUGUGUGCUUGUUUUGAUGGCUCCAUGGUUUUCUUUGUUGAGUUUUUGCCAUAGAAAAGUUGGAAUAUAUUAGAUAUAAUGCAAGAAUAAAAUAUGAAUAGGUUGCAACAGUACUUAUAGUAGUGAUUUAUUUUCUUAUACUAAUGGAUCUCACGAAGGUUUUGUUGAGUUUUGUGUGAUUGAAGUCUUCAAGUUUUGGGUUAUCUUACGAUGGAUGAAGGAAUAAGGAGUAAGCAAAGCCUAAGCUUGGAGAUGCCCCGGCAACCCAAGCUAUUAUCCAAAAGAUAGCAAGCAAGUAAGCUUGGGGAUGCCCCGAGUGGCAUCCCCUCUUUCUUCUAACGACCAUCGAUAUUUUACUCGAAGCUAUAUUUUUAUUCGUCACAUACUAUGUGUUUUGCUUGGAGCGUCUUGUAUGAUAUGAGUCUUUGCUUGUUUUAUUUUGUGUUUUAAGUCUUGAUUCCUUGCGGGACACACCUAUUUGAGAGAGCCAAAAUUAUGCAUGACUUAUUAGAAUUGCUCUCUAUGCUUCACUUAAAUUUUUUAUGAGCCAUGGACUUGCUCUAGUGCUUCACUUAUAUCUUUUUGAGCACGGUGUGCUUAGUUAUUUUUUAAGAAAUGCUCUCUUGCUUCACUUAGAUUUGUUUUAGAGGUAGUAAAUUUUUCAGGAAAUUCUCUCUUUCUUCACUUAAAUUAAUUUGAAAGAAAGAAAUAUUAUGCUCAUGAUCUUCACUUAUAUUUGUUUGAGCUUAUCAAAAGCAACAUAUGAAAAUUAGUUCCAAAGUGAUAGAUAUCCAAGAAGGAUAUAAUAAAAACUUUCAUGAAGAUCAUUGGACAAAAUAAACUUGAUUCUUAGUAAUAGUUUUAAGAUAUGAUGAUGUGAUAUGUGAGUCAUGUUGAUGAGUAAUUAUGCUUUACUAAGAAUAUUGGUGUUAAGGUUUGUGACUCCCUAUGCAAGCACGAAAGUCAAUAAUUAUGCAAUGAAAUUAUAUCCUACUUGUGGUGCAUUAUUCGGUGUUAAUUAUGCUUAAUGCUCGCUUAUGAGAUUAUUCGUUUCUUGGUUGGUUGCUUCUCAAUCUUUUGCUAGCCUUCAUUUUGCACUAAGUAUGAUCUCUACUUGUGCAUCCAAAAACCUUUAAACCAGUUUUGCCACAUGACUCCACUAUAUCUACCUAUAUGCGGUAUUCUUUUGCCGUUCUAAGCAAAUUUGUAUGUGCCAUCUCUAAUUUUGAAAAUAAACUUCUCUUUUGUGUGUUCGUACCGCUCGCAGAGCUGUGAGGGGUGGCUAAUAUUUUCCAUGCUAGAUGUGUUAUUCUCACGAUGAGUGUUUAUUCACUUGUCAUUGCACGAGAGUAAGGCAAAGGUAUUAGGGAUGCCCAGUCCCGAAAUGAAAAAUGAAUUUACUUUAUGUUGUCAAAUAAUAAAUUCCUUGGAAAGUGUUGGUACGGAGGGAAACCGUGGAUACGGCUAGCCAAGGAAAGUGAAAGUAUGGUUGAAAAAAGAAUAAACUUUAUUUUCUGUUUGGGAACCGCCUAUGAUAUAUCUAGCAUGGAAAGUGUUGGGAACUCUAAGUCGUUUUCGUUGGUGGGAAGGACACACCUCCUGAAAUGUUCUUAUCUCUAAGUUUUUUCGCUUUGAGCUUUGGCACGUCUACAAAUCCCUACUUCCCUCUGUGAAGGGCCUUUGUUUUACUUUAUGCAAUUUUUAUUAUUGAAUUUGAAUCUCCUUAUAAAAGCACCAACUCGGAGGCACUAUGAUCUUACUUGAGCAUUGGGUGUAGCUAAUAUGCAAGUGUGUUUCAUGAAUGGAUCAAUGAUUGAGCAUGAUGGGCUAGGGAUAACUUAUUUUAGCGUUGAUAUUUUGAAAGACAUGGUUGCUUGUUGGUAUGCUUGAGUAUUUAAGUUAUCAUAUCAAAACUAGACUAUUGCUUUGAACAAUAUAAAAGUCCAAAUGUCCAUGCUAUAAAGAAAACAAUAUGAUAUGACAUGUUACGCAGUAUUCCACAUCAAAAAUUCCGUUUUUAUCACUUACCUACUCGAGGACGAGUAGGAGUUAAGCUUGGGGAUGCUGAUACGUCUCCAACGUAUCUAUAAUUUUUUAUUGUUCCAUGCUGUUAUAUUAUCAAUCUUUGAUGUUUUAUAGUCAUUUUAAAUAAUUUUUUGGUACUAACCUAUUGACAUAGUGCCAAGUGCCAGUUGUUGUUUUCUGUAUUUUUUUACAUCGUAGGAAAUCAAUAUCAGACGGAGUCCAAAUGCAAUGAAACUUUACGGAGAUUUUUUUAUUGACCAGAAGACACCUAAUGGGCCAAGGUUGCGCCUGGGGGCGCUCCGAGGAGAGCACAACCCACCAGGGCGCGCCAGGAGGCCCAGGCGCGCCCUAGUGGCUUGUGCCCACCUCGGGUGCCACCCGGACCACCUCUUUGCUCUAUAAAUACCCCAAUAUUCCAGAAACCCUAGGGGAGUCGACGAAAAUCAAUUCCAGCCGCCGCAGAGUCCAGAACCACCAGAUCCAAUCUAGACACUAUCACGGAGGGGUUCACCACUUUCAUUGGUGCCUCUCCGAUAAUGCGUGAGUAGUCCUUUGUAGACCUUCGGGUCCGUAGUUAGUAGCUAGAUGGCUUCCUCCCUCUCGCUAAAUUCUCAAUACAAUGGUCUCUUGGAGAUCCAUAUGAUGUAACUCUUUUUGCGGUGUGUUUGUUGGGAUCAGAUGAACUUUAGUUUAUGAUCAGAUCUAUCUUUUUAUAUCCAUGAAAGUUACUUGAGUUUUUUUGAUCUCUUGUAUGCAUGAUUUGUUAUAGCCUCGUAUUUCUUCUCCGAUAUUUGGGUUUUGUUUGGCCAACUUGAUCUAUUUAUCUUGCAUUGGGAAGAGGUGCUUUGUAGUGGGUUCGAUCUUAUGGUGCUUGAUCCCAGUGAUAGAAGGGGAACCGACACGUAUGUAUCGUUGCUACUAAGGAUAAAAUGAUGGGGUCUAUCUCUACAUAGAUAGAUCUUGUCUACAUCAUGUCAUCGUUCUUAUUGCAUUACUCCCUUUCCCCAUGAACUUAAUACACUAGAUGCAUGCUGGAUAGCGGUCGAUGUGUGGAGUAAUAGUAGUACAUGCAGGCAGGAGUCGGUCUACUAAUCUUGGAUGUGAUGCCUAUAUAUUGAUCAUUGCCUGGAUAUCGUCAUGUUUAUUUGUAGUUCUAUCAAUUGCCCAACAGUAAUUUGCUUACCCAUCAUUUGCUAUUUUUCUCGAGAAAAGCCACUAGUGAAACCUAUGACCCCCGGGUCUCUUUCUCAUUUUAUUUGCCUUCGCAAUCUAUUUUAUUUGCCUUUCAUUUUCAGAUCUAUUAAACCAAAAAUACAAAAAUACCUUCUUGCGCUUUAUUCUUUUUUUUUUAUUUGGCGUUCGAUCUAUCAAUGUACUACAAUUAUCUCACGUAUGUUUGCCAAUUUCUGGCGCCGUUACCCGAAAGGGAUUGACAACCCCUUUAACAUGUCGGGUUGCGAGGAUUUGUUAUCUGUGUGCAGGGGUUGUUUACGUUGUGUUGCUAGGUUCUCCUACUAGUUCUAUAACCUUGGUUUCAUAUCUGAGGGAAAUACCUACCUCUGCUCUGCCGCAUCAUCCCUUCCUCUUUGGGGAAAUACUGACGUAGCUUCAAGCCGCAUCAACCGCUGCGAGUCCCUCUUGCUAGGCGAGGUGGGACUAAAUUUUAGCCAUUGCCAGGACAAGGCCUUUAGUCUCGGUUGAUGGCUCAAUUAAAAUAUUUUGUUAUGAUCCACUUAUAGAAAGUUAUAAUAUUCUUCAAUAGCAAAAAGAAUCAACUAAAAAUCUCUAGUACCGGUUCGUGGCAUGAACCGGUACUAAAGGUGCUGGUGGGGGGCCCAGCCUGACAACAGCCUGCCACCACCUCUUUAGUACCGGUUCGUGGAACGAACUGGUACUAAAGGUUCGCCACGAACUAGUACUAAUGAGCACCGCCCGCCUAGCUGUUGGAACCGACACUAAUGGUCACAUUAGUGCUGGUUCAGUUACAAACCGGGACUAAUGUGCUUCACAUUAGGCCCUUUUUCUACUAGUGUUGCUUCUCCGCCUCCAUCUCAAGCAUCCUCAUUUGCUUCUCUGCCUCCAUCUCAAGCCUCCUCCUUUAGAUCUUCAUGAAGGCGUUCAUUUGUUCUUCCUUGUCUUGUCGGCGCUUCUCCUCCCUUGAGUCCUUCUUAGUCAUCAUGCCCUCCAUGGUAGCGAUCAAGGCAUUGGACGCCGCAUCCCUCUUGUCCUACUUCUUGGAGUUGGUCUUCCCCCACGGCCGUGGCUUCUCGCCCUCCCCAACCUCCUCCACGACUUUCUCUCCCCCACGCAACAUGAGGGCGGCAUAUUGCACCUUGAACUUCUCCUCGUCUUUGAUGACCCUCCAACAAUGAGAGAGGUUGAAGGACUUACCAUCAUGUUGGACCUUGAAUGCCUCCAAAGCUUGGAAUGCCUACAAAUGAAAUGCAUGCAAGCAUAUUGGCAAAUGGAUAUGAAUAUGGACUUGCAAGAAUAAACGGAAGAGGGGCGCAUGCAUGCAUACCAUAUCUUGCAUGCCGAUGCCGCUCACCGGGCGUGACUUGAUGCUCUCAAAGGUGGCACAAAACUUGUCAUGCUCUUGUUGGAUCACCUUCCAUCGGUUCGAAAUGGACACCCACCCGCGCAUGCUUUAUAUCUGGUACGGCAGAAACUUCUUGCGUUCGUGGAACUCACGAUGGACACGAGUCCAAAAGGUUGAUUCCUUUUGUUCGGCACCGACCAUGGGGUCUUGCCCAAUGUCCCUCCAAAACUCACAAAGGAGCUUGUCCUCGACCGUGGUGUAUGCCUUCGUCCGCCUGCUCUUGUGCUUUGGCUUCAGCCCGGCGGCUUGGCUGGCGAGCCCGUCCUCUUCCUCAAGGCCGUAGUCCUCCGGAAACUCGUGGUCGAACAGGAAGUCGUCUAGGUCCAGGCCGAAGUGAUCUUGCAUGAAGGCGUCCUGCAUGCUAUCUUGAUCAUAGGUCGACGGCGUGAACGGCCCUCAGCCGUCCUGGCUUUGUGUCUCCUCUGAAUCGUAGGCAGCCGCGGCGGCACCACAGGCGGCCGACGUACCACCCUCGAAGAUGAUGCUCACCAUGAAACGGUCGGCCGUCUUGUCUUCGCCGGAUGACGAGGCACCGACUACCGGUGUGGCGUUGAGAUCGAUGGGCGCGGGCGCGGGCAUGGAAUGCGCCACCACGCUCACCUCCAGCGAGCAUUCCCUGAAGAAUUGGGAGGCUUGCAAGUAGACGUGGAAGCCGGGAAUCGAGUAAGACGCCGACGCGCGAGGCGACUCUGGGAGCACCAUCCGAGGAAACGCGGACGAGUCGGAGCUGGCCACGGCCACAGCGGCGUUGACGAGCCCGUGCUGGCCAGGGUUUAGCCCUAGGUAGAUUAGCGCCUCCCUCAUUGCCGCGGCGACGUGGGCGGCGGUGUCCUCCUGCUGCGCGGCGGCGGCCAUGGCGAUGGCAGCGGACGCUGCUUCGUCCCACGCGUCCGCCGCGUGCCUUCGGCCCUUUCGCUUCGGUGACUCCGCGGCCCGCUCCUCGGACGUCAGCUGCUUCUUCUUCUUGGGCACGGUGGCAGUCUUGCGGGAGGCGCGCGGCUUGCCUUUGCCGAAGGGGGCGGCUGUGAUGCUGGACGAGGCAAGGGCGACGAGGCCGCCGACAGUAUCGAGGUCCUCAUCCAUGGCGUGCGGCCGGGAGCGAGCACGGGCGGAAGGUUUUUGAGAAAGUGGACGAAAAUGUUGGAGGCUUUGCCACCAAUUGGCAGGUCAGGGGUAGUUGGCACGCAACGCGCUUCUCCGUCUCGUGUCGCGCGCCAACGCAAAUGAGGCUCAAAAUUGGGCUGAGAAUGGGUCGGCAGGCGAACGAAAAGCGGACACGCGUCCAUUUGGGUCGGCACAUUGUGCCGACUUUUCUGUCCGCACCGACCCAAAUGAACGCGCGCGAACGAAAUGGGUCGUCACGUUGGAGUUGCUCUUACGUGGCACUGUAACAAGAAAUGAGGACCAGUGGAAACCAGCAUAUGCACCUAGAAGAAUCGUAUGGAUCUGCAUAUGUAAUUGAUCUAUAUCAUACGGACCCAUAAAUGAUAGGAAGGUCCUAGCUACCAGGUACCAGCUAUCCUGGUUACUCCAUUUGCUGCCCCUCCAACCUGGGUUCCGGUCAUGUCCUCGGGGUCUGUCGGUGGUUCCGUGUUCUUGUUCUGGACGGACGCUUGUAAGAUCAGGUUUUCGAUCGGGAGCCUUCUGUUGACAUUAUAAAAGUGCGUGUAUUCAAAGGAGAUGUAUGCAUUUCUCCGUGACAAAGCAAAUUAAGUUCUGCUGCUAGCUAUUUUCAAAAAAGAGUCUUGCCCCACCACUUGCGUCGUUUGCAAAGCCCUUAAAUAUACUGAUAUGUUAUACACACACACAUAUACACAUGAGAUUUAAUUUUAAAGAGCACACGGACAUGUUCGUUCUCGUGUUAAUGAAAUCCUAGAAAAUCUCAUUAAUUAACCAUGGGAUCUAUAAUUCCGAGAUCUUUAGCUGUUGGAUGUAUGUAAUGCCUUAAGAUGCAUUAAAACAAAUAUACGUGAGAUUUAAUUUUAAAGGCCUUAAGGUGCAUAAAAAAUACGCAUGAGAUUUAAUUUUAAAUAGCACAAGGACAUGUUCAUUGUCGUGUUAAUGAAAUCCUAGAAAAUCUCAUUAAUUAACCUUCGGAUCUGUAACUCCGAGAUCUUUAGCCAUUGGAUUUACAUAAUGCCUCAACCUGCAUCAAAAAAAAUAUACGCAUGAGAUUUAAUUUUAAAGGCCUUAACCUGCAUAAAAAAAUAUACGCAUGAGAUUUAAUUUUAAAGAGCAGACAGACAUCUUCAUUGUCGUCCGCUGGCUGUAUGAAUUAGAAUAACAUAUAUUUACUUAGUUGGAUUAGAGAGAAGAGAAAAGAGAAGAGAAGUGGGCUCUGGAUUAAAGCAAGUACAAUAAAAUGACGUAGGCGGGCUAUAAAAGAUGUCAUCUUAAAUUUGUGCUUUUUUAGUUAACCUUAAAUUUGUGCUUAGUUGAAGGAGAGAGAAGCGGGCUACAAGUGUGACAAAAGCCUUUUUCAGUAGGCAGGCUACAAACUUACAAUCGACUGUAGCACGAGCUCAAACAACCUUUGUAAGAAGAUAUGGGCCAUAUAUUAAUUCACAGUGUGACUUAAUGUUGACAUGAAUUGAUACAGGUGGACAUAGUUAGAGCAACUCUAGCAGACCCCGCAUCCCGCCCCGACUGUUAAAAUAACCGCCAAAAUGCGGGUCGGGCAGGAAAACCAGCCCGAUCAGACCCCGCAUCCCGCCCCCGCCCGCAAAAAAAUUUAGGGGGCGCGGCAAAAUCCCAACCCCAACCCGGGAAAACGCGGGUUUCCCUCUCGCGGCUGCGGUGCCCUGCAUAUAGGAGGAAGCGGCUGGUGAGGGGACAUUUCAUGCCGCGCUUUCUCCCACCAACCACCUCUCCUCUCCCCCCUCGCGCCGCUGCCGGCCGCCGCCCAAGAUUCUGGCGAAAGCAGCCGGCAGGAGCACGCCGGAAGGCCGCCACGCACACGAGGCCUCCCCUUCCUCCCCCUGCGUCGGCGGGCCACCGGAUUUGCAGAUUUGCAGCACUUCAUCGCGGGUCGCCGGAUUUGGCUUUUUCCGGCCGCCGGUUGCUGUCCCAAGCUAUGGAGUGGUCGGGGAGCCUCUCCCACAGCCCAGGCAAGGGCGCAUUGCCGCAUGCAGGUACGGGUUCGUCCGCCCGCCGCCGCCGAAGGUUUGCGGGCUUGGACUCAUCCGGCCGUCCACCGGGCUCGGCGCUCACGCAGCGUCUUUGUGGCAUGCCGAUGCCGCUCAUAGAGUGUGACGACUGCACGCGGAAAGUGCUGCGGCUCACUUCGGGCACGCCGAAGCACCCUGGGUGGGUGUUCUUCAAAUGCGAAAAUGACGGGGUACGUGCACUUGCGGUAGCUCGUUUCAUAGUUCAUUCUUUAGUUCAACUGCGGUAGCUCACUUCGAGCUUGCUCACUCUUUUGUGUAGGACGAUGGAUGCUCAUUUUGGUUUUGGGAAGGCCAAUACAUUUAUUUGUUGAUAGAAAGAAACUUAAUAGAUGUUAGUGCACUCCUUAGUACAAUCGAAGGCAAUGAUGCGGCUGCAUGUGCAAAUAGAGGGGAAGCAACGUCUACUUCUUUCGAACCAAAGAUGAAGAAAGAAGAAUGCAAAAUCAAGAAUCCACAGAUCAACAACGAAUGCAUGGAGAAGAUAUUAGUCCAACUAGUGGGGGCAGUUAUGGAAGUUGGAAAUCUUCUAAAAUGCAUACUUGUGGUUCUUAUUUUCUUUGGUCUUGCUAUUCUAGCAAAGAUUUGGUGAUGUCUUUUGUAUCCAAUGUUGUUGAUAAAGCAAAGCAAUGCAAUAUGCUAGAUCAAAUUAAGGUGCAAAUUUAAGUUUUGCGGGCCGGGAGAAGUUGCACCAGAUCAGACGCGGCAACCCAACCCGUAAAAAAGCAUAUUCCAGGAAUAUCGUUUUUACGGAUCCAUUAUGCGGGGUCUGCAACUGCGGCCGUCCGCGCCGGCCCGCAAAGCCGUUUUCCCGCGAACUGCAAAAACGUUUAGCGGGUCGGGAGGAUGUGGGGUCUGCUAGAGUUGCUCUUACUCUGCGUCUGUAAAUAAAGGUCAUCAUUUUUAUUGCUCUAGGGACCCAUAAAUGAUAGGGACUGUCCGCUACCAGCUACCAGCUAGUAGCUACCCUGGUGACUACAUUUGCUGCCCCUCAAACAUGGGUUCCCGACAUGUUCUCAGGGUCUGUCGGUGGUUCCAUGUUCUGGCCUUUGGGGUUGGUUUAACUAGUGGUAUGGGGGUUCUUGCAUCGCCCUGUACUCUCGAUCGGGACCCUUUAAUUCUAGGUGACAUACAGUGCGUGUAUUUAAAGCCGAGGCAUGGAUCCUCCGUGCCAAAGAAAAUUAAUUCAGCGGCUACUCGGGGAGAGUUGUGGCAGCAUAUCCGGGAUGCCAGCUUUUUAUUUUGGGUUUUGAUUGUCAAAGUUUUAGAUCUUAAAAAAAACUAAAAUUAAGUGCUGUUUUCAUAUUCGUGUUUCUCGUGACCAGCGCCUUGAAAUAAUAUCCAUUUUGAAUAUAUUUUGACGACUUUGAAAAAUGUUAAGUUUCAAAUGUUGAAACUUAGUAUGAGCAACCAAUAAAAAUCAAUUAUUUUGUACCUACGCCUGACAGAAAAAUGCUUACAGUUAUAUCCCUGAAACUUGCUGAAACUUUGCAUUUUUCAUCAUUGAAACUUAAAACUGUUUAAGGGAUUUUCUUUUUUACUGUGCCCUCAUGUGGGAUUCAACUACUCUUUUCUCUCCGUGAGAUCCACAUAAAAAAAGCACAAAUUUAAGAUGAGUGCCCUGCACUUACAUGCCCCUGCGAAUUUCCGCAGCUACUAGCUAUUUUUGGAAGAAAAAAAUCUUGCCCCGCCACUCCCAUCAUUAGCAGAGCCCUUAAAUAUACUCACAUGUACCAAAUUACGAGUCAGAAUCAAACAUGCGUUGGCAUCAUUACCUACGAACUCUACUAAACAAUGUUCCAACUAUCCUGCGAGUCAAAUCUAAUAACUCUUGUCUUGCACGUUGCAUUGUCCAUUGGCAGAUCUUUUUAAGAAUUUUACGUCAGAUCUAAUUUUAUUUGAACGAAUGAAAGAUAAGCAAGUAGUAGUAAAAUCGACCCAAUUUGCACAGCCGAAAUGUGGACCAGACAAUUUACUCUUUGUUACGGGACUAAGAAAUUCGGACCGGCUAAUNNNNNNNNNNNNNNNNNNNNNNNNNNNNNNNNNNNNNNNNNNNNNNNNNNNNNNNNNNNNNNNNNNNNNNNNNNNNNNNNNNNNNNNNNNNNNNNNNNNNNNNNNNNNNNNNNNNNNNNNNNNNNNNNNNNNNNNNNNNNNNNNNNNNNNNNNNNNNNNNNNNNNNNNNNNNNNNNNNNNNNNNNNNNNNNNNNNNNNNNNNNNNNNNNNNNNNNNNNNNNNNNNNNNNNNNNNNNNNNNNNNNNNNNNNNNNNNNNNNNNNNNNNNNNNNNNNNNNNNNNNNNNNNNNNNNAUGUCUCCCAUUUCUCAAUCCCAUCCCGACGGUGUGUCUACCAUGUUUAGAGGGCGCAUGGGGGAGUUACUCCAUUGGUUCUCGCGGGAUUUGAUCGAUGAUGGUUUUCCGUGGAUUUCCUUGAAUCCAGUUUUUGUUCAUCCUCAUCCGUGCGUUUAAAUAUCCCAACAAGGCGAAGAUUUGGUUGUGCACAGGCAACUGAGGAGGUGACCUACUUCUUUACUGUCUCCUAUGUCCCUUGUUACCCACUGAUCCUAGAUCCACAGCUCGAGACCCCCUACCCUGAGGUCUACCAGUUUUACCACUGACAACCGGCCACAAGGGAGAAAUCCCUUUGAAUUUAGAGAUAAGAUCUUAUCUCUAGAUUUAACCCUUUAAAUUUAGAGAUAUGACCUUAUCUCUAGAUUUUAAAGACAUGGAACUUAGGGACGAUGCGGCCAGCCCAUGUGGGUUGUUGCCCCACCCCUCGGUCUAUGUGGGGACUUUUCGGGUCGUUGGGCCCCAUGGUGGAACCCCGGAACAUUUCCGGUACUCUACCAAAUAUUCCCAAACUUUUCUGGAACCCAUAAAACCACUUUCCUUACAUAACUCUUUACCUCCAGAGCUCCUCGUGAUGUCCCGGAUUCUAUCCAGGACUCUGAACUACCUUCAGACUUACCACUAUGAAUGUCCCAAAACUAUCCAAUAGUGGUAAGUCUGAACGUUAAGUGUGUGACCCUGCGGGUUCGAGAACAUGCAUAAAUGACCGAGACACCUCUCCAAUCAAUAAUCAAUGAACAUCUUUAUCGGUUUGAACCACGAUGUCAAUGAUUCAGUUAAUCCCGUAUACAAUUCCCUUUGUCCAAUGAUUUGUUAUUUGCCCGAGAUUCGAUCGUCAGUAUCGCCAUACCUAGUUCAAUCUCAUUACCGGCAAGCCCCUUUACUCAGUCCUUAAUACAAGAUCCACGUGACUAAACACAUUGGUCACAUGCUUCCAAUCUAUUCACGAUGUUGUAUUACCGAGAGGACCUAGAGAUAUCUCUCUGUCAUAUGGAGUGACAAAUCCUACACUCGAUCUAUGUAACCCAACAAACACUUUCUGAGAUACCUAUAGAGCACCUUUCUGAUCACCCAGUUACGAAGUGACGUUUGUUUACCCAUAAUGUAUUCUUCCAGUAUUAGGGAGUGGCACGAUCUCAUGGUCUAAGGAACAGAUUCUUGACAUGAAGAAAGUUGUAGAAAAUAAACUAAGUGAUACGAUCUGAUGCUAAGCUUAUGGUUGGGUCUGUCCAUCACAUCAUAAUCCUAAUGAUGUGAUCCCAUUAUUAAAUGAUAACUCGUGUCUAUGGUUAGGAAACCUUAACCAUCUUUAAUUAAUGAGCUAGCCUAGUAGAGGCUCACUAGGGACACGUUGUCUAUUUAUGUAUCCACACAUGUAUUUAAGUCUCUGGUCAAUACAAUUCUAGCAUGCAUAAUAAAUAUUUAUCAUGAACACGGAAAUACGACAAUAACAUCUUUCUUAUUGCCUCUAGGACAUAUUUCCUACAGAUUAGUAGGAUAAAAGAUCAAGGUGGCCUUGGCAUUCAUGGCAUGAAGGUCAAGAAGGAUGCCUUACAUAGGAAAUGGUUAUUCAAAAUACUUACUAGGGGUGGCGUUUGGCAAACCUGUUGCGAAAGAAGUAUCUAAUACUAUGCCAAAAACUUAUCUCUCACACAUAUUGGAAAGCUGGUGACUCACACUUUUCGGGUGGUGUCGUGGAAUUCUCACGGCAGAUGUCCUAGUGUGAGGACUUAGUCGUGAGGCCAACGCAUCUAUGUGGUAGCUUGAGAGGGGUUGAUUGGGACGAGAGACGCAACACACAAGACAAGAAUUUAGACAGCUUCGGGCCCCAGGAAACAUCAUCCAAUAAUAGCCCUACAUGCUGUUUGUGGCUAGGUCUCAUUAUGAUCAUGAGAGAGUCAUCGGUAAGCCGGCUCUUUGUGUCUAGCCCUAGAGAUUGUUUCUUGUUUCUUGUCCCUCUUGGGGUGCCCUGCCCCUCCUUAUAUAAGUUAGAGGGGCGGGUUACAUAUGGAGUCCUAGUAGGAUUAGGACUAGUCUAUCUUUCUUUACAAGUUGAAUACAAGUCCGGGUCUUGCUUCCUUGUGAAGGAAAUAAUCCUCACGCCUUUCAUCUUAAACCGGCCCACCAAAGUAUAAGCCAGCCUGCUGGGCCUUGGGCCUUGUCGUCCGUCUGAUCAGCCCGCCGGGUCUCCAGUGAAUUACAAUGUCCAGGCGGGUUACCCUGUGAACCGCCAUGUUCGGGCGGAUCGCCAGUGAGUCGCCAAGCUCCAGCCAGGUCUCUGGUGAGUCGCCAAGUCCGGCCGGGUCAUACCGCGGGGUAUAUCCCCGACAUUAGCCCCCAGUUUAAUUUGGAUUUAUCCAUGUUAAACUGAUCCUGCAACAUAAACACAAGAACAAAUUUGACAGGUUGUGCUCCGGGUUAAAUAUUCUUGUAAGCCGGCACCUGAUCAUCCUUAAGUCCUUGACAUUUUCUCCUGAAAUAUCCGGGUCAAUAUUGGUCUUGAAAUAUCCAGCUUCAUAAUCCAUUUGCUGACAUUGGCUCUUGUAAAGAAAUAUUAUAAGAAAUAAUCCAUUUGAUUCGGCCUUCAAUGCUCUGAUUUGACAAAAAUAUUGCUCUUGAAAUAUCCAACUGAUAUUCAGCCGGCUUAAAGAUGUAGAUUCUUGCCGACGAUUGCCACAAUUGUCGGGUUAGAAAUAAAUGAUGCCGGGUCAUGAUUGUUGCAGACACCGGGUUAAUCUGGUCUACUCCAAACUGAGAAUUUGAAGAUUUUUUUCUCCCUUAUAUGCAUAUUACCUGUAGCCCCUAAGUCUUAAGGGGAGAACAUAGUGAUAACUUAAGACUUGCUUCAAUAUAAGUGUUGCAACCUUGAAGAAAUCCGGUUUAUUCAUCUCAAUCAUUAGUCAUAAGCUGAAUAUUCCACAUUCCACAUAUGUAGCCCCCAAGUGCCGAGUUGUCAUGCUUGCAGCAACCUGGGACUUGUAAUUGCCUUAUGCUCAUAAAAACUUCAACUAGUGUAGCCCCCAAGGGCCGGGUCAUUAUGCAAUAAUGAGCAGGGACUUUGUAAAUAUGAUCAUGUAAACUUGACCAGCAACGUGUAGCCCCCAAGGGCCGGGUCAGUAAGAUAUUACCGAGCUGGGACUUUGUAUAUGAUUCAUCGAUAAUAACAGCAUAUGAUGUGAUCUCCACCAUGGGGUUUGAACCCACGUCCAUAAGGUUAAGAGCUUUGUACUCUACCAACUGAGUAGUGGAUCUUUCAAUAUAAUGGAUUAAGGCUUGUGUACCUUGAAUUUUCGACAAGAGCAAUUGGUAGCCCCCAAGGGCCGGCUCAUUUAGAAUGUGAUGAGUCGGGUCUUCAAUAAGUUGAACAAAAAAUGACUUUGCAUUAGCCCCCAAGUGCAAUGGUACAUGCUGGCAGUAACAUGGGACUUGCAUAUUCGAUGUAAUAUCAAUUUGAAUAAUGUAGUCCCCAAGUGCCAGGUCGUAAGCCUGCAGCGACUCGGGACUAUUCCUUACAUUAUAGAAUAAAUCAUAUCCAUCGAUAAAAUAAUAGCCAUUGCGCCAAAGCGACUUUGAAUACCUCAUCUGUUGAUAAGUAAAUCCGGAGUUUAAAUACCCGGCGGCUCUUGGCCGAUGGCGAUUUAAUACGCCUCCAUUGUAAGCCGGAAUUUUUAUAAUCCGGCGGCUUAUAGCCUUUCAGAACAUCAAGAAUUGAUAACCCUUCUGAGACUCCAAUUUCAAUCUAUGAUGAUGGGCUUGAACUUAAUCAUUUAUGUAAGUCAUAGCUCUGCAAAUCCUGCAUAGAGUUUAAACAACAUAUGCCCUGGCGACUUAACGUCAAGCCAGGGCGGGUAACCACCCAAAUGUAGUAUCCUGCACACAAGUAGAUCACAAGAUCCCUUGGCGGUUUACCGCAGGGCGGGUCAUAAUAUCUCACUGUUGGAAAUAUGCCCUAGAGGCAAUAAUAAAAUGGUUAUUAUUGUAUUUCCUUGUUCAUGAUAAUUGUCUGGUGUUCAUGCUAUAAUUGUAUUAACUGGAAACCGUAAUACAUGUGUGAAUACAUAGACCACAACAUGUCCCUAGUAAGCCUCUAGUUGACUAGCUCGUUGAUCAAUAGAUGGUUAUGGUUUCCUGACCAUGGACAUUGGAUGUCAUUGAUAACGGGAUCACAUCAUUAGGAGAAUGAUGUGAUGGACAAGACCCAAUCCUAAGCAUAGCACAAGAUCGUGUAGUUCGUUUGCUAGAGCUUUUCUAAUGUCAAGUAUCAUUUCCUUAGACCAUGAGAUUGUGCAACUCCCGGAUACCGUAGGAAUGCUUUGGGUGUACCAAACGUCACAACGUAACUCGGUGGCUGUAAAGGUGCACUACAGGUAUCUCCGAAAGUGUCUGUUGGGUUGGCACGAAUCGAGACUGGGAUUUGUCACUCCGUAUGACGGAGAGGUAUCUCUGGGCCCACUCGGUAAUGCAUCAUCAUAAUGAGCUCAAUGUGACUAAGGAGUUAGCCACGGGAUCAUGCGUUACAGUACGAGUAAAGUGACUUGCCGAUAACGAGAUUGAACAAGGUAUUGGGAUACCGACGAUCGAAUCUCGGGCAAGUAACGUACCGAUUGACAAAGGGAAUUGUAUAUGGGAUUGAUUGAAUCCUCGACAUCGUGGUUCAUCCGAUGAGAUCAUCGUGGAACAUGUGGGAGCCAACAUGGGUAUCCAGAUCCCGCUGUUGGUUAUUGACCGGAGAGUCGUCUCGGUCAUGUCUGCAUGUCUCCCGAACCCGUAGGGUCUACACACUUAAGGUUCGGUGACGCUAGGGUUGUAGAGAUAUUAGUAUGCGGAAAUCCGAAAGUCGUUCGGAGUCCCGGAUGAGAUCCCGGACGUCACGAGGAGUUCCGGAAUGGUCCGGAGGUAAAGAUUUAUAUAUGGGAAGUCCUAUUUUGGCCACCGGAAAAUGUUCGGGAAUUUUCGGUAUUGUACCGGGAAGGUUCUAGAAGGUUCCGAAGUGGGGCCCACCUGCAUGGGGGACCCACAUGAACGUGGGUAGUGGGGGCAAGGCCCCACACCCCUGGUCAAGGCGCACCAAGAUCCCACCUUAGAAGGAAUAAGAUCAUAUCCCGAAGGGAUAAGAUCAAGAUCCCUAAAAAAGGGGAUAACAAUCGGUGGGGAAGGGAAAUGAUGGGAUUUCUUUCCCCCACCUUUGCCAACGCCCCAAUGGACUUGGAGGGCAAGAAACCAGCCCCCUCCACCCCUAUAUAUAGUGGGGAGGCGCAUGGGAGCAGCAACCCAAGCCCUGGCGCCUCCCUCCCUCCCGUGACACCUCUUCCUCCCCGCUUGCGCUUGGCGAAGCCCUGCCGGGAUCCCGCUACUUCCACCACCACGCCGUCGUGCUGCUGGAUCUCCAUCAACUUCUCCUCCCCCCUUGCUGGAUCAAGAAGGAGGAGACGUCCCCGCUCCGUACAUGUGUUGAACGCGGAGGUGCCGUCCGUUCGGCGCUAGGUUCAUCGGUGAUUUGGAUCACGACGAGUAUGACUCCAUCAACCCCGUUCUCUUGAACGCUUCCGCUCGCGAUCUACAAGGGUAUGUAGAUGCACUCCUCCCCUCUCAUUGUUAGCAUCUCCUAGAUUGAUCUUGGUGACACAUAGGAAAAUUUUGAAUUUCUGCUACGUUCGCCAACAGUGGCAUCAUGAGCCAGGUUUAUGCGUAGAUUCUAUGCAUGAGUAGAACACAAAGUAGUUGUGGGCGACGAUUUGUUCAAUUUUCUUACCGUUACUAGUCUUAUCUUGAUUCGGCGGCAUUGUGGGAUGAAGCGGCCCGGACCGACCUUACACGUACUCUUACGUGAGACAGGUUCCACCGACUGACAUGCACUUGAUGCAUAAGGUGGCUAGCGGGUGUCUGUCUCUCCCACUUUAGUCGGAUCGGAUUCGAUGAAAAGGGUCCUUAUGAAGGGUAAAUAGCAAUUGGCAUAUCACCGUUGUGGCUUUUGCGUAGGUAAGAAACGUUCUUGCUAGAAACCCAUAGCAGCCACGUAAAACAUGCAACAACAAUUAGAGAACGUCUAACUUGUUUUUGCAGGGUAUGCUAUGUGAUGUGAUAUGGCCAAAAGGAUGUGAUGAAUUAUAUAUGUGAUGUAUGAGAUUGAUCAUGUUCUUGUAAUAGGAAUCACGACUUGCAUGUCGAUGAGUAUGACAACCGGCAGGAGCCAUAGGAGUUGUCUUAAUUUGUUGUAUGACCUGUGUGUCAAUGAAAAACGCCAUGUAAUUACUUUACUUUAUUGCUAACCGUUAGCCAUAGUAGUAGAAGUAAUAGUUGGUGAGACAACUUCAUGAAGACACGAUGAUGGAGAUCAUGGUGUCAUGCCGGUGACGAAGGUGAUCAUGCCGCGCCUCGAAGAUGGAGAUCAAAAGGCGCAAGAUGAUAUUGGCCAUAUCAUGUCACUUUAUGAUUUGCAUGUGAUGUUUGUCAUGUUUACAUCUUAUUUUCUUAGAACGACGGUAGCAUAAAUAAGAUGAUCCCUCACUAAAAUUUCAAGAGAUGUGUUCCCCCUAACUGUGCACCGUUGCGAAGGUUCGUUGUUUCGAAGCACCACGUGAUGAUCGGGUGUGAUAGAUUCUAACGUUCGCAUACACCGGGUGUUGACGAGCCUAGCAUGUACAGACAUGGCCUCGGAACACAAGCAAAACACUUAGGUUGACUUGACGAGCCUAGCAUGUACAGACAUGGCCUCGGAACACAAGAGACCGAAAGGUCGAACAUGAGUCGUAUAGUAGAUACGAUCAACAUGGAGAUGUUCACCGAUGAUGACUAGUCCGUCUCACGUGAUGAUCGGACACGGCCUAGUCGAUUCGGAUCAUGUAUCACUUAGAUGACUAGAGGGAUGUCUAUCUAAGUGGGAGUUCAUUAAAUAAUCAAAUGAACUUAAUUAUCAUGAACAUAGUCAAAAGGUCUUUGCAAAUAAUGUCGUAGCUUACGCUUUAGUUCUACUAAGAUAUUUUCCUAGAGAAAAUUUAGUUGAAAGUUGAUAGUAGCAAUUAUGCGGACUAGGUCCGUAAACUGAGGAUUGUCCUCAUUGCUGCACAGAAGGCUUAUGUCGUUAAUGCACCGCUCGGUGUGCUGAACCUCGAGCGUCGUCUGUAGAUGUUACGAAACAUCUGACAUACAUGUUUUGAUGACUACGUGAUAGUUCAGUGUGUGAUGCUAACGGUUUAAAAUUGUGGCACCAAAGACGGUUUUGAAAUGUCGCAGAACAUAUGAGAUGUUCCAAAGACUGAAAUUGGGAUUUCAGACUAAUGCCCACGUCAAGAGGUAUGAGACCUCUGACAAGUUUCUUAAGCCUGCAAACUAAGGGAGAAAAGCUCAAUCGUUGAGCAUGUGCUCAGAUUGUCUGAGUACUACAAUCACUUGAAUCGAGUGGGAGUUAAUCUUCCAGAUGAGAUAGUGAUGGUUCUCCAUAGUCACUGCCACCAAGCUAUUAGAGCUUCGUGAUGAACUAUAACAUAUCAGGGAUAGACAUGAUGAUCCUUGAGCAACUCGCGAUGUUUGACACCGCGAAAGUAGAAAUCAAGAAGGAGCAUCAAUUGUUGAUGGUUAGUAAAACCACUAGUUUCUAGAAGGGCAAGGGCAAGAAGGGAUACUUCAUGAAACGGCAAAUCAGUUGCUGCUCUAGUGAAGAAACCCAAGGUUGAACCCAAACCCGAGACUAAGUGCUUCUGAAAUGAGGGGAACGGUCACUGAAGCAGAACUACCCUAGAUACUUCGUAGAUGAGAAGGCUGGCAAGGUCGACCGAAGUAUAUUGGAUAUACAUUAUAUUAAUGUGUACUUUACUAGUACUCCUAGUAGCACCAGGGUAUUAGAUACCGGUUCGGUUGCUAAGUGUUAGUAACUCGAAAUAAAAUAUGCGGAAUAAACGAAGACUAGCUAAAGGUGAGAUGACGAUAUGUGUUGGAAGUGUUUCCAAGGUUGAUGUGAUCAAGCAUCGCAUGCUCCCUCUACCAUCGAGAUUGGGGUUAAACCUGAAUAAUUAUUAUUUGGUGUUUGCAUUGAGCAUAGACAUGAUUGGAUUAUGUUAUCGCAAUACGGUUAUUCAUUAAAGGAGAAUAAUGGUUACUCUGUCUAUUUGAAUAAUACCUUCAAUGGUCUUGCACCUAAAAUGAAUGGUUUAUUGAAUCUCGAUCGUAGUGAUACACAUGUUCAUGCCAAAAGAUAUAAGAUAGUAAUGAUAGUACCACAUACUUGUGGCACUGCCAUUUGAGUCAUAUUGGUAUAAAACGCAUGAACAAGCUCCAUGUUGAUGGAUCUUUGGACUCACUCGUUUUUGAAAAGAUUGAGACAUGCGAACCAUGUCUAUUAGUAUAUAUGCAUGAAGAAAGUCCAUACAGAUGGAUCAUUUGGACUCACUUGAUUUUGAAUCACUUGAGACAUGCAAAUCAUACCACAUGGGCAAGAUGACUGAAAGGCCUCGUUUUCAGUAAGAUGGAACAAGAGAGCAACUUGUUGGAAGUAAUACAUUUGAUGUGUGCAGUCCAAUGAGUGCUGAGGCACGCAGUGGAUAUCGUUAUGUUCUUACUUCACAGAUGAUUUGAGUAGAUGCUGAGAAUAUUUACUUGAUGAAACACAAGUUUGAAUUAUUGAAAGGUUCAAGUAAUUUCAGAGUGAAGUUGAAGAUCGUCGUGACAAGAGGAUAAAAUGUCUGUGAUAUGAUCAUAGAGGUGAAUAUCUGAGUUACGAGUUUGGCACACAAUUAAUAAAUUGUGGAAAUUGUUUCACGACUAAUACCGCCUGGAACACCAUAUUGUGAUGGUGUGUCCGAACAUCAUAACUGCACCCUAUUGGAUAUGGUGCAUACCAUGAUGUCUCUUAUCGAAUUACAACUAUCGUUUAUGGGUUAGGCAUUAGAGACAACCGCAUUCACUUUAAAUAGGGAACCACGCAAUUCCGUUGAGACGACACCGUAUGAACUAUGGUUUAGAGAAACCUAAGCUGUCGUUUCUUAAAAGUUUGGGGCUGCGACGCUUAUGUGAAAAAGUUUCAGGCUGAUAAGCUCGAACCCAAAGCGGAUAAAUGCAUCUUCAUAGAAUACCCAAAACAGUUGGGUAUACCUCCUAUUUCAGAUCUGGAAGCAAAAGUGAUUGUUUCUAGAAAUGGGUCCUUUCUCGAGGAAAAGUUUCUCUCGAAAGAAUUGAGUGGGAGGAUGGUGGAGACUUGAUGAGGUCAUUGAACCGUCACUUCAACUAAUGUGUAGCAGGGCACAGGAAGUUGUUCCUGUGGCACCUACACCAAUUGAAGUGGAAGCUUAUGAUAGUGAUCAUGAAACUUCAGAUCAACUCACUACCAAACCUCAUAGGACGACAAGGAUGCGUACUACUUCAGAGUGGUACGUAAUCCUGUCUUGGAAGUCAUGUUGCUAGACAACAAUGAACCUACGAGCUAUGGAGAAGCGAUGGUGGGCCCGGAUUCCGACGAAUGGCUCGAGGCCAUAAAAUCCGAGAGGAUCCAUGUAUGAAAACAAAGUAUAGACUUUGGAAGAACUACUUGAUGGUCGUAAGGCUGUUGGGUACAGAUGGAUUUUAAAGGGAAGACAAACAAUGAUGGUAAGUGUCACCAUUAAGAAAGCUCGACUUGUCGUUAAGAUGUUUUCCGGCAAGUUCAAGGAGUUGACUGCGAUGAGACUUUCUCACUCGUAGCGAUGCUAAGAGUCUGUUAGAAUUAUAUUAGCAGUUACUGCAUUAUUUAUGAAAUCUUGCAGAUAGGAUGUCAAAACAUUGUUUCCUCGACGAUUUUCUUGAGGAAAGGUUGUAUGUGAUACAACCAGAAGGUUUUGUCAAUCCUGAAAGAUGCUAACAAGUAUGCAAAGCUCCAGCAAUCCUUCUAAGGAUUGGAGUAAGCAUCUCGGAGUUGGAAUGAACGCUUUGAUGAGAUGAUCAAAGAUUUUGGGUUUAUACAAAGUUCAUGAGAAACUUGUAUUUCCAAAGAAGUCAGUGGGAGCACUAUAGAAUUUUUGAUGAGUAUAUGUUGUUAACAUAUUGUUGAUCAGAAAUGAUGUAGAAUUUCUGGAAAGCAUCCAGGGUUGUUUGAAAAGUGUUUUUAAUGGAAAACCUAGAUUAACCUACUUGAACAUUGAGCAUCAAGAUCUAUAAGGAUAGAUCAAAAAUGCUUAAUAGUACUUUCAAAUGAAUACAUACCGUGACAAGAUUUUGAAGGAGUUCAAAAUAGAUCAGCAAAGAAGGAGUUCUUGGCUGUGUUACAAGGUGUGAGUAUUGAGUAAGACUCAAGACCUGACCACGGCAGAAGAAAGAGAAAGGACGAAGGUCGUCCCCUAUGCUUUAGACGUAGGCUUUGCAAUAUGCUAUGCUGUGUACCGCACCUGAAGUGUGCCUUGCCAUGAGUUAGUCAAGGGGUACAAUAGUGAUCCAGCAACGAAUCACAUGACAGCGGUCGAACUUAUCCUUAGUAUCUAGUGGACUAAGGAAUUUUCUUGAUUAUGGAGGUGGAAAGGGGGUUCGUCGUAAAGGGUUAUGUCGAUACAAACUUUGACACUAAUCCGGAUGACUCUGAGUAGUGAACCAGAUUCGUAUAGUAGAGCAGUUAUUUGGAAUAGCUCCAAGUAGCGCGUGGUAGCUGCAUCUACAAGAUGACAUAGAGAUUUGUAAAGCACACACGGAUCUGAAUGUGGCAGACCCGUUGACUAAAACCUCUCUCGUAAGCAUAACAUGAUCAAACCCUAGAACUCAUUGACUGUUAAUCACAUGGUGAUGUGAACUAGAUUAUUGACUCUAGUAAACUCUUGGGUAUUAGUCACAUGGCGAUGUGAACUUUGAGUGUUAAUCACAUGGUGAUGUGAACUAGAUUAUUGACUCUAGUGCAAGUGGAAGACUGUUGGAAAUAUGCCCUAGAGGCAAUAAUAAAAUGGUUAUUAUUGUAUUCCCUUGUUCAUGCUAUAAUUGUAUUAACUGGAAACCGUAAUACAUGUGUGAAUACAUAGACCAGAACAUGUCCCUAGUAAGCCUCUAGUUGACUAGCUCGUUGAUCAAUAGAUGGUUAUGGUUUCCUGACCAUGGACAUUGGAUGUCAUUGAUAACGGGAUCACAUCAUUAGGAGAAUGAUGUGAUGGACAAGACCCAAUCCUAAGCAUAGCACAAGAUCGUGUAGUUCGUUUGCUAGAGCUUUUCUAAUGUCAAGUAUCAUUUCCUUAGACCAUGAGAUUGUGCAACUCCCGGAUACCGUAGGAAUGCUUUGGGUGUACCAAACGUCACAACGUAACUCGGUGGCUGUAAAGGUGCACUACAGGUAUCUCCGAAAGUGUCUGUUGGGUUGGCACGAAUCGAGACUGGGAUUUGUCACUCCGUAUGACGGAGAGGUAUCUCUGGGCCCACUCGAUAAUGCAUCAUCAUAAUGAGCUCAAUGUGACUAAGGAGUUAGCCACGGGAUCAUGCGUUACGGUACGAGUAAAGUGACUUGCCGGUAACGAGAUUGAACAAGGUAUUGGGAUACCGACGAUUGAAUCUCGGGCAAGUAACGUACCGAUUGACAAAGGGAAUUGUAUACGGGAUUGAUUGAAUCCUCGACAUCGUGGUUCAUCUGAUGAUAUCAUCGUGGAACAUGUGGGAGCCAACAUGGGUAUCCAGAUCCCGCUGUUGGUUAUUGACCGGAGAGUCGUCUCGGUCAUGUCUGCAUGUCUCCCGAACCCGUAGGGUCUACACACUUAAGGUUCGGUGACGCUAGGGUUGUAGAGAUAUUAGUAUGCCGAAAUCCGAAAGUCGUUCGAAGUCCCGGAUGAGAUCCCGGACGUCACGAGGAGUUCCGGAAUGGUCCGGAGGUAAAGAUUUAUAUAUGGGAAGUCCUAUUUUGGCCACCGGAAAAUGUUCGGGAAUUUUCGGUAUUGUACCGGGAAGGUUCUAGAAGGUUCCGAAGUGGGGCCCACCUGCAUGGGGGGACCCACAUGAACGUGGGUAGUGGGGGCAAGGCCCCACACCCCUGGUCAAGGCGCACCAAGAUCCCACCUUAGAAGGAAUAAGAUCAUAUCCCGAAGGGAUAAGAUCAAGAUCCCUUAAAAAGGGGGAUAACAAUCGGUGGGGAAGGGAAAUGAUGGGAUUUCUUUCCGCCACCUUUUCCAACGCCCCAAUGGACUUGGAGGGCAAGAAACCAGCCCCCUCCACCCCUAUAUAUAGUGGGGAGGCGCAUGGGAGCAGCACCCCAAGCCCUGGCGCCUCCCUCCCUCCCGUGACACCUCUUCCUCCCCGCUUGCGCUUGGCGAAGCCCUGCCGGGAUCCCGCUACUUCCACCACCACGCCGUCGUGCUGCUGGAUCUCCAUCAACUUCUCCUCCCCCCUUGCUGGAUCAAGAAGGAGGAGACGUCCCGCUCCGUACGUGUGUUGAACGCGGAGGUGCCGUCCGUUCGGCGCUAGGUUCAUCGGUGAUUUGGAUCACGACGAGUACGACUCCAUCAACCCCGUUCUCUUGAACGCUUCCGCUCGCGAUCUACAAGGGUAUGUAGAUGCACUCCUCCCCUCUCGUUGCUAGCAUCUCCUACAUUGAUCUUGGUGACACGUAGGAAGAUUUUGAAUUUCUGCUACGUUCCCCAACACUCACAUAUAACCACUAUGAUAUUGAAUUUGUACUGCCGGUUUACAUGACCUGUGCAAUAAGGGUGAUAACCCAAUCUUUAGAAAUCAAGACUUCCAAAUGUUUAUGAUUGUCAUAUGAUGGCGACUUAUCAACCAAAGUCAAGCCGGGUUAAUCGAAGCCACAUAUAUACUUCAGAUAUGAUCAAAAGAACUUCAAAUAAAAUACAAAAUUUUGUUUGCAAAAAGAGACUUCAAAAAUUUUGAGGCUUCUGAUUCGAAUACUAUCAGAAAACCGUCCCAAAGGGGUUAAGCUAAGAUUCGAAUACGAUCAUAUAGCCCCCAGUGGCUUUGGCGUUGCCGAUCAAGAGGGUACCGACAGCUAUGUUCUCUUUGGUUCGAAUACGACCUAUGUUUGAACAGGAAGCCCCCAAAUGACCUGGAGAGUUGUUUAACGACGCUGAUUCGAAUACGAUCCAUGUCGGUUCCCAAAAGGGGUUGAGCUAUGAUUCGAAUACGAUCAAGAAGCCCCCUAGUGAGCUCAGCAGUGUGCCGAUCAAGAGGGUACCGACAGCUAUGUUCUCUUUGGUUCGGAUACGACCUAUGUUUGAACAGGAAGCCCCCAAGUGAUCUUGAGAAUAUUUAACGACUCUCAUUCCAAUACGAUCAGGGUCACACCAAAAGGGUUAAGCUAAAUUUGAAUACGAUCAGCUCCCAACGGUCAUUAAAGCAGGUAGUUAUGUUUGAGUUGUGCUUUGUAACAGACUCUCCUUGGUCCCUUUAAUUUUUCUUGAAAACUUGAACUUUGCGAGAGAUAAAAUCUUUUUAAAACCGGAAGUUCUUAAACCGGAUAUUAAGAGUUUCAAAGCAUGGUGAUAGACAAAUUUACCUUGAACCGGGUUUUGAACCGGAUUUGAGAUCUUCAAAGCAUUGUGGCAGAUAAAUUUCAUUUGAACCGGAUUUUAAACCGGACAUUAAGAGCUUCAAUGCUUUGUGGGAGAUGUCAAGUCUCUUGAUAAGGAUCUAAACCGGAAUCCUUCUUUUUAAGCCAGAUAUUUUUCUGACGGUCUUUAAAUUUUUACCAAUAUGGCGGUAGCCUCCGGGACCGGGUUAUUUUUUUCCUCCAAUGACCCAGAGUUCUUGAAUGCAUUGAAACCGACCAAUGUUGCCGAGUCAUAUCAUUGUAACCCCUGAGUCUCAAAACGACUCAAGGAGUUGGCUUUGAGAUUCUCCAUAUUGACCAUAGCAUAAGGUGUAUAUCAUUGGUGUUGAUAGUGCGAUGUGAAUCCACAGAAGGUUGAGGUGACUGCGGCGGAUUAUAAAUGAUCAUGUAUGAGCCGUGUCAGCAACUCGGCCAAUGGUCCCUUCCAACUGGCUGUUUGAAGUUAACCAAACUAUAGUGGCGGCGACUUGUGCGCCUGCCCAUUUAAACCAUCCAGUGUAGACGGCGGCUGAUAAUACAUGAUAAUUUGCCUCCAAUUUUGUUGGAAGAAAAACCAGGCUUCCCAAGCAGUGACUUGCUCAUACUCGAUGAUCAGCUCACGCAGACAGGUGCGGCCCGGUAUGUUGAUAUAGACCAGGCCGCAAGAGACAGAUGGUAAAAACAACCGUGGCAUCAAAGGUGGUACAGACAGAUGAGUUGGUCACGACGUUGUAAACCGGUGUGGUCGGGCGAGUCAAUCGCCGGCGCGGUAAGCCGCGCGGAUGGGCGAGUCAACCACGUCGUGUUGAUGUAGUGAACAAUUGUCCUACAUCAAAAACAUCGCAAGCAAGAGUAAUUGCUCUUUUUUAAAGAAAACAAUAUAUAAUAUAUAAAAAUUUACUGGAUUGAUUUCACCUGAUAUGUUAGGCCAGAAAAUAUCCACCGCGGAGUUGAUCAUCACGACGGUGAAGCUGAAAUCAAUCACGGCCGAGUCGGCCGCGGGAACAGACAGACGGGUCGGCCGCGGCGUUGUAAGCCGGUGCGGUCGGGCGAGUCAAUCGCAUGAGCGAUAAGCCACGCGGACGCUGAGUCGGCCGCGGGGGCGGACAGGUAAGUUGUCCGUCACAUUGUAAGGCGGCGCGUUGAUGUAGACCGGACCACAGGGGCGGUGGCUUGCGCCCACCUGUUGACCAGUAAGCGGUCGCAGAUGCCGUUGCAUGAUGAUGCUACCGCACACUCCAUGGAUACGGCAUUACACCAUCUUUAUGAUGAAUCCUUGUCCUGCACAUAAAAGUGUACAUAGCAAAGCGAUUGUUUUUUGACAAAAAACAAUAUGCGCUUAAUAAAAUAAUCUUAGAUGGAUAUCACCUGAUUUGUUCGGAUGACCGAUGAUCCAUUCAAUGCAACAAAAAACGGCUCUGGUAGACCGGUAACCCAUGGCGAGUCAACACAGCAGAAGCGACUCAACGCAGCCCCGGCAGCUCGAGGCACGGCGGGUCUCAGCUCACGGCGGGUUGAGGUGUGGCGGUUCAAGGUCACAGCGGGGGGACUCGCAGGCUCAGGCGAGGCCGUUUUGAAGAUGGUUGGCAGCGGCGCGGUGACUCGCCACGGUGCGCCGAAAUAGCAGCAGCGUAGUGGGAGAAACAGCCGGUCUGUUGAUUUUGACCGUGAUGUGAAGCUCGCGGGGCAGCCACGAAGGCGCUGGGACGGAGUGGCUCCGAUGUGCGAGACGUGCCACCACAAGGACGCACGUAGGAGAAGACCAGAGGGGCAUCGAAGUCGGGUCCGCGGCGGCUCUGGAGAUGACAAGUGUGCGGGAGGCAAGGCCGUGCUGGCCAGCAGAAAACGGCGAGGUGCCGGCGACUUAGCGUAAAACCGCGGGUCAGAGGCGGCUCGGAGUUGAGUCCAUGUCCUGCUCUGGUCGUUGUUGGUUUGACAAUUCCCUUUAAGUGCUCCUUUAAAAUUUCCUUCAUCACACGUGGUGUCGUGCCAGGCAACAGCAUGGCCGGACUAAAAAUCCACUAGACCUUGAUUUUUAAUGCUCCUGUAGAUCUUGGGGACUGCGUGUGAGCUGACUAUUAAAACCUUCAAAUUCAUGCACGUACAGUGGCUGUACUAGUUGAUGCUACGUGCAGAAGGUAAGGUAAUCUAUCAGGCUUUGUUUUUCGCGUUGAUCAGCACUUGGACCCUUGAUCAACAGUUGGCUUGAUCCGGAGACUUCACAGGGCUGAAGCAAACUGUCUUGAUCGCCGCUGUACCAACAGAUGGCGCUCGUGACGCGUGUUUGGCUGUCUUUGAUCACCUCGGACUUGGACAGCUAUAUAUGGACCAGCAGAAGCGACCUGGCGAAUCGGACACGGCGGCUAGAUUUGACAGCGGCACAGUAGAAAUUCGAGUCGGCCUCGGUGUACUGCUGCAGCAGAAACUAACCCGGACUCGACGGAUCAUCUAAUUGUGGCGGCGCUCACCAUGCAACUCUAAUCUUUCUUGAAUUCAGACCUCGUACGAGUAUUAGAUCUGACUGCUCGCUUUGGAGACAAUGUAAAUCCUUCCGCGACGAUUCUUCUUUCAUCCGAAGAAAUUGUCAACUUCUCGACCCUUGAAAGAGAUCCCUCCAAGAACUCAUCACCACCGUGCGCAGCCCCACGGUGGGCGCCAACUGUCGUGGAAUUGUCACGGCAGAUGUCCUAGUGUGAGGACUUAGUCGUGAGGCCAACGCAUCUAUGCGGUAGCUUGAGAGGGGUUGAUUGGGAUGAGAGACGCAACACACAAGACAAGAAUUUAGACAGCUUCGGGCCCCGGGAAACAUCAUCCGGUAAUAGCCCUACAUGCUGUUUGUGGCUAGGUCUCAUUAUGAUCAUGAGAGAGUCGCCGGUAAGCCGGCUCUUUGUGUCUAGCCCUAGAGAUUGUUUCUUGUUUCUUGUCCCUCUUGGGGUGCCCUGCCCCUCCUUAUAUAAGUUAGAGGGGCGGGUUACAUACGGAGUCCUAGUAGGAUUAGGACUAGUCUAUCUUUCUUUACAAGUUGAAUACAAGUCCAGGUCUUGCUUCCUUAUGAAGGAAAUAAUCCUCACGCCUUUCAUCUUAAACCGGCCCACCAGAGUAUAAGCCAGCCUGCUGGGCCUUGGGCCUUGUCAUCCGUCUGAUCCGCCCGCCGGGUCUCCAGUGAAUUACAAUGUCUAGGCGGGUUACCCUGUGAACCGCCAUGUUCGGGCGGAUCGCCAGUGAGUCGCCAAGCUUGUCCGGCCGGGUCAUACCGCGGGGUAUAUCCCCGACAGGUGGUCUAAUACGGGUAAAGAAACGCAUUUUUCGCUUUGGAUCCUUUACAAUAAAAGAUGGGUCAAAAAUUCGAUUCUGGGAAGACAAGUGGCUAGAAAAUGCUUGGAUCCAAUAAAAAUAUCUAUCUUUGUACUGCAUCAUUCAUCACAAUAAUGAUACUCUUGUGCUAGUGCUUAUUUCUUUCAUGCCAGAUAUUUCUUUCAGGCGAGAUUUGAUUGGCCUAUGUCUUAUGUGAUGGUAAAAUCAUUAUCCUGAUUGGAUUUAAUUAACCUGACACAAGGGCGGGGAUGUGUUUCAUUGGAAUCUCUCUACAUAUGGGUCCUUCAAGUCAACUUUAUGUACCAUGCACUAACGCAUUCAGAGGUCCUAGUGGAUAAUAAAAUAAUAGAAGAAGAUAUGGGCCAUACUCCCUCCGUCCAGUGAAGAGUGAAAUCUAGAGAUUUUAGGACAAAUUAUGGAGUAAAAUAGAAAAUGCAUUGGAAAGGUGCAAGCCACCAUCUUUCUUCUCUUUAAUUAUCCAAUCCCUAAUGUGUUUAGUGCAUGUAAAAAUUAAGAAGACCAUGUGUAGAUUGUUAUUGGUCUUGGUUACCAUGUGAUGAGAGAGAAAUAUAUUUUUUUCUACUUUAAAGUGCAUUGAGAAGAUAGAAGUACACUCUUUUGUGGACAAAUUUUAAAGCCAAACGUACACUCUUCACCGGACGGAGGGAGUAUAUUAAUUCCUAGUGUGACUUAAUGUUGACAUGAAUUGAUACAGGUGGAUAUAGUUACUCUGCGUCCGUAAAUAAAGGUCAUCAUUUUUGUUGCUCUAGGGACCCAUAAAUGAUAGGGACUGUCCGCUACCAGCUACCCUGAUGACUCCAUUCGCUGCCCCUCAAACAUGGGUUCCCGACAUGUUCUCAGGGUCUGCCCGUGGUUCCAUGUUCUGGCCUUCGGGGUUGGUUUAACUAGUGGUAUGGGGGUUCUUGCAUCGCCCUGUACUCUCGAUCGGGACCCUUUAAUGCUAGCACUUCUGGUGACAUACAGUGCGUGUAUUUAAAGGCCAGGCAUGCAUCCUCCGUGCCAAAGAAAAUUCAUUCGGCGGCUACACGGGGAGAGUUGUGGCAGCAAAUCCGGGAUGCCAGCUUUUUGUUUUGGGUUUCGAUUGUCAAAGUUUUAGAUCUUAAAAAAACUAAAAUUAAGUGUUGUUUUCAUAUUCGUGUUUCUCGUGACCACUGUUUUGAAAUAAUAUCCGUUUUGAAUAUAUAUUUUGACGACUUUAAAAAAUAUUAAGUUUCAUAUGUUGAAACUUAGUACGGGCAACCAGUAAAAAUCAAUUAUUUUGUACCUACGCCUGACAGAAAAAUGCUUACAUUUAUAUCUCUGAAACUUGCUGAAACUUUGCAUUUUUCAUCAUUGAAACUUAAAACUUUUUGAGGGAUUUUCUUUUUUACUGUGCCCUCAUGUGGGAUUCAACUACUCUUUUCUCUUCCGCGAGAUCCACAUGAAAAAAAGCACAAAUUUAAGAUGAGUGCAGGGCUUGGCAGAUGAGUGCCCUGCACUUACAUGCCCCUGCGAAUUUCCGCAGCUACUAGAUAUUUUUGGCAAAUUUAUUGUUUGCUCUUUUACAGGUGUGCCACUUAAGUAUUUAAACCUAUAAGGAUUUCUGCACUGGUGCUAAACUCACUUAUGAGAGCAUACCGGAUUUUCUCAUAUGAGCUAACAAAGAAUCAAACAUAGUUAUAUCUUGUAUUAUUUUCUCAUUAAUUACUUACCCACUGGGCUGAAGCAGUUAUUGUAGCAUAUCAUGCAACACUCAUGGUUUUCCAACAUGUUUCCUUAAGGGGUCUUAAUCAAGAUGAUUUACAUUCAAAAACAAUCAUUGAGUAUGGAUCAUUAAGAAUAAUUUGAUCCUACUUAAUCCAUGCUUAGGAAAUAAGAAAAUGGUUACUCAAUGAGCAAACGCUGCCUGUUGCUGCCUCCUCACCAACAAACUUUGGUUCUUCACAUCCCUUACCGAAGAGGCACCUUUACAUUGCAUCCCUUGUAUACUACUAUAUAUAUGUGAUCUUCAUAAAGAGUUCAGCGAUUUCUCCAUUGUUGAGUUCCUUACACUCAAUAUUCAAUAAUAGUUAUUUCCAAAUUCACAUAAUCAGUUGGCAGGAUGGUCACCAAAGUACAUUCAUCCAUCGAAAGAAACACACAAAAGAAAACAGUAACAGCACCAAAAAAACUACACGUUGUCCAAUUAUGAAUAAUGUUUCGUCCGUGUAACAAGAGCUUCGACGGUCAUUUUCUUAAGCAUAAUUAAAUAAAAAACUAAUCAUAGACUCUGAUUGUAAAGCAUUCCAAAAGAAAUUCAUAUGUCAGUUCUUCAACGCUUAUUGUGUUGGAAGCCUGUCCUCAAAUAUUCUCUCCUUCGCCUUGUCGGCCUGCAAAUAAAUAUCAGUUAUUUUUUCUUACUAUCCUUGGUACCAGUGCUUAGGGUUUUGAUAGACAGGUCGCUAGUUAUUGAAAUGAAACAUUUAAGACAAGGAGAAGCAUGCAUUAGGGCAACUCCAACUAUGUGCAUCAAAUCGGACACAUCUAACAUUCAUGGGCACGUCCGGACGUGUCCACAAAGAGCAUAUAGGGGGCGGCCAUCCAAGCCUAUGCACCAAAUGUCCGCACCUUUUCAAAGAAAAUAAAAUAAAGCUAGACCAAAUGUUGGCUCACUUUAAAUCAUCGAUCGAUAGCAAUUCAAAAGUGUUGGAUGAAAGUACUUCUCGAAAGCAGCCUUCAUUACAUACUUUCUCUCCUCGAGUUUGCACUUCUUCAUUACAAAUGUUGUUCAUCCAGAUGUUGUGCCCUUUGAGCUUCAUCCAACAGUGCAUAAAUGCGAAGAACUUGCCCUCCGUCCUUUGGUAUAGCAUGGGCUGCGCGUCUGGGCUAUACAAUGACGUGAUCAUCAAGUGUAACAUUGAGCAAUUUGCCAUUUGUGCUUGCUUCAUGUUAAACAAGGAGAAAGUCAAAGAAAUUCUCAAUGGUAUUUGGCCGAACACUUGCCGGGGUUGGCCUCCAUUAUGGAGGGCAUCGGCAAGGGGGCGGCCAAUGCAUGGGCUGCCGCCGGAUACUGGGUGCAACCGCGGCGAAGUACAAUGCGCCUGGUGGAGCAAUGGAGGUCUAGCAAGGCCUAGGCGCGGGACGGAGUGGUAUAGCAGCGGCGGUCUUGGUGGGUGCGGAUACAGAUUAAGAGUGGGACNNNNNNNNNNNNNNNNNNNNNNNNNNNNNNNNNNNNNNNNNNNNNNNNNNNNNNNNNNNNNNNNNNNNNNNNNNNNNNNNNNNNNNNNNNNNNNNNNNNNNNNNNNNNNNNNNNNNNNNNNNNNNNNNNNNNNNNNNNNNNNNNNNNNNNNNNNNNNNNNNNNNNNNNNNNNNNNNNNNNNNNNNNNNNNNNNNNNNNNNNNNNNNNNNNNNNNNNNNNNNNNNNNNNNNNNNNNNNNNNNNNNNNNNNNNNNNNNNNNNNNNNNNNNNNNNNNNNNNNNNNNNNNNNNNNNNNNNNAUAGUCCGACCAGGCGGGCGUCCGGACUCCCAAACCUCCAAUGAGUUUGCUUCCGGUUUGGCUGAUGUUGGACGUCCGGAUUAGGCCGCGGGCAUUUGAUGCAUGGCAGUGGAUGGCAAAAAAUGUACAGGCAGCGCAGUCCGGACCUUGCGGGCAAUUUGAUGCAUGGCAUUGGAGUUGCCCUUAGCAAUACCUAAGGCAUGUUCUGAUCACGAAUCAUCAGGCAUAAAAACUGAGAAAGGACUUACCAUCUUGUUCCAGUUUGUGGUAGCCGUAAUAACAGACAGGAGAGUGACCUGUGUGGCUCCACCAGCCAGUAUGCCAAUCCAAAACCCCUUUGCUCUUAGUUGCAUUGCAAAACCAAAGUAGAGUGCAACGGGGAUACCAACAAGAUAGAAGGCACCCAGGUUAACAUAAGCCCCUAGAUGCUGCCAUCCACAGCCCCGAGACACACCUGAGUGGUGCAAUGGAAGCAUUCAGUCUAUUAGUUUAAUUUAGUUUAUGAUGCUAUAUGCCAAAAGAAAGACAUGUGGAUACCUUGAAGGACUGCCAUGAGGCUGUCUGUAAUUGCUGAAAUGGAAAGUAGGGGUACCAUUCUUGUGACAUAACGCCUGACCUCUUCCUCAUUGCUGAACGCAAUUCCAAUAAAGUGGCGCAGUAAUAGAAGAGUUGUGCUCACUAAGAAUGCUGAGCAGACCACAAUAGACAAGGCAACACACACCACCAAGCGGGGACCUUGUGUGUUGCCGGCGCCUAAUUCAUUUGAGACGCGCACACUGGCACACGGACAACAUAUAUACGUAGCAUGUUAAAUUCUGUAGAAACAGGUGAUACUGACGAUAUAUAGCAACAAAUGCACUAGCUAGUAGCUACCCACCUGGUAGCUAUUCCAAUGCCGUAAGGAAGGUUGGCCAACAGUAUCAUUGUAGAUACGCUGUUCCAAAAGGACAUCAGUAUGGUAAACUUCAUAGAAUAUGAUGGAUUCAAGUAUAAUCUUAUUUAGGGUUCUACUAAUGCAUACCAUAUAGAAAGCACAGAGGUUUCCAGUGCAGGAUUUGGUAACAUCCCGGAAAGCAGAACAAGCAGCUCGUAAGACCACCACUCCAGACUGUGGUCAAGGAAAGCUAGGUUAAUAUUCAGAGGUUUCCGGGAUGUUUUGAUGCUAGAGAAUACAUAAUUAGAAGCUAAACUUAAAGUAAUAUAUGUGCAGAAAUUAUCCAGUUCAUUUCAAGAGGAGAGGGAAGAAUAUAUCCAGUGGUAUUGCGAGCGGGUGGCAAAAAAACAAAAGGUAUCUGAUCAGGAUCUGCUCACAACAAAGGCGAAGACGAAGACGGACUUUCUUUUGUUGAAAGAUGUCUUCACAACAAAGACGAAGAGGAAAACAAACUUGAUUUGGACAAUCAAUCCGAGACGAGCCGACAUUUCAAAUUUUCAAAUGGUUUGUAAAAGACCAUCAUCCUUUUCUGACAGUAUUCUAACAGACCAAUCAAGUGUGCAAGGGUGCUGUGGCAAGAACAACAGAAAAAUAGUAUUUCCUCCAUCCGAAAAUAAGUGUCGCUCAAAUAGAUGUAUCUGGACGUAUUUUAGUGCUAGAUACAUCCGUUUGAGCGGUACUUAUUUCCAGACGGAGGGAGUAGGUAUGAACGAACAUAAGUAGAAAGAGAUAUAAAAAAUAGCAACAAUGCUUGGAUCUUAUGGGCUGCAAGUGCACCACUAUUAAAAAGGUUUUGCCACGUACUUGUUAUUAUUAAUAUAUUUUUUGAGAGGAACGUACUUGUUAUUUUCCAUGCUGACACCUUUAGAAACGUUGGCUACUGAUACACAAACUAUAUAGAUUUGUCACAUGAAGAUACCAUUAGUGUUAUGAAUGAUCACAUCAUUAUAAUUAUAAUCUUAAUUAUUUGCCAAAAGGUGCACGUUGGAAACUAUAUUAAUGUCCACAAGAACAAGUAAAAGUGAAUGAAGAGUGCAUAAGAGUUUGCUGUAUUGGACAAUAUUUUGCUUGCCAAAAUAUGAAAUACUAGAUAAAAUAGCAUAUGUUAUUUUUUGUGCUAGAGGUUAAAACAACAUCAUUAUAGAAACAUGGCAAAUAACAUUUACUUACCAAAUCAUAAGAGCCGAUGGUACAGCCAAACGCAUGAAACUGCCAAUCCCUCUAAAAGCUUCCCACGAUGGUGGAGCGCGUGUUUUCUCACAAGAGGGUGAGAACUUAAUGUAAAGGCCAAGAAAAGUCACUUCAACCCAAUCACAAAUGCUAACGGAUAAAGCAGCUCCAGCAUUACCCAUCCCAACUUUGUAAACCAUGAACCAGCAAAGAGGAAGAAAUACCGCAAUUGUAAUCAAGGAGCUAAGAACCAUUGGAAAUAUUAGGCUUUGACAUUGCAGAAACUUUGAAAAGCAUUGAGUAACACCGAAGGCAAAUAAACCAGGGAUAAGCCAUAAUGCAUAUUUGCCAGCCUCAUUUGCAAUUUGUGGUUCCUGGCCCAUGAGAGGAAGUACUUCCGGGAUGAAACACCAAACAAUGGAGAUGGGCACACUCACAACAAGAAGUGCAAUGAUGGACCUGUAGGUACAUAAAGAUAAUGUAUGAUAUUGUUCUGCUCCAUAGGCCUGCCCACAAAGAGUUUCCAAUCCGCCUGCCAGUCCAAUCUAAAAGGGAAACUGCAUCAGUAACAAAUUAUACAUAUUGUUGCUGAAUAAAUGGAAGUUAAACUAGGAUAAAGUGCAUCGACAUUACUGAAAGAAGAGUUUUGCUACACCUACACAUUAAUCUUAUGGAAUUAAAUUUACAGGAUGAGGUGGCAACAUCUGAUUGGAAGGGAGGAGACUCAUAGUAAAUUCGGGGAAGACGGGUUACUUGGAGGUUAGGGGGGAGGGGUGGCAGUCCAUACGGGUCGCUCAUAAGUUUGGAUUUUCGCUGAAAGAAUAUCAAGAAUAACAAACGUGGCUUGUGCAAGGUGGGCAACAGUUGCUAUGAAGAUUUUGUUUCAAUCAUCACUGCAAAGAAUGCGAACAUCACCCUGGCCGAAUUUUCUCAACACCCAACUCAGUCGGAUCAAGUGACUGAUUAUAUUUUUCGCGGGAAUAUAAUAGAUCGAUAUUGCCCACCGAAACUAGCUAUAUGUACAGCGGGGUGGGGUGAAUCAAGCACCACAGGUCCAUUGUAAAAAAGAUUAAUCGAACGACCUAGCUAGCCGCGUGCGGUCGGCGCUAAUCAGAAAGGUUGAGAAAUGGAACCAUCUGAUUUGAUUCAUUCCCAGUAGUCAUGAGAUGAUCAUUUUUUUUUAGAAAAGAGGGGAGAUCCUGAAUGAUCCACACAACCUUUUGUUUAUCAUAUCAAAGUACAUCAUCUGACCAUAACAAAGUUCAUCUUGCCAACGGAUGCUUCUAUUACACUCGUGGUCUCUAAAAGAUGAGAACCCACUAUGUAGCAUCCACAUCAAUAAUUCAAGCAUUUAUGUCCUUAGUACGAUUCUUUGUAGGAACUAUCCGUAAUAACAAAGAACAUCAGAAGUAGCAGAGAUCUCCGCACGAUGCAACUGGAUAAAUGGCGGUCGCAUGGAGGGAGAAGACACUGAGACAUCUGGACCGGUCGCCGAUCUUGUACACAUCCGGAUGGGAUUCAGGGGCUGCUCUAACGGAAUUGAAAGUACCAAUAGCUAAACAUAAACGAAAUAAAUUAAUGUGCGCUGCAUGCUUGCUCACAAGGACGCUGAAGCCGGAGACGUUGGUGAGGGAGUUGGCGAUGGCCGCACCGGCGAGCGCGACGUCGCCGAGGUGCCCCACCAUGACGGUGGAGAUGAACUGCAUCGUGACCUGCAGCAGCAUCACCACCACCAUCGGCGCCGCAAGCCCCGCCAGCUGCGCGGCUUCCCUACACCAGCGCCGGCUGGUACUGCCGGGCUCUUCCCACCUCGCGGCCAGCAGCGGCGCAUCGGAAGAAGAGUCCAUGGAUCCCCCCGACCAAAGCUCUGCCCAAGCAACGUGGGUGUGGUUAAUGAAAAUGGUAAAUGCGGGAGCUACCAUCCGUCUAGCUGUCUCCCUUUGCACAAUGCAUGGAGCUCGAACUAUAUAUAGAGUAUUACUCCAGUCGUAGUAGCUACGGAAACUAUUUCCUCUGUCCAGAUUUAUUAGUUUUGUCAGAGCAUCGGUAAUUGAGGAGCUAAUUUGAUUUCAUAUACAUCCACUGACCCGUCUUGGCGCUGUUCAGGCAUAUUCACUUAAGCCCACAUUUAUCUGUGCACGCAGUGGUAACCCCACUUUUCUCCCUAUUAUAUGCCCGAUUACAUGCAUAUGAAUGGUAGGGACAGAACCUCAAAAAAAAAAGAAUGGUAAGGACAAAAAAAGAAAAUAAAAGAAAAUAGUGAAGGUGAAAAAGUGGUCCGGACUCUGGAGUGUGCCAAAUUCGACGUGGCAGACUGCUCAGACAUACCACAACAUCUCAUACCCUUUCCACGUAUGGGCUCGGUAUAAGGGGUGCCAGAAAGCCCGCGCCCAUGUAUAUAGUUUUGAGUUAAUGAUACUCCCUUUCAUCCAUAUUACUUGUCACACGGACGUAUUUAGACGUUUUUCAGUGCUAGAUAAAUUCGUUUGAGCGACAAGUACACUAGUAGAAAAAGGACCUUACGUGAGACACAUUAGUCCCGGUUCAAUUUUGGCUCGGUACUAAUGGUAUUAGUCCCGGUUCAAACGGCUAUGCAUUAGUCCCGGUUCAUGUUGAACCUUUAGUACCGGUUCGUGCCACUAACCGCUACUAAAGGGGUGGUGGCAGGCUGGCGUCAGGCCGGGGCCCCACGAGCCCCUUUGACUAAAGGGGUUUAACCUUUAGUCCCGGUUGGAGACACAAACCGGGACUAAAGGGCAAUUAUCAAACUCUACCCCCCUCCCCUCUCCCUGUCUAUCGCCAUUUCAGUUUUGAAAAAAACAAAACAAAAUGAUAAAAACUUCAAAAAUUAAGAUCCUUCGAGAUGUAGUUAUGUUACUACAUCUACUAGUUAGGAAAAUUUAAAAACUUAAAUUUGGACAUGUUUUGCAAAAAAAUAUGAUGAAAAGGUAAAACAACUAUAUCUUUUGCAUCCGAUAUCGGAAAACAACGUAUAAUAUAUCAAAAUGUUCAGCACGAAAAUACGCAUCCGAUUUUGACGGCUGUAGGCCGUUUUGCAAAUUUUUAGAAUCCUCAAACUCUAAAAGGAAAAAAGUUAUGCUCACAUUUCAGUUUUUUUUUUGAAUUUUGGUCAAACUGUGGUCAAACUACUUAUUCAAGAAAUAUUAGUGUUACUAAAUAAUUAUUUCAGUUUUUUGAAUUUUGGUCAAAUCUGGUCAAACUAUGGUCAAACUACUUACUCAAGAAAUAUUAAUGUUACUAAAUAAUUAGUGUUUUUUAGAAUAAUAGUUUCAAACUCAAACGAUGAACGUGUGACUUCAUGCUCAAGCUAAACUCCUGAGGGUUAAUAGGAUUGACAGCUUAAUAUUGUUAGGAAACAACAAGUGCGGACUUGGAAACUAGGGGGAAUAGAACUCAGAAGUUAAGCGUGCUCAGGCUGGAGUAGUAAGACGAUGGGUGACCGGCCGGAAACUUAGGUGAUUUGGGAUGAGUGAUCCACACUUGAGCAGUUAUGAGUGGUGAUUAGAGACUAAAUCGUCAAAUAAUUAAGAAAAUUGAAAAUCGGGAAAAAAAUCAAAGUUUUUUCCAAAAAAUUCAAAAAAAAAACCUUUAGUCCAGGUUGGUGUUACCAGCCGGGACUAAAGGUCCCGCAUACCACGGCGCGGGCUCGUGCCACGUGGUGGGCCUUUACUGGCGGUUCGUGUUGAACCGGGACUAAAGGGGGGGCCUUUGGUCUCCAACCUUUAGUGCGGGUUCCGAACCGGCACUAAAGGCCCUUAAGAACCGGCAUGAAAGCUCCGUUUUCUACUAGUGGUAAUACAUAUCAGAUGGAGUAGUGGAUUUAACUAGACGGGGAAGCAACGGAUGGGCGGCGGCUUUCAGAUAUGACGAUGGUGGUCCUACCGGGGUGGCUUGUUCGGCGGAGCGGGUUGGGAUGGCACGGGCCAGAGGCUGCUUCGCUGCCUCCCAAAGGUGGUGGUGGGCUGCGGGUGUAUGCGACAACUCAGAUCCGUCGUGGAUCAUCUGGUUGAUGCGGGAUCGACUCUGGCCUACCUUGGCUUCUCUGACGCGGCUCUGGUGGGCGGAGGGCUAGGUCAUGGCAGGGAGCUCCCCCUGCCUUGGUCUUGUUCGGCCGUCAUGGCAGCGAGCUCCCCCUGCCUUGGUCUUGUUCGGCCGUCAUGGCAGGGAGCUCACCCUACGCGUUUUGGCUCACGGGCUCAGAUGAGUCCGGGAAUGAACAAAAAAUCAUUAAAAAUUACUAAAUAAAUUCAAAAAAAAUCUGAAUUUUUUUUGUGCAGAAAUAUAACUGAGUGUCUGAUGUUCGUACCGAAUUUCAGAACACUUGAAUGUUUGAGUAGCUCUCAGCAAAAAAGGACGAAUUUAAUGUAUGUGAAAAAGGUUACUAUUUGUGCAUUGUCUGGACCCUUUUUUUACUGAGAGCUAAUCCGAUGUCCAAAUGUUUUGAAAUUUGGCACGCACUUCACACACUAAAAUAUCUUCCAUUCAAAAAAAUAGAUUUUAAAAAAAAAAUCUAUUUUUGCUGAAUUUACUGUUCACCAGGUGGAGCAGCGUCGAAGACCACAGACAUGGUGUCGGGCGAGCGCGCUCGGAGACAGAUGUCUGUAGUUGUGUCUCCCCCGGUCCACCGGGACUGGCUGGAGAUGCAGGCGUGGGUGCCUCCUACCAUGGAGGCAUCGAUCCAGACUAUGUGGCUGAUGUAUGGCUAUGAUUGUAAGGGGACGCCAUUUGCUUCUCCUACCGUGGUGGGUGCACCGUGAUGUGGGCGGUUGGUGGUGUCUCUGAUAUGGAUGUCGAGGUGGCAACCCUGGAUGGCGGUCUGAUGGUUCGCUCUCUAGCGGGCCCCAUGGCAGCAGUGAUAGGUGGAGCGACGGGUGGCUCGGGUGUGCUCUUUGUCUCCGGCAGUGGUGACACCUAGAUCCAGAUCUGGAGGUCUGAACUCGUCGUGCUUACCCUGGAGACCUCGUGGUGUCAUGGGGGAGCUGUCGAGUAAAGCCCCAUGCUUUGCCGUCAACGAGGGUGAUGCUCGCGGGUGCCGCUUUGCUCUUAAAGAUAUCACCGUGGUGCUCUUCUUCUUGUCUGGGCUCGGAGUAAAAACCUUUGUUCGGUGUGGACUCAACAACGCUGACACUUAGGGCUAUUCGCUCUCCUAAGAGUGUUGUCGUUGAGCUUAGAUGUUAUAGGGCAUAGUGUGACGUUGCUAUCGGUUCUUCCUAUGCUCACUUUGGUAGUAUAGCUGCAUGCGUUCUGUGUGAUCCGGUUAUCCUGGGAUCUAUUAGAAUAAUCCGAGGCAUACCGUUGAUCAUCCGAGGACCAAGGAACCACACGAGCACGACACCGAGAUUUGUUAACGAGGUUCACCUUGGCUACAUCCCCGGGGCUUGACUAUGGGCGCUCCUCCCCAUGACAUCGCUACAAUACCGCACCCCGUCGCCCUGCACGCCGGCACAUGCCGCCGGCUUCCCUUGCGUUCCUAUGCUAUUAUGUUGGCAUGGGUUACAUCGUGUGUCUACCCCCAUUAUAUAUGAGAGGCCUAGGAUACAAGUGUCCUAUUAGGACACGACUCUAUAUCCUAUCUAAACACAAUACUACUCAAAGUCCAACUCUAACCUAUCUUAUACGCAAUAUUCGACACAACUCUAACAGGAUCUGCAUUGUAUGAGGACUACCUCAUCACCUUGUAUUGGUCAGCCAUGCACUUUGUUCGGUUGUUGCAUUAUACUCUCUCUGUUCAGAAUUAUUGGUCGCAGAAAUGGAUGUAUCUAGUUAUAUUUAUAUAGUUCUAUAUACAUCAAUUUCUAUUCAUUUUUGAGACAGGUAGUCCCGGACGGAAGGAAUAUAUAAAGCGGGGCGCCUGGUUCAAACUUUAAAGAGAGACAUAACCACAAAGGAGACGUAAGAAGGCAAAUAACUACAGCGCAAUUGAUGUCAUGUCAGCAAGAAAUGUUCUUAAGGGCCACUCCACAGCUUCCCACUACGAACCUAAAUCUUCAUGAAACUUGAGAAAAUCAUACUCGACGAAAAUCAUACGCUUGUUUUAGAUGCCUGUCGUCGUUGGUUGCUACAGAAGAUGGAUUUAAAUAAUUGAAAUUAAGUUUUUUUUUAGCACUCUCUCUGAGCCAAAUUAAUUAACAUAGCUCUAGUACAACUUUUUCUUUUUGAGUUUGGACUUGGUUUGGCUGUGUGCAUCUUUUUUUUUGAAAUGUUGGCUGUGUGCAUUUUAGUUAUGCAGAAGCCAGAUAAUACUUAAAAACUUUGUAAGCAAUAAAGCGCCCCUUAUCGAACAAUAGAAUUAUGCAGAGGACUAACACUUAACUCUCGAGUAGUAACUGGUUGAAACUUACCAGCUCUACGUGGUUGAUGUUGACAUCCAAUUUCGAAUACAGAACAUAUUUCCCAAACCAUUCAAAAACAUCACAUUGCCAUCUUGGUUAUUACCCUUUAACCUCCUCACAGCAGAUUCCAUCUGCAUACACUCAGUGUAAGAACGCAGCAGAUCCAUUAAAACAUGUAGUACGAAUUAUCACGUUAUACUAAAAUUUUAGAAUCAACAAGACAUUAGCUACAUAUUGACUUCUUUAAUUAUUUAUGAAGACUGCCUCUAGAGAAUUGUUGGCAUGUCUAUGACGGUAAAUUUGCAGCUCAGUUAAAGUGUGCUUGGUUGGUUAAACAAGGUAUACUAGAUGAUUUUCCCGCGCGUUGCUGCGGGAUUUUAAAGAUUAAUUUUGGAUAUAUUAUAUAAGAAUGAAAUGAUCUAAAUCAAAAGCUAUUAUUUUCAAAAGUAAUUAUAUGUGAACAAAGAGUAUGCAUGUACGUUGGACCAUUGGAGAUGGAACAAUUAAAUUGGAGUAUGCAUGUGCUACAAAAUAAUUCUAGUGGGUGAUGAUAUGUGGAGGGCUGCAUGUUGAGAUAAUUAGACUUAAUGGGAUCAACUAUAUAUUUAUUAUAGAUGGGAUAGGUUGUUUGCUUGGUUGGGUGGAUGGGAGUAUCAAAAAAGAUUAAUUAGCUAAAUGAUACCUCCUAACUUCUACAUUAACACCAUCAAGACCUAGUGAACCUACUUAAGUCAAACCAGAAAAACAUGUACCUGUUUCAGAUAAUCAUCCAUGAACAUGAUUGCAUGGUCAUCAUGCCCAGUACUGAGUUUGAAAACAUGAAGUACAUUGUCUUUCUUCAAUGACUGCAAAAAUGAUUUCUAUAUAUGUUCAGAUUUUCAUCAAAGCAAGGAAAAUUUUCUCUGGUGCAGUUGAAGAUUACUACACAUUGGUAAACAAUAAUCACCAACAGUUUAACACAAGAAUAGCUAGAAAAGAAUCCAAAGGUAAAACACAAACUCAUCAUUGCAUUACAACAGUUGUGUAUACAUAAAGAAUUAUUGCAUAAGUUCAAAACAAUACCUUGAAAUCUCUGGCAGCUUGUGUCCUGUCCUUCACGCUAUUAUAGUUUGGGACUGCAAAAUGAAUGGUUGUGUCACAGCCUACAAGUGAACACAAGAAAAAGGUGAAUUUCGGAUCUGAAUCACCAUUAAAAAAGGAAACAGUUAGAGAAGAAGCACACACUGAGUUUAUAUAACCAUCUUUAUUAUAUAACAACAUGUUACAUGGGAGUAUUGUUACAUCCCUCCAUUAAGAGGAGGAGCAAACAUAAGUACAAGAGUUUAAUAGUGGCCGUGUCCCCCAACCCACAAAUAACUUUGGCACAUGCACGCACAGACCAGAAUUUUGCAACAGAAAACAUCACUAACCUAUGCACACGGUGGCUCUCGCAGCCAGUGAUGGUAGGCCUGAAUCGUCGCUCCACCUCUGCCUUGAUGUUGUUGGCCAUUGUCUGAAGGUCCUGGUUCUCUCCCUCGAACACCAGGUAGCUAUGUUCUCUCCAAAAUCCCUACGGGCCAAAUUUGUACAAUCACUAUCGAGUCCAGGUCUUUUUGCCGAUCUUUUGGCAGUGCUUUUCACCUAGACAGCCACCAAAUUCACCUGAAGUGGCGAGCUGUUCAUUUUAAAAUGACUUGCCACAGUUAUGUCAACCAGGAUCAUUGCUCUCUUUCUCGGCCUCCCGCAGAACUUCACAAGUUAUGAGUUUGCUGUAUGAGUAUAUAACUGAAUGAAGUAGUCUUUGAACCUGCAAACAGAGCACUUAAUCUACUUCUCAACGCACUGGAAUUUUUUGCAAUGUCUCUCUGUACUAAUUGUCCACUGCUACCCUACCACGAAGAAGUAGCGAUUUCUCCACCAAUCCAGCUCGCAAUCGGAUUAAACACUAGGCAAAGAAAUUCCUCUCUGCAACUAUAUAUCCAUACAAAAGUACCAUUUACUCCUGGAUCGAGCACUAAGCCACUAACUGACGGACGGAGAAUGGAUGACUAACCUUCUAGUUGCAACCGCAUGACCUCUGACCUGCCCUGCCGGCGGCUCACAGCGAUGGAUAGCGGACUAGCCUGCCAUCUAGGGUAAUUGCAGACGGCCAGAGUUGCAACGGAGGCCUCAUCGUGAUACACGACGACCUCCGUAGCUGGGAUCAGAUGUAUUUUCUAAUUUGAAUUGAAUAUGUAGUGUCACCAUUCCAGAUUUUUGGUACAUAUGAACAAAAAUAAAUUUAUUCAUGGGCCAUUCAACACUUUUCAACUCAUCGGAUACUGGCUCAGAUCGAGUUCACAUAUCAUUAACAUAUUUCGAACCAAAUCCAUAAUCAUAAAAUCCUCUGGUUUUAUUCAAACAAGCGGUGGAGAUGCCCCAUCCCUCCUAGCAUUGUUUUUCCUUAUCAUUUAGGAUCUCUUCAUUCAGCCUUUAAUAGAUUAAUAACAAAAAAACAUAAGUAUGGCCUAGAUAUAUAAGAUGCUUCAGAAUAGCUGGGCACAAACAAGUUGGCAUGAAACGGUCUAGAACUUCUUUUGCGGGAAAAAAUCUAGACCUUCUCAAAAUCCAACAAAUAAAAUAUGCUCGUUGUCCAUGAUCUAGGAGGGUAUCUACGAAUAGGUACUUAAGGUUUGUUCAUGAAAAGUAUUAAAAUAUUUGGCAAUUUUCCUUUUGGGUAGACAAAGUACCUAGAAAUAUGUAAAUUCAUGCUUAUACACCUGAACAUGCACCAUAGUAGACCAAAUUAUGUUGCCAAAGUAUAACGAACAUAUUAUAUUUUUGAAUAGGUUAUCUGUGUAAAUGGUCUACACAAUUCAAAUAAGUAUCAACUUCAUGCCCAAAAGAUUUAGUAAAAGGUACCGGGUGGUCCCAAUGAAAUAUUUACAUAACAUUACAAACUUAGUCCACCAAAAGAAUGAUUUGAUCCAGAAAAAUCCUUCUUCACACAUAGAUCGAACUGAUGAUGACGUAUCUAGAGUUAGGACCGGAUAUAUGCUAGUAACUUGUAAGCAAUUACCAUCCUUUACAUGUAAGGGAAUUCUAUGAGUCAUGUCAUGAUCUAUACCUCUCAGUUCAUCUUAUCAUCUUAGAGAACAAUACAAAGUUAGUUUUAUAAAAAAGCAACCGAGUCUAGACGAACCCUCCACAUACAAGGCUUUAAUAAUCGAGCAUAUCUUAACAGUCCACACACGAUUGCAACUUAGUCCUACACAGGUUUUGCCUUUCUUGUUUAUGGUUGACAGCCUAUACAAGGUUCCAAACUCGGUUGCAAAAGUGAUACUAUCCUGAUAAAUGUGUGACAUGUAAAGUGAAUAAGGCGAGUCAUAUAUACCACACAUCAGGGUUUCUAUAAUUUGUGUGUGAUCAUAUGCACAACUAAAAAGCAACUUUGAUGAUCAAUCCAAAAGUACGCUUGUAGCUAGUGCAACCUAACACAAUGUACCAAAAAAUCAUUUCUGAUGCAUCCAAAUAGAAUUAUUUAAGUUGAUGCAAAGAAGGAAAGAGGUGGUGCCCGGACUACUAUAAAUAGGCAUGAAGUAUAAUGAUCAUCACAAGCACAAGCAUCAAAACCAAGCAAAAGUAGUUAGCACCAAUCCAUCAUGAAGACCUUCCUCGUCUUUGCCCUCAUCGCCGUUGUGGCGACAAGUGCCAUUGCACAGAUGGAGACUAGCUGCAUCUCUGGUUUGGAGAGACCAUGGCAGCAGCAACCAUUACCACCACAACAGUCAUUUUCACAACAACCACCAUUUUCACAACAACAACAACAACCAUUACCUCAACAACCAUCAUUUUCGCAGCAACAACCACCAUUUUCGCAGCAACAACCAAUUCUAUCGCAGCAACCACCAUUUUCACAGCAACAACAACCAGUUCUACCGCAACAAUCACCAUUUUCGCAGCAACAACAACUAGUUUUACCUCCACAACAACAACAACAACAACUUGUGCAACAGCAAAUCCCUAUUGUUCAGCCAUCCGUUUUGCAGCAGCUAAACCCAUGCAAAGUAUUCCUCCAGCAGCAGUGCAGCCCUGUAGCAAUGCCACAACGUCUUGCUAGGUCACAGAUGUGGCAGCAGAGCAGUUGCCAUGUGAUGCAACAACAAUGUUGCCAGCAAUUGCAGCAAAUCCCCGAACAAUCCCGCUAUGAAGCAAUCCGUGCCAUCAUCUACUCCAUCAUCCUGCAAGAACAACAACAGGGCUUUGUCCAACCUCAGCAGCAACAACCCCAACAGUCAGGUCAAGGUGUCUCCCAAUCCCAACAGCAGUCGCAGCAGCAGCUCGGACAAUGUUCUUUCCAACAACCUCAACAGCAACUGGGUCAACAGCCUCAACAACAACAACAACAGGUACUACAGGGUACCUUUUUGCAGCCACACCAGAUAGCUCACCUUGAGGCGGUGACUUCCAUUGCACUCCGUACCUUGCCAACGAUGUGCAGUGUCAAUGUGCCGUUGUACAGCGCCACCACCAGUGUGCCAUUCGGCGUUGGCACCGGAGUUGGUGCCUACUGAUAAGAAAAGUUGU
rnacentral:lncRNA from 1 species